UGGAAUCCUGUGUGCUUUGCUUCUUGUUCUACUGACGAUUGCAGCAUAUCGGGUAUAUAGCGCUGAUAGAAAGGAGAAAGAGAGUCGAUUAAGAAUUGAAAGAUUCUUGGAGGACUACAAAGCACUCAAACCAAGCAGGUAUUCGUACGCAGAUAUUAAGAGGAUUACAAAUCAAUUCAAGGACAAGUUGGGCCAAGGAGCCUAUGGAACUGUCUUCAAAGGAAUGCUCUCUUCUGAAUUUUUUAUUGCUGUCAAAGUCCUCAACAGUUCCAAGGGAGAUGGGGAAGAGUUCGUAAAUGAAGUGCGAACGAUGGGUCAUAUCCACCAUUUAAACGUGGCUCGCUUGGUUGGAUUUUGUGCUGAUGGAUUUGUACGAGCUCUUGUUUACGAGUUCUUCCCCAAUGGUUCCCUGCAGGAUUUCAUUUCAUCUGCAGAUAGUAAGAAUUCAUUUCUUGGUUGGGAUAAACUGCAAGAUAUUGCCCUAGGCAUAGCCAAAGGAAUUGAAUAUCUUCACCAGGGAUGCGAUCUACGAAUCCUGCAUUUCGACAUCAAACCCCAUAAUGUUUUGCUAGACCAAAACUUCACUCCAAAAAUUUCUGAUUUUGGUAUGGCCAAGUUAUGUUCCAAGGAUCAAAGCUUGGUGUCCAUGACUACAGCUAGGGGGACCAUGGGCUACAUUGCACCUGAAGUGUUCUCCAGGAAUUUCGGAAAUGUGUCUUACAAGGCAGAUGUCUAUAGCUUUGGAAUGCUGCUGCUUGAGAUGGUAGGAGGAAGGAAGAAUAUUGGUUCAAUCACGGAUAACACUACAAAUGAAAUUUACUAUCCACAGUGGAUUUAUAAUCUUCUAGAGGAAGGGGAUGACCUACGAAUCCACAUUGGGGAAGAAGGAGAUGGUAAAAUUCCAAAGAAACUUGCAAUUAUAGGGCUAUGGUGUAUCCAAUGGCACCCGUCGGAUCGUCCUUCCAUGAAAAUAGCGGUUCAGAUGUUAGAAGGAGGAGGAGAAAGCUUGAGUAUGCCGCCUAAUCCCUUUGUGCCUACUGGUUCUACAACUAGGAAUGCAAGACGCCUAGAGCUAGAAGCUAUUGCUGAAUUAGAGUAAAAUGUAUAUGCAGAUAUGUAGACGUAUAGAUAUAGUAAUAUUUAUAUUGAAUAAGAGGCCGUUUGAUAACCAUUUCGUUUUCAGCUUUUAAUUUUUAUUUUUCACUUUUUUGAAAACUAAAAACUAAAAUCUUGUUUGGUAAAUACUUUUAGUUUAAAAAAAUUAUGAAGACUGAGAACUAAAAUGUGAAAGCUCAAAGGAAGUAGAUUAAAAGUAGUUACCAAACAAACUGGAAUCUCAAUAAUAAAAAAAGAUUGAAUUGCACAAUGCAAUCCAAACCAAUCAAAACAUUAAAAUAGCAAAAAAAAAUUAAAAUUCUAGUUGAUUAGAUUCUAAACGUAGUAAAAAUGAACAGAUCCAAUGAAAAAACAAAAAAUUCUCAAAUAAAAAUAGGGAUAAAGUAAAAUAUUUAUAAAUAGCUCUUUGUCUCUUAUGUCAUCAAUUAUUUCUAUAGUAUAUACAGGUUUUUGGAAAAAUUAGGUUCUCAUCCCUUAUUUUCAUAUUACAUUGAUUGAAAUCUUAUUAUUUUUCUAUUUUAGAUCAAGGUCCCUUGACUUAUUCCAUGUCAUCAUUUUAGUAUUUAAAAUAUUACACGUCAUCAUAAACGAAAUCUCAUCCCUUUCUGCAUUUAAGGCAAAAUAAACUAUAUGAGUAAGUUUAAAACAAGGAAAAUCCAUUUGAACUCCUCCAUUCUUCUUCUUCCCUUAUGCACAUCUGGAAUCUACAACACCCCAAACCCAAUUUUCUCCAUUUUUUCUCCAUUCCUGAAUUGAUCCAAUGCAUAUAUGUUGAAUAAACCUAUUGUGAUUAAAAUACAAAUUAGCAUCAAUGGUUUUAUCGGCUUGUGAGAUUUGUGUGGCAUAGGCAAGGCAAUGCAGGCAUUGCUUUCUCAAGGAAUCUGGUUGAUUCAAACAUGCAGAGACUGUAGAGUGAGCGGGCUAUGUGAAAAUUGUACCAUUCUGAAGUCAUUUUCUUUUGUUCUUUAUAUUUUUUUUCUUUUUCUUUUAUUAUUAUAUAUUAGUCUUGGUUAUUCAAUGUCUGGUUGGCUACACUUAUAUCCAUGGGUACAUUUUUAAUCUACAUGUUUCGUUCUAAUAUAUCUAUUGCUAUAAUAUGUUUUGGUUGGUUCAAAUUUGUUUUACAUAAAUAUAUGGGUACAAAGUUUUUGGAGAAUAUUAUGUAAAAUGGUUUUUAAGGUUGCUGCAUUUUACGUUCCCACAUAUGCAUGUCUAUAAAACAAUGUGGUAUGAUGUACAUUCUUUUCUUUGAGUUUUUAAAUGUACCCAUGAGUUUUCUUGUAAAUUCGUAUGUACCCAUAUGCUAUUUAUGUUAUGGGUACAUACAUUAUUUUUGGUCUAAGUUCAGGAUACAUUGCUUUUGUAUGUAUGAAUUCAUGGGGUACAUUAUUUCCCUUAAUACUACUCAAUAAAAUUCACAAAAAUAUGUGUAGUGUGCAUGAUUUUUUAUUGUAGAAAUUGUUUGUUUUUUUUAAGUCUCAUAAUUCAUGAAAUUUGUACAUAUAUGAUCCCAUAAAUUUUUUAAUUUUAUUAAAUUUCUGUUAGACUUGAUCGAUUGAUUGAAUCUCAUAAUACUAGGAUUUUGAAUUACAUAAAUUCUUGGAUUUGAAUCCCUUAAAUGUUGGACUGCAAUCAAUAUUUUAAAUUACAGUUUUUUGUUUAAGAUAUCAAAAAGAUGACAUGGGAAUAUAGUAAUACUAAAAUGCUGAGGUGUACAAAGUCAAGGGACUUUGAUCAAAACAUAAAAAACAAUAAGAUUUCAAUCUAACAAUUGAAUUGACUAGGGACCGGAACCAAAAUGACCCUAGAUUUUUAUUGAGUUUAAUCUUAAUCAAAAAAAGACUUCUUGUAUCACAGAAAAUACAAGAACCAUUAUUUGAAUGAAAUAAAAGCUAUGGGAUGGAGAUAUAAAUGGAUCCUUUUAUUCACAAUCGGAUUAUAUUUAUUUGAUACACUGUUGUCAAUAUGAAUGUUGAGAAAAGACUACAAAAGAAAAAACAAUUUAUAAAUAUAACUAAAAAUUCCAAUUUCAAUCAAUUAGAUAAUUAGAAUUAUAAGAAGAAAAAAAACAGAAAUCUCAGUUUUCAGUUUAAAAAAAAAUGAAAACAAAAACUGAAAACUGAAAACAAAAUGGUUAUCAAAGCCGUCCAAAUAAUAGAAGUUUGUUUCCACUCUUUGUUUAAGCAUAGAUGCCAAUUUUUGUUUAUCAUUUUUUUAACCUCUAUUUUUUGUUACAGUAGAAGCCCUAGAAGGAAAUCGAGCACUGGACUUACCAAACUCUUAACUUAUUUCUACACACCAAGAGCUUGAUUUCGGUUCUUAUUUAUACUAUUUAAGCUAUAAGCCGUGAUAAGAAUUAGAGAACUAUCAUUUGUUGUGAGCUUCAAUUGGUUAGCACUUUGUAUGUUUUCAUUAGAAUUUAUAUUUCACUUAGACUUUCUUAUUAAAAAAGGGAUCAUUUGGUGACUUCACCAUGACAGUCCAAUUUUAUGGGGGCCAUGAGUACUCACAAAGGUAUUUCAGCCUCCCCCUAUAUCUACCGUCGCGUGAUUCACCAUUGCCGGGAAUCGAACUCAAGACGUGUUGUAUAGAAUACAAGCCUAAAAUUCGUUUCUAACCACUGAGUCACCCCGCGUUUGAUUAUAUUUCACUUAGACUUAUCUUGCGGUAUAGCAUGUCAUCCCCGCCCAAGUUUUUCUGUUCGCAUUGAGUUUGGGAUACCAAAACUUGCCAAACAAAGUAGAUUGAUUAGUAAGCGAAGCUAAUUAUUCGACUAAACAUUGUUUAGAAUUUUAAUUAAAAGAAACAAUAUGAAUCUGUUUUUUUUUUUUUUUUUUGACAAACUAUAACGUUAAGGAGUUAAAUUGUUAGUUGUUAAGAGUACAGGGAUAGGUGAGGAUCGAACCUCCACCAGAGUGCAUAGACAUUAUUGGUUCUACAACUGCGGUAAAUCACAUAAAACAAAACGUAAUACUUUGAGGAUGGAAGACACUUCGUGGAUAGCGGGCAAUCAACACUAUCAGUCGCUAUCCAAAACUUGGAAUUAUGUUUAUUGUCCGAAGGAUUUUUCUUCCAUUAAAUUGCUAAGGAAGAUGAGGAUGGGUGGAGUGUCUAAAUGUCAAGGUUGAUAAGAAAGUGUAUGGUGUUCAGCAUGCGAUUGAGAUUUGUUGAGUGGCACAACAAACCACAUAAAAUUUUCUAAAUGAUAAGCAAUGAUAAGCUUGAGUAUAAUUUUUUACCACGUAUUUAUCUUUAAAAUCAUUAUAAUUAGAUUUUCUCUUAAUUAAUAUAGACCGUUAGAUUGACCCAAGUUUUUUUCCUCUUUUCUUUCCCCUCGUUUUUUUCUUCUCUGAUUUUCCAUUCACCGUGUAGCAGUCGUUCUUCCCCAACUAAGUUUCUUAUUUUUCUUCACAAAAAAAUUGUAGAAAAUAUUAAGAAAAGAAAAGUCAUCAAUAUCAGACUCGAUCAGGUAAUCGUUCCAACCUUCCCAGCAACUCUCAGUCUUAACAAGGCACCAAAUUUUCUCCGCCACCUAACUCGUCAUUCAUUCAUGGGUGUUUCAAGCUUGGUGAAAAUUGAUAGAGUUCCAUGUGUGUACAGGGAUGUGAACAUAUUGGCCACUCUCUAAGAAUGAGUCAUUGGAAAAGUUGAAGGAAAGAUGUAACCGAUGAAAUUAAUGGAUUGGAAUUACAAUGAAGUCUGUGUUGGUUUAUCACAAAGAACCCAGAAACAAAAUUUUAAAAGCAAACAAUUACAACUUCUCAAAUAUUAUGUAACAAACUUUCAAUGAAAUGUUGCUCAUAAUUGAAAAAAGGUUGACGAAGGACGGAGUUGGGAUUAUUUUAGAUGGGGAAGAGUUAAAAGAAGGAAGCACCAUUUAAUUACUAAAAGUAAUUGGAGAAAUGGUAAUUCAAUGGUGGGCGUUUUUAAGGUGUGGACCUUGUGUCACACCCCGAUCCCAACAUACAUUGAGGAUCGACACCUGACAUGGGGACCUAGGGGACAUAAAUCUUACGUAAGAUACAGAAUGAAAUACUAUAAAUAAUAUCCCAAAAUGAAUAUGAUAGUGGGUUCACCCCCUAUAAAAUAUAUACAAGUUUGUACAUUCACAAAAAAAAAAAAAAAAAAAACACACACACACACACACAAAACUCUUGCUAGGCCAAGACUUGCCCAUGGUUCUCAAAGGAAAGUCCUAAAAGAAAUAGUACAAUGAAGGAUAAAGGGGUAACCUAAACACUCCAAGUCUCUGAUCUCUGCACUGCUACCCCCACCGGCUCCUCGUAAUCUACCUCAGACCUGUCACUUGUACAAACAGUGCCUACAUUGUGGGAAUGGUGCACCGGGCAAACAAAAACCCAGAUAAGCUGCAAAACUCGUGUGGUAGCCGGCCUGGGACAUGGGAGGGGGCCGAGUCUUUCAGAAACCCUUGGGUCAUUGAUCUUCAAGCUUACAUGGAUGGGAUUGUCUCGACGUUGCUUUAGGAAGUCUCGACAGUCGUGAAAGACGGCUUUCGAUCCUUCCACUCCUUCUGUAAGAAGGUGUCUUCCUCCACUCCUUCUGCUUCGGGUUGAAGCAGCUGGGUUGAGAGAAGUCUCAUGUUGGUCGCGAUUUCGAUGAGUAGCUCGCUCCUCAACAGGAAUACCCAUGUCGAGGGAAAAUGAGCCUCUGUGUUGGAGGCACCCAGUUGAUGGUUGACUUCCACAGGGGUGAUGAGCUCGUGUGUUUUAGUAUAUCUAGCCUCGUGGAGCAUCUCGAAGACCUUUUCAUACUGCUCUUGGAGGAUCUCAUUCUUCAUCGCUAUCUUGUUGUUCUGAGCCUCCAGCUCAUCGACUUUAGCCUGAAGAGCAAACUUCUUUUGUUCCUUCUUUCGUUGUUUCGCACCAGGUGUAAGAGGGGUGUCAUUCUGUGUGCCGUGGCUUCCUUCGCUCCCCAUGUUAGAGAGGGAUGCCUGGUCAAAAGAGAGAGUACGAAUGGUGGAAACCAGCUUGGCAAAGCUAAAGAGAGUGGGAAUAAGUGUCGUUCCCACAGACGGCGCCAAAUGUUGAUGCACAAAAUCAGUGAGGACUUUGGUACAACAGAAAGUGUUAAGUUUGUGUCCUUCGCUAGAUUGGUCCGGUCAUUAGUGUGGAUAAGUAUGUAAAUGGAUAGGGACAGGGAAGCAAACACAAGAUGUAUGUGGUUCACCCAGAUUGGCUAUGUCCAUGGAGUGGAAGAGUUCUCAUUAAUUGUGAAGGGUUUACACAAGUACAUAGGUUCAAGCUCUCCUUUAGUGAGUACAAGUGAAUGAUUUAGUACAAAUGACAUUAGGAAAUAUUGUGGGAGAAUGAUCUCCUUUUAUAGAAUAGUUUCUAGCUUUGUUCUGACAUUGACACGUGUCAUGCUGUGAUUGGCUUUUGAUGUUGACAUGUGUCGCAUUGUGAUUGGCCUCCUGGUUUGAGGGAAACUCUUCUGGGUCCUUGACAGUAUAACGUUGACAGGUGCUCAGUAGUUUCGGGAUUGGUCAAGUAUGGUACAAACAAAGUCACUGAAAACUUCGAAGGAGUCACCCAGACAUCCAACGACUUUUCUAAAUCAAAUCUCAGAGAUUCCCAAAACUAUCGUUCACAAAUACACUAAAAACUAAGGCUAGAGUGACACAGUUUGGCCAAAGCCUACAUAAGUAACCAAAUAAGAAGUGGCCCCCCCAUAGCGGAUUAAUCAAGUAGAGCCACUCCUGAGAAAGUAACCAAGUAGGUAGUGACCCCAUCACGAAUUAACCAAGCAGAGUCACUCCUACGAAACUGUUAGGUAGUGAUCACCCAUCGCGGAUUAACUAAGCAUGAUCACCCCUAAGUACGUAUGGCCAUACCUAAGAAAUAAGGAUCGCCCAUCGCGGAUUAACUAAGCAUGAUCACCCCUAAGUACGUAUGGCCAUACCUAAGAAAUAAGGAUCGCCCAUCGCGGAUUAACCAAGCACAAUCCAAAAAUAUUAUGGGUCCCCUAUCGCGGAUUAACCAAGCAGGACCAUCCAUGUACCACUGCUACAUGGUGCAGAUUCGGUGUCACCUAACCCCGUGACACUAGGGUAACGGUCCUCUACUAGCCCUCACGUUUUUCAAACAUUUCAAAUAUAUAAUUUAAAACACAAUUCAUAAACAUUUCGAAUAGGGAAGUCACAUAGUGUUUAAUAAUGUAGGUCAAUGGAAAACUUUAAAAACAAUUAUUUAGCAUAAAACAUAUUUUAGAAAUCCAUGCUGUAUCCACAAAGUAUACUAGCACGGGAGAUUUUCAGGGUAAUAACUCUAUCACAUAUAUUAAAGUCACUCACCUGGAGUCCGCACUAACGCACCCUAGCACGAAUAUCAAGAUGUCACGUACUAUCAUUUGUAACAUCCCACAUCAACCAACAGAGAGGGGGUGAUGUGUCUUAUAUGUACAUGCCCACCUCUAUAGCACGAGGCUUUUUGGGAGCUCAUUGGCUUCAUAUUCCAUCGGAACUCCAAAGUUAAGCGAGUUUGGGCGAUAGUAGUCCAAGGAUGGGUGACCCACUGGAAAGUUCUCGUGUGAGUUCCUAGAAACAAAACCGUGAAGGCGUGGCCAGGGGGGCCAAAGUGGACAAUAUUGUGUUACGACGGAAUUAAGACUGAGAUGUGACAGAAUGGUAUCAGAGCCGCUCUGCCGCGUGGUGCAAGUGUGCCGAAGAGGACAUCGAGCCCCUAAGGGGGGUGGAUUGUAACAUCCCACAUCGACCAACGAAGAGGGGGUGAUGUGCCUUAUAUGUACAUGCCCACCUUCAUUUAGCACGAGGUCUUUUGGGAGCUCACUGGUUCCGGGUUCCAUCGGAACUCCGAAGUUAAGCGAGUUCGAGCGAGAGCAUUCCCAUGAUGGGUGACCCACUGGGAAGUUCUUGUGUGAGUUCCCAGAAACAAAACUGUGAGAGCAUGGCCGGGGCCCAAAGCGGACAAUAUCGUGUUAUGGCGGAGCCGAGAUUGGGAUGUGACAUCGUCACCUAAGACAAAGUACAAGUCCACAUUUAGAGUUCUUCGAGUAUUCACAUAAUCAAAAAUUUACAUACGCACCCUACAACUAAUGAAGAGAAAUCGAGACACGUUGACAAAAAGUCAACCGUCGAUCAACGGUAGGGUCCACAACCCUACGUAACUUAAUCCGUAAGAUCCAGCCACUGUAUUUGUGAUUCAUAAGUUCCUAAGGUCCUCAAAUCUUACGUACAAUAACAUACUAAACUUUAGUGACGAUCUAAUGGUCGAAUCAUCAUUUACUAUAAUGUUCAAAUGACGCAAAUUCGUCAAUCGGAUGUCAAAUAUGGAAUCGGUCAUCGAAUUUAGCCUAGGAAGAUCAAGUGGUGUCUCAAGCCACGCACCACCAUGCGCAGCAGUUGGCAACCCAGAUUCGUCGAAAAAAUCACCUGAUUCCAAAAUGAAUGUCGUGAGACGUGGAGUAAAUUGUAUACCUGUGAGAAGCCCAAUUUGGCCAGGAAGUGGCCUGAAAUCACUUUAGACCGUCGGAAACCCUAAAAUAGGUGAAUCUCGAUUAGUCAUCUCUGGUAUUCCACCGUCCUCAAACUUGUUUAGGGUUCUCAAAAAAAUGCUAAUGAUGAUGGUGAUUGAAGGAGAACGUUUCAGAAAUAGUGAAUCGCCGGCGAGGGUUUCACGGAAUCGACAUGGGUGUUCCUCGUGGAACCAAGACCAAAUCUCAACGGUUUUGGCUAGAAAUGGAUGCUGGGAUGUCGUGGUGAGGUUUGGUAUUGAUGGGAGGUCGAAGAAAGUCAAAAAAAUCGACGAAAAAACUGUCGUCGGAGUCACAGGAAACGUGUUAGAAAAAUGAGUCGCCGAGUUUGAAACGGGUCGAAGGCUUUUGGGACAGCUACUUAAUCUCUCUUCUCUGAUUAGUCACUCCACUCACUCUCUCAUUUGAUUGGUCCAGCCUUCCCACAUGGUGGGAGUUCCCUCAUAUAGUAACCCAAAAUUUACUAUUUAAAUUUGGUAUCAAACGUCCGUAACUUUUUUGUUAUAGUUCCGAUUCACAAACGGCUUUCGCCUACGCGCUCGUAUGAUCGAAUUAUACUUGAAAACAUUAAUUGUGACCUUAAAAAGGUCUACAAGUUUUAAAAGAUUAAUUACAAAAAUUCACACCUUGUAACUAUACGAUUCAAAUUCUAAAAUUAACGGAAUUAAAAUAAACUAAAAAUAAUGUAAACACGAAAUACAGACUUUAAUAAUGAAAUACGUAAUUAAUAGUGGAAUUCUGGGGAUGGGAUUUCACACCUUGCGUCCGGACCUUGAGUGCGGAUCAGAAUCCAAAGGUCGUGAUCUGACGAGCUCAUGUAUAGAACAGAGUUGUUGUGACCCAAUGCAAUUCAAAACUUUUAUGUUUUUUUAUUUACUGGGUACGUUUUUGUAGGAGGAAAAGGGGAAGUCGAGGGAUUCUUUGCGCAAUAAAGAGGGAAAGAGAGAAAAGGGGAGCUAAGAGGUUCUUCGCGCGUUAAAUUUUUGCUUCUGAUUUUGCAACCUAGAAAUAAAGUAUUUUCUUUAUGGUUUAUGGUUCAAGAAUAUAAUGGAUGCAACCUAAAAAUGUUUAUUUUUUUAUUUUUUACUUUUUUUCUUCUUAUGUUGGCUUUUGGUUUAUUCUUAUAAUGCACUAUAUAUUAACUAAAUUUAUAAACAUUUUGUAUCUUUGUUGCAGUCAAAUUAAUCAUAUGGGUUGGCAUGACGAAGUUCGACUGAGACAUACAGAUGUUUUGCAAUCUUAAGUCUAACCUGACACACCCCGACCUCAAUAUCCAGUGGACACCAAAAUUGAGGUGUGAUGGCCAUCAUCCGGAUGGGUGACGAAACCAUUAUAUGCAUGAAAACAUAAUUACCCAAACACGUCUUAUUAAAAUAUUGAGUAAAUACCAUACAAGAUAGAAUACGUCAGAGCUGUUGCAAAAUACCUCAACGUCCGAUGUAAUCACUGAUAGAAUUACUGAAUCAUGUAUAAAUGGAAAGCUGAUAAAUACAUGUAAUUUGAGUGGAUACUUACCAGCAGCAUGGAUACAAUAUCAUCCACCAGUCGUAACUAGUGAAAGUUGGAUAAUAUAAUCAUGUCAUUGCCGAGUAAUCUCAAGGCAAUGACAAGAUGAGAAUGUAACUGAGUAAUCAUAUCAUUACUAAAUAAUCUCAAAGUAAUGACAAGCUAAGAGUAUAACCGUAUAAUCAUGUCAUUACCUCGUAAUCUCAAAAUAAUGAUAAGCUGAGAGUAUAACUGUAGUACCUCUUAUUAGUGCAAUGCAUGAUAUGAAUUCCAUCUCACAUAUAUAUGCAAGCCAUAAUCAAACCAAUAAACAUCCAACAAAAGCCACAAUCCUUUUAACAUUCGACCACAAGAUCAAUUUUCAUAUUUCCCAAACCUAGGUUCCAAAGCAUUGUUUCGAAUUAUUAAUACAAGAAACCACCACCACCUCAAUCAACUCCUAUUCACAAGUGUAAGCAAUUACUAAAUGCAUCACUUUCGACUCUAGUCUUAAUUAGAUUACUUGGGAUACUCACACCAUCAGAUCCAAGUACUAUUUUGAUAAACUUUAAAUAGCAUGGUUAAAAUAAAUGAAACACUUUUAGAAAAUAAGUGAAGAUGUUGUUUACAAAUAUAGAUGCAUCUGUAUAUAAAAGCUUUGGCGGUUGAUCCGUAUACACACUUCCAGAGAUAUAAGCAAGUUCAUUGGAAUAUACAUACAUAGUUAAUGUAUUACAAUAUAAUUAAUAAGAAAACAAUUGCAUCCCUUUCAGAUUAUAUAUAUAUAUAUAUAUAUAUAUAUAUAUAUAGACACACACAUACAUACACACAGGCCCUUUAUGCAAAGGAAUUUCCAUUUUUUUUCAAAAAUGGGGAUUAGUUGUGGGGCCCACGCUGCAUUGAACUUUAACGAUCCGAACAGUCUAUUUUGUAAGUCUCGAUUCAUAGAUCAUCCUUGUAAAAAUUCAAUUCAAUCCGAACCCAUUUGCCUAUUUAAUUAUCAAGAUAAAAUUUUAUUGUUUCUUAUAUAACAAAGUAUUCGUUAAUUUCUUUGAACUCAAUUAGAUAUCUUAAACAUUUCCGAUUUGGUUAAUAUUGUGUAAGGAUGAUCUAUGUGGUGCAACUUGAAAAAUAGACGAUUACGAUCGUUAAAGUUCGAUGUGGUGAGAACCCUACAAUUAAUCUUCAUUUUUAUAAAAGAAUGGGAACCCCUUCCCUUAAAGGUUUCCUAUGUAUAUAUUUGUUCUCCAGACAUAUGCAAAAGGUAAUGUAAAACCAAUGAGAACUUAAAUAGAUAUUCCAUACAUAGGACAAUUCCAUAUAUGCUUUUUCAACAUUUAUAUCGAAAAGCCAAAUUGUUUUGAGGAAAUUAAUUGUAGCAAUGAUCCCUUAACUUUUAUCUUAUUGGAGCAAUGGUCUCUCAACUAAAAAUUCAUAACCAUUGGUUCCUUAACUCCACACAACGUGUAGUUAUGGUCAUUUUCAUUAACUCCGUCAGAACUUUUGUUAAAACAAGUAAUGUUAGAAGAAUCAUUGCUACAAUUAAGUUAAAGUUGGGGACCAUUGCUCUAAUUAAAUUAAAAUUGAGGGAUCAUUUCUCCAAAUUGCUUAAAGUUCAAGGACCAUUUCUACAAUUUUCUCAUCUAGUUUCCCAUAUUUACCCCAUGAUUCAGCUUCACAUGCAUUGCACAUGACUCAUUUUGAAAUUUUUUUUAACGAAAUUGAUGAAAAUGACCAUAAAUGCACGUUUUGAAGAGUUAAGAGACCAAUGGUCGUGGAUUUUAGUUGAGGGAUCAUUGCUCCAAUUUAGUUAAAGUUAAGGGACCCUUGCUACAAUUUUCUCAAAUGUUUUGUAUGCGAAAAUAGGCAUUUGUAAAGUUUGGCUUGUUCAUGGCAUUAUUACUUUAGUCUAAAGUAAGGCUGGAAAUGGCACUGUAGAAAUGAAUAGUGUUCCAAUCCGAAUUUCAGUUUAAUUACAACAAUGCCAUUGCUCUUUGUGUUGCCUUUAGGUGAGCAGCCCGGCUUGCAGCCAGGCCCAAAUGUAUUGGUUUUAGCUGAGAAGCCCGGCCCUUAGUCAAGCCCAAAAUUUUAAAUUACAGUUUUGCCCAUACAAAAUAACAAUCCGAUUGUAUCGAGAAGGACAAUUUUGUCCUUUCAGUUUUGGGUGAGAUAGGGGGUAACAGGGUAAGUUUCAUUUGCUGUCGUUGAAUGAGGGUUUCGAGGAUGAGGGCUCUGUGUGUGUGGGUGUGUGAGAGAGAGAGAGAGAUAGAGAGAGAUAGAGAGGGAUAUGGCGAUGGAAGGAGAGCGAGGGGGAAGGGAAGGGUUCUCGGCACUGUUGCUGCAUGUGAAUUUCACAAGUGGGAGAGUGGGUAUGGUCAGAGAAGACCAUAUAGGUCGUUGGGAUUUCAGGGAAACGGGGUAGGGGUCAUGAAUGAACCCUGCUGAGAGUGGGUACUGGAUCUUGCGCUGCAUGCCUCAAAUCAAAGAUAAGUUCGUUUUUUUUAUUGUAUUUUUUAUGGUAGCUUAGCUUUUGGAAUUGUUUAGUAUGUUAGGUCCGAUUUUGGGGGAUUUAUCUUUUUAGAGAGAGAGAUGGACAGGGAGAUAGAGAUAGAGAGAGAGAGAGAGAGAGAGAGAGAGAGAGAGAUGAGGAAGCAUGACUGUGUGCAAUUUUUUAUGUUAAUUAAUGGGUUGGUGCGCAGGGUGAGUGACAGAGUGACAGAGUGAAGGAGGGACGUGUGGGAGGGUAUGAGUUUUCAGUUCUUUCUUUUGAUUCAACAGGUUAUACACUGUUUGAAAAACCUUUUUUUUAUUAUUUUGUUCUCGUUUGCUUUGUUAAAACCAUCAUUUGAAUUUUUGGGUUUCAUUGUGCUUAUUUCUCUGCUUCUUCAUAAUUUGCUGGUGUUUGCUUCUCAUCCCUCUGUUGGUAGAUCUUUUUCUCAUUUCUUGGUUCCUUAUGUAUUCUUUGGUACAAAUCUGUUUACUUUUUGGCUGUGUGAUAAUCUUAGCAGGUGAACUAUAUGAACGUUUUUUUGAAACGAGUUAAGAAGAUCCAGCUGAAAAGAGCAUACAAGAUAGAGAACUGGUAUGCUGCUCGCCAGGGAAAGGCUGCUGGAAAGGUUGAGACGGAUGCCUCUUUCAGAAACCAGGUCAGUUUCCUGCUGCUCGGCGUCUUAAUGUAUCCAAAUUGUUUAUCUUUUGAUGAAAUUAGCUGGCUAUAUUUUCUAUUUUAUUUAUCUGCAUAUUAUUUUGGUUUGUUGAAAUUUUGACUAUAGUCAUUGUCACAUGGGCGCCUAGCCCAACCCAAAUUAGUUGAGGAUAUUUAAAUCUUCACCAUGGUAUUAUAGUACUCACUCACAGUUGUGAAUACUAAGGUGCAUGCAUGGCAUGAAGAAGUGGACCGUGCACGCCAAGGUCAGAGGGAUGCAGAAGGCAAGCUUUUUUCUUUGGAGGUAAGUAUCCUUUGUUUAUUGCCCAACAGUGUUGUUAUUAUCAAUUUGUAGCUUUGCGUUCUGAAUUUUUUGCUUUGUCAAACAACCUUCUUGAAAUGCUCGAUUUCAAGCCGAAGUCCAAAAAAUGAAAGUUGAGAUGGCUUCCAUGAAGAGGGAUGUAGAGCAUUACUCGCGCUAGGUGAAAUCUGCUUCCUCUCUUUUCGUAUAUCUUCAUAUGAAGAGUUUUACUAAGUUAUAUUGAGAACUAUGUUAUUUAUAGGUUAUAUUUUCCAUUUUGCAGGAACACAUGGAGCUAAGGAAGAGCUAUCGUGAACUCACUGAUCUACUGGUAAUGUCACUCAAACUGCUUUAUUUGUGCAUGCUGCUACUAUGCGCUUGAAUGCAUUUUAUUACUGGCGGGAUGCGAAGAAAGCUAGAUAUAUGUGCUGGAUCGCUUGAUUAAUGUUAGGGUUUUAACAACUAAUUGUUAGCAGCUAGAAGCCCUGGUUAGAUUAAUGCUAAUUUGAUUUUCCUUACAGUACUUGAGUGCCAGUUUCAUAUUGUUUGUUCCCUGUUGGAUACCUGCUGUACAGUUUCAUUUCUGUUUCUUCAUAACUUUCUUGGCCCUGGGAUAUAUGCAUAUUGAGUACAAUGAAUAUCCAUUGUUCUCUAACUGUUGGGCUUUACUAUCUUUGUAGCAGCCUGCCUAACAUUUUUUAGGCUCUACACUCUACCAUCCAAUUUAUGAAAAAUUCAAAGAUUGGACGAUAUUGAUUGCAGAAAUGAAAAAAAUACUAUGAUAUUAGAAAGGUGAAUGUAAUUGUGUUAGAAUAAGCGUCUAGCAUGAUGGGUAAUAUUUUAAGUUUGUAUUUCUAAAAUUUUUUCGUUCUGGAGUAUGAUUUACCUCAAUUGUUUUGUACUUUAAUCUUUACUAAUUUUCAUUGUGGAGUAUGAUUUGCCUCAACUAACAACUUUUCAUUGUUUAACUUUUUCCUCCCUUAGAUAGUUGCAUAUGUUUGAUUUGUUAAUCUGCUUCUUACACAUGUUGUUUCCUAAUGGUGUAGGUGGGUUGUCGGAUGCAUGUGCAGAUUACUUGAAUAGACGAAGCUAAGAAUGACUUAGUAUUAAGUGAGACAGAAGCUUGGGUCAGUUGGAUUUUGACAUUUGAUUUAUUCAUGUUUUUUGUUGCUUGCAAUGUUCUCGCAUUGUUUGUUCUGAGAUUCUGUGAUCUUAUUUUUCAUAGGAACUGACAUUGGUUUGCCAUAUAAUGUUUCAGGAACUAAUACAACAACUAAUCACCUUGCUUAGCUCUCAAGACACAUACUUAACAGGUUAACAAACACUAACCUAUAAACUGAUCUGCUAAGCUGGACCAUUAACCUCUGUUUAUAUCCCUGCCACUCAUCUUUUGGCACUUAUCAAUAGCAAAAUCUAGAGUUGUUGAAACCCCAAUUUUAAUGAAUAUUAUUUUUAGUUGAUAAUUAAAAUUAAUUGAUGAUUAAUCUAUUCCAUUGUGCAUUAUUUUAUCGCCAAAUACUUUGAAUAUUCAUUAGCAAAAGAUAUAGGGUUCACUAUUUAAUGAAUAGAAUUUUGAUGGUGGAUUGCAUUUCCUGAGUUAUAAAUGUGGUGAAUCCAUUAUUUACUAGCUGAAUAAUCAUAAUGUUUUGGCCACUUACCUUGAAUUUUGUUCAAAUUGAAGAAGUCACAUGUUUCUUUCUGUUGUUGAGGUAAUCUCUCUGUUGAAAGCUUCUAUUUCUUUUUUUUUUUUCUUUUUUUCAUUUGGGUAGAUUUUUUUUUUUAUGGAUUUAUGUAUUUUUUUUCCAGAGAAUUCGAAAUGAAAUAAGAAUAGCGGAUUGAGCAUAAACAAAUUGAUGAAAUUUUUAUUUGAGUGUUUGUGUUAGUCCUUUUUUGAUUUGUUGAGGUUUGGAAUUAUUUGAGUUUUUUUGCUGUUAGUACUAUGAAGGAUGCUUGGCAAUCGCGAAAUGGGGGCUACCUCUUUGGAAAGAGAAGUCUCGCUAUCCAACCUCUCAUGAAUUACAAACAGGGUGAUUUCUUGCUGAAAAACCACUGAACCAGUAGAACUUUCCUCGGUUCUUCAAUUCGAUUCGAAUAAUUUUUUUACCCAGAAAAGCCAGCGUUUCCUGGUGGGUUUUACAGCUUUCUCAAUGUUUUUGUGAUUUUGGAUUUGCAAAUUUGUUUUCUGUUCAAAUUUCCUUUUGUGAUUUUGGAGGUUUUGUUUAUCGAUUCUCUCACUCAUCUCUCAGCUCUCUCUCACUUUUGAGGUACAUGCCGUUGGAUUCCGUUUGCUGCUGCUGAUCUGUAGGUAAAGCUUCAAUUACCAUAUAAAGUUUACAUUUUUCAUGAUUUCUUGAAUUUGGGUUUUAAACAAAGGAAAUAUUGCUAGAUUCUUAUCUUAUGUGCAAAUUACUGGCUAUUUGGAUUGGUGCCUGAGAUUUAGAGAAUGCCUCGCAGCUUUAAUUUCUUUUUCCUUCAUUAUUACUGUUUUCAAAAUUUUUAUUGCUGGGUAUUGAUAAUUUGUAGUAUGUGAGGGCUUCAAUAUGUUGGAAUUUUGAAUGGUUAUUGCUUCAUCGGAAUUUGGGUGGUCCAAAUUUUGAAUUAGAAGAAACCCAUUUGAUUAAUAUUUUUGGUGGAUUGGUUCUCUGUGUUUUCCUUGCUAUUUCUCCCCCAGUUGGAAAUUGGAAGCCCCAACUUUGAGCUCAGAGCUUGAAUUUCUCAAUCGUUCGUUUCUCUGCACUCUCAUCAAUCACUCUUGAUCCUCUAUCUAAAGAACUGGGUAAUUUUCCAGCUCUAUCAAGUAAUACUCCAUUUAAUUGCUUAAUUGAGGUUUUUUGUUUCUCUUUUUCGCUCUUUCAUCAGUUCAUUGACUUUGAUGUUGAGCUUAAGUAAAUGGGAGAUCAUUAAUUGGCAUUGUUCAAGAUAUAAUUCUGUGUUUUUGGAUUUGUGAAACGAUUUGCCUAAUGAUGAUAGUGGUUAAAAUAAAUUUUUCGUUAUGAAGAGAACAUUGUUCUUCAUUUGCCUACGGUUUUAACUACAAAGUUAAACUACUAUGCUUUUGUUCAAUUGACUGCAACUCAUGCCGCAGUUUGCUUCACAAACCUCUACGGUUAGCUUCCAUACAGUAUGUUGCAAGUUUGAGGAUAUCUUUACAUCUUAAUUUUUGCUCUCUCUGGUUGCUUCAAGUUUGUAAUUUUACGUGUUACAUUGCUACUUGAUUUGAUUAUAAAAAUGCAAAACAAAAUCCGUUUUGCUUUUAUUCAACUUAAAUGUAUCCUUUUGUUUGUUCAUAAUUGUGUUGAAUUUAUUCAACUUAAAUGUGUUUUAUUCAUCUAUUUACGCUUAAAACAACUGGUUCCCCUAGCAAUGCGCGGGCCUAAUUUCUAGUACAUAUACUAAAAGCCAGCAGAAAAUUACUGUUCAUCAUGGGAGAUAGAGCACUGUUCAUUAACAGUGAAAGGGCGAAAAUGCCCUCGGUUUCUUCUUUACUUCACGUACUGUUUACGAAUUGCUACAGUAUAAAGUCCGUUUUGUCCUUCCUGUCCACACAUCUUUCAUCGUCCGUUUCUCUUGCUUCGACCGUAUCUUUUUUGCUUUACCUUUCCUCUUCAUUUUUCGCAUUCGUUAGGCUGCGAUUUUCGGAGGUGGAUUGUUUGCCCUCCCAUUUCCAUGCUCUCCCCAUGCCUAUGUGGUCACAGUUAAACCACGUCAAUAUUUUAUAUUAAUUUUUUAUAAAAAUAAUAAAACAAAAAGUAAUAAGAAUAUAAAAUAUUGACGUGGCUUAACGUGGUCCGUGAUCACAGUAGGCAUGGAAAUGGUCCGCGACUUUCUCCCUUUUCGCCAGCCCCUCUUUUGCUCUCAAAUCCUUGCUCUUUCUUUUGCAAAAUAGUCUCAGAAGAGAUCCUGGGUUUAUCGAAUCCUUUGUUGUUCGGCGUUUUGUUCUCAUCUUGUGAUCGUCGGGUCAGCAGCUUUAAGGUAAGUUUGUUUUUAAUGAUUUAUCCUCAUUUUACGAUGUCUGGGCUAACAAAUUUAAGAUCUUUAUUUUUCUUUUUGCUGCGGAUCUGCAGGUUUUGACAAGUUUUUUGUGAAAUUGGUGCUGUCAGUGGGUGUUAACAUCAGGUACCCAUGUUCAGUUUUUCGUUUUGAUUUGAAGGAAUUUCUUGCGCAGAAGUGCUAGGGUUUCUUGGUGAGUUCUUCGGGUUGUGCAUAUGGGUAAUUUUCUUUUCGGUUUAACCCGCUGCUUCUGCUGCUCUCUCUCUUUCUCUCAUCCCUGCCUGCUCCUCUCCAAUUGUUUGCUGUUCUUAAAUAUUGUGUUCAUUGCCUGAUACAAGGAGCUGCAGCAAUCUGUUUUAUCCUACACGGGACAACGAGGCAAUGGCGUGACAACAGGUGAGCUUGGAUAUCCAAAGAAAGAGAACAGUUGGUUCAUCUGCUGGAGUCUGAAGCUCAGAGAAGUGGAGGAAAAUUGCAGGUGUGCGAGAAAUUUUAUUUUGCUGAUAGGACUCCUUAUUUACGGAUGCAUUUUGAAAUAAUUGAAAAGUUGGAUUUGAGUUAACAGCUAUAAAAAUGUAGACAUGAUUGCUGAGAUUAUGCUAUGAAAGUGGAAUAAAAAAAUGGUAGUUUAUAAUAUUGCGUACCAAUUUUUUUCUCUCUUUUUUACCAAAUGAUAAGGGUGGUGGCUCAGGCCGCCCCCCCUACGCGUCCCCACUCUUCGACAAGUUGAAAUCAUGGUGAUAGUUUAUGGGCUGUGGUCUUGGGAUUCUGCAAAUAGAUUAAAAAACAGACACUUAACUAUCUUGUUAUUAAACAUUUCUGCAUCAUUCAGUUGCUCUUGAUUUUCGUCUUUUAAGCGAUCUUAUUUCUGCGAUCUGACUUGAGGAGGGUUUUUAGACCUAUGGUUGUGGGUGUUUUGUCUGACCCCAUUAAAUUGGUUUCCGAGAUUUGUAGACUUGCGAUCGGCAGUCAAACAUUUUGUGAUUCUUGCUUUUUUUCCGACUGGGAUUGACGAAUUUUGGCCGAAUCUGUUUCCUGUUUUCUUCUCUGUUUGAGCGGCCGCUGCCUUUCGGUCGUUGAGCGCCGGCAGUCUUUAGAUCUUUGGCAAAUCAAUUUAAUACAACCGAGGUAUGUUUUAUAACUGCUGUCUUUCAAUUUUUGUUCUGUAUUUUUGUUAAUUUGGAUGAAGCUCUAAUAAUUUUGUUUUGGAUCAGUUGUGGUCCUCUGUUAGGAUUUUCCUGGCUAAGAGGGUAUUUGCGUUUUUGUUGCUUGGUUGGUCGAUCACAGAUUUACGAACAGCUGUGGUGGUCCUGUUAUUUUUUUGGUAUGUUUUUUCUCCUUUUUGGUUUUUUCCCGGUUUGAGCACCCAUUCAUGAAGAAUUAAAAUGUGUUUAUAGUUUUUCAGGAGAGAUUAGAAAAGUGAUUUCAAUUUGGGAAAAUUUAAUGUUGGUUAAAAUUUGUCUAUAAUUUUUGGGAAGGAAUGAGAGGACCCAUUGAAGUAUGUGUUGUGAUUAUUUUUUAUUCAUAUUUUUAACAAAUUGGGCAUGAAUUGGUAGGUUAACUGUGUGUGUUUAUUAUUUGAAUCGGCCAUGUUUGUCUUUCUAUGGUUCUAAAAAAUUUGUAAAGGCUGUUAACUUGGAAGAAAAUGGGAUCGAGGGUGAGGGGAAAACGGCAGAGAAAGCAUGGAAGAGAGAUUUGGGAUUAGGGGUAGGAAAACAGAUGAAAAGAAUAUGAUAGAGGAAUGAGUUCAGUUCAUUUUCACUAUUUUUUUUAACUGAUUUGGAUUUUGUUUGGGUUUGAGGCCAUCAUUGGCGUUAAGACGUUUAUUAUCAGAUCGUGUGUGUUUUUUGCUAACUUUUAUUGGUCAUUUUUAUGUUGUUCUUAUGAUUUUGUGUGGUAGGGUUUCUGAAUUUUAUCGUUAUUCAUUUGGUUUUUUGUGUGUGUUGGUUUGUUUAUUUUGCAGGUUGUGUUUGUGCUGGGACAACAUUUUCCACCUUCUGUUUGCACUGGGAUGAUUGCGUUUUAAAACUGUUGGGGUGAGAUUUACAUAUGGAAUCAUUCCAUUUUUUUUCUUCCAAAUAUGUGCAUUUAGUUCUUUUUAUUUUAAAUUUUAAAAAUUAAAUCGUUAUUUGAGUAAAAUGUUUUAUUAAUUUAUGUUAUGUGUUGUGAUCAGGAAUUCUGUUGGAUUUGCAAAUUUUGGUUUGAUGAGAGAGAUGAGGAGUUUUUUUUGUUUGAAUUUUUUAUUGGACCGAUUUUCAAUUGGAUUGCAUUCUGCCUUUUUGCACCAUUCUUAUGCAAGCAAUUCAUUGUUUUAAAUACAAUUUGAAGAGAGCUGGGUUGCGGGUUGGAUAUAAAAUGUUAAGGUGAGAUAAAAUCGAGAUACCAAGGGUGGAAGAAUGAUUCAGAAUUGGGGGAGGAAAACAGAGGGAAGAUGGAAGAGUAUAAGAGAAGGAUAGGGUUGACCUCAUUUAGAGUUUUUAUUUACUUUUUUUUUUAUUAUUUAUAAAUUGAUUCAGGACUAGCAUAUCAUUUCUAAAUUUCUAACAUUUUUGUUUAAUUUGACUCCAGUUGAUGGAAAACAGAGCUCUUACUCCUAUCAAUCAGUUGGUCCCGUACAUAAAUGCAGAAAAAUCAAGGUUCGAGUUUGCAGAGUAUGCAGACCAAGGUUUCCUGAAACUACUGGUGCUGUCACGCCCCAAUCCCGACCUAUGUCCAGGAUCGACACGUGACGUUAACAAAUACCCAUAUCUCUAACAUACCCCGCCUCCGGAAUAUGGGCAAAGCACAACUGCGUAAUAAUUUUUCGUAUACUUUAUGGCUGCAUCUAACAUCCUCGUUAGAUUAUCAUACCUUAUGGCUACAUCUAACAUCCUUGUUAGACUGCCUACGUACUCUCAAAAGGGAUCAAACCAUUCGUAGUUCACCACACUCCAAUCCACAAAAAUUUGCACAUGCACUGAUUAUAAAAUGGAACUGCACCUAUAGAAACCUAAUCAUAACCCGUGGGCGAUUUGCUCCCACAUAAGAAAGACGUCCACAGUACCAUGAAAUACUUCCACAUCUUUCCUUCCCAUUUACACAAUAUUUUAUUUCACCUCCCUGAUAAAUAUAGCAUUUACAUUACAUGUGGCAGACAAAUUUGCAUAUUCAACUAUAAUAAAAUACAAUCUUAGUAGGAAAAACCUACAAGACCACCACUCGUUUGAGCCAAACUUUAGCUUAGCACUCAACUGGUGCUCACACCAUGUGAGUGCACGAUCCUUUAAGAUGGAUGCGAUGGUUCUCUUUUGAGAUUAAUUUUGUUACAGGUAUAACAUAGUUGGCAACCGUUUAGAAAUAGAUGCCUCAUGUUCAAAACUCUCAUUACCAAAUGUUCUAACAAGUUAGUAGAGAAGGUAAAAGAACCCAAAUGGCGAGAAAUAGUGUCCUGAUGAAACAAAAGAUGUAACCCUCAUUCAAGCACGAACAUCAUUUCCUUGAGAAUCUGCGAUUUCUUCCCUCAUUUGGUCAAUAUAGCUUGUAUUCCAACUGCAACUUACUAAUAGCAUUUGUUCUCUCCUCGAAUGAAACCAUAACCAGCCAUUUUAAAUAAAGCUGAACAGUUUCACGUUGGGAAAAUAAAGAUUAUAACAUACAGGUUUUGGAUUAGAUUCCCAAACCAACAGAAAAUUAAGAUAGGAAUCUAUUUUGGGUUAACUGAGGUAUGAGUGGUAUACAAAUGAGAAAUUCCCUACAAAAGUCAAUAAAACCAGUUACAUAACAUGUUGAAUAUAAUACAACAUGAAAUAAGAAGCACCACUUGUUUAUCUGACUUUUUAUACAUGUAUUUUCCUAAGGGAUAAAAACGUGCGGGUUUUGGGAUCAAUCUGAAGAGGGCUUCACCACGAAUACAUAGCCUUUGACCGUGCAUGAUUUCGUUGCCGUAUGAGAAAGUUAUCAUUUUUUUUUUUUGUGAAGAAGAAUUAAGGGGGAGAAGAACAGCUGCCCCCUCUGUUUCUGCAUCUGCCCAGCGGGGAAAGAAAAAGAAGAGAAGCCCUUGGCUUCUAGAAUACUCCCUCCCCAAAAUUACAAUUUUGCUCUCUAACUUUGAUUGUUUAUAUCUUAUUCGUUAUAACUCUGUUUCACGAACAGCUUUUGCUUACAUGCUCACAUAGUCGUCAUCUAUUUAAAUAUAUCAAGAAAUACAAUAAAAUACAUCCUCGUAUAAGUAUGUUAACCAAUUAGGGCACUUUCGUCAUUUCCACUUAUCGAUAGAUUUUAACACGUUAAUUAUAAUAAUGUCCGGAAACAGCUUUAAAAUUUCCAAAUUCUAUUUCCAUAACCAUAAAUCGAUUUAUUAAUUUUUCAGGGUAUCACAGGUGCAUAUUCAGGCUUGCAUUGUAUAUUACUUUCCUAUUAAAAAUUUGUUUGGAAUUUGCUUUUCCCACAAAGGAGAAGAGCUGACAGUUACGCUGUGGGCAGAUGUUGCUCGAAGUAUUGCUUCUUUAUCCAUUGAAUCAUUGUCUCUGCCGAUCUUUGCGGUUUUCACAAGUUUAAAGGUCAAGCUGUACCUAGGUGUUUGACUUAAUUAAAAACUAAUCUAUUUAUUUCGGAGGCGGAGCAAAAUGCUAUCUGUCUUACCCCUCUUGGUGAUCUUAGUCGGAAAGAUCGGCUAGUUUGGGAUGUGAGUAAGAAUGGGCAGUACUCGGUUCGAUCGGGCUAUCAUUGGCUGCAAUCUAGGUCUGUUGGGUUCAGGGAUCAACGCCAGCUUGGUGCUUGCUUAGUUCCGAGGCAUUUGUGGCGCAUGGUUUGGUAGUUGAGUGGGCCUCAUAAGCUCCGUCAUUUCUUUUGGUUAUCUUUGCAUAAUGCAUUACCGUCAUUUCUUUUGGUCCGUGACCAGGCAUGAGGAGAGCAUGGAAAUGAGAGGGCAGACAAUCCACCUCCGCGACUUUCUCCCUUUUCGCCAGCCCCUCUUUUGCUCUCAAAUCCUUGCUCUUUCUUUUGCAAAAUAGUCUCAGAAGAGAUCCUGGGUUUAUCGAAUCCUUUGUUGUUCGGCGUUUUGUUCUCAUCUUGCGAUCGUCGGGGUAGCAGCUUUAAGGUAAGUUUGUUUUUAAUGAUUUAUCCUCAUUUUACUAAACUAUUUAUGGUAACUUAGUAUGGUAACUUAACUAAGUAAGUUUGCUUUUAGCCCAAGGGUUGGAGAUGGUCUUAGUAUGGUAACUUAACUAUUUAAUUCCAUCUCAUUAAACUAAAAAAAACAAUUACAUAAAAAUAAGGGAAACCUUGUCCAGAGAGACCUGAGAAAGUCCACCCCUAAGGACUUUGCGCCAGCACCCAGCGUAUUUAUCUACUCAAGUGAACAGUAAUAGACUGGAGUGAACAGUAAUAGGCCAAGGCAUCUCCACCCCUAAAAAAAUGCGCUGGCACCCAGUGCAUUUAUUUGGUGUGUUUUUUUUUUAAAGUUUAUUUCAGAUAAGAUUUUUAACCAAUUUCGGAUAAAAUUUCAAAUAAACUUAAAAAAAAACACUCUAAAAUAAAAUUACAUACUCAUCAAAUAAACUUAAAAAAACACACUAAAAUAAAAUUACAUAAACUCAUCAAAUAAAUUAAGGAUGAGCUUUUUGGUAUUUUUUUUUCACACAAAAAGUAUAUGAAAGCUUUGGUAGAAGGUCUAGAAAAUAUUGAAAUGUGGUGUAAGGUGGAAGAUGAGGGUUAGGUAUUUAUAGAAAAAAAAUAAUAACUUUUUUAAAAUUUUACUGUAUUUUAAAAAAAAAUCUGUAUUUUUUUAUAUUUUUAAUUAAUUUUAAUGUAGUUAAUUAAUUUGGACCGUUGGAUUUGAAAAAUAUUCAAAUCCAAUAGCCCAGGAUCGGCCACGUGGCCAACGCCAGCAAAUGGCCCAGCUUCUUGGUCAGCCUGUUUUGUGCUGGCCCAGAGACCAGUUUGGGCUGGGUGCCAGUCUGUUUUGUGGGCUGGAGUGAAUGGACAGGGUCCCAGCCUGUUUUUUGUGCUGAGUGCUGGCCUAAUCCACCACCGGUGGACUUGCUCUGAGAGAAAGUGACGACUUCUCCUCUCAUUCCACUCCAUACUUGAUCUCUAAAGUCCAUUUGGCAUGUAAUUGAUGUUCAAUUUCAAAUUUAGUGGUAGCAAUUAGCAAAGCUAAUGAAAGAAUCAAAUAAAAUGAAAGAAAAAGCAUCAUGAAAUAAAUCAAGAUGAAGAAUGAAAUUUUGGCAACUCGCCAUUCUCUUCUUUUAUAUAAAAGAUACAUCCUAUUUGUAGUGAAAACAGGUCCCGACAAACCCAGUUAUCCUCAAGAAGUAUUUUGUAUGACUUUAAAAACAUAAUCCGUGAAAUUAUCUCUUGGCUGAGAACAACAACAAAUCUUCAUGCAUAGCUUGUACAGAAAGACAUCAGGCAUACAAAAGAACACGCAAGCAUAAAAUAAACGACGCAGGGAAAACCAAAAAUACUAUAGAACACGUCGCUGUCAAAAGAACAUGAAUAAAUGAAAAUUACAAAACAAAGAAGUGAUGAGAAACCAAAGUACCCAUUUCAUAAUCUAGUUGCUUUUUAGUUUGCUUGCCAUUUUUAGUUCUUCAAUUUAGAGAGAAACGAUAAUUCAGCACAUGAAUAAAGUGAAAACGUAAAAGAUAUGUGGGAUAAGCUGACAGCCAUCCCUGAGUAAUGCAUUCACUUAUGAACCCCAAACACAACGAAACAAAAAUUCACACAUGAACUACAGCUCCGCUAUGUAACAAGAAUUAAAAGCAUCUCAAGACAAAAUGGCAAACUAUAAGAGCACUGUAAAAGUAAAAUUGCAAGAAAUCUAAUACUUGGAGGGCAAGUACUACUCAGACGAAAAUGAAAGAUUGAACUACCUCGCGUGGAACUGUGCCUUGGUUUUUUCCCAUGCUUACAGGAAGCUUUGCACUGAGCUCUUAUAGCCCAAAUUUUCUCUGAAAGAAAAAAACACAAUUUUGAAAUAAGAUUUUCAUAUUAUACCUUAAAGAGAAGAAUUAGAAAACAAAAAAGAGAACAAUGAGUACUAUUCAUCAUAUAUUGUUAGAGUGUGUGGUCCUUUGGUCCAAUGGUCCUGCAGCCAUAUUUACUUUAUAACUCUUUCUUUUAGUCUAAAAAACAUCUUGGAUCUCAAAUUAAUAUGAAUACGGAUUCAUACGCAUGCAUUGCAUUACAACCACAAUGCAAUAUCUCAUUAGAAAUCCCCACACAAAAUUUUUUUAUUUCUACUUUGAUUUUAGUUUAUAUUUUUUCUAAAGCACGAGGGAGCUAAUUUUUUUUUAAAUUUUUUUUAUUCCAAUAAUGUUAUAGGGUUGAAAGGAUAUUAUCAAUUUAAUUGAUUGUAUUUGAUUGGUGGAACUUCUAUAUCUAUAUUUCAGUUUUUCAAAUUCAGCACUGGGAGAGUCAUUCAUAAAAUGUUUGACAGUGAGAUUACCUCCAUGGAUUAUGCUCACAAUGGACAGCUCAUUUUCCGCAGUGAUGGGACAAUAUAUUUCAGUCAUUCGCCAUUCAAUCAAUUCAAACCGAGGAACAAGCAACAUCAAGAAGAGGAUCUGCCAUGUCAGGAUCACUGUCGUCCAAUUAAUACAAAAAAUCUAGAUAAAAACGAUCAAUUUACAUAAAAGCCUUUCAUUUUCUCAGCAACCAAGCAAAAGAAAAUACCUAUCCGUUAACACUCGAUUUGGGAGUAAAUGUUGCUGAAACUGGACUUCAAUCCCCUCAACCGCAACAACCGAAUCGAGGUGUGCAAGUCAUUGAAAAACUCACCCAAGAUUUCAAAAUCUGCAUAAAUAAAUAAAUAAGCACAUAAAUUAGCCAACCCUGUUAUGAUCCCACAUCGGGUACACAAGAAAUUGUGUAGUGGUACUUAAGUGCAAGGGGUCCUCCCACCUAUUGGACUAGUUUUUUGGAUUGGGCUCUUCCCUUGGGCUUGAGUACCUAACAUUGGUAUCAGAGCCUAGGUUCCCGACGCUGCGGGACUUGGCGAGUGGUGCAGCCUCGUGGUGCCGCCUUGAGAGUAUGGGCUCCUAAGGGUCUUGGCGACGGGCAAGGUAUGAAAUGCCGAUAUUAUCGCGAUAUUUCGCCGAUAAUAUCGGUUUUUUGAGUUACCGAUAUUUUAAUACUUAUCCACUGAGUUUUCGUCAAAAUAUCGCGAUAAUAUCAACAAUAUCGCGAUAUUACCGAUAAUAUCGCGAUAUUUUGGAGAUGUGCGAAUCGGAGAAGAACGCCGGAGCUUUUACAGCUCCGGCCGACUGUAAAAGAGCACCCUAGACUCCGAUCUAGGUAUCAAAAUGAAAUACAAGAUGAGAGGAAUGUUUUUAUAACUUCCGUUUGCCGUGAAACGGUCGAAGGUGUUCGGAAAGUUCGUCGACACCCACGGCCUCGCCAGAGAUGGGUGUGCCUAUUCCCGAGCCGAUUUCGUCCCAAAAACCUUGCAAAAACACGAGAUAGAACUUAAAUUUCACGUCUAAGCUUCAAUCUAGAAUAGAAUGAGGUAAACCCGAAGCUUACCUAACCGGAGAAAUUCAAGAAACUCGUCGGAGGGUUCCUGCGUCGCCGAGUUGCAGAGACGAGAAGGAGAGGGAGAAAGACGAGGUUGCUGAUGACGAUGGGUGUCUUCCUCAAGCAAGUGCGAUGGUGUGCGUGUGUGUAUGUGGGUCUCGGUGCAGAGAGAAAGGAGAGAGAUGAGAGUUUCGAGAGAGAGACGGCACCGACGAGAGCUAUUUGUUUUUUUUUAUCUUAAAAAGAGAGAGGUCUAAGAGAAAUGGGAAGAGAGGGCCGAGUGAAAUGAAAGGAGGUCCUUGAAUUAUUGAGAGAUAUCUCUGAGAGAGGCCUAGGAUUUCUAAAAGGUAAUCAUAAAUGGGAAAAAUGGGGCACAUCUUAGCCUUUAUUUUGGAAUCCUAAGAAGUUCACCACAUGGAUGCAUGACAUGUGUGCAUGCCAUGUUUGUUGAAUGGGAAAAGUCUGACACGGAAAGACAAAGAGUCGUUUGGGGCUCUGGGCUCGAGGCAAGACAGAAAGUGCUAGGGUUUUUUUCUGAAAUGAACAUAAGCUGCUAAAUUCGCAUAUAUUAUAGUUGUUGCUAAAGAUUGUCACUAGUGUGGACUUGGACGUGUUGGUCAACAUGUCCUCACAAUCCCCAAGUUCUCUGGUUCGAACCCUUGCGCCCAUCAAAUUUUCUUUCUUUUUGAUGCGCUUUUCCCAUGGCUCUAGGUCUUGAUUUCGAAUCCAAGUGAGCCCUUUCCUUUUUCUUUUUUGUUCUUUUUGUUUUAUUAUUUGUUUAUUUUAAUUUAUUUGUUUCUUUUAUGUUUUUCUUUUCUUUUAGUUUCUUUGUCUUAGGCGUUCGUUUUUAUUAAAGUAGGAUGUAAAAUCAAUUAUCUUAAAAUUAUGUGUUUUUAAAUUUUGGACUUGUUUGUUGGAUACUUUUUUUUCAUUUUAUCAUUCUUUUAUUAUGAAAAUAUGCUAAAAUAUGCUAAAAUAUCACUUAUGUUUUUGUGAAAAUAUGCUAAAAUAUUUAUAUAUAUGAUUUUGUUUUGAAUUCUUUUUGUACUAAUUCAUUAUAUAUAAAUGAUUAUGGUGUGUUUAAACUUCUUUAAUUAAUUACUACAUAUUUUCUAUACUCACAAUGUUUGCCAGCUCGCUAUAUAAUCAACUUAAAUCAGUUAAAUCCAUCAUGCAAUGCAUUUCCUUCCAAUUUUUUGUGAUAAACUUGUGAACACGGAAAAUUCCUGAAACGAAAGAGACAAGAACGAACGUGCACAAACAAAUAUUAUGUAUUUGAUGAUUUUGGGUUACAAUCUCUCUCUAUUUGAUCCUCUGAUUCAAUCUCCGUAAGGUGUGUAUUUGUGGAUGUGUGAUUGAUCCAAAGGGCCGUUGGGCUUGAUCUAAUGAUGAACGUUCUUCAAGGGCCGUGGACUUGAUCUUGAAGGUGGAUUUGAGCGGAUCUUCAAAGGGGCUUUUGGGCUUGAUCUUGAAGAACGGUUGGAUGUGUGGAUUUGUCGAAGUUGUUGAUCCAAAGGGCCGUUGGGGCUUGAUCUUGGAUGAACGGAUGAUGAACGAUGGUGCUUUCUUCAAGGGUCGUCGGGGCUUGAUCUUGAAUUGGUGGAUGGUUGAUCCAAGGGCCGUCGGGGCUUGAUCUUGGAAGAACGAUGAACGAAGAACGAAGAACACUUUCUUCAAGGGCCGUCGGGGCUUGAUCUUGAAUUGGUGGAUGAUUGUUGAUCCAAAGGGCCGUUGGGGCUUGAUCUUGGAAGAACGAUGAACGAAGAACAAAGAACGCUUUCUUCAAGGGCCGUCGGGGCUUGAUCUUGAAGGUGGAUGAUUGUUGAUCCAAAGGCUGUCGAGGCUUGAUCUUGGAAGAACGAUGAACGAAGAACACUUUCUUGAUUCUUCGGGAACCUGGACGCUUGAGAGCUUCGGAGUUUCAGAGCUUCAGAGCUUCAAGGUGUAAUAUGAAUUGGUCCCCCCUAAAUGAAUGAAAUGGGCUUGUAUUUAUAGAAUUUUCCAAGGCCUAAUUUUGAAUAUAAUAUCUCAGAUGAAAUAAGUCGUUUCUGCCAGGUGUUAACACGUGUCCUAUUUGAUGACUUUUCCAACUCAUUUCAAUUUUCGUUUAGUCACACGCUACGUGUAAAAUUUAUGUAAUACAUGAGCGUUGACACUUUGAUUUAUCGGUCAACAUUUAUUUACCGAAAUUUCGAUGUCUACAAAUGCCCCCACUUCAAGGCACGUCGUAUACCUGUGCUUGUCACGUGUAGGAGAUGCGUUUUGAAGUCCCUUACCGUAGAUGCCGAUUCAAGGGCCGUUGAAGCUUGAUCUUGAAUUGGGCUUGAGAUUUCUUCAAGGGCCGUUGAGGCUUGAUCUUGAAUUUUUGUUUGAAAUUUCUUCAGGGGCCGUCGAGGCUUGAUCUUGAAGGUUGAAAUUGGGCCACAAGGAGCUUCAUGUGGUAGAUGAUCUUUGGCUUUGGUAGUGGAUGAAUCGGCACGUAUUUUAUUGCGCUUGUUGACUUUCCACAGCUUUGAUCUUGAACUGGGUUGGAGGAUUUUCUGGAUUCCUCCAAUUGUUGAUUUUCCACAGCUUAUUCUUGAACUAGGUUUUGAUUCAAGGGUGGUAGACACUUGAUCUUGAAUCGGACUUGUGAUUUCCUCGAUGGCCGUCGAGGCUUGAUCUUGAAUUUGGUUGGAAACUUCUUCAAGGGCCGUCGAGGCUUGAUUCUUGAAGGUUGACUCGAACAUAUGGCAAGCAGGCACGAGGUGAAGGUGACGACUUGUUGCUUUGUUCAAUCUUUCUAAUUCACACCUGAGCAGUUUGGUCAACGGUAUGAUCCUCAAGAUUGAUGGGCUCUUCUUCCAGUUGGUGACUUGAUCUUUAAGGAUUUGAUUCAAGGGUGGUGAAUCGGCACGUGCAGCCCACAACGCCUAGUAAGCCGACCCAAGAAUUUGAGGGUCAAAACGGAUUCACCGUCAGAGUGAUUGCAACUUUGAUGAUAUGAGAUACUCUUGCUUUUGAAGAAGUAGUGGAUGAAUCAGCACGUGCUUUGUUGCGCUUGUCUCCACAUGCUUCAAGGUAUCAUCUUUAUUUCCUUUAUCUAUUCCUCAGGCAGAUGUGGCAUCUUCUCGAGUUCUUCAUCUCAGACUCUUUCUGCUGAGUUGACUGUUCAUGCUGCAUUCUUCUCUGCUUGUUCAUUCUGCACGUUGUCUCCACAUGCUGCAAGGUAUCAUUUUCACUUGCCUUAUCUGUUCUCCGGGCAAAUGUGGCAGCUUCUUUGAAAGUACAGUAGCAGCGGGAGGCGAGUACUCGAGAGCAGUGCUAGGUAGGCAAUCAGGGAAGGGUUCCAAGCAGUCGGUUCCUUACCCGAGUUUGAGUGGAAGUUCCGGCAUAUUGUUUUUUUUAUCCUUGUCUUUGUAGGUAAGAACAAGGACAAAGGAAAGGACAGGGAGAACGCAUGAUAUGAGAUACUCUUGCUUUCUACCCUGGUGAUAUGAGAUACUUUUGCUUUGGAGUCAUUGGCUUGCAGAGGUACCCCAAGGAAUAAGGAACACUGAAUGACUCGAGAGGCUUCGUUGGGAAAACAUCUUUGGAGAUGAAGAAAGACUUUGUGUGUCUGCCUUGCUAUGGAAGGCGAAGGUAGACAAUUAUAGGAAGUUCUUUGAUACCUGUAGAUGUACUAUUCUUUCACUCGUGUCGGCAACCAAUGCGUGAUUGAUCUAUAUGGCUUCACGUGCUUCCUUCUUUAUCAGAAAUCUUCGACAAACUGUCCGUAAUUUCCGCCAAGCUGAGUGUGCAUGUGAUAGGUGUUGACGCGGCUGAAAAAGACUGGCGCUUAUUCGAUAACUGGGAUCUGCGCUUCGACAAAUUACCCGUGAUUUCCGCAAAGCUGAGUUUGCGUGUGAUGGGUGCUGACGUGUCUGGAAAAGACUGGCGUCUCUUCGAUGUCUGGGAUCGGCACUUCGACAAAUUGCCCGUGAUUUUCGCAAAGCUGAGCUUGCGUGUGACGGGUGCUGACGCGUCUGGAAAAGCAAGAUGCUUCUUCGAUUUCUGAGCUUGCCUCUUCGAUUUUUGAAUGGCCUCUUCGAAUUCUGAGCUCGCCUCUUCGAUCUCUGAAAUCCCGUCGAGUGUUGAUUUUUUAUAGAGGCAUGCUGUUCGUUUCAAAGCACACUUGAAUUUUACUUGUGAAAACUCCCUUCUUGCACUUCUAAGAUCUUGAUUCGUCUGACCUCUUCUUCCUUCAACACUUUGAAAAUGUCUGGACCCUCCGACCGUCGUUUUGAUUUGAACUUUGGUGAAGAUGUAGUCCCGUCUUCUCCAGAUAACAUAUGGCGCCCAUCCUUCAUAUCCCCUACUGGUCCUCUUACUGUUGGGGAUUCGGUGGUGAAGAAUGAUAUGACCGCUGCGGUGGUGGCCCGAAACCUUGUCACUCCCAGAGAUAACAGACUACUUUCCAAACGGUCUGAUGAGUUGGCUGUUAAGGAUUCUCUGGCUCUCAGUGUGCAGUGUGCGGGUUCUGUGUCCAACAUGGCCCAACGCCUAUUUGCUCGAACCCGUCAAGUUGAAUCGUUGGCGGCUGAAGUGAUGAGUCUUAAACAGGAGAUUAGAGGGCUCAAGCAUGAGAAUAAACAGUUGCACAAGCUUGCACACAACUAUGCCACAAACAUGAAGAUGAAGAUUGACCAGAUGCAGGAAUCUGAUGGUCAGAUUUUACUUGAUCAUCAGCGGUUUGUGGGUUCGUUCCAACAGCAUUUGCCUUUGUCUUCUGGGGCUGUACCGCGUAGUGAAGCUCCUCAUGAUCAACCUCCAGCCCCUCUUCUUUCUGGAGUUCCACCGAGUGGUGUGACUUCAAACAGUCAACCUCCGACGUCUCUUUUCCCUAGAGCUCCACCGAGCACUGAGACACCACCUGAGCAAUAAAGACUCCCUCCCGUUUGUUUGCACAUUUGUAAAUUUUUUUUUUUUUUUUUUUUUUUUUUUUUUUUGGUAUGUAGAAUGCAAUUUUAUGUAAAAUUUCCAGAAAAAAUAAAUAAAAUGGAUUUUUAUUUCUCUUAAUGCUUUUUUUUUUUUUUUUUUUUUUGCUGUAUAUAUUAUACACACACAUUUAUACAUACAUAUAUACAUACAUAUAUAUAUAUUUUCACGUGGAGUGAUCCACCAUCCCAAAACCCAUUUUCCCUUUGUUUUUUUUUGCAUGGUGCUAGCCACCAAGAAUUCACCUUUUUUUUUUUUUUAAUUAAUUAAUUAAUUUAUUUAUUUAUUAAUUUAUUAUUAUUAUUUCUUUUUCGUCUGCUUUCACAUGGUGCUUGAUCCACCACUCUCUUUUCUUUUUUCACGUGGUGCCAGAUGCACGCCCCUUUUUUUUUCACGUGGUGACAGCACCACUCUGCUUUGCUCUACCACAUUUUUUUUUUUUUUGUAUAAAUUAGGAUGCUUGGCUGAGGGAUUUUGUAGGGAAGGACGAAGACGGACGGAGAGCCGGAGUUUGAGGAAGAGCUUCUCGGCCGGCUAGUCGUUUGACAGCGGUCUUUGAAGUUGGUGGCAGCUGCGAGGCAAGAGACGGAGGAGGACAGGGCAGCUGUGACGGACAGAGACGCCAUGGCAGGACCUCGAGGAGUUUUAAGAUACUGGUGCAGGUACUGGCGAGGUGAUUUUGACGAGAAAAGCAUGAAGAGGGCGUCGAGCACCAUGGGCCUGCAAUCCUUAAGGUUGAUCUCGUAGUCCUUGAGCUCUUGUUCAGGCAUGACGGGAUCCGCUGCGGUCUUUUUUAUCGGCAAUAAAGUUCUUUGCCUCAUAAAACAGCCCAGAACGCGAUAGAAGAGUUACGAACAAAGCACAAUGUGCAACUGUAGGUGUCUUGAUGCAGUUGAAGUAAAACUUCCCUUCCUCGACCAUGCGUGCUGCAACGCAAGCAUGAAGGACAGCAGCAUAGGUGAUUUCAUCGAUCUGUGUACUCGUUUCCUUCUCCAUUUGGCAGAAUAAAUCUACUCCGAUCUUUCCUUGUCCGUGUAAGCUGUACCCAGUUAUCAUCACUGUCCACGAAACAAGAUCUCUUGUACUUCGACCCUGGCAAAAACUUUUGCAGCUGAUUUGAUAAAUCCCGACUUGACAUACAUGUCCAUAAGAGCAUUCAGAACGGUGAGAUUCAUUCGAAUACCAUGUCGCAGCAAGAAUCCAUGAGUCUCUUUUGCCAUGUUUACCUGCAGACAUUCUUGCGCAUGCUGGGAGAACACUAGAGACCGAGAGCGGAUCAGGUUUCACCCCGUCUCCAACCAUCUGCCUAAACAGCUUAAGACCCUCAUUGAAGCAUCCCCUCUUCACAUUGGCAUGAAUCAUUUCUGUCCAAGAAAUGACAUCUUUCUCCGGUAUUUGGUUGAAAACUGCCCAAGCUUCGUCGACACAGCCACAGUCCAUGUAUAUUUUCAAGAUGGUAUUGCUCACCAACACAUCAUACUCCAAUCCACGUUCCUUGGCAACCCUGUGGACUUUUGUUCCAUCAAUCAACGAUCUCAACAUGCCACAGGCACCAGCCGCCGUCGCCACAGCCACAGAAUCUAUCUGUGCUCCGGACUCCACCAUUCUCUCAAACACAUGAACCGCCUUGCCGGGUUUACCUUCCGCAAUGUACAGCCUGGCCAGCAUUGUCCAUGAAACAGAGUCCGUAACCAGGGACUUGUCAAACAGCCCUUUCGCGGAGUCCGCGCUGUCGAGGCGACCGUACAACUCAAUGAGAGCAGCAACCACGUACCGGUCACCAGAGCAGCCGAGCUUGUGAGCGUGGGCAUGGAGUUGCUUGCCGAGGGAGAGAUCAACCGAAAGGCGAGAGGCAGACAAGACGCGAGGAAGAGUGUGUCUGUCGGGCGACGAACGCGCGGAUGAGCAUUUGGUGGUAAGUGGCGAGGGCGUGGUGGAAGUCGGCAUUGGCGAUAUGGGUCUGGAUAAGUCUGUUCCAUGCAAAGGUAUCUGAGUGGGGCAUUUUGUCGAACACCUUGUGGGUGACGGCCACCUUCGUGGUGGGUUUAGCAUUUCGGGAGUGCUUGUAGUGGGCUGUGUUGAUUGGGUUCUCGGUGACGAUCAAGCGCUGGAUUUGGGCGGAUGGAAGGGCUUCCAUUUCAGUUCAGUCGCACCCAAUUCAGCAUUGCCCGUACGGAUUCGAGCGCAGUUAUCGAGGAGGAGUUUCCUUAAGAAUAGAACCAAUCACCGACUCCUCAAACCCAUCCGGAUAUGCGAUUUUCAUGAGGUGCAAACAAGAACCCUCUGCCAUAAGUGGCAUGAUCACCCAAAGGUUUCUUUCAACGACAAAUGAACAAAACGCCCUCACGACAUUGGGAUGAUCUAUUAAUCUCAUCGUCUGCGCCUCCCUCCGGAUAUCCUCGAAAUUGCUAUUGCACCGAUCGAGAUCCAAGCACUUGACGGCGACGACUUCAUUGAAAGGGAGAUAGAUCGCUCUGUAAACCGUUGCGCUGGCGCCAUAUCCGACCUCUUCCAGAAGCUUGUAGUCGUUCGGAUUCGCCGAGUGAAGCCUCGAAUUGCUACCCAUCCUCCCCAUCUGUUCGAGGACUUGUGCUUCAGAUAUGUCGUUUUGAGGCUACGGGCUCUGCGUUUGGGCUGUGUGCCAGUUUGGGCUUAGUGUUGCUUUGGAGAGAUCUAGGUUUGGUUGAAGAGGUACGGUGAAGCCAUGGGCAAGGGAGAUGACGAAUUGGGCUUGGAGGCUGACACUUGGGCCUGGAUGGCCUCCUUUUGAGAGGCUUGCUGCUGAUGGAUAUACAUAUAUAUAUUUGUAUGUAUAUGUAUGUAAAAGAAAUCUUUUUUUUUUUUUUUAAUUUUUUAAUUUUUUUUUUUAUGUGACUGAACUCGAAAAAAUUGAACAUUCGAGCUGCCUACGUACCCCUCCAAAGAAGAGAUCAAGUCGCAACGUAGUUCAAAUACAUUUUUGGUAUUUUCUUUUUGUGUCGUUUGCAGUUUUAACUCAUGCAGGCAAGGAGUGUUGGUGUCGUUUGCAGUUCCAACUCUUGCAUACAAGGAGCGUUGGUGUUGCCUUUUAUGCUCGUGUAGGCCAGGAGCGUUGGUUCGUGCAGUUUAGGCUCGUGCAGGCGAGGAGCCUUUGGUGUCGUUCGCAGUUUCAACUCGUGCAAACAAGGAGCAUUUGGUGUCGUUCGCAGUUUCAACUCGUGCAGACAAGGAGCAUUUGAUGCCGUGUUGCAGUUUAGGCUCAUGCAGGCGAGGAGCGUUGGUGUCUUGUAGUUUAGGCUCUUACAGACAAGGAGCUUUGGUUCGUGCAGUUUAGGCUCGUGCGAACAAGGAGCAUUGUUGGUUCGUCAAGCGAUCCGAGAGAGUUGUUCCUCACAAUCUUCAUAGCAAGGAGCCUUGACCGCGUGAUUGAAGAAGUCUUCGGGUAAAAAGUCGCGCAUCGUGAUGGCAACAGACAAUCUUUGUGUCGUAGUUUCAUCAUCUUCAACACGUUCACGUUGCUUUGAAGGUUGACAAUAGCUGCUUUGCCCCCUUUUCAAUUGGCGGACUUGUGGAGGAGACGUAUGCUUCUUGUGCAAUUUCUUAGGAGUGACUUGAGUCCAUCCUUCAAUUUUGCUUGUCUUGGACGAUGCCCCCAGCGGUUGAGGUGAAAACUUUGAGUCGGAAGAGCCAGAAGUGAAGGUGGUAUAGUUUGACUUUGCCACUUCGUCAAGAUCUAGCUCGAUGAUUCCUUUCUGAGCCAGCUUCAUGAUGAGAUCUUUCAGCACGAAACAUUUUUCUGUCGGAUGACUGAUGAAGCGGUGGAAUUUACAGUACUUUGGACUGUCGGUGCGAUUCAUCUCUUCUGGCCGUUUGCACUCAGGCAAACCAAUCACCUUCUUUUCCAACAGGUCAUCCAGUAUGGCAACCACAUCAGAGUCGGGGAAUGGAUAAGUCUUCUCCUCAAGCUCCUUUAAAGUGCGUCUACGCAUUUCUUGAUCACGAAAAGCUUCGGUUUGAAUCGCCUUGCCUCGUGUGGAUAUUUUGACGGGAGAUGUGUUGACCGUCAUCGCUUCCUUGGUGGGUUUCCAUGCAGCCUUUUCCACCUUUGUCCCAAGAACUUUGUCGUUCUUGUAGUCGGCGAUUGGUUCUUUCUUCCCAUGAUGGGCGAUGCUCAACUCCAUGUCAUGGGCGCGAGUGGCCAAUUCCUCGAAGGUCCGCGGUUUAAUGCCUUGAAGGAUGUAUUGCAAACCCCAUUGCAUGCCUUGGAUGCACAUCUCGAUUGAAGAGGUUUCCGAGAGCCUGUCUUUACAGUCGAGGCUUAGAGUGCGCCAUCUGUUGAUGUAGUCAAUGACUGGCUCGUCCUUCCACUGCUUUGUGCUUGUUAGCUCUAGCAUGCUCACAGUGCGGCGAGUGCUGUAGAAGCGGUUGAGGAAUUCCCGCUCCAAUUGCUCCCAGUUGUUGAUGGACUCAGGCUCUAGGUCAGUGUACCACUCAAAGGCGUUUCCUUUUAGUGAGCGCACAAACUGCUUGGCGAGGUAGUCCCCUUCGGUCCCUGCGUUGUUGCAAGUUUCAACAAAGUGGGCAAUGUGUUGUUUCGGGUUUCCCUUUCCAUCAAAUUGCAUGAACUUUGGCGGUUGAUAACCCUUCGGCAUCCUUAAGGCGUCGAUUUUCUUUGAAUACGGCUUCGAGUACAACCCGGAGGUAUUUGAGCUCCCUUCGUACUGUGCCUUGAUGGUGUUGGUGAUCAUCUAUUGCAGCUGCUGGAUAGAAAGAGAUCCCAUGAGUGCCGCUGCUUGGUCUGGCUCCGGCUUUGCAUCGUUUUUCUCCACCUGAGGCUCAUCUUCUUCGUCAUCUCUUCUCUUUAGUGGAUCAUUCUCUGGGUCGGGUUUAUCGCCGUCCUGCGCCUUUAGUCGAUUGACGAGUGCUGCAAUUUGCAAGUCUUUUUUCUUCCACCGUUCGGGUCAGCCUUGCGAUUGCUUCAUUCAUCUGAGCCAGUUGUUCUUCAACGGAGGUAACGCCGAUAGUCAUGACUUGUGCGACCAAUAUACGUGACUUUCCUUUAGACAUCCAGGAUGCUGAUGAAGAACGUCGUUGGCUGCUUUGGGAUGUCAUCUUAUGUGCCUCAGCAUCAUGCUUCGGUGCCCCCAGCGAGGUCAGGUUGAUGACAGACUCGCACCUUGGAUGCUCCCCUUGCUCUUUUAGCGGCACCAAUUUUGAAGUAGCAUGUUGGGGAGCGGUUGUGGCGCCAAUGGAUUGUCUGUUUGCGGCAGAAGUGCUUAGGAUCCUUCCCUCAGUGGUUGCGAGAAUGGCUUGUCCUUUGCUUGAUGCCAUUGACUUUGAGGUGUGCUUGGAUUCCUUGAACGAAGAAAGAGAUGAGAGGUAGAGAUUGUCCCACCGGGCGUGCCAAUUUGUGAACACGGAAAAUUCCUGAAACGAAAGAGACAAGAACGAACGUGCACAAACAAAUAUUAUGUAUUUGAUGAUUUUGGGUUACAAUCUCUCUCUAUUUGAUCCUCUGAUUCAAUCUCCGUAAGGUGUGUAUUUGUGGAUGUGUGAUUGAUCCAAAGGGCCGUUGGGCUUGAUCUAAGGAUGAACGUUCUUCAAGGGCCGUGGACUUGAUCUUGAAGGUGGAUUUGAGCGGAUCUUUAAAGGGGCUUUUGGGCUUGAUCUUGAAGAACGGUUGGAUGUGUGGAUUUGUCGAAGUUGUUGAUCCAAAGGGCCGUUGGGGCUUGAUCUUGGAUGAACGGAUGAUGAACGAUGGUGCUUUCUUCAAGGGCCGUCGGGGCUUGAUCUUGAAUUGGUGGAUGGUUGAUCCAAGGGCCGUCGGGGCUUGAUCUUGGAAGAACGAUGAACGAAGAACGAAGAACACUUUCUUCAAGGGCCGUCGGGGCUUGAUCUUGAAUUGGUGGAUGAUUGUUGAUCCAAAGGGCCGUUGGGGCUUGAUCUUGGAAGAACGAUGAACGAAGAACAAAGAACGCUUUCUUCAAGGGCCGUCGGGGCUUGAUCUUGAAGGUGGAUGAUUGUUGAUCCAAGGGCUGUCGAGGCUUGAUCUUGGAAGAACGAUGAACGAAGAACACUUUCUUGAUUCUUCGGGAACCUGGACGCUUGAGAGCUUCGGAGUUUCAGAGCUUCAGAGCUUCAAGGUGUAAUAUGAAUUGGUCCCCCCUAAAUGAAUGAAAUGGGCUUGUAUUUAUAGAAUUUUCCAAGGCCUAAUUUUGAAUAUAAUAUCCCAGAUGAAAUAAGUCGUUUCUGCCAGGUGUUGACACGUGUCCUAUUUGAUGACUUUUCCAACUCAUUUCAAUUUUCGUUUAGUCACACGCUACGUGUAAAAUUUAUGUAAUACAUGAGCGUUGACACUUUGAUUUAUCGGUCAACAUUUAUUUACCGAAAUUUCGAUGUCUACAAAACUAAUAGAUAAUUGACUAAAUAAACAUCCUGCAAAGUUUCAAUAAAAAUUUCCAAGUUUUUCUUACAAUUUCUGUGGUUUCCAUAUUAUUUUUAUCGAUAUCGAUAAUAUCCCGAUAUUUCAAUCGAUAUUUCCGUGUUUUUGGACUACCGAUAUUUCCGAUAUCAUCGAUAUUUUAUACCUUGGCGACGGGGGACUUGCCGACUGGUGCCACCGUGGACGUUGGGUCUUUCGAAAUGUGGUGUAAUGUUAUGAUCCCACAUCGGCUACACAAGAAAUUGUGUAGUGGUACUUAAGUGCAAGGGGUCCUCCCACCUAUUGGACUAGUCUUUUGAGUUGGGCUCUUCCCUUAGGCUUGAGUACCUAACAAACCCAUAAAUCAAAGAAAUCAAAAUCCACCCAGAAUCAAAGAAAUCAAAAUCCAUCCAGAACCAAAGAAAUCAAAAUCACACACAGAUAUACAAGGUGUACAGUACUGACAUGCCUUAAAUGAUAUUAUUCACAAGAUUUAUAAAGCUCAUGUCGUAAUACUUGUGCAGAAUCUAUCAUUCACGGCGUCACUUUUGUGCAAGUUGUAAAUAAAAUUAUUCACAAUUUAAACAUUGUGUGUCGUAUUUGACAAUUUAUACUACGCACUUUCUUUUUCUUUUAAAGCUUUGCGUUAUGUCGUGAAGUUGACUUUCUAUAUAUUUGGGUUGUACCUUUUAUGGCGCAAAUAACACGUCGUAAAUAAUGGCUUUUAGCACAGAAGUUUUGUGGUAAAGAAGCCCGCGCACUAAUUCAUUCUCGCGCCUUCUCUUUUUUAUUUAGCCGCUUCUUUUUUUAUUUUUUAUUUUUUUUGUUAAAUUCCCCUCAAAUGUUAAAAGAAAAAUUAAUGAAAUAUUUGAAAACUUUGAGUUUUAACGAUAAGGAUAAAAUAAAAGGUAAAAUGAAUAGUACCAAAAUUGACUUUUUAGUGUUAAAAUAUGAUUUUUCGUUAAAGUGAACAGUGCCGAAAGUUUUUCGUUAAAGUUCAAUGUUAAAAGGUUUGUAUUUUCUUGGUAAACUUGAAAGACAAACAUUGCAAUUGCAUUUUCAUUUACCCAAUAUUAAUUGUCGAGAGCCCACCCCCUUCCCUUCUCACUGACAUCGUAACUCUCUCCUCUCCAUCGAUCUCGCUCCAUCUGCUCGCCGUCGCUCUAUAUGCUCGUCAUCACCGUCGAUUCGUCUGCUCGUCGUCACCGUCGCCCAUCUGCUUUCCGUCACCGUCGAAGUGCCCCGCCAUUCAAGAUCUGAAAUCCCCAAUACAGGGUGCUUUGCGGCAUUUCGUUCUCCAAAACUUUAGGUAUGCUCUCAAUCUGUAUCAACCCUAUCCUGUCCCCUCUAGAUUUUUGUUUAGUCUCAACUUUAUGGUGCUUUUCUUAGAUUUGUUCUAUCACUGUAAUUUUAAGGGAUUUUAGGUAAUAAAUUUGGUUGAGAAUCUCAGUUAGGUUUGUAAUUGUUUUCUUGGUUGCCUGGGUUUGAGGAUGAUUAAUCCACUUUCUGAAGUUUAAUUACUUUGAACUUUGAUUUGUGGGAAACUGCAAUCAAAAUGUUGCUAUGGCUUUAUAGUUAGAAUCGAUUGUGAGUCUUUGCACCACAUCAAGCAAUACCCCGGUGUUGUAAUUCCGAGGUUUGUAAUUGCCGCUGUUAAUGAUGGUUUGGUCCAUCCUUUUUAGGGAGAUGACUUCAAUGAUUGAAACUAGUUUAUCAUUAUUUCAGAACUCUGUAAUACGAGACAUGAUAUUCCAAAAAAUAUUUGCAUGAAUAUAUGUGCAUUGACUGACUAUUUUUCAGUCUUUGAUAGUGGAGAUAACUCUUUCAGGUCAUAUGUAGUUCUUACAGAAAUUGUAUGGUAUUUUGGUUGGUUUUGUGUUCUGGUUGUAGCAAACUGGUGGAUGCCCUGAGAUGAGUAGUUAUCUACAAAGUGGAUGGAUCCUGAAGAGUACAAAGUCUAAGGCAUUUUAUGUAAAGGUAAAUCCUGUUACUUUUAAUUACUUAUAUGUGAAUGCCUGCCAUUUGAAGUAAAAAUUCUUUUAGCCAUUACAUUCUUCAUAAAGAUCUUUAUAUGCUCAAAAGAAGGAUUUUUUUUAGAUGCCAUGUAACUGGUGGUGGCUAGCCUCUUCUUUUUAAGACUCUAGUGUGUUUCAAUUACACUAGUCAAUCGUUCUUAUGUGUAUUAUGUUUUGUUGAUAAGAUGGCCAAGACAAAGUUGUAGAGCCCUAGUAGCAGGGUGCUGUUGGCAUUUAUAUUUUUCUUUUGAAGGGGUGUUUAUUGCUUUUAUACUUUCAUUGUUUACUCUCAUACAUACAAUACUGAAAAAUAAGCAUGUAUUGACGCGUAAUUUUAGAUCCAUAUUUAUACAUAAUUUUGAUUACAUGUCCAAAUUACCCAAGAUUCUUUUUCCUUUACAAAUUUGUGGAGUGCAUUACAUGGAUAUGAUUCAUGUAUGAAAUACACAUGACUCUCACUAAUUUAAGGGCAGCAUCAUUGACUGUACAGUUUUCAAUUCUUUAUAAUCAUGAGUAUAGACAUUUUUUAAUUCUUUAUAAUCAUGAGUACAACAAUAGUUUCUAUAACAAAAUUCUGUUAAAUAUGUAAUAUCAGUAUUUGUUUUCCAGGUUCAUUAGUUGAGGAUGAUUUUUCCAAGAAAGAAAAGAUCGCGGCUUUCAGGCCGAUCUAAAGAACAUUAUGUUGAUAUUGCACCUGAGAUCUUACAAGAAGAGGACGAAGAAGUACCAGAUGACCUAUUUACAGAGGAGUCGAAUCAAACUAAAAGAAAGAGGGGUCCUACUAGAAUGAAGACAAUUUCCACAAAUGAUGGUCAACGAAUUGAGAUUGAAUGGAAUGAAAACGGCCAGUUUAUUGGUGACGGAUCUAUUGACUUAUCUUCUUACAUGGGUUCUUUGGUCCGAGAGGUUGUCCCUAUAACAUUUGAUACUUGGAAGGAUGUUCCUAAGAAAACAAAGGACAUCCUAAUCAAGGUAAUAUGCAGAUAAGUCAAUUCUGAUCCCUCUACUUCAAGGUGAACAAUUUAUAGUUUAUAAAUUUUACUUGUGUUAAUAUAUAUUUUUUGGUAAAUGUUAUGGAUAUUUUAUCAAAUCAGAGAGUAAAUUCGUAUUAAGUGAAGAUUGGCAAAGAACAUAUUGUUUUGAAAGGAUGAAUAAUGUUUGCAGAUCACAUAUAUCAGUAGUUGUGAAGUCCAUAAGAGAAGCAAGAAAUUGGAAAGCAAGGCUUCGUCUAAAACCAAAUAAUGUCAAAUUAAUUCAAGAUUGGAAGACUUCCCUUGCAAAGUGUAAGCUCAUUUUCCUUUUCUUUUAUUUCUAAGAUUAGUUAUCUUCUUUUGAGUUCAAAAUUGGGUCAGAGAAAUCAAACUGAUAGUAGUUAAAAGUCUAUUUCAACACCAAGCCUUGUCUACACAAGAAUUUGGUGUUAGUUAAACAUGUGUAUGAUUCUAUCUUGAUUGCAUGUUAAUUUAGUUUGAAGAUAGAUUUGGUACAUGCUAGCUAAUUGAUACGUGAUAUGAAUCUUUGGUUUCCUUUUGAUAGGACAAAAGCGAAACAUUCAGAGAGAUGAAGUCUAAGCAACUCCGCACACAUGUAGUCGCAAGGGAUAUGGUAGGUUGGCGGAGGAUUUGGUAAUUACAUUUCAUUCUAGUGCCUUCUUUUCUACAGGACAAGAACAAUUUACUAAUUUUAUUCUGUGUUCUACUGUGUGUUUACUACAUUUAUGUUUCUAUUUUGUAGAAAAGAAAAAGUGUAGACCCUUCUCUAGUUUCUAGAGGUGAUGUUUGGAUUGCAGCACAUACUAAAAAGGGUGGUGGACCAUCCAAUUUGCUUGCUGCAGAGACUAUUGUAAGUAAUUUUUAACCAUUUAUUUCUUCUUGUUUGUUGAUAUGCAAUGAUGAAUGAGGUCUUAACUUUGAUGUGCAACGUUAGGAAAAAAAUUAAGCAAUAUGGAAAUGGAUCAUCAUCUGGUUUUCGAGGUGACGUUCUUUCCAAAGUUUUUGGUGCUGAGCGACAUGGUCGUGCAAGAGGAGUUGGAGGUGGUGUUCCUCCUACAAAGCUUGGAAUAUUUUCACAACAAAAAUUGCGUAAUCACCAAAUGGAUGAAAAGGUGCACAAUUUAACUAAUCAGGUCAGAGCACUGACAGAAUUGGUGUAUCUUUUUAUGAAAAAUCAGGUUAGUGAUUUAAUAACAUUGGUAUCAUAUUGAAUAUUUGUGAAAUCAGUUUUAGUGACACAUCAAAUCACAGGGUAAUGAUCUACCAAGUGAGGCAUCUCCUGACACACAGGUUGCAGCUCCUGAGGCACAUGUUGAUACUGUCGCAAGAACUGAAACUUGUCUUUCCCAUUGCGCAACAAAUGAAUCGUGGUGGCGAGGUUGAUACACUUUUUCAAUGAGCCUUCUAACUAUUAAUGCUCAUUGACUCUGUUAAAAGCUCUGCCAUUUUCAAUCUAACUAGACACUAGAAAUGAUCAUUGACUCUGUUAAAAGUUAUGAUGUUUUGGUCCUUCUCCAUAGUUGCGCAUCUACUGAUGUCUAUUUUUUUUCAAAUACUGCAGGUUAUUUCUGAAAACAUUGAAACAUCGUGGUGUACCAGAUGGUUUGAUUAUAAGACACCUUCCUUUUGGUCCACCAACUUAUUUAUAACUGCUAAAUGGUACGUAGUGUGAUAAUUUUCAAAUAUUUUGAUAUUAAGACAGGUGUAGGACAACAUAGAAAUUCUUAGGGCCUUCAGCAACAAAAUUAUGAAAAAGUGAGUGAGAUACAAUUAAAAAAAUGAAAGAGAAGGAUCAUGAUUCAUGAUCUAAAGGUUUGAAUAGGGUAGAAAGGAUUUAGUUUCGUUGUUAAAAUCGAUUGUGAGUCUAUUGUUAUUGUAUUGUCAAUUUGUUUAUUUACUUGAACUUCCUAGUAUCAAUUUGGUUCGAUAUAUCUAGCACCACCAUAGAUAUAUCUAGUAUCAAUUUGGUUAGAUAUUGUCAAUUUGUUAUUGUAUUGUCAACUAUAGAAUGUGCAUCAGUUGUAAAAGGAACAAAACAAUUCAGAUUUUUUGUUUAUGUCCAAACUUAGAAUUGUAUUGUAAUUGACAAUUUCUACUAAUUAAUUUAAAGUAUUUGGAGUUUAAUAUGUUUAUGAUCAAUAUUGUUAUCCUUCUAUUGUAUCAGUUUAGAUGUUAUGAAGUGAGGUCUGUCUAAAAAUGAUAUGCUAAAUAUAGAUGUAAAUUACGGCAUCUAAAAUCAGCAAUAAUUGUUGAUGGUAGUCUUUUUUUACGAUGCACGAUGUAUGCCGUAAUCACCUUCACAAUAUUACGACACUCAACAAAUGCUGUAUCAAAUAUAAAUUACUGCACACAAGUAUGUCGUAAUUGUUUUUCAGUAUUACGACACCCUAUUAACGCUGUAACUAAUACCAAUUAAGGCGCGUAGGACAUGCCUUAAGAACAUUUAUGGCGUGUUUUACUUAAAUUAUUCACUACUAUUAGAGUACGUCGUAUUUGUCAAAACAUCUUUUACAACAGGGGCUUUUACUGCUUGGAGGCUCACGUCGUGAAUUUCCAUUUACGGCACCCUUUGUGCGCCGUAAAAGGCCAAUUCUAUUGUAGUGAUCCAUGGGUACAUUUUUAAUCUACAUGUUUCGUUUUAAUAUAUCUAUUGCUAUAAUAUGUUUUGGUUGGUUCAAAUUCGUUUUACAUAAAUAUAUGGGUACAAAGUUUUUGGAGAAUAUUAUGUAAAAUGGUUUUUAAGGUUGUUGCAUUUUAUGUACCCACAUAUGCAUGUCUAUAAAACAAUGUGGUAUGAUGUACAUUCUUUUCCUUGAGUUUUUAAAUGUACCCAUGAGUUUUCUUGUAAAUUCAGUAUGUAUCCAUAUGCUAUUUAUGUUAUGGGUACAUAAAUUAUUUUUGGUCUAAGUUGGUGGGUACAUUGCUUUUGUAUGUAUGAAUUCAUUGGGUACAUUAUUUCCCUUAAUACUACUCAAUAAAAUUCACAAAAAUAUGUGCAGUGUGCAUGAAUUUUUAUUGUAGAAAUUGUUUUUUUUUAAUUUUUAAUUUUUAAGUCUCAUAAUUCGUGAAUUUUGUACAUAUUGAUCCCAUAAAUUUUUGAAUUUUAUUAAAUUUCUUUUAGACUUGAUCGAUUGAUUGAAUCUCAUAAUAAUCCCUUAAAUGUUCCAAUCAAUAUUUUAAAUUACAGCUUUUUAUUUAAGAUUUCAAAAAGAUGACAUGAAAAUAUAGUAAUACUAAAAUUUUAUUUUAAAUUACAUUUGUGUAACAAUCAAUGGUAUGUUAAAACUGGGCAAAAAAAAAAGGUAUAUUAAAAAAUUAUAAUUUAUUCUUUUUUUCAUAACUGUCUUCUGCUUAGAUUAAAUUUUUACCAAUUUGGGGGAAUUAGUUCUUACCAAUAUAUAUGCACAGUAUUUGCUUUUUACCUGGGCUUAACACAUGAUUAAUUACUUUCCUACCUGCUAACGCGUUGAUUUGCGCAUCCAAAGUAUUAUCAAAGUCACUGCCACCAAAAAGGUGCCCACUCCACAACCUUUGGUUGAACCAAAGAACAUCACAACAAUAAGGAAAUCGUUAAAUCUAUCUCCGCAACAUUUUUAUUAAUCAUUAGAUAGAUUAAACGAUUCCCCUGUUCAUAUUGUGUUCUUUUGUUGAACCAAACCAUGUCAACAAAAUAUAUCUAUGGUUAAGCAUCUAGAUUCAUGCUUUUGGAUGUGCAUCUUAAACCCCUCAAUGAAUAGCCAAGCAAUUUAUCAUGUGUUUACAGUAGGUCAAAAGAAGAAAGUGUUUGUCUAUAUAUUGGUAGGAACCAAUUCCUCUGAAGAGGAGAGAUGGAAGUGAUGAUAAUACUUUAAAUAAUCAAAGCCCAAACAUUUUAUCAAAUUUCAUCUCUGUACUCCACGGAGACACUAAAUGAGACAUAUCUGGUCCAUCUCUGAACAUCUUUUCUUACCGUUCUUACAAUAGAAAGGGCACAAAAUUGACUUACACAGUCUUGCACAAUACUCACUUUGCUUCAACCCAUAUUUCACUUUGUCAAAUCAUACACGUUCCUGCAAUAGGUGAACUCAUAUGUAUCUACCACUUCUUGCUAAUUUUAAUUUUUCCAUUCCCAUUUUUGCUACAAGUUUCACAUAAAUUUUUUAUUGCACUUGUCAAUUCUUUAUACUUUUUUAUUGUAUUUUUUUUUUGUCUUUUUUUUGUAUUAAACAAUUACAUGUCCUCCAAAAGUUUUGCUUAUUGCCCUAUUUCAUCAAGCUCGGUAUAAAUAGAUCUUAAUUUUUUACUACAGUUAAAUACAUGGACAUGCCUCCACAAAUACAAAUUAGUUCUUGCUUAAAUACUUUGUGUGUUUACAUAGAAAAUGUUCCCAUCGUCUACCAAAAUCCUCCACACAUGAAAACAAAAAUUCUUACUCAAAAAUACAUAUUACAAUACCACCAUAUCUGUUGUUUUUUAUUAAAUUAACACACUGUUUUCAAUUUUAUCUUUAACACAAAAGAAAAUGCUCUUACACAAUAUGCUUGUUUACAUUUUAUAACUUAUCUACCACAUGUUAAUCGCAAUUAUAUAAAUAGGAAAACACGUGUCAAUAGAAGUGUGAUGCAUGCUACUUCGUUAACAAUAGUGGCAACUAAACAAUUAAAUAAUUUGUUUCAAUUAGUUAGUACAUUUUAUAAAUUUCUUAAUUAGAACUGUUUCAGUAUAUUCAAUACAUUUUUAAACAACUUUCCAGUUAGUUGCCCAAACUAAUUAUUCCAGCUUAUUCAUAGUAUAAUACCAACAAUUUAACAACCAAUGAUACUUCGUUUAACAUAAACUUCAUUUGGAAAAAACAAAAAAAUAUCUUUUUCUCUGCUGAAAAAUCCAACAGAGUUAUUGAUGCAGAUCAGUUAUACCAACAAAUUACCAUAGUUUACCCAAUGCUAUACAGGUUUGACUUUUGUUUAUAUUCUUGGAUCUGUUGCUUGGUUGUAUAAUUUGGUUGUGUGUUUUGUUUCAGGACAAUUUGUUCUUCGUUUCUUGAGGCUUUUGUGUGUAGAUUUGAAACCGUUUAGCUUUCAAGCCGUGUAUACUCAAGGUAAAUAAUUUCGUUUUUUUCUUUGUAACCUUUUUUGUAAGAAAUUUUUAUUUAAUGUUGUGAGAGUUGUGUUUUCUAGAGUAUGAAAAUUGAAUCUUUGUGAUCUUAUAUCCUUAGAUAUGUUUCUUGGUUAUAUGAUUUGGCUGUGUGCAUUGUUUCAGGACAAUUUGUUCUUCGUUUUUUGGGGCUUCGGUGUGUAGCUUUGAAGCCUUUUGUAGUCAACAUAAAUAAUUUUAUUUUUCUUUGUUUCUAGUCUUCUUUGAAAGAAUUUCUUAGUUAAUAUUCUGAGAAUUAUGUUUACUAUAGUAUGAAAAUUGAAUCUUUGUGAUCUUGUAAGUGAUGUAACGUCAUUGCAACAUGUAUGACUGCCAUUAUCGAACAUGAAGAGCUUUUUGAUUUUUGUACUCCGUCCUUUCAUACGAUCUGACUCAAAAAUUGUUUCAUCACAGGUUCUAACAUGAUUUUUGCGACGUCUUAUGAAAAUACAAUGUCACUUCUGGUAUUCCAACUUAAACAAAUUACAAGGGAUGUCUAGUUUUAAACCUGCAGUUAGUAUAUACUAAAACGACGGUUUUGGCCCUGCUCUCGACUUCUUCAGAAACCUCGAGAAACUUCAAACUGAGAAAGCUUCUCCCUUCCAUCUCUGCUACGCGAUCUCUGCUUUGCGAUCUCUGCUUCCUCCGUGAUUUCUUCCCUCCUGAUCGACAUCUAUUCGAAUUGAAAACCUUCUGGAGCUCUCUUCCCCAAAUUUCAGCAGCAACUUUGCUCCAGAUCUUUCCAAUUGAAAUUCCUCUCCUUCACAUUUUGCAUAUUGAAUUUCGCAUCAUUAUCAUCUCCCUAGAACCUAGGAGUUUGGUUCGGUUUCGAGUUUUCCGACGGAAAUCCGGCGACAGCGGCCAUCGAGGUUGGUCUGAAACUAUUCCUCAUCACCACAAGUACUUUCUACACCUAUUACACUUUAGAAAAAAUUUCAUGAUUUGGUGGAAUCCAAUUUAAUGAUUAGAAAAAUUUUCAUUAAUUUUCUGGGUUCGUGGGUUGGAGGUGGAUUAGAAAUUUUUUCAUUAUUUUUCUGGGUUUGUGGUUUUUUUCCAAAACGUUUUUCCUUUCUACUAAUCCAAGUUCCUUCACAUCAAUCUCUCUGUUUCGUUCUUGAUCUUCCGCGAGUAGAAUACCUCUCCUUGCUCUCGAGCGCGUGGGCAGUCGCUCCAAGGCAGCCCAUGACGUCAUUUUCCGAUUCGACUCGGAGGAGGUUGGCUGCUCUUCUUGGCUGAGCUUCAUGGCUGGCCGAAUUCCCCUAUUCCCUUCCUCUUAUACUCUUUUGUAUUCGUUCACCAAAACAAUAGGAAAACGUCUCCGUCUGUUUGAUUGACGGCGAAGAAAAAAAGACGGAGAUAAAAGCCUGACGGAAGCUGAAAGCUUGGACUCUGUUUGUAUUUUUAAUGGAUUUUCAGAACACAGGUCAAGAAUACUGCGAUUUGAGAAAGAAAGAAAGAACCACGUUGACAUAAUAUAUUCACAAUAGGCGUACAUAAAGCUUUACUGUGGUUCCAUUUUUUUGCAUAUUUCAAAGGCUCUGAAUUGUUAAGGGAAUUAGCCUUUUGUUUUAGGAAGAACUUGGAACCCCCUCCGUCCAUUCUAUUCCCGAUGGAAUUAACACUUAGAUAGUACUAUGACAAUGUGUCAUUAAUUGAUGCAUACCUGUAUAAAUUUAGGCCAAGUGUUUUAUACACAAAUUGAUACAGAUUAAGCUUCUGGGUCGAAAUCAUAUACCGGUGAGCUAACUACACAAUGAUACAUUCUUAUCUGUUAAUUAUCUUUGGUUACCAGCUAUCCAUGUUGCUGACAUAUUAAACUACACAACAUCUAUUGUAAUUUAUGUCUUAUUAGUAUCAUCACUUUUGUUCUUUAUUUCAAUGUCUAACAUAAUGAUCUGGUUUCAAUUUGCUACAGGCAUUAUUUCCAGACAAUAGCUAUGGUUUUGAUUGUAGCGGUGACUGAAAAAUUAUUCCGAAACUAACAUUUGAGGAAUUCAAGGUUUGUUAGUUAAUUUGUACAUCAGAAUACCAUGACAAACUAUGAAGUUGUAAUUGUUGACCUUACAAUGUAUCUUUUUUGGUUUGGAGCAUUAGACUUAUAUGUGUUGCUUUCACUUCAUGAAGGCUAACUCUUUAUUUUAGGCCUUAGAAUAUAAUUUUUUGGAGAAUCUACAUUGUUGAUAAUUUUUUGAACAAUAUUAUCCCCAAAAUUUCUCCGCAUGUUACCCUCAACGUAGACAUCAUAUAACCAUCAUUGAACUUCUGAACCAAAAAUUUGAGUUUUAUGAUUAUAACUAAACGUCUAUAAACACAUGAUACAGAUUGAGACGAAUGUCAAAUUUAAAAUGGCAUUAAUCAGGACAGCUGCAAACUCUGAUUUGCGGCCUUUGAAAUGGAGCAGUUACUUCUUGCUUCACUUCAACAGCAUAGUCCAGCUUCUAAAUUCAGUUCUCAGGUAUGAGGUUUCUCAGUUACCUCUUUUUUGUAAUAAAACAUUUGAUCAGUACUUGCCAGGAUAUCCAAUUAAUUAGGUCAGUUUUUGUUAGCGGUAAUAAUUUGUUUUUGUAGCUUUAUAUGUGUCUCUGUCUCCAAAUAUGAUGAUCUCUUAAUUUGCUUCUAUAGCUUUUGUAAUAUAAUGAUCUCUUAAUUUGCUUUUGCAUAUCUUCUUUGCUUCCUCUGCUAGCUCUAUAUGAGAUUCCAUCUCCAAAUAAUUAUUCCUUAUUUCCUAUUUUUACAGGAAGCAAAUCAUUGAAUACACAUGGAAAAUUAAAAGGGUUUUAGUUUUUGGAGUAGUUUAAAUUUUUUGUUUGUUAUUGCUUGUAUUGCUGUUAAAUAUUUGAUGGGUAGUUUGAAAUGGGGAACUUGGUUGAUUGAGUAUUAACUUUUAUUAAAUUAAUAUUCUUAUUCAAUAUUGAAUUAAGACUCCUCUUAUUAAAUUAAGACUCUUAGAGUGCGUUUGUUGCGCCAGACUGUCUCGGACUGGACUAGCUGCCGGGACUAAGCUGGACUGGCUUAGACUGGACUAAGCUAGACUAACUUAGUGAAGCGUUUGGUGUAAUGUCGGACUAAGAAGCAGGAUAAGAAAAACAGUACUGUUCACCAGAUUUGUGUUUGCUUAGACUAGGAUUACAAAUUUUUGCCAUUGUGUAAUAGAGUAAUGCUACAAAUCUCAUGAUAUGGGUUAAUUGGAGCAUAUUUUUGCCAUGUAUAUUAUGAAUCUUAAAAAAAAUUGACAAUUGUUUUGUUUCUAUUACCUGCUAAUAGAAUUGGGUUUAAUUUGCAAAUGUAGCUUAGUUUAAACUCUAUCACCCAACAGAAGAAAAAUAAUAGUGCCCAAUACAUGCAACUUCAACAAAUACAAGUACAUAAGAAGAUCUCCAUAAUUUAGAAAAUCCUAGUUAACAUUAGUUAACAUUAGCCAAAAUAGAUCUCCAUAAUUUACAAAAUGGCUAGUUAACAUAAGCCAAAAUACUAGUGCAAAGCUAAGUUAUAAGCCAUAACAUAAGAUUGUAUGAUUAAUAAAAUACAUCCAUGUUAACAUUAAUAAAAUACAUCCAUGUUAACAUUAGCCAAAAUCCUCAUCCGCUUGCGUUGUCGCUUAAAAGCCUUUGGACGAACACUUUCUUGAGUUCCGGUUUGAUUGCCCUGAACACUCCCACAUUUUUUGGUUUAUCCAAAAUAAGAGACAAUGCAUCAAUUUGAUCCAUAGGAGAGAGACCCAUUACUUCAAGUUCAUUAGCUAUGUCAGUAUGAUCUGCAAUACCUUGAACUAAAGCUUCAGUUACCAUUUGCAUCCUCUUCCCACUUUCAACAUAAAAAUCUUUCAGUCCACUGAUAAUUGCCUCGGUUCCAUCACUUGAAUUUCCCACAGCUCUUUUCCUCUUUCUUUGGCUAUUUUCAGAUGGGGUGCUUUGUUGGCUUUGUUGGUUCAUUGAAGAAACAAAAUUUUCACCUCCAAUAUCACUUUCACCAACAUGAUCAUGACUUUGUUCCUCCACCAUUUGAGCAGGGGUUUCGGCUACAUUACCCGUAGCCCGAUCUUUUCCAAAUAUAUAUGCAAAUCUAUCAAACAGUGGAAAAGGUUUGCUUCUCCAUCCAUCGGCUUCUUUAUUUCUCUAAGAUUAUAUCAACAUAGCAAAACUAAAAUUUAGCAUGCGUAACAAAUAUAGCAGCAAGAAUAUAACUAAUGUAUAAAUAAAAUAGGAUAUGAACCUGCACAUAAGUUUGCCAUGAGUCAUCACUGUCAACUUCAACGCACUUUUUGACAUCAUUUCAUGCAAAUCCACUUGUGUUUAUCAUGUCAACGACCAUACUAUAUGUUUUUUUCCAUUUCUUCAACUUGGACUCAAUAUGUGGAUUUGCCUUUAUAUUUGAAUGAGGACAUAAAACAUUGACAACUUUUGCUAUUUCAACCAAAGUACCUUGUUUGAAAGCACCGGUGUCACACCGUUGCUUCCGAGCAACAAAAUCCUCAAGAACUCCUAGUAAUACUUCUUCCUCAAAUGCUUCCCAUUUACGCCUUCUUCCUUUUGGCUCUUGAGUAGCAUUCAAAAUAUUUUCGUUAUCCAUACCUAAACAAAAAAUAUUUUAAUGAAGGAAAAUACCAUACAAAUAAUCAAUUUGCAUAAUAUCCAAUCAACUUGCAUAAUAUCCAAUUAAUUUGCAUACCAUCCAAUCUUUGUGCUAAUAUCUAACAAAUGCAUGAUAAAAAGGAAUACUAAAAUAAAAUGUUAUCAUUAACACAUAUAGCUAGUUCGGUUGCUGGUUCCUAAUUGCUCUCCAUUCAUUAUACAUUUCCUGAGCCAUGUCAUUCCUCUUUGCAGUCCACUGGUCAGAUGUUUGAACACUACCAACAUAUUCACCUUCUUCUGUAUUUUGUCCAUCUUCUAUUAUUGGAAAAUUCUCCAUUGGAUCUACAGACAUCUCUUGCCUAAUAAGAUUGUGUAGUAGGCAACAAGCGGUAAUUAUUCGACCUUGUGUCCUUAUCGGAUAGAAAGAUGGACUCCUUAGUAUCGACCACCUUCCUUUUAGCAAGCCAAAACAGCGUUCAAUUACAUUCCUUGCCUUAGAAUGCUUCAUGUUAAAAUAUUCUUCCUUAUUAGAAGGUGUUCGUCCCUCCCAUUCAGAUAAAUGAUAAGGUAUUCCUCUAUAGGGUGCAAGGAAUCCUUCACCAUUUGUAUAACCACCAUCUACAAGGUAAUAAUAACCUAAUGAAAAAAAAAACAGACCUUAUUAGUGUUUUGUAGUUGACAAACAGAACUAGACCUAACUUACAAAGUUGAGACUAAGUAAUAGUCUUACCCGCUGGUACCUUAAAACCAUUAGGCCUAGUAAUUGCAUCAUGUAGCACUCUAGAGUCUGAUGCAGAACCCUCCCACCCCGUAAACACAUAUAUGAACUGCAUAUCUCCUGAACACACACCUAACACAUUAGUUGCGACUCGACCCUUUCUUGUUCGGUAUCUUGGUUUGUCAAUUUCAGGUACAUGCACAUCAAUGUGUGUUCCAUCCAAUGCUCCCAAGCAAUUCUUAAAAAAAAAAAAAAAAGUUUUUGUUAAUUUAUACAAAGGGAAUGAAGAGUUAAAGCUUAGGGAAAAUGAAAAAAAAUUCUCAUCAUACCUUAAAACAUCGCCACCUAGGAUCUGUAGAAUCAAUAGGCACAGGCUGAGGGACUUUUAGUAGGAUACCUUGUAAUCGCAAAAUUCCUUGCAAUACGAUAUUGAAAUACCUACUUAUAGUCUCUCCCGACCUAUAAAAUCUACCGCCAACACUACGAUUCUUAGUAUGAUGUGCUAAUAUUUGUAAAGUCAUACACACAUGCUCCUCUACAGACACCAAACCAUCAGUUUUUACCCUCCCAUCUUGACGAAGUAAGUCACAUAAUAUGCCAAAAGUCCUUCUAUCCAUUCUCAAUUCGUUGACACAUUCAGUAUCAGUAUUCCCUAUUAUACCAUUCAGAUAACACAAACUAAUCUCUCGUCUAAUAAGUGAACGGUUAGUCAAUGUGGGUCGUUCAACAUGUCUCUGUUUGCCACGUAGCAUCAUCAACACAAGAAUCGUACAAAUGCAAAUUGUCUCCAAAUAAGACAUCUCUAACAAUAAGAUCAAUAAAAGCUUCCUUCGAUCCAUAUCUAUCCAAACAAAAAAAAACAAAAAACAAAUUAAGGACAUUAUAUAUGUAAUAUUUACUGUUAUUAAGGGUUAUGGAAAUGAAGUGAUUAUGAUACGAAAUGAACUAGAUCAAAGUAACUAGCGAAGUCACAAUCCGAGGCAUCAAAUAUACGGGUGGUGUUGGAAAAAAAAAAGUUAUCAUUAACCCGAGGCAACAAAUAUACAGGUCAGAUGCACACACUGCAUACACACUCACACACAUACUCACACGGACAUACACACUAUCACACACGGACAUACACUCACACACACCCUACAUACAUACAUACAUACACACACACACUGCAUACAUACACACACACACACACUGCAUAUAUACACACACACACACACUGCAUACAUACACACACACACACACACUGCAUACAUACACACACACACACACACACACACACUGCAUACAUACACACACACACACGACAUACAUACACACACACACACACACACUGGUCAGAUGCACUGCACUCACACGGACAUACACACUCUCACACACUGACAUACAUACACACACACCCUGCAUACAUACACACACACACACUACAUACACACACACACACACACACACACACACUGCAUACAUACAUACACACGCACACACACUGCAUACACACACACACACACAUUGCUUUAUGAAAACCCCAAAUUCCAAAUUUGAAACCCCAAAUUCCAAAUUUCUAAUCUCAAUUUCAAACCCCAAAUUCCAAAUUUCUACUACAUACUUACAUACACACACACUGCUUUAUGAAAACCCCAAAUUCCAAAUUUCAAACCCCAAAUUCCAAAUUUCUAAUCUCAAUUUCAAACCCCAAAUUCCAAGCUUUAUGAAAACCCCAAUUUCUAAUCUCAAUUUCACCCAAAUAUCAAAACCCUAAAAUUUGUUCAACUGCAGAAUCAAAUAAAGCUCAAACCCAAAACAAAUCCGCCCAAAUCGACGAAAAAAAUCCACCCAAAUCGACGAAAAAAAUCGAACAAUCGAAGCUUACCAGACAACUGGAGGCAGAUGAGGGCGAGCAGAUCUGUUACGUGAAGACGAGGGAGUGGACGACGAGAGGAACAGAUGAGGAGCAUGAUGCAGAUGAGGGCGACCAGGAUGCAGCUGACGGCAAGCAGGAUGCAAAGAUAAGGAUGAGGAGGACGACGUGAGGGAGGAGGACGUCGACGACACUCUCUCCUAGGAUGAUCGAGGUUCUUUCUCGCAAGAGCGCAAUCGGAUGAGGAGGACGACGUGAGGGAGGAGGUUUUAUGAAUCUGGACGUUUUUGGGGUGGUUCGCUAAGAACUCCUAGCGAGGGUUUAAUCCGUGCGAGUCAGAUCUAAUCCCAUUAAACCUAAUCCUUGCCCCUACCAAACAUCAGACUACAAUACCAAUUAGUGGAGUCCAGAACAGUCCCCCCUAAGAAGGUCAAACAAACACGCCCUUAAGGCUCUAAUCUAAUGUUCAUGCUCAACAUCUCCUCUAUCUUUCUACGAUUGGUAAAACUUUUGUAUUAUUAUUCCAAUUUUGGUUACUGGGUUGUGGAAUUUUCCAUUUUUUUUCUCGGUAAUCAAUACUAUAUAUAUGCAUGACAAGUAUAAACAAUAUUUUGGGGCAAAUUUAGUUGUUUAAUUUUUAAUUUUUAUGUGACAGUGAGAUUAUGGUAGGAUUUCGUUUAGAUUCUGCGGCCCAAUGGGAGUCUCUGCUUUGAUAAGAUUGGGGUUGAUGCCAAGAAAGCCAAUAAGCCUACUGUGGACGCCGUAGCCGCCUGGCGCUGUUUUCCAAAAUCCUCUCUCACUUGGUUAAGCAAUUAAGACUUUUUGGUUCAGUUUUUAUUAUGCCCAAUUUUGUAUUUAAACCUUAAAAAAAUUUAAACUGAUUUGGGGAUACUGAAAUAGGCUGCAGAGCUGCCAUCCCUGAAUCAGAAGAUGUUCAGAAGGAAGAAGAAGAAGAAGAAGAAGAAAGUCGUGGAAUAUCAAAAGCUUUUAGCUUUGUGAAAGUAUGCUUUUUCCCAACUCACCUCUUGCUUUUGUUGCACUGAAUUGGUAGAUUGGGUUCAAAAAUAUAUAUAUGUGAUUUUUCGUGUAACUAUUUCUUUACAUAAUUACCAAUUGGAGGUGAUUUUAGAUCAUGUAACAUUUCCUCGCUAGAACCAAAGAUUGUCGUCGCUCAGAGCUGCGUUUCAUGAAACAAGUUCAUCUCCUGCCAAAUUUGUGUACCCACCUUUUAUUCAUGAGGGUUGGUGCUUGCUUGCAACACAAUUUGGUGUUAUUAAGUUUUGCGGUUUUACAAUUUGUUCAUGCUUAAACCUCUUUCAAAUUUUCAUUUCUGUGUAAAUCUUGCAGGUAGGACGACACACCUAUCUUGGCAAUGUCGGGAUGUCUAGGCUUGGUGGAGACGUGGUCUUAUGGAAGAGGUGAAGUAGCUUAGCUCGAUCUCAUUAGCUCUUAUCUGUUCUAUUAUGUUAAGAUCAAUAGUAAAAAGUUCUAUUGAUUUUAUAAUCAAAGAUACAUAUAUUAUAGAAAUAGAGGGUAUAUCAUUAAUUUCUUGAUGUAAACAAUCAUAACUUGAGGAACCAUUUAAAGUAUUUUGGUAAUCAACAUACUUAAACUUAAAUGUGAUAUAUCCAUUUAGUAUUUUUUUUAUACAAUGAUAAUACUUAAGUAUAAUUUACAUCAUAUAUCUUUUGAAGUACAUGAAACUAUGAAGAAAAUGAUAAACCAAAUCCCAUUCCAUCUCUGUUUGCUACUGCACAAUCACAAUCCAAUUCCAACAUGGAAUCCUCAGACGACAUGCCUACUGCAGAACAAGUUUCAUACUGACUUAACUUAUAUUUAGUCCACGUCCUGUUUAGAUUGUAAUCCUAGUUCUACGUGUGUUUGUAUAGUACUCCUAUAAAUAUCAAUGAACAUCGCUCACUCUAAUUAAGAGUUGAGAUUUUGCAAAUCAUAUUUACUAUCUUUCAUGGUAUCACGAGCCAGCGUCUAACGACAACGGUUCCUAUUAUAAUUUUUUUCUCUUUUGCAGAUCCUAAACUAUGGCAUCUUCUUCCUCCUCCGCUGCUCCCUCCAUCACAAAUUUUCUUACGAUCAAGCUCGACCGCAACAACUACCCUCUCUGGCAUGCUCAGUUUCUUCCCUUGCUGCGCAGCCGCAACUUACUCUCUUAUGUUACUGGCGAAACUCAAUGCCCCUCUGCCUUUCUUCUUGAUGACAAUGGUAAAUUCACCGACAAAGUCAUUCCAUUAUAUAAUGAAUGGAUCCAGACUGACCAGAUGAUCCUAUCUUGGAUUACGAGUUCUCUUACUCCCAAGGUUCUUGCUACGAUCGUCAACAAAAUUGAUUCGGCCUCUGCUUGGUCGUCAAACCCGAAUUAAUCUAAUUGUGGGGGUUUUGUUUUAUAUCAAUAUAUUGCAACAGAAGUCACACUUUGAAGAGUUCAUGCUGCACAGAAAGAUGAUGAAAUGUUACCCGUUGAGUCUAUCAUUGCUCCAUUGGAGACAGAGCUGAAGCUUACUGCAGGAGUUAUACAGUUGUUAUGCAAUAUGACCCCUUUAAUUUUAUUUUAAAACUGAUACAAAAUACUACAAAAAUUUAUGUAGUAUUUUUGUAUUAGUUUUGAGUGUCUAUUUUGGCUUCCAUAUAUCGUCUGUACAUGUGAGAGGUAUAGUGUUCAAUAUGUAUUUGGUUUCUAUAUUGUUAAUGGAUCCUUUUUUUUUUAAUUUAAUUUAAUUUUAUUAAGGUAACCAAGUUGCAGGAUGACAUCAGAACACUUGAUCUGCAGGUAAACCUUCAAUUUCCAUAUGAAGUUUGCAUGUUCGUUGUUUCUGGAAUUUGAGUUUUUAUUAUUUCUCAAUUCUAUCACAUAGAUUAUGAUUUCACAUAUGGGAUUAUUAAUGGCAAUUAUAUGAUAGAAGAAUUGGGAUUAGAAGAAGAUAUUGAGUUGUUUUAUUUAUGGGGAUUAGAAAAUGAUUAUCAUACGAGUGAUAUUUAUUUUUGUGUGGAUUGUUAAUAUAUAAAACUAUAAGCUUUUGAGAUUGGGAGAUAAAACCCACAAAUUCAAAUCAGACAAAAUAAAUAAAAAAUUUAACUGACUUAAAGAUCAAACUCCAAAAGGGUAUUAAAAACAAGGCUUAUUUGAUCCAUUGAGUGUGAAAGUUUUGAGCUUUGAAGAAGCAUAGGAGGAGAGUUGUUAACCAAGCUGCAUUAUCCAUGUAUUAGGAUGUUGAGGGUAGGCAGGAAAAAUACUUUUUGACGCCAUAUCCAGAGGAGCAUAACGACAGGCCUGCAUUUUUGCAGCAAGGACCAAAACAAGUAGAAGUGAAGGCUUGACUAUUUGGGUAUUAAUCCUAAACCUAAUUAUUCUUAUUUAGGUUUAGGAUAAAUGAUUGAGUGUGUCUCGAUGAUUGUAUUACCAUGUUUGAUGAAUGACUUGAGGAGUUGGAAAUGCUUUAUUGCUUAUGUUUUUCUUAGGUGUGUACUUUGGUUAUUUCCGAGCUUUUCACGACUCUUGAUACCUAAUAGAGAAUAUGGAAACCCCAACUUUAAUUUUAUGAAUUGGUUUUGGUGCCUAAAAUGAAAUCUAGCAUAGUGAAAUCUUGCAUAAUGAAAUUAUGACAAAUUUCCCUUCAUCUUUAGAUUUUCAUUUAGUUCAAUUUGUAUGCAAUUUAGGGUUAUUCAAUUCAUGAGUGAUCAAAUUAUGUUUUUAAUUCCUUCUUCUUUUGAUUUACAGUUCAGCAUUGUCGUACAAAAUGAAAAAGGUGCCAGUAACAGAGUUAUGGAUUUGGAUGCCUUUAGUGGAAUAAAACUGAAUUUUUUAACUUUGUAUAGUUGUAAACAUAAAAUACUCCAUCAGAUAGACUCAUAGCAUUUGAAAACAAUCCUUGAGGAUGGCAUAACAACAUCUCCAACUUUUGUCAUGUAAUGUAUGAAUGUAAAUAGCACUUUGUAAACAUAUGGAUGUAAUAUAUGUAUAUAAACAGUCUUUAGCAUGUAUAUUUUUCAAAACUUUCUACAUCUUCAACAAUGUUUCAAUGAUUUCUUGAUGUAAACAAUGAUAAUUUGAAGAACCAUUUAAAGUAUUUCGGUAAUCAGCAUACUUAAGCUUAAAUGUGAUAUAUCCGUUUAGUAUUUUUUAUACAGUGAUAAUACUCAAGUAUAAUUUACAUCAUAUAUCUUGUGAAGUACAUGAAACUAUGAAGAAAAAACCCUAAUUAAUCUGAUUAUGGGGGUUUUGUUUUAUAUCAAAAUAUUGCAGCAGAAGUCACACUUUGAAGAGUUCACGCUGCACAGAAAGACGAUGAAAUGCUAUCUGUUGAGUCCAUCAUUGCUCCAUUGGAGACAAAGCUGAAGCACACUCCAGGUGGUAUACUUUUGUUCUGCAAUAUGACCACUUUAAUUUUAUUUUAAGACAGAUAGGGUUGAAAAGAAUUUAUGUAGUAUUUUUGUAUCAGUUUUGAGUGUCUAUUUGGACUUCCAUAUUUGGUCCGUACAUGUGAGGUAUAGAGUGUUCAAUAUGUAUUUGGUUUCUAUAUUGUUAAUGGAUCUUUUUUUUUGUUUUAUAGGUAACCAAGUUGCAAGAUGAAAACAGAACACUUGAUCAGCAGGUAAACCUUCAAUUUCCGUAUGAAGUUUGCAUUUUUGUUGUUUCUGGAAUUUGAGUUUUUUGCAGGAUGAAAACAGAACACUUAAUCUGCAGGUAAACACUUGAUUGGUUAUUUCCAAGCUUUUCACGACUUUCGAUACCCAAUAGAGAAUAUGGAAACCCCAACUUUAAUUUUAUGAAUUUGUUUUGGUGCCUAAAAUGAAAUCUAGCAUAGUGAAAUCUUGCAUAAUGAAAUUAUGACAAAUUUCCCUUCAUCUUUACAUUUUCAUUUAGUUCAAAUCGUAUGGUUUAGGGUUAUUCAAUUCAUGAGUGAUCAAAUUAGGUUUUUAAUUCCUUCUUCUUUUGAUUUUCAGUUCAGCAUUGUCGUAUUUUGGAUGCCUUUAGUGGAAUAAAACUGAUUUUUUUUUAACUUUGUAUAGUUGUAAACAUAAAAUACUCCAUGAGAUAGACUCAUAACUUUUGAAAACAAUCUUUGAGGAUGGCAUAACAACAUCUCCAACUUUUGUCAUGUAAUGUAUGAAUGUAAAUAGCACUUUGUAAACAUAUGUAUGUAAUAUAUGUAUAUAAACACCACUCUUUAGCAUAUAUAUUUUUCAAAACUUUCUACAUCUUCAACAAUGUUUCAAGCCCCGCAGCAACGGGCGGGUACACUUGAUAGUAUACAUCUAAAAUUAUAAGACUAAAUCCUUUAGUUCUUGGAUUCAUCUAAGAACUACUUAUUCCAGCAGAUGCUAUGCUUGCACUACUAGAAUUUAUGGCUUGCCCUGUCAACUAUUGCGCGACAGAAGAUUUCGUCGGUUUCACUUUUUUUAACCGACAUAAUAUAAGUUUAGUAGGGCAAAAUCAGUCAACAAACUGGGUUGACUGAAUAAAUUUACAGGAUGGCUAGAGUUCGUAGGUUAAGACAUCAGUCGUUGGGCAAACAUUUGGAGCGAAGAUGUGAGUGUUUUAACUGACGAAUAAGCUGGUCGUCAUGUAGAUCUUCUUUCCCGACUGACGGUUCAACAUGUAGCUCUUUGGAUAAUAAUUCAUCUUCAAGGGGAACAGGUUGCCCCUCAGAUGAAUGGUUAGAGGCAAUUGUGAGACUAUAAUUUUCUAGGGCCGAAAUAAAAAAUACAUAAACCCUCACUCAUUCUGUCUCUGUAACCAUCCACCAAAUACCCUUUCUUCCCUUUCUAUUUCUCUCCUAGUAAUAUCCCCUGACCGAAUCACACAAUCCAACCAACUCUCUUUAAGCCUCCCUCACUGAUUCCAUGGAUUUCAUGGACUUAUCCCACCCUCUCUCCUUCCCUCUAUAUAUAGCAAGUCCCCUUGCCUCAGUGUCCCUGGCAACAGAAUUUAUGGCAUUUCUUCGUUCUUUCAAUUAUUUGAAAGCUUCCUAGCCCUGCAAUCUUGUACAAAGGCGUAUGGUGUUUCAUCAGUUCCAUUUGGUGGUUGGGUGGGAAAUGAAAUUAAAACACUGCAUUUCAAAUGCAUUUCAAAUGGUCUAAACCAAAUUGAAUCAAAUGUGAAGCAAAGGGCAAGAGGUGUAGAUUGAAGAACAAUGGCACCAAGAGCGAAAUUGAACUUGUUGACAGGAGGAAACCAAGUAAGGAUAACACGUCUAAAUCUUAUUUUGAAUCCAUUCAGCUCAUGAUGUUUUGAAUGAUGAUGAUCGGUAUACUCUGCUACAUGCUGUGAUUUUUCCGCUUUCAUGUAAUUAACGGCUUAUAUGUGGUAACGAUAUUGAUUAAAAAAGGUCGUACCCAGUGCAUAAGGCUCCCGCUUUACGCAGGGUCUGGGAGAGGUGAAUGUCGGCUAGCCUUACCCCCAUUUUAUGGAGAGGAUGCUCCAAAGUCUCAAACCCGAGACCUACCGCUCAUGGGCGAAGGCAUUUGCCAUCGCACCAAAUGCGAUAUUAAUUAAUUUCGAGAAAUGACAGUCUGAUUUUUGCAACUGUCUUUUGCAGGCAAAACAAAGACGUUUGCAAGGGUGAGUUGUGUAGGAGCUUUGUUUCAUGUCCAAAUGACACUUGAGAAUAAAUGUUUACACUCAUGGAUAAUAUCUAUCUAUUUGCAGGAGCAACCCUGGGUUCAUUUGUUCUGUAACUGCUGGUCAUUGCGGCAUAUCACGCCUAUAGCACUGACAAAAGUAAAAAGAGAAUCGAAUGAAAUUUGAUAAGUUUUCAGCGGACUACAAAGAUCUUAAGCCAAGCAUAUAUUCCCAUGCAGAUAUUAAGAGGUUUACAAAUCAAUUCAAGUACAAGUUGGGCCAAGGAGCAUACGGAACUGUUUUUAAACGAAAGUUUUUUUCUGAAUGCUUUGUUGCCAUGAAAGUACUUAACAUUUCCAAGGGUGACGGGGAAGAGCUUGUAAAUGAAGUGGGAACAAUGGGCCAUAUUCACCAUGUCAAUGUGGUUCACUUGGUUGGUUUUUGUGCUGAUGGAUUUAGAUGAGCUCUGGUUUAUGAGUUCUUUCCCUUUGGUUCACUCCAGGAUUAUAUUUCAUCAGCAGAUAGAUUUCUUUCCUUGGUUGGCAUAAGUUGCAAGAUCUUGCUAUCAGCAUAGCCAAAGGAACUAGGAAUGUGAUCUACAAAUCCUCCAUUUCGAUAUCAAACCCCAUAAUGUUUUGCUCGACCAAAAAAUCACGCCAAAAAUCUCUGAUUUUGGUCUGGCCAAGUUAUGCCAAACAAUUACAGACAACAGUUAUUCACUAAAUCACUUUAAGGCAAGAAUUUAAUUAAUAAUACAUUACUGCACUUUCUUAACCAUUUGACUAUCACCUAGCUGACAAUGAACACGUUAGCUCCGCGUUAGAACAUCUUGGGUUCAAUUCAUUGUCUUGAAUAUCACCCAUUGUCACAGGCGUCUGUUGGGGGCAUAGAGAAGGCCUGAGAGGCAUUUGCAGACAUUCAACAUCUCCUCCAAGCAUUUUGACAACUUUGGACAUCGAAGGGCGAUCAUUUGGUUUCAUUUGAAUACACCACAAGGCGGUUAUAACCAUCUUUCUUAUUACUUUCUUUUCCUCCUCUGUAACAUUGUCCAUUUCCAGGUCAUUUCCCACAAUAUAUUGAUCGUAUACCCACAUUGGGAAGUAGAUUUGGCUUGAAUGCUCUACCGUUGGAUUCAAAUUCUUCCUUCUGCUUGCCAUUUCCAUCAACAACAUUCCAAAACUAUAGACAUCUGACUUGUAUGAGACGCAUCCAAUAUUUUUGUAGAACAACUCAGGAGCAAUAUAUCCCAGUGUACCCCGUGCUGCCGUCAAAGAGACAAUGCUAUUAUCUACAGGAUACAAUUUUGCAAGCCCAAAGUCAGAAACCUUUGCUUUAAAGUUCUCAUCAAGAAGGAUGUUAUGAGGCUUGAUGUCGAAAUGUAGAAUUUGCAUUUCACAACCUUGGUGUAGAUAUUCGAUCCCUUGAGCCACUCCAAGAGAAAUCUCGUACAUGUUCUUGAUAGUUAAGGGGACACUUCCUUCUUUGGAAUAAAUGUAUUUAUCAAGAGAACCAUUAGGCAUGAAGUCAUAUACUAGAGCGCGUUUUGAUCCCUCAACACAGUAUCCAACAAGUUGUACCACAUUGGCAUGGUGAAUCCUUCCGAUUGUAGCUAUUUCGCUAAUGAAAUCUUGGCCAUCAGCUUUGGGCUUGCCCAAAACUUUAACUGCUACAAAUCGACCACUGCGUAGCUUUCCCUUAAAUACAGAGCCAAAGCCACCUUCGCCCAACUUGUCCUUAAACCUGCGAGUCAUUUUCUUGACGUCCGAGUAAGAGUACCUUAUAAGCAUGAUGUUGUUAUUGCAUUGCAGAAAAUCUUCUAUUGUGCUAUACAUUGAUAAAUGUCUUCUGCGCCAUGUGUAGAUUAGAAAUGCAGUCACAACUGGAACUCCAAAAACAAAUCUGGCUAGGAAAAAUAACCCUGCAUGCAUGGACAAUAAUAUGUUAGAUCCACUGUGUACUACUUUUUCUUCCCUUUCUUUCCAAAUUACUUUAUCUUUGAUGUAAUUAAAGAGAGAGAAUGGGAAAUCUACAUAUGUUGAUAAUAUAAUCUCGUCUUAGUCCUUACCGAUCCAUAUGAGUAUAAACCAUCCAAGUGCUGCAAAAAAAUCAAUCGACUAUGAGUUUGAAAAGUGCAUAAAGUGAAAAAAAAAAAAAAAAAAAAAAAAAUCAAAGGGUGCCUUUAUUGACACCCAAAUUUUAGUUAGUUUUACUCAACUAAAAAAUUUUUGUCAUCAAACUUUUUAAUUUGCCGUCGAAAUUGAGUUCACCCAACCACAAAGCAGCAACUACCACUCACAAAAAAACCAACAACACACAGCCACCAGUACCAUUCACCAAUAGAAAGAGAAGGAACACACAGACCCACCAAGGAGCCGGCAUCGACGCAUCUACGAGGGAGGGACCGGAGGGUGGUGUAGUUUUGUUGGGCGCGCGGUGGUUGUUUUGUUUGUUCAUUUUCUCUUUCUUUUGGUAGGUGGAGGCUGGUGUGGAUUUGGGCGAACUUAAAAAUGAGGGGAAACUAUGAAGUUUGACAAAAUGUUUUAGUUAGGGGAACUUAACUAAAAUUUGGGUGCCGAUAAAGAUACCCAAUUUCAAAAAUACUUGAGCUUAUAGACUAAUUAAAUGAAGUUGAUCUUACAGAUCUCGUGGCUGUAUGAUGAAUGCCACUUGCCAGCUGCAAUAGAUACCACGGAAAAGUGAAUAAAGACAUACAGUUACUAGGUUUAAGAAGUACAGAUAGAGCACACAAAAAAUAAAAGAAGCUUUUGGGAAGAAACUUCUUACGCCAAUAGUUGUGUUCUUGACCUACAGUAAAAAAUGUGAAGAAGAAUACACAACAUUAGCAAUAGCUCACCCAGUCUUCGGAAUUUAAAAAAUCAAGUUUGUCUCGAUCGAAAACUUGUAAAUAAAACAAAAAGAGGACCCCUUACGGAUUUGGUGCCAUAGAUAUUGAAAGAAACCUACAAAAACAAAGAAAGAACAAGACCACAUGCAUUAGCAUAACAAGUGUGAGGUGUAUAAGCCGUUAGAAAAUAAAUUUAAAAUUCUAGUGCUGUCAAUACAUUGAUAAUAUAUAUAUAUAUAUAUAUAUAUAUAUAUAUAUAUAUAUGUAUUAUUUUUCUGAAAAUUUAACUUUCUCCCUCCAAACUCAUUUUUCUAGUCUCUAGCCCAUCAUAUAAUAUUUAUCAGAAUAAAACCAAAUGAUUAGGAUCCAACUAAGAAACUUACCAAAUUAAGUUUGUGUGUCCAUUUUUAUAUUUUUUGGAUCCCUAAUAUACCCCAUCUAAGCCAGUAUGGAAAGUUCUUGUAAUUUUGCUUUAAGUGAUCACGUGCAUUGAAUUUGGCAAGGUCUUGUAGCCAUGAAAUAUGGUUCCAGAUGGAGGAAUGAAUUUGGAUUUUUUUUUAAUUUCGGCAACAAAUUUCAAUUUGAAUAUACCUAAUUUAGUGUUUAUUUUCAACAAUAUCUAUUGUUUAAUUUUAUGAAAAUAAUUAACCUAAUAUGAAAAUUAAUUUUAUGAAAACAAUAUCUAUUGUUUAAUUUUAUACCUACAGGAUAAUUACAUGAAAAUAGUUUACCUACUAUGAAAAUUAAUUUUUUGAAAGCAAUAUCUAUUGUUUAAUUUUAUGAAGAUAAUUUACCUACUAUAAUUACAUGAAAAAAUUUACCUACUAUGAAAAUUAAUUUUUUGAAAACAAUAUUAUUGUUUAAUUUUAUGAAAAUAAUUUACCUACUGUAUAAUUACAUAAAAAUUAGGGAAAAUUAGAAUCCCCUACAGUUUUUAUAUAUCAUUUAGAUUAAACAUUUGUACUUUUUUAAAAUUUGAUUAAAGUGCUUUGACCAAUAGUUACCUCUAUUUUUUUAAAUUAAAAUAAUUUUUGAAUUUAUCCUUUUAUCUGCACAAUGCACUUUUCCUUAUUUAGUGGAGAUAUUAGUAAUGAAACUAUAUUUUCCCUUCUUCCAAAUAUGUUUUUUCGAUCACAGUUUUUUUUUUUUUGGGUAUGCAAACAUUUGAUAUUAUUUUUUUUCCAAAUGGUUUUUUCUUUUUCAAAUAGUUGGUGAUCAACAUAUAAGCUCUGUGUAUUUUUUUCAAUGUUUUUGUGAAAUUAUAUUUUUUUUGCUGUUUUUUAAGUAUAGUUGUUGACGAAUUAUUAUUAGGUACAAUACAUUACGUAUAUAUUAUCUGCGGGUACGUUUGAAUUUACUAAAAUCAUUAAUUGGUACGUUUGAUUUGAUACAUAUUGUUAAUAUUGGUACAUUAUUUUUAUUUUGGUACGUUUUAUUUUGAACACAUUUUGUAUUGGUACGUUUAUAGUAUUCUCAAUCCUAUUUUCUCUUAACGUACUAAAAGAAAAACUCAUUUUGGUACGUUUGAUUUUGGGGGAUUUAAAAAUAUUUUAAACUAUUUUGGAAAAAAAAAAAUCUUAAAUCGUAGAUAAUUAUUGCUAAAUUGUAGCAUUAUUGUGAAAAUAAAUUGAAUCUAACCAACUUUUUUUUUUACAAUUAUCUCUAAUGGAGGAGAGUGUAAUCAAAAGGCUAGAUUAUAGGAAAUUUGUUACAAUAUAAUGGGCAUAUAGCACCAAAAUUAUGAUAAAAAAAAGUUUAAUCAAAUCAUUAAAAGGCAUGGAUGUUUGAUCUAGAAAAUUCAAAACUGAGGCGUCUAUAUCAAAAGAUCCCUAAAAAUUAAUGUGCCUACUUUUUAAAUUUGUAACAAAAUUAAUUUACCUACUUUUUAUGGUAUUAGUAUACAUAAAUGUAGAAUAUAUGUCCGUAUAUAUUUGAUCUAAUUAGGUUUUGGAUUGGAGGAGUUGACACAAAAUUAUAAAUAUAUUAAACAAAUUUAUCUAUUCUAAAGUUGGAGGGGAAUUGGUCUGUACAUUGCUACAGUAAACAAAUGCUACUCAAUUUCACGUUAUUUACAACAAAGCUAUCAGAUUUGGGUUGGGUUGGAGGGUAAUUUGUUAAAAGUUAGGAGGGUAAUUUUGUGCAUAGGGUUUAGGUGCCCUCCUAUACAUGACCCUUGAGUUUACUUUAUUUACACCACUGCCAUCAAAUAUGUGGCUGAAUUGGAGGGUAUUAUUAAAAGUUAAGAGGGUAGUUUUGUUCAAGGGGUGGGGGCGACAUUCGCAGACGGAGGCCGAUGGGAGCCAUGCCCAUUGCACAGAGAGAAAGGGAGUGAUGGGGGAAAUUACAGACAGAAAAGGAAGGGAUGGGAGGAUUUGAUGGAUGGUCACAGAGAGAGAUUCGGUGAGGGAUGUGAGGGGAGAUUACAGAGAGAUAAAUAAAAGGGAGGGAUCGGGGGAUUUGAGGGAUGGUCAGAGAGAGAAAUAGUGAGGGAGGGAGGGAUGGGGGGGCUGAUUUUCGGUUCCUCCUUCAGAUUUGUUCCGUAAAACCUGUUGGGUACAAUUCAAUUUCCUCCCCCUUUCCCCUGAACGAAAAAUUCGAAACCUACAAUUCAAUUUCCUCCCUCCUUGGCUUUCCGCUUUACUCAUCUCCCGGUGGUUCUUUCUCUCCAUACGAUUCGAUUUCGGUGAGUUCUUCGUUGCCCUCAUGAUUUCCCAGUUUGAUUUUUUGAGCGUCCUUAGUCGUUGUUUUUAUCUGGGUUUACUGCAUUGUUGCUUUUAGUUUCUGGAUUUUUAUUUGUUCCGCGGUUCGAUGAAUCGGUUAAUAAUUUCACACCAUGGGAUUUUCGCAUGGAAUUGAGCGCGGGGAUUCGGGGUGGGGUUUUACUGAUAAUUUGUCUUCAUUCAAAUGAAUGGUUAAAAUUUCUGAAGUGAGUGUGCAGGUGGGCCCGUUCACUAACUAAGCUUUCAAGGGAACCCAUCAGCGGUUUGCUUGCUGGGGGAAUUCGGAGACUACCAGUGUAUGAUUUAGUUAUCAUUUAUUUUUUUACUUAAAUUUAUCCAUAUAUAAUAUGUGGGUAAAUUUACACUAAACAAUUGUGAUAAGCCAAUAUGCCAUACGACUUUGAAAGCAUUGAUUUUGUGUUUAGUUUGCAUUUUUGCAUUGUGAAUGUUGAAUUUUGUGUUUGAAUUUGUAGCAUGAUCUUCCGCUGCAGCAUCCAAAUUUUGCAUUUGUAAAUUGUCAAAGAAAAACGAAGUAUGAGGAAAUUAUAGGAGAUUGUGUCGGCUUUGGCCAUGAAGGGUAUCAGCAGCUUGUUCCCCCAUACAGGUGAUUAAUCGUUUUUCAGUCUGUGUUCUAUUUGGAUGAGAAAGUGAUUGAAAAUAUGAUUUUUUUAUUUGUUGGUUGAUUUUGUAUGGACGAUGUAUUAAUUUUAUUUUUUUUGGGAUUUUGUGUAUUGGGCAUUGUGUAGAACCAGCAAUGCAAGAGCAGGAUCUGAUCAGUCAUGCCUGAAAAGGGGUUUGUUUCUCAAAUCACAUUAAUUAAUUAGAUUAUUAACGUGCGUUGGAAGGCUCUUCAAUAUGAUUUCUAAUUUCUCCUUUCCAGCAUUCUCUUUUUGGUUUUUGGAGUAUGUAUGUGAUUUGUAUUUUUUUAUAGAAUAAAAAUUAAUAAAACACGAGAUGCAGCAAUUAAUUUGCAUCCUUAUGACAACACAUAUGAAAGUGCAUUCAAUUUCAAUGUGCGAAUGUGUGACAGGAUGUGCCUGCCCGCUGCUGCUGGUAUGCUUGCUGUUGUUUCUCGCGUUGUUAAUUUUUUGUGUGUGUUGAUUUGAUUAACAACUCAAGCGUAUCUUUUUUUUUUGUGUUGGUUAGCAGCCAGUUUUAUGGCCCCGAUCUAGUGAUGCUUCUCAGUGACUGUGGUAAUUGCAGUUCAUUGCCACCAGUUGGUCAGCUACCUGCUCUGAAAGAGCUAUACGUAGAAGGGAUGAAAGUUGUUAAGAGUGUUGGUGUUGAGUUGUACGGGGGAAAUCAACCAUUUCAAUGUUUAGAGAAGCUAAAGUUUCGGGAGCUAUAGCAGCCUAGUCCAAGUGGAUGUGAAAGUCCAGACUUUCCUCAUCUUAAGGAGCUGGGGUUAUACGAAUGUCCGAAGCUGAGAGGAAACUUGCCCACUCAUCUUCCCUCCUUGAAAACACUUCAUGUGAACAAGUGUGAGGUUCUACAUAAAAACAGGGCCAGUAAUACCCUGAACGUGGAAUCCUUACGAGGAUCUCUUGAAAAACUGACAAUAAAUGGAUGCCCGGGUCUCUCAUUGUUACUAGAGUCGACGGAGACGCUGCCGUCGCUUCAGAAGCUUGAUAUUGAUAAUGUGGUGGGAAAGAGUUGUUGGCGCAAAUGGUGCACAACAGCAAUCGUCUUCAAAGUUUGACUUUAUAUAAAUGUUCCUCACCCUUGUCGUUCCUUACAAAUGGUCUGCCCACCACGCUGACAUCACUGAGCAUAACAGAUUGCAAGAAAUUAGAAUUCCCAUCACGUGAGAUGAUGGCCAAAUUGACUUCCCUUCAGUCUUUGCGUCUAUCCAACAGCUGUGAACGCAAAGGCUUGAGUAUUUGCAGUUUAGUUUUUUUUUUCUUCAUUUUAGAGAUUUUUCUACUGUUUGGUUUUUGGGUUUUGUCUAAUUUUUGUGGUCUGCUUUAUAGAUUGUUCUCUUUGGAAGCUUCUUUCCAGCCUUGACCUUCUUCUUGCCUGGUGCCUUCUCAUUGAGUAUUGGAGGAGCAUUAAAACACAGGUGUGUGUGUUUUGUCGACAUAAGAGAUGAAUGACAUAAAAACAUCCGUCUCUGUAUUUUUUUGUGCUUUUUCUAACCCAUCAAUUUCUUUUGAGUCAACCAAAUAGUCCCAAAUUGCAACUUAUGUUGUGAGGUAUUAUUGUCUAAAAUUAAGUAUGCAUGUAUAUUUUAUGUUUGUGCCCGCGCACACAUCCGCAUGGUGUUAAUCUCUGUGGGUCAUCUAUGUAUAUGUAGAUAUAUCUAUAUGUGUGUGUGGAAUGCAACAUAUCGGAUUUAGGUUAUACUGUGCAUAGUUUUAUUGCCUGUUAUUAUCUACGAUAUCACUAUGCCAUUUCUAUGCAGGCUCUGAAAGUUAUUCAUGAGCUUUAUAAGCACUUACCAUAAUUUAAGCAGUCUGUUUUGGGUUCUUUUUCAUUAGGUCAUUAGCUACAGAUUAAUGGAGAAACGAGGACCAUGCCACUGAUUUGGGUUCUUUUUCUAAUUUUCUGAUUUUGGGGUUUUGCAGGGAGAACUCCGCCUAUGUACUUACAUUGCCGAUCCCAAGCUCGGAUAAAGGAGGAGGGGGAGGGCGUCAGGUAGUCGACAGUCGGCACUCCAUGAUCACGUCGAAUCCUUAUGAAAAUGAAUUCAGAAUAAAAUUGCGCUAAAGCUAGGGCGUCACCCGUAAGUGGCGCGCUGUGUGGCCCGAGCACAGUGAUAAGUGAGCAAGGGUCGCUGUAUCUCCAUCGGCACCCGGAUGCAGUGUUAAAUGAGCAAGGGGGGCAUAGGAACUUCUUUUCGAACGACUCCACUCAAAGUUGUUUGGGAGCAUAUGCUCCUAUCAACUUUACACGGGACACACAAAAGAAGUACUUUGAUCCUAUUAGACGGGGGAGGGUGAAGAAGCUAGGACAGAAGGGUAGAGUUCAAGAAAGCAAAAUGCGUUUAGGAACGUGGAAUAUAGGAACCUUAACGGGAAAAUCUAUGGAAGUAGUGGAAGUUAUGGUGAGGAGAAGGAUAAAUAUUAUGUGCCUACAAGAAACUAAGUGGGUUGGUAGUAAGGCAAUUGAUCUAGAAAACUCAGGGUUUAAACUUUGGUAUUCGGGCACAAAUAGAACGAGAAACGGUGUUGGCAUCAUCGUGGACAAGACCUUGACACAAGAUGUUGUAGAUGUCAAGAGGGUAGGAGAUAGAAUCAUGGCAAUCAAGAUUGUAAUAGGACAAGAACUUAUCAAUGUGGUUAGUGCGUACGCACCUCAAGUAGGGUUGGAUACGAGUUCGAAGGAGAAAUUUUGGGAAGACCUUGGAGACUUGGUGUAAGGAAUUGCUCAGACGGAGAAGUUAUUUAUAGGAGGAGAUUUAAAUGGACACGUGGGCAGAGAGACAGGCAACUAUGGAGGUUUUCAUGGUGGCCAUGGUUUUGGGGAGAGAAAUGAGGAUGGGGAAGCUAUCUUGGAUUUUGCAAUGGCAUAUGAUCUCUUUUUAGCCAACACCUUCUUUAAGAAGAAAGAAGAACAUGUGAUCACCUACAAGAGUGGGUUGUCAAAAACACAAAUAGAUUUUCUUCUAAUGAGAAACGAGGAUGGGGAAGCUAUCUUGGAUUUUGCAAUGGCAUAUGAUCUCUUCUUAGCCAACACAUUCUUUAAGAAGAGAGAAGAACAUGUGAUCACCUACAAGAGUGGGUCGUCAAAAACACAAAUAGAUUUUCUUCUAAUGAGGAAAGGGGAUCGUAUAACUUGUAAGGAUUGCAAAGUUAUACCAGGAGAGAGCGUGGCUAAUCAACAUCGCUUGUUGGUGAUUGAUGUACAUAUCAAAAGAGUGAGACAAAAGAACAAGACUUGGAAGUGCCCAAGGACUAGAUGGUGGAAUCUAAAAGAAGAAAAACAAGCCAUUUUCAAAGAGAAAGUAAUCAUCCAGUGUGUGGGAUAGAGAUGGGGAAGCUAGCCAAAUGUGGGAUUCAAUGGCUAGUUGUAUCCGAAAAGUAGCAAAAGAGGUAUUAGGAGAGUCAAAAGGCUUUGCCCCACACCAAAAAGAAUCUUAGUGGUGGAAUGAGGAGGUACAAACAAAGGUGAAGGCUAAGAAGGAAUGUUGUAAAGCCUUAUACAAGGAUAGAACUGAUGAAAAUGGUGAAAGGUAUAGAAAAGCGAAGCAAGCUGUGAGAGAAGCUAAGUUAGCGGCUUACGACGAUAUGUAUAAACGACUAGAUACCAAAGAAGGAGAGUUGGAUAUCUAUAAACUAGCUAGAGCAAGGGAAAAGAAGACAAGGGACCUAAACCAAGUGAGGUGCAUCAAGGAUGAGGAUGGAAAUGUUCUUGCUACAGAGAACGCGGUUAAAGACAGAUGGAGAGGUUAUUUUCAUAAUCUUUUCAAUGAAGGACAUGGAAGGAGUGCUUCUUUAGGGGAGUUGAGUAACUCAGAAGAGUGUAGAAACUACUCUUUUUAUCGUCGAAUCCGGAAGGAAGAAGUGAUUGUAGCUUUGAAGAAGAUGAAACAUAGAAAAGCAAUAGGCCCAGACGAUGUACCAAUCGAAGUGUGGAAAGUUUUGGGAGAGACAUGUAUAACAUGGCUCACUGACCUUUUCAAUAGGAUUUUGAAAACGAAGAAGAUGCCAAAUGAGUGGCGAACGAGCACUUUGGUGCCUAUCUACAAGAAUAAGGGCGACGUACAAAAUUGCAUGAACUAUAGGGGUAUUAAGCUAAUGAGUCAUACAAUGAAGCUCUGGGAGAGAGUCAUUGAGCAUAGAUUGAGGCAAGAGACACGGGUUUCGGACAACCAAUUUGGGUUCAUGCCAAGGCGCUUAACCAUGGAGGCAAUCUAUCUCUUACGAAGAUUGGUGGAAAGAUAUAGAGAUGGGAAAAAGGAUUUACACAUGGUUUUUAUAGAUUUGGAGAAAUUCGUAUGAUAGGGUCCCAAUAGACAUUCUUUGGAGGAUUUUAGAGAAGAAAGGAGUACGAGUAGCAUAUAUCCAAGCUAUAAAUGAUAUGUAUGAAUGAGCAAAGACUGCUGUAAGAACUCAUGAAGGACAAACUGAAAGUUUUCCCAUAACUGUAGGAUUACACCAAGGCUCAUCCUUAAGUCCCUACCUUUUUGCGUUGGUAAUGGAUGAGUUAACAAGACAUAUUCAAGAUGAUAUUCCUUGGUGUAUGCUUUUCGCAGACGAUAUAGUGUUGAUAGAUGAAACACAGGAAUGGGUAAAUGCAAAGCUUAACCUUUGGAGAGAAGUGUUGGAAUCUAAAGGUCUUCGCCUAAGCCGAUCAAAGACAAAAUAUAUGGAGUGCAAGUUCAGUGCAAAUGGAGGCCAAAACGAGUUAGGGGUGAGGAUCGGAGAUCAAGAAAUACCAAAGAGCGACCGUUUUCGUUACCUAGGAUCUAUCUUGCAAAAGAACGGAGAAUUAGAUGGAGAUCUCAACCAUAGAAUACAAGCUGGAUGGAUGAAGUGGAAGAGUGCAUCCGGCGUGUUGUGUGACCGCCGUAUGCCACUGAAGCUCAAGGGAAAAUUUUAUAGGACGGCAAUAAGGCCGGCGAUGCUGUAUGGCACAUAAUGUUGGGCGGUGAAGCAUCAACACGUACACAAAAUGGGUGUAGCGGAGAUGAAGAUGCUUCGUUGGAUGUGUGGGCACACGAGAAAGGAUAAGAUUAGGAAUGAGGAUAUCCGGGGUAAAGUAGGAGUAGCCGAAAUUGUAGGAAAGAUGAGAGAAAAUCGGUGACGGUGGUUUGGACAUGUGCCAAGAAGGCCUACUGACGCUCCGAUUAGAAGAUGUGACUACUGGACAGAGGUUCAGGGCCGAAGGGGUAGAGGAAGACCUAGAAAAACUUUGGAAGAGACUCUAAGAAAGACUUAGAGUACCUGGAUCUAACGAAGGACAUGACACAGGACCGAGCAUAAUGGCGUUCUAAGAUUCAUAUAGCCGAUCCCACUCAGUGACUUGGAUUUUCCAAGUCUCCAGCCGAGAAGUUUUCCUCACUCAGGAAAUUAAGGGAACACUACCCCAACCUACAUGCUCCACUCACAAAGCUUCAACAAAAGAAAAUUCAAAGAACUUAGCGAAGAAGGCUUUGAUGUAUUUAACACAAUACGUUGAAAUGAAGGAAAGCUUAUUUAUUGAUAUCAUCGAUAAGCUACAAAUAUGUACAUAUACAUAAGUCAAAAUAAACAAACAAGAGGGAGCCUUCACAAAGGUUGCUUAGGAGAAGUCUCAGCAGUCGGUAGAGCCCCAGAAAGAGAAGGCACCGGAGGGGGAUCAUUCGGAGCCUCAGUACUGGACAGAACCCUAGAAGGAGGAGGCAUAAGAGGUUGAUCAUUUGGUGCUUCAUUACGCGGUACAGCCCCAGAAGACGAAGGCAAUAAAUGCCUUUGGAACAAACCCACAAAUCUCUGAUGAUCAAGUAAAACCUGACCAUCAGAUUCCUUCAUCUGGUCAAGCUUCCUCUUCAUGUUUGUAGCAUAGUCAUGUGCGAGCCGGUGCAACUGUUUAUUCUCAUGCUUGAGCCCUCUAAUCUCCUGUUUGAGACUCAUCACUUCAGCCGCCAAUGAUUCAACUUGGCGGGUUCGAGCAAAUAGGUGUUGGGCCAUAUUAGACACAGAACCUGCACACUGAACACUGAGAGCCAGAGAAUCCUUAACAGCUAACUCAUCAGACCGUUUGGAAAGUAGUCUGUUAUCUUUGGGAGUGAGAAGGUUCCUGGCCACCACCGCAGCGGUCAUAUCAUUCUUCAUCACGGAAUCCCCAACGGUAAGAGGACCAGUAGGGGAGACGAAGGAUGGGCGCCAUAUGUUGUCUGGAGAAGGCGGGGCUUCCUCUUCAACAAGGUUCAAGUCAAAACGACGGUCGGAGGGGCCAGACAUUUUCAAAUGUGUUGAAGAGAGAAGAGGUCGGACAAAUCAAGAUCUUAGAAGUGUAAGAAUGGAGCUUCUACUGGUGGAGAUUCAAGUGUGCUUUGGAACUUAAUGUCAGCCCCUAUAAAAAUCUGCACUCAACGGAGCUUCAGAAAUCGAAGAGGCGCCUGCUCAGAAAUCGAAGAGGCGUUUGCUUUCUCAAAAGCAAGGCUGCUCAGAUACCACGAGGGUCGAUCUCAGAAAUCGAAGAGGCGUUUGCUUUCUCAAAAGCUGGGCAGCGCAAAGACCACGAAGGCCGAUCUCAGAAAUCGAAGAGGCGCUCAAAAGUUGGGCUGCUCAGAGACCACGAGGGCCGAUCUCAGAAAUCGAAGAGGCACCUACUUUUCCAGCCUUGUCAGUACCUGUCACACACACACUCAGCUUUGCGAAAAUUAUGGGGAUUCGGUCGAAGACUUCUGGUGAAGUAGAAAGCACAUGAGUCUUACUGUUCAAUCACCCACUUCCCACACGCAACAGUAGCUCAUGGGUACCACAUAUAACUUUUCCAAAGUUCUCUGCCAAAGUUGAACACGUGAAGUUUGCAGCUCCCACUACAUCGCUCUGAUCAAGAAGGGUAAAAGAAUAGCAAAGAAACAACACUAACAAAGUUUAGACACAUAAAUUUUGAUGGUCGAGCUACCAUAUUAUUACCCACAAGGGUAAAGGAACAGUACCACUGCUGGAUAAUUGGAAAGUCCCUGUGUGUCAACCUCUGUGCUUCGUGGCAAGGUAGACUAUCAAACAUGCCCAACCUUUACUCACAUUCGAGAAAACACUCCCAACAAGAUUGCUUGCUCCAAAAUCGAAGAGGCACCGUCCUUCGAAUCUCGAGAGCCAGACUCCCAACAUGACUACUUUCUCAAAAAUCGAAGAGGGUAAAGGAACAGUACCAUUGCUGGAUAAUUUGAAAGUCCCUGUGUGUCAACCUCUGUGCUUCGUGGCAAGGUAGACUAGCAAACAUGCCCAACCUUUACUCACAUUCGAGAAAACACUCCCAACAAGAUUGCUUGCUCCAAAAUCGAAGAAGCAUCGCCCUCCGAAUCUCGAGAGCCACUCCCAACAUGACUACUUUCUCAAAAAUCGAAGAGACAUCGCUCUCCGAAUCUCGAGAGCCAGACCCCCAGCAUGAUUGCUUUCUCAAAAAUCGAAGAGGCACCGUUCUCCGAAUCUCGAGAGCCAGAUCCCCGAUAGGAUUGCUUGUUCGAAAACCGAAGAGGCAACACUUUCCCAAUUUCAAGAGCCGGAUCUCCUUGGAUAAAGCUAUCUGUAAUCUUCACUCGCAACAUUAGCUUUCCAGCUACCACAGACCACUUUUUCAAAGUGAUCUGACAACGUUAAAACAUGUGAAGCUGGCAGCUUCCACUACCGUGCUAUGACCAAGUAGGGUAAAGGAAUAGCAUUACUACUUGUUGUUAAGGAGACUCCUAUAUAUGUCGACCUCCAUCCCCAACGGAUAGGCAGACCUGCAAAAAUGCUCAACUCUUCCUCAUAUCUGAGAGGGCACUCCCAACGAAGCCUUUCGAAAUAUUCAGCUUUCUUUCCCCCCGAUAAUACCUCUGCAAACAAGCUAUACUAGAGCAAGAAUAUCUCAUAUCAUCAGGGUUAAAAGCAAGAGUAUCCCAUAUCAUGCUUUUUCCUUGUCUUUUUCUUUGGCCUUGUUCUUACCUGCAAGACAAGAAGAAAGAGAGCAAUCAGUCAGUACUUGGAAUCAAGCUUCCAGCCAGGAACUGACUGCCUGGAACCCCUUACCUGAUUACUUACCUGACAUUGUUCUCGAGUACUCAUCUUCAACAUCUUAUGCUUCCAGGGAAGAUACCGCAUCUGCCUGAGGAACAGAUAGGGCAAGGGAGAAGGAUAUAAGGAAGCAUGUGGAGACAAGCGUAACAGCACACGUGCCGAUACAUCCAUUACUCUGUCAAAGCAAAAGUAUCCCAUAUCAGUAGGGUCGAACGUACUCUAGAUUUGAUGGACUUGUUUUGACCCUCAAAUUCUUCAGUCGGCCUUAUACUCUGGAGGAAACCAGAAAUUUCUCCAGCUCAGUGCAAGAAUAAGCUUGUGGAAAGUUACUUCUUCAAAAGCAAAAGUAUCACAUAUCAUCUCUUCUCAUUUUCUUCUCUUUAUCCUUCAUGCUGCCUGCAAGAUAGGGAGAUUGUGAACAAUCAGCUGGAGCUAUGAUUGCUUACCUUGUCUGUCACCUCUUUCAGCAGAUCCCCUAGCUCGGCGAUUUGGGGGACUCCUACUACAUGGUUUGUAUCGCGCUUGACCAAGCCUGAAACUACAAGUAAGCUUCAAGUGAAAUUGAUACAUUACCUUGUGCAUCUCCACCAGUUAAAGAUACUACCCCUGGAUGGAGGAAGAGUACUUCCAGAGAAGAUGCCCCAUCUACCUAUGAGACAGAUAAGGCACGUCAAGACGAUACCACACUCUGAUACUUAGAAGUUUCGUGAUUACGAGAUCAUUCUCCCACAAUAUUUCCUAAUGUCAUUUGUACUAAAUCAUUCACUUGUACUCACUAAAGGAGAGCUUGAACCUAUGUACUUGUGUAAACCCUUCACAAUUAAUGAGAACUCCUCUAUUCCGUGGACGUAGCCAAUCUGGGUGAACCACGUACAUCUUGUGUUUGCUUUCCUAUCUCUAUCCAUUUAUAUACUUAUCCAUACUAAUGACCGGAGCAAUCUAGCGAAGAUCACAAAAAGCGACCGUUUUCGCUACCUAAGAUCUAUCGUGCAAGAGAACGGAGAAUUAGAUGGAGAUCUCAACCAUAGAAUACAAGCUGGAUAGAUGAAGUGUAAGAGUGCAUCCGACGUGUUGUGUGACCGUCAUAGGUCACUGAAGCUCAAGGGAAAAUUUUAUAGGACGACAAUAAGGCCAGCGAUGUUGUAUGGCACAGAAUGUUGGGCGGUGAAGCAUCAAUACGUACACAAAAAUGGGUGUGGCGGAGAUGAGGAUGCUUCGUGGGAUGUGUGGGCACACGAGAAAGGAUAAGAUUGGGAAUGAGUAUAUCCGAGGUAAAGUAGGAGUAGCCGAAAUUGAAGGAAAGAUGAGAGAAAAUCGGUUCCGGUGAUUUGGACAUGUGCAAAGAAGGCCUACUGACGCUCCGGUUCGAAGAUGUGACUACUGGACAGAGGUUCAGGGCCGAAGGGGUAGAGGAAGACUUAGAAAACCUUUGGAAGAGACUCUAAGAAAAGACUUAGAGUACUUGGAUCUAAUGGAGGACAUGACACAAAACCGAGCGCAAUGACGUUCUAGGAUUCAUAUAGCCGACCCCACUUAGUGGGAAAAGGCUUUGUUGUUGUUGUUGUUGUUGUUGGGGUUUUGCAGGGAGUACUAAUGUACUGAUUUUCUGGGAUUUUUUUUGUCCUUGCAGGAUUUUUGGUCUUUGAAAUGGGUAUGUGUUGUUUUUAAUGUUUCAGUUCUAGCGUUUUCCGUUCUUCGUUGCUUCGUGAUUCUCAUUUUUCAGUGUUGGGUGAUGGAAAUUUGUUAAAGUAGUUGGUAGUUUUUUGAGAAAGUUGGCAUUUUUAGUUAUAUUUUCUGUUUAAUCCUAAAUGUUUUGAAAACUCAUAAUUUUUUUGUUCUGGGAUUUAAAAGCAUCUUUUCCAGAUUGGUUACAAGGGUUAUGUUCUCUUCAAUUGGUUCACCUAAUUUUGAUUAGUUUUAAGUUUUGUCCUUUAAGUUUGUCUUUUAAGUUUUGUUCUUUAAGUUUUGUCUUUUAAGUUUUGUUCUCUAAGUUUUGUCUUUUAAGUUUUGUCUUCUGUGCUGUAAUGAGAGAUUUCCGUUGGCCUUUCGGAUUUUGGCAUGGGAAAGUUCACUUAUUUGCAAGGUUCUAAAAAACGCUAGGCGUUAGUUGGGCGGUGGGCUAGCGCCUAGCGGCUAGGCGGCUAGGCGGGAUCUAGGCGGGAUCUAGGCGGGCGCCUAGGCGGCCUAGGCGGAUUUAGGUAAAUUUCUUAUAUAUUUUAUGAAUUAAUUAAAUUUACUAUAUCAAAUGUAAAUAAUUAUUAACUAAUAUGUUAUUUCUUAUAGAAGAACAUACAUAGUGAAUGUUUUAUGUACAUAUAUAAUAUAUUUGUCUAGGAAAAAAAAAUAUUAUCUAAAUAAUUUUUAUAACAUAUAUAUAUAUAUAUAUAUAUAUAUAUAUAUAUCCCAAACUUUUAAAAAUAUAAAUAGCAUUGGGAGAGGGGCGUAGGGUUUCUAAAAGCACACUCAGAAAUAGAGCAUAUUUUAGUCUUUAUUUUAGAAUCCUAAGGAGCACCCUACUCGGAUGCACGACAUGUGUGCAAAUCUGGAGAUUCUUGCUGUAUCGGAUACACCAAUGCUUAGUCAAAAUUUCCUGCUAGGGUUUAUGGUGGACAUGUGUGUGUGGUCUUCAUUAUUAAACCCAUUAGCACCUCACCUUUUCACAUCACCCGUCCAUCACCUUGGGUGGUUUUGAUAAUUAAAACCAUCAACAUCCAUGGUUUUGAUAAUUAGAACUACCAACUUUUCCUUGGAUUUGAGAAUCUGAGAUCCCAUUCAUCGCCAUCAAAUAUUGAAAUGUUUCAUUGUUCAUCUCUUUCUCCCUCUUCUCACUCUCUAUUCCCUCAUCUUCACAGAGAUGAGUUACAGAAAUUCUCCGGUAAUCUCUCUCUCUCUCUCUUCGUAAUCGACGAGCUCCUCGACUUGAAGUCGCAGCCAAGUUAUGAAGAAUCGAGAUGCGAGAGCAAGUGGAGAGUGGAGACUCUGGAAAUUGGGAGUGACGAUCGACGACGAUGAGUCGAUGACCCAGGAAACCUCUUGAAGUUGCAGCAGGUGAGUGCACUGCAGUUGAGGAAGAAGAGACGAAGAGACUUAGUUUCUGAAAUUAGGGUAGCUGCAAGGCACGGGAACUUAAAAACAAAAAAACAAAAAGAAAACCGCCUAGCUCCGCCAGCCGCCUAGCCUGCCUAGGCGCCUCCUAGCCCGCCUAGGUGCCGCUUAGCCACCGCCUAGAGCCCAGCCGUUUUUUCCCACCGUUUUGCACAAAAACGCCUUGGCCACCCUCCGCCUAGCGCCUAGGCGGCCGCCUAGGCCGUUUUUUAGAACACUGCUUAUUUGUCUAAUUAGAUUGUGGAUGCCUUCGAUUCUUUAUUUAAUUGUUCUGUUUGCGUUCGGGUGUGAUGAUCUAAAUUUCAUAUGUUUGGAAUUAUUUACUUAACACCAAUUUGUUACAUUCAGAUCUCCACCCCACAUUUCACUAGUUCAAAUUCCAUAGAAGUUGGUUAUUGCAGAUUGCGUCUACAAUUAGAUCAGAGAUCAACUACUCUUUUGUUAUCCUGCAGAAGAUUGCUUUUGGGAAGGAUCUGAAGUAGUUUCUCUCUGUAUGUUUAUUCCCAUGUAGCUCUGUCUUUUCUAAUUGAUGGUGUUGAUAUUACACUGUAAUUCAUGAUGAUGAUUUAAUUGUUUAUUGAUUUGUAAUUGUUUGUGAAUAAUGUGGCAUAUAUGAAUUGCAAUCUGUGUUUGUAUGAAAGGGAUGGCAUAUUAUGUUGCUGACUUAAUUGUUUAUGUUUUUCAUAUUUGCGAAUGGUGUUAUGAUCAAUUAGGUGAUUGCUGACCUGUGACUUUGUUUGGAGCUCAAAUUUUGUGAGCAUUACAUUGGAUUGUUUUGAUGUUGUUUUGGUUGACAAUGCAGGGAUAGGAGAAACAAAGAGGAUGACACUUAUAACUGCCAUUCCCCAUCGGCCGUCUUCAAAUUUGGAUCACAAGAAGGGAGCAACAUAGGUGUUUUCCUUCUUUAUUUAGAUAUGGUUAGUGUAAAUAAUUGGACAAAAGAGCCAAACAAACCCUGUUCUCUCAAAUGGAGUUGAUGAUGUGGUCGACGGCCACCAGCCCCAACUCAAGAGUUUGGCCUUCAUAUAAUUGGAUUGUAGUAUAAUUUUAUUUUUGUUCAUUUCUUUUUUCCUUUAUAUAAGUGCAGGUGUUGUGAUGUUUUGAAUAAAGGGUGAUGAAAGGUGGUUCACACUUCCUCCUUACUUAAAGCAAGUGGAGAUGACGGUUUGUAUAAAAAGAAAAACUUGCCACGUACUUCAAUUUUCUAUUUUAUUAAUUAUUGUUUGGUUUUCCAAAUGUUGUAUUCACAAAGAGAGACCAAUUAUGUCUUUGAGAAACAAGUUUCUUUGUCUACAUUGCGAGAAUUUGCAGUUUGCAACUUUCAUUGGUUAUUAUAUUUGAUUGAGUUAAACUUGGAUUUCUGGAUUCUGACUUUUUCGUUUGUUUCUUUGUUGCAGAGUUGGCUUCAUUUCAUUCCAGGAACUCUCUAAAUAGGGCCAAGAACUCACUAAAUAGGUAGUCAAGAGGAAUUCAGUUUUGCCUUCAAUUUUUGCCUUCUGUUUACAUUCUUCCUGGAUGCACUCUCACCGCUUCUCUCGCUUACCACUUUUUUCUCACUCACCGCUUCAUCUCUUCUGUUGCUUACAAGGUCGUGUCAUAUAUUUUUUAAUUUUGUGGUUUAAUUUAUUGAAUAUUUGAAAAAAGAGAUAAAAUUAUAAGAUACUAUAUAAGAUACUAUAUAGUAUCUUAUAAAUAAAUGAAUCACAAAUGAUACUAUAGUUGUUAAAAAAUCCCAUUACUCAAAACUCCAAUUCCCUCCCAUUACUGAAAGCUCCAAUUCCAUCAAAACCGAGAUGGUAAAAGUACAAACUGGCUAGUUUCCACCAAAAAAAAAAGUACAAACUGGUUACAAAAAUAUGUUUUGUCCCAUCCAAUUGACGAAAAGAGAUAAAAUUUUCAAUUUACAAUUACUGAUAUGAUGUUUGUUUUGAAAAUCAUUAAGGUGAAUGGAGAGAUUUACAACCAUGAAGAGCUGAGGAGCCGUUUGCCAAAUCAGAUUUAUAAGGUCUCAUCAAUUAUGAAUAAACGACUUUUCAUUCCCAAUGACCUUUAUCGUUUUUCUUAAUGGGUUAGCUGAACAUGAGGUAGAUGCUGACUUUAUCAAAUAUGAGAAUGUUUUAGGAUUUCAUUCUAAUUUUUUGGCUGUUUGAUUACUUUGCUUUUCGUAAUUUGUUUUGCUUAUCGUCAAUUGGAUGGGACAAAACAUAUUUUUGUAACCAGUUUGUACUUUUUUUUUUGGUGGAAACUAGCCAGUUUGUACUUUUACCAUCUCGGUUUUGAUGGAAUUGGAGCUUUCAGUAAUGGGAGGGAAUUGGAGUUUUGAGUAAUGGGAUUUUUUAACAACUAUAGUAUCAUUUGUGAUUCAUUUAUUUAUAAGAUACUAUAUAAGAAACUGUUAUUAGCACUCUAAAAAACUCAUUCUACACUCGCGACAAGUGUAUUUUUCUUUUUAAUUAUGGAAAGUUUGAAGGGCAAAAUGAGAAUUUUGGAGUGCCAAUAACAAUUCCCUAUUAUAUAUAGCUCUACUGGGAAGGCUACUGUAUAUGUCUUCAUCCUGUUAAAUUGUAUAUGGCUCUUGAUGUCGGCUGAAUUAAAUCAAAAUGAAAACCAAGCUGAUCUUACCAGCCGAUAUCACUUAUCACUUGCUUAUUUAAAUUAUUUGAAGAUGCGUAUGUGGAUUGGUGAUUUUGUUGGAUUCACUUAGCUCAAAUAUAUGUUAUCUGAGUCGCUACAUUUGAGAAUGUGAUUCUGUUCCUACCACCAUUUUGCCCACUUUUUGUGGAAAUUAUUCAUUCCUGUUGUGAAUAAUACAUUCAUCCCCGGCAACGAAGUGCGGGCACAUUUUAUAGUUUAAAUUAAAUCACACAAUGGGUCAUCAAUAAUGACAAACUCGUCAUUUAUGCGAGUCAAACAUGAGGCCACCUACCUACUAGUUUAGUGGAAUACCACAAAGUGACAUGUUGAUACCUUUAAGUCUCAUAUAAUGGAUUGCAGAAUUAGGAUAUACCUAGACUAAUUUAGUCAGUGCGUGAACCCGAACAAUUAACAAGGGUUUUAUUCUUGCUUGAAUGUUUGUUAUAUGUUCCUAGUUUGACAAGGCAAUUAUAUUUCCGAUUACAAAAGUUAUUAAUUUAGUCGAGAAUUGACGCACCUGAAAUGGUGUGAGGAAAACAUGUAGACACAUCAACCGCAGUCCACUGUCCUGGGCAUCUAUCUUCCCCGAAACGAAGCUCAAAGCCAUACAUGAGGGCAUUGUGUAUGUCUUUAUAAGAGAAGUUGCUGUAGUCUUCAACGUAGCCGGCAGCCAAACUCAUCCACUCUACACUGCAACCCUCAUCCAAAUCCCAUGCUUCCAACCUGCCCCCGACAUAGUCAGCGACCAUGACAUAGCUAUACGUUUUUGGUUGACUCGAAGAAGAAGAAGAAGUAUUAUUCAAGCAUGGAGCAGUGUCCACGUACAGAGAAGAAUUCGAUGGAUUCGAACACUUCAAGUAAUAUAUAGAUAGAGAAUUGAUGUCAUAGGUGGGCCAAUAUGGAGAAUUGAUGUCCUCGGUGGUGGGCGGAAUAUUUUGAGACAUGGAAGAGCAAUUGUUGUUGUCAAGCCCAGGAUCUAGAACUCGGAUUGUAUUGUUAAUGUAGUUGAUUGCCUGGACAUAGUAUUUUCCGGAAGAAGGUACGUCUAGUACAGUAAUGUUGCUCUCACAGUACAGAGUAUACAUUAUGUUGCCACAGUACUUUGGAUCAUCGUUCAGUCGAAAAGGAUGGCUUAUGUAGUGGAUAUGGCCGCAGGAUGAAGUGCAGGACUUGGCACUACUGUUGUCAGCGUUACAAGUUUCACUGCAAAAGCAAAGAAGAAGAAAGGCUAAACUUAAGGUGAAGGACCUGCUUCCACUAAUUUCCAUUGAUCUGAGAGAGAGAGAGAGAGAGAGAGAGAGAGAGAGAGAGGGUACUAUAGCUUGAACACCAAGGAGUUAUAUAAUAUGGGAGGGGUUAAAGCGCUUCGCUUAAAGUUGCAGUAAGCCCGGCAAAUAUCCUAGGGAAAAGUCGGUCAAUGGUGUCCUAUAGAGAAAAGUCGGCCUUGGUGUUUGACACGGUCACUCACUCUCUCUCUCUCUCUCUCUCUCUCUCUCACAUUGACGAGGGACACUGUAAUUAACAAAAAAAUUGUUCUUCAGAGAUAGAUUUUGAAAUUCUUAUUUUAUAUAAAAAAACACCUAAUAUUAAUCAUUCAAAUGAAAUUCCUAAAAUUAAGUAUAAAUAAUACAUAAUAAAAACUGAACACAUACAAUCAACGGUCACGAUCAUGAAAUCCUUCGGAUCCUCAGAAAAAAAUCCGACGAUGAUCUUUUUCUGUGUAAAAUAAUUUGAGGGUAUAAUACUGGAUGUGCGAUUAAACCGAAGAACCCACCCACCUCCAUCUUCUCCGACCAACUUGAACCCAGCCACUACUACAUGUCAUCCCGACAACCCACUCUCAGCUUCCCAAACCGCCAUUUUUCACCCAUUCACCUACCACUGCCAUUAUUCAUUCAAUCAACCCAAAACACGAGAGCCACCCCCAUCUCACCAGUCGAACAGAUGCAGCCACCCACCCAUUUAAUCCCAGUCCAAAAUCAAACCCUCUCCUAAACCCACCCCAGAAUCCAAUAAUUUCAAAAAAUGGCUGAUUAUAUCAUUUCAAGAACCUCACAAUUCCAAAAACUAAAAACCCACUUCAAAGAUGUAAUAUUUUUCUCUCUUCCUCUUUUUGGGUUUUUUUUUCUUUUUUUUUAUCAAUUCUCUUCUGGGUUUUUGUUUACAGUGUAAAAUCAACACUAAUUUACUAAUUUUGCUUUGAUUUCAAACACUAUUGAGGCGUGAUAACCUGUUGCAAGCUCAGCCAUGGCGGCUACUGCGAAAUCUAACGGAAAAACCAUCACAGACUCUGCCAUUUCAUCCAAGGUUCCGACAAUAGCAAAACGAAUAGCUGUCGCAGAUUUCUUCCAACAUCAAUCACUACGCGAAAUUAAUUGUCAAUGAAGACGAUCCCAUUCCCCUUCGAAAUCUGCUGGGGAAAGAGACCUUCUUUCAGAUCUGCUCUGAGACCGGUUUAUGCGAGAGAGUGGUGAGCCUGACGACAGAGAGAAAUAAGGGCAGGAUUGGAAAAUUGGAAAGUUCAUUUAUUGGUUACUGUUUAUCCGUGUUUCUUCGAAAUAAGCUGCUUUUUCCAGCUUUGGGUUUCAGUGUUUUUUAACCCAUAAUUUUGAAAGAAAAAAAACUGAUUUUAAAUGUUUAUCAAACACUUAAAAUGUUCCAAUCUUUUUUCAUACCUACUUUUUAUUAAAAGUUAAGCUAAACAAAAAUCAAGAUUAAGUUUACUACUCUGAAGUUUCUUGCUUUUCAACAUUUCAUACAUUGAAUUUUUCUCAUCCAGUGUCAUAUCUAAGGUGGGAAUUGUGGGACACUUUUAUACAUCCGUUAGAUUUUAUGUGAAUUGCGUGGCACUUUUAUACAUCCGUUAAAUUUUUUGUGAGAACCUUCGCUGACCCACGAUGCGGCAUGCAUGUGGACAUUAAAAAAAUUCAAAAAAUUCAAAAAAUUUUAAAAUUUUAAAAUUUAAAAUUCAAAAAUACUAAAAACCUAAACUUUUCAUAAUAUUGAAAGACUGAAUCUUUUCACAGUCAGCCAAAUUUUCUUCAAAUUUUAAUUAGAUGAAAUAAUGAAUCUUGAACAAAGCAAAACAAAACGUAAUAUUGAGAGAUUCAGUCAUUGAAGUGGACGUGGAUGUUGGGUACUCAAUAGUCCAAGAAUGAAAACUCUCAUAUCAGUUUCUAUCCAAAAUUUUGGAAUUAUGUGUGUUGCAACGAUUGUCCAAAGGAUUAUUCUUCUUUUAUUAAAUUUCCAUGAAAAAUGAGCAUGGAGCACAAAAGUUGAACGAAUGAUUAUUCUUCUUUUAUUAAAUUUCCAUGGAAAAUGAGCAUGGGGCACAAAAGUUGAACGAAUGAAAUUUCAACGAUUUGAAAAGGGAUUGUGAGUUUGACAUGUCAUUUUUCUUCCUCUAAUGCAAUCAUGUUUAUUAAAAGACAAAAAUAAAUAUGACUUUACAUAAGGAGAGAGAAGGAGUAGUUUUCUUUGAAAAAAUCAACCAUUUAUUGAAGAGGAUGUGGAUGUUGAUUGAUGCGUCGUGAAUACGAAAAAAAGGACCUUGAAAGGAGUUGAGACAUUCAUUAAAAGCUAGAAGAAAAAAAAGUUAAAAGUGUUUUAGAAAAAAAGCAAGAAAGCCUCAUUUUCAAAGUUGUGGUCAUUGCACAAUACUUGAUUAGAAGAAAACUCAUAGUAUUGUAUUUACAAUUUCAAGUCUUUAUGGGGAACGAGAGAGCAAGUUUUCCAAUUGGAAUAUGAUAUGAAAUUUCUACAUAACUAUAUAUGACAAUGAAAGAAGUCUAAGUUUCUAAAUGGAAGGGCUUCCAAUUGAUGUGAGUUUGUUGAGAAAUUAGUGAACAACAGAACAAGUUGCUUCUCCUUUGGCCUUCUAACAUGAUAUCACAGAAAACAAGUUGUUACUAAUAAAUGUAUCUGAUUGGUGGACUUAGACGUGCGCGGUACGAUUUUUGAUAACUAGAGAAGAUGGGCAGUGUCAUGACAAAAUUUAUCCAAGUAGACCCAAAGGAAUGACUUAGGAACUUCAUAUGCAGUGGGAUAAAAUCUUAAGCUAAUUUCCUUACCUAUCUUAUAGGCAUUAAGUAAAAUGUAUAUGCAUAUUUCUAGACACACCAAUUUACUUAAUAUUAACUUCUUUCAAAUACCCAUUUGCAGAAACGCAAAGCUCUCUUGCAUGCUUGUUGUAAUGCUUAUGUAGUGCGUAUCCUAUAUCUUAUAUAUAUAUCUUACUUUUUGUGAUCCAUUUUUUCAUCACUAUGCCAAACGAAUAGCAAAACGAAUAGCUGUCGCAGAUUUCUUCCAACAUCAAUCACCACGCGAAAUUAAUUGUCAAUGAAGACGAUCCCAUUCCCCUUCGAAAUCUGCUGGGGGAAAGAGGCCUUCUUUCCGAUCUGCUCUGAGACCGGUUUAUGCGAGAGUGGUGAGCCUGACGACAAAGAGAAAGAAGGGCAGGAUUGGAAAAUUGGAAAGUUUAUUGGUUACUGUUUAUCCGUGUUUCUUCGAAAUAAGCUGCUUUUUCCAGCUUUGGGUUUUCAGUUUUUUUUACCCAUAAUUUUGAAAGAAAAAAAACUGAUUUGAAAUGUUUAUCAAACACUUAAAAUGUUCCAAUCUUUUUUCAUACCUACUUUUUAUUAAAAGUUAAGCUAAACAAAAACCAGGAUUAAGUUUACUACUCUGAAGUUUUUUGCUUUUCAACAUUUCAUACAUUGAAUUUUUCUCAUCCAGUGUCAUAUCUAAGGUGGGAAUUGUGAGACACUUUUAUACAUCUGUUAGAUUUUAUGUGAAUUGUGGGGCACUUUUAUACAUCCGUUAGAUUUUUUGUGAGAACCUUCGCUGACCCACGAUGCGGCAUGCAUGUGGACAUUGAAAAAAUUCAAAAAAAAUCGAAAAUUUUAAAAUUUUAAAAUUUAAAAUUCAAAAAUACUAAAAACCUAAACUUUUCAUAAUAUUGAGAGACUGAAUCUUUUCACAGUCGGCCAAAUUUUCUUCGAAUUUUAAUUAGAUGAAAAUAAUGAAUCUUGAACAAAGCAAAACAAAACGUAAUAUUGAGAGAUUCAGUCAUUGAAGUGGACGUGGAUGUUGGGUACUCAAUAGUCCAAGAAUGAAAACUCUCAUAUCAGUUUCUAUCCAAAAUUUUGGAAUUAUGUGUGUUGUAACGAUUGUCCAAAGGAUUAUUCUUCUUUUAUUAAAUUUCCAUGAAAAAUGAGCAUGGAACACAAAAGUUGAACGAAUGAUUAUUCUUCUUUUAUUAAAUUUCCAUGGAAAAUGAGCAUGGGGCACAAAAGUUGAACGAAUGAAAUUUCAACGAUUUGAAAAGGGAUUGUGAGUUUGACACGUCAUUUUUCUUCCUCUAAUGCAAUCAUGUUUAUUAAAAGACAAAAAUAAAUAUGACUUUACAUAAGGAGAGAGAAAUAGUAGUUUUCUUUGAAAAAAUCAACCAUUUAUUGAAGAGGAUGUGGAUGUUGAUUGAUGCGUCGUGAAUACGAAAAAAAAAGACCUUGAAAAGAGAUGAGACAUUCAUUAAAAGCUAGAAAAAAAAAAGUUAAAAGUGUUUUAGAAAAAAGCAAGAAAGCCUCAUUUUCAAAGUAGUGGUCAUUGCACAAUACUUGAUUAGAAGAAAACUCAUAGUAUUGUAUUUACAAUUUCAAGUCUUUAUGGGGAACGAGAGUGCAAGUUUUCCAAUUGGAAUAUGAUAUGAAAUUUCUACAUAACUAUAUAUGACAAUGAAAGAAGUCUAAGUUUCUAAGUGGUAGGGCUUCCAAUUGAUGUGAGUUUGUUGAGAAAUGAAGAUGAAGAUGAAUAUUGAUGUUGAUGUUAGUGAACAACAGAACAAGUUGCUUCUCCUUUGGCCUUCUAACAUGAUAUCACGGAAAACAAGUUGUUGCUAAUAAAUGUAUCUGAUUGGUGGACUUAGACGUGCACGGUACGAUUUUUGAUAACUAGAAAAGAUGGACAGUGUCAUGACAAAAUUUAUCCAAGUAGACCCAAAGGAAAGACUUAGGAACUUCAUAUGCAGUGGGAUAAAAUCUUAAGCUAAUUUCCUUACCUAUUUUAUAGUAUUAAGUAAAAUGUAUAUGUAUAUUUCUAGAUGCUGACACACCAAUGUACUUACUAUUAACUCCUUUCAAAUACCCAUUCGCAGAAACGCAAAUCUCUCUUGCAUGCUUGUUGUAAUGCUCAUGUAGUGCGUAUCUAAUAUCUUAUGUGUAUAAUUUUUUGUGAUCCAUUUUUUCAUCACUAUGCCAAAAUCCCUUUAGAAUUUGCAAUUUAUCCAUUUGGUUAUGGUAAAAAAAAAAACUCGGAAUUUCAUUUAAACUCGAAAAUCUAGAAUUGGGAAAGCAAUUUUCCCUUGUUCGGCAACUUGUAGCGAUAGCAAAGGCAAAUUGUACCGGAAAAAAGUGGAAAUUGGGGAUGAAGAUCCAAUUUUAAUUUCGUCAAAAUAAGUGUAAUUUCACAAUUCCAACAACGUUGAGAAUCACAAAUGCAUUGUGGGGAAAUCUUGCGACCACCAAACUUUACGAUUAGAGCGCCAAAUUUCAUGAUAAAACGUAAUAAGGGUUUAGGACUGCAUCGUUCGCUCUGUUAACUCUCCAAUCUUCGACGGGAUUUUCAACUCGUGCAUCAUUUUUUGCUUUGUUCUAGGUCAAAGCCUACUCUUUUCUUUCUUGAAUUAUUUUAGCUUUGCGGGUAUACUCUUUAGGCCAAUUGUGAAUUUUGCUAGUUAUUUUUAUUUUCUGAUGGUCAUAUGUUUGUUUUUUUUUUCUUCCAAUUGAGCUGUGUAUUGGUUGGAUCAGUAACUUUUUUUUUGGAUUUUUAUUUUUAUUUUUAUGGAUUUUGGUGUUAGUUCCUUGUUAUAGAUGUAUAGAUGUUGUGGAGCAAAAAAUAAUCUCAAAAAUCGUGGAGGUGACACACGGAUUUUUGGACAAGAAUGACAAAAUUAUCCUCGAAGCACAUCAUGAUUCCCACGUGCAUGCAACGGACAAUAACGGCUCAAUCAUGGAAGAGUCAAAGGUGAUCAAUAUGGUAUUUAUUCAAAUCCCUCUCAUCACUCCUCAUCAAUCCCUUUUUGAUUUUAUUCAAAAGGUAACUCCCAAAACUUCCUAUUUAAUUUAGGGAUCAUUGUCAUGUUAAUUGCAAGAUAUUAUUUCACAAAAUAUCUUGUAAUUAUUCUUCAAUUACCACCAUGUAUGGCCGGCCACUCCUCACCCUAUGGGCCGGUCACUCCUCACCCUAUGGGUCGGCCACUCCCUAUAAAUAGCCCUAUUAUUCCACUAAUAAGGAAGCCAUUUGCUACCCACAAACUCCUAAACACAUUCUUUCAGAAUUCUAACUUUGGCAUUGGAGAUUCUUAGGCCAAAUCCCCCCUCCCAUUCAUCGUGGGCGCAUAAGGCUUUUGGCCUUAGUCUUAGGUAUUAUUAUUUUGCAGGUGCAUUUUCGUCAAAGACGAAGAUGGUGGAAAUUUGGAUCCACAAAUUGGUGUUUUCAUUGAGAGUUUGAUUCACAAGCUCGAAGAAGACUCUCGCAUUCAAAGUUUCACAUUUCUCAUUCAUAAGUAAAUUUUUCAUACGUUCUUAUUCCUAGAAUUUUUUUAAAUCUUUGAAUAGACGUAGGAGAGAAAUACAAUGGCUAGAAAUUUAGAAACCACGACGAACGAAACUUCCUACGUUCAAAGAUCCAGAUCAAAUGAUGGAAAUUGCGAUGUAGCCCCACCACGACGAUCCACGAAGCUCAACGUAGUGGCAAAAUGAGUAACUUGGCCACCACGGAGUACCACCACCACCAUAGCCAAGGCAACCCAUGUUGCAGUGGGGAGUGGGACAACUCCAUGGCAGCAAGGCCACGAAGCAACAACAGAUGCCAUCUUGCAGUAAUGAGCCCAAGCCUGUGUCACAAGGUAGUCAACCCAGCGCUAGGUAACCUAGAUCUAGUAGGCCCACGACGUUGCCAUAGUAGCUGAGGCCUAAAGCAAGGCCCAAGCAGCUGCGACUGCGGCAAAUGGAGCAACACAACACUGGCGGGGCCAAUGCACCCUUGGCCUAAUGCCAAGCAGGCUAAAUCGCACCACACCCACUAUUCAAACUAACCCUAAGUUGAGUAAGUAGCAUUGAAGGUUGUCAACCGCAAGGCGUUGAAGUACGAAUAAAGUUACACACCCCGCACAUGACUUGGCCCACUUCCGCGGCCCAACUUGCUCGCAAGGUCCACCUAGUGAUCCCGACCAGUCGAAGGCCAGUUCAAUCAUCCCAUCUUCAGAUUUCUGGACUGACGAUUGAAUCGGGGGUAUUUUCACCCCGAUUUUCUACAGAUUUGACAUAUCUCAACACAAAUCUCGCACUUGGAGUCCAUUGCACUUCCAUUACUCAAGGAGACGCAUACCAUUUAAGAUCUUCCAUCCCAAAUGGCGAACAACACUUGUCUUGACAAGUCAUAGAGUUGACAUGCACUUUUGCGCAGUAGACGACCUUAGUGAAUCAGCUUUUGCAACGCACAAAGAUGCAGUAUGCCCCAGACGAUGUGUCCCGAAGCAGGACAAGUAUAGACGACGAUUCUCUCCAGCAGCGUCCCAACAAGCAGCCGCUCGACUAGCCACGAACCGAGCAUUCUGGCAGUGUACACUCCCGUCUAGGUCCUCAAGAAAGCAUAUACUCUCAUCUUAGCGCGCGGAUGAGCGUGCACUCCUGGUUAGGCCUACGGACGAGCAUACAUUCACGGUUGGGACCAUACUCUUAUAAUUAACAUGGACAACCUGCUAGACGAAGUGUUCAUUCGCGGCUAGGCUCGCAAAGAGCAUUUUCCACCUCAUAUUGGAGUAAGCAGCACAGAAGACGAAGAUAAGCAGUCAAUUAAUCUGGCUCAAAUUCAAUCGGCCACCUGUAAGUAACUAGCUCGCCUGCCAAGAACGUACCAUAUGCAAUGUAGCCACGACAUAGACUAGCUGAGCACAACGAUGAGCAACCUAGACUAACAGGUUACGACUGGGGGUAGCCAGAAGCUUCACUGCCCCAAUAUAGGUAAAUUUAGAAAGAAGUUGAGAGGCUUCUGACAGAACGAUUGUGCGAUUUCCAACGCAAUGAAGCUACUGACAAGGCGCUUAAACGAUACACGACCAACAUAAACGGGUCACCUUUUAUUGACAAGAUUGAGCAGACAGAACCAUCCUACAUACACUGGCGGAUACAAAUAUUACUUCUAUUUUAACAUACGCAUCAACUCAGCCUAAUGGCGUGUCGAGGGCAAAUGGGUUCCAGAAUGGCACACUAACCCAACCACCAAGAACCAGGGCCAAAUCUUAUUUUCAUCACUCCACACGAUUCAAUGCUUGAGCAUCACAUCACCAGUAAUAGAGCACCGCAGACCUAAUGGUCCAAUUCCUCCUGAUGCACACAAGCUCACCCCAGCUCCACGCUCAAAGCCGUGCCUACCUGCUCCACAACACUCAGCCACCCUUGAUUUGUCACCAUGGCUCACAGUUAUGCCAAUUUUGCACCACAGCUCCCAGCCGUGCUAAUCUUGCCAUGCGGCUUUUAACUACGUUAACCAAGCCCACGAUACUUCAUACUUCAAAACAUCCAAUGACGAAGUAGAACAUGAGGCUCUACUAGCAGCCCCUGCUAGUGAAAGGCUUUGCGGUGAAGAGGCUUCCAAUCCAUUCAAAUUCUCAGUUGACCACCUGUUGGGUUUUACGGCUCAAAAUUAGGAUGAUGCAAAAAAAAUUGUGUUACCUAUUUGGUUUUGGUGUCGUAUUUGGGUUUGGAUUUUGACCUCUUAGUUGGUUUCCUUGGUGGAGAGAUUUUGUUAAUUACCUAUUUGAUUAGGAUUUGGAUUUACUUCCUAUUAAGAUUCUUAUUGUAACCUAAGUCUUAUGCACUAUAAAUAGGACCUCAGGGUUAGUGUAUUUUGUGUGGCUCAUUCGUGUGGCAAUUUGGUGAGAGUCAAUUUGUGAGUUUGUGAGUUAGAGAGCAAUUUGGGAGAAUCUUCUCCGUUAGUUUUGGGUUCUCUACUCGUUUGGUUUAGGGUUUGUAAUUUGUGGGAUUUGGAUUGUGAGAGUUUAAACACUAUUUUGUAAUCUCCGUUUGUUUAGUGAAAUUUCUUGUCAUGCUUCGCUCGUGGACUUAGAUUUUACACCGAACCACAUAAAUCUCUUGUGUUAGUUUGAGAUUGUUUGUUUUAGUUUUCACCUACAACGUUGAUAUCGGUACUUUGCUAUAAUUUGCUUUCCUUUGCUCAUAAAAGUACGACAAGUGGUAUCAGAGCCCAGCUUUCGGCUUGGGCUUUUCUUGGCAAUCAAUAUGAAGCCUUCUGUGUCGUCGGUGAAAGUUGAUAUUGAAAAGUUCGAUGGCAAUGACUUUGGUAUUUGGCAAUUGAAGAUGCGUGCUUUGUUAAUUCAACAAGAGCUUUUAAAAACGCUAAAGGGUGUGAAGGCUUUCCUGAAUUCGUGGACUGAUGAAGAAAAACAAAGAAGUUAUGGAGCGGGCACUUGGAACAAUCCUGCUGACUUUAUCGAAUGAAGUCUUGCGUCAAGUUGGUAGCAUCAAAUCUGCACCGAAGUUGUGGCUAAAAUUGGAGAGUUUGUAUAUGACCAAAUCCCUUGCUAAAUGGUUGUAUUUGAAGAAAAGUUUGCGUACUCUUCGUAUGGAUGAAGGUACGUCAAUUCAUAAGACCAAAUCCUUAUUGCUGCCAAAAGUCCUCAACAGUUCCAAGGGAGAUGGGUAAGAGUUCGUAAUAGUGAGAGAUUGAAUCUUUUCACACUUGGCCAAAUUUUAAUUUUAAUUAGAUGAAACAAUGAAUCUUGAACAAAGCAAAACAAAAUUUAAUACUGAAAGAUUGAGUCAUUGAAGUGGACGUGGAUGUUGGGUACUUAACAGUCCAAGAAUGAAAACUCUCAUAUCAGUUUUUAUCCAAAAUUUUGGAAUUAUGUGAGUAUUGCAACGAUUGUCCGAAUGAUUAUUCUUCUUUUAUUAAAUUUCCAUGGAAAAUGAGCAUGGGGCACAAAAGUUGAACGAAUGAAAUUUCAAUGAUCUGCAAAGGGAUUGUGAGUUUGACAUGCCAUUUUUCUUCCUUUUAUGCAAUCAUGUUUAUUAAAAGACAAAAAUAAAUAUGACUUUACAUAAGCAGAGAGAAAGAGUAUUUUUCUUUGAAAAAAUCAACUAUUUAUUGAAGAGGAUGUGGAUGUUGAUUGAUGCGCCGUGUGAAUAGGAAAAAAAUGACCUUGAAGGGAGACAAGACAUUCAUUAGAAGCUAAAAAAAAGUUAUAGUGAUUUAGAAAAAAGAAAUUUUAACGAAAUAUUUCCGGUAUUGUUCACUCUUUACGAAAAACCACAUUUUUACAUUUCCUGGCUACUAUUCACUACACCUUUAUUUAUCAUUUUUCAUUAAAACUAAAUUUGUUUUUGAACUUUUCGUUAGUUUCCUUUAGAAAAAAGCAAGAAAGCCUCAUUUUCAAAGUGGUAGUCAUUGAAACAAUACUUGAUUAGAAGAAAAGUCAUAGUAUUGUAUUUACAAUCUCAAGUCUUGAGGGGUAACGAGAGUGCAAGUUUCUAAUUGGAAUAUAAUAUGAAAUUUCUACAUAACAAUAUAUGACAAAGAAAGAAGUCUAAGUUUCUAAGUGGAAGGGCUUCCAAUUGAUGUGAGUUUGUUGAGAAAUGAAGAUGAAGAUGAAUAUUGUUGUUGAUGUGAGUUAGUGAACAACAGAACAAGUUGCUUCUCCUUUGGCCUCUAACAUGAUAUUACCGGAAAACAAGUUGUUACUAGUAAAUGUAACUGACUGGUGAACUAAGACAUGCGGUACGAUUUUUGAUAACUAGAGAAGAUGAAUAGUGUCGUGACAAAAUUUAUCCAAGUAGACCCAAGGGAAAGACUUAGGAACUUCAUAUGCAGUGGGAUAAAAUCUUAAGCUAAUUUCCUUUUUAAUCUUAUAGUCAUUAUGUAAAAUGUAUAUGCAUAUUUCUAGAUACAUACACACCAAUGUACAUAAUAUUAACUCCUUUUAAGUAGUCAUUUGCAAAUCCCUCUUGAGUGCUCUUUGGAAUGCUCAUGCGGUGCCGUUCUAAUCUCUUAUAUAUAACUUUUUGUGAUCUGUUUUUUCAUCAAUAUGCCAAAAUCCCUUUAGAAUUUGCAACUUAUCUUUUUGGUUACGGUAAAAAAAAACUCGGAAUUUCAUUUAAACUCGAAAAUCUAGGGAUGUGAAAGCAAUUUUCUCUUGUUCGACAACAUUUAGCGAGAGCAAAGGCAAAUUGUACAGGAAAAAGUUAGAAAUUGGGGAUGAAGAUUCCCAAUUUUAAUUUCGUCUAAAUAAGUGUAAUUUCACAAUUCUAACUACGAUGAGAAUCACAAAUAUAUUGCAGGGAAAUCUUGCAACAGCCAAACUUUACGAUUAGGGUGCCAAAUUUCGUGAUAAAACCUAAUAAGGGUUUAGGGCUGCAUUGUUCACUCUGUUAACUCUCCAAAUCUUCGACGGAUUUUCGGCUCGUGCAUCAUCUUCUUGCUUUGUUCUAGGUCAACGCCUCUACUCUCUUCUUUCUUGAAUUAUUUUAGCUUUUUAGGUAGGCUCUUUAUGGCUGUUGUGAAUUUUGCUAGUUAUUUUUAUUUUCUGAUAGUCAUUUGUUUGUUGUGCGUUUUUCCUUCCAAUUGAAUUGUGUAUUGGUUGGAUCUGUAACAUUUAUUUUUUAUUUUAUUUUAUGGAUUUUGGUGUUAGUUCUUUGUCAUGGAUGUUGUCCCUUUGAAGGUUAACAAUAGCCAAGACUAAACAUGAUGAUAUUGUUAAUUACUUUCUCAUGAUACUAAUGCCAUAUUGUUCUCUCUUUUGCACUUACAAGUGAAGAGAAAUAUCCUAGACCCUAACUGGAUAUGUUAUUGUCAUGGUCAUGCAUUGGUAUGGUAACAAUAUGUUUGGAUAAGGAAAAUAAACUUAGAAUUUGACAAAAGAUAGAAUUUAUAAAUUGAUACAAUCAAUUCCUUUGUUUAGAUUCAUAAACAUAGAAAUUUAAACUUUCCGUGUGAGAAAAAACUUGGAAUUUGGGACCUUCAAUUCUCAUGUUUAAAUUUUAUGUAAAUAGGUGUCAUUUCUAAAUUUCAGCAAGUGAGAAUUUAAAAAUAACAAACAUGUAUUCAAAUUUCAUUCCUCUUUUAGGUUAACCAAACAAGAAAUUUUAUAAAUUCUAGAAAAUAAAAUUUCGUUAUUUCAAUUUCUGUUAUUUUAAAAUUAGUAAUCUUAAAUUUUCCCAUCCAAACAAAGAGUUUCCUUGUCAUAGAACUUUCAAUUGGGAUCAAGGAAGACAAUCUUUUCACAACUGAUUAUUCUCACCAAAUUUUAUUAUUAUUUUAAAGCAGAUCAAUACCAAACUUCAAAAGCAAAGUAGGAAGGCUAAAAUUAAGGUGAAGAACCUACUUCCACUAAUUACCAUGGGAGGGGGAGAGAGAGAGAGAGAGAGAGAGAGAGAGAGAGAGAGAGAGAACCAAGCGAGAGAGAAGAGAGAGAAAACACCAAGUAGUAUUAUAAUAUAGGUGGGGUUAAAUCACCUUUCGUGAAGUUGCGGUAAGAGCAGCUCCAGCGGGAGGUCCAGCUUGAUGGACCGGUGAGAUUUCCUACCCAAUAGCCCCAGCUCCUUGCUCCAGCCCAUGCGGGCGAUUGGGCUGAGGGGGUGCCCGAGUGAGAGGCCUGACUCGAAUCGGUAGCCUGAGAGCUUGAGGCCAAAUGAUGCAUGGACGUCAGCCACGUUAUAAGAAGGAAGCAUAAACUAUGAAUAAUGAUAGAGAUUUAGAUUUUGGUGUGUGAUUUCAUCGGAUGGAUGGUGGGUUAUAUGGAGGAAAAAAAAAAGAUUAGGUUGUAGAUAAUGCCACGUGGCAUGCCGUCAUUCGUUAAAAAUCUGAUCGAAAUCUAUCAUCAAAGAUUUUAAACAGAUUAUGACACGUGACGCAACGUGAUUGGUUAAAAAUCUUAUCAGAAAUCUAUCCUUAACGAUUCUGAAAAGGUAACGAGAUGGGGCACGACGGCAUUGGAUAAAAAUCUUAUCGAAAUCUAUCACCAAAAAUUAUCUUUUUGGAUAAUGACACGUGGUGCAACGAGAACGAUUAAAAAUCUUAUCCGAAAUUACAAAUAGAAUUAUUUUGUAUUAUUUUAUAAAAUAAAAAUACUAAUAUUUUAUUGCCUAUUGACAUGACUAUUCAAUUAUGGGUGUGGAGAUGCAGAAGAUAAUUAUUAUUAAUUAAAGGUAAUUAUUGUUCAUUGGAGGGGAUUGAAUAUGAAGUUGCAGUAGAAGGCCUUUGUCACAGCAAUAGGCAGUUACUGUUCUAAGGACUUCUAUCCUAGAACAGAGACAAAAACACCAAGUAGUAUUAUAAUAUAGGUGGGGUUAAAUCACCUUCCGUGAAGUUGCUGUAUGGACUUCUAUCCUAGAGAAAAGUCGGUCAAUGGUGUUUGACACAGUCAGUCAACGACAAAGACAGAAUUGUGUAACCAUAAUUCUCUCUCUAUCUCUUUUUCAUUAACGGAGGACAGUGUAUAAUUACUACGUAUAUAUCUCUGCUCAAUUAUUGAAAAGAAAAAUCCAUGUGCAUUAUUUUUAUUAUUAUUAUCUCAGAAAUGCAGAAAUUGAUUAUCUCUUCCUUCUGCAUAUUGAUACUGGUUUUCUUCAAACUAGUUGAAGCAAGCCAAUAUGUGUGCGCGAAAUCCAACUGUAGCAAUGAUCAAGGCCCGGCUAAUUUCCUUAGGAGGGAGAGAGAGAGAGGGGAGAGAGAACCAAGUGAGCGAGCAGAGAGAGAAAACACCAAGUAGUAUUCUAAUGUUGGUGGGGUUAAGUCACCUUCCAUGAAGUUGCAGUAAGGACUUCUAUCCCAGAGAAAAGUCAGUAAAUGAUGUUGACACAGUCCGUCAACGACAAAGACAGAAUUGUGUAACCAUAAUUCUCUCUCUAUCUCUUUUUCAUUAACGGAGGACAGUGUAUAAUUACUACGUAUAUAUCUCUGCUCAAUUAUUGAAAAGAAAAAUCCAUGUGCAUUAUUUUUAUUAUUAUUAUCUCAGAAAUGCAGAAAUUGAUCAUCUCUUCCUUCUGCAUAUUGAUACUGGUUUUCUUCAAACUAGUUGAAGCAAGCCAAUAUGUGUGCGCGAAAUCCAACUGUAGCAAUGAUCAAGGCCCGGCUAUCCAUUUCCCAUUGAACAUCAGGCGCACACAUCAUUGUGGAAAUUCUGGGCUUGAAUGCAAUGGGAGAUAUGAGCAGCAAAUACUAAUAAAAUUAUUUGUCAAAGACACAGAUUACAAGCGUCAGGAAAUCCAAGUCUAUUCCCCAAGUAACUGCCUGCUGCUAAAGCUUGUUGAAAUCCCAAACAUGCCACCCUCUCCCUUCGUGCCAGUAGUCGAUUACAUGAUUAAUUUCAUAAACGUUACCUUAUUCAGUUGUCCUACUUCUGUUGCAAUACGAGAUACGUAUGGUUGUCAAGUCCCCUGCCUUGGCGACCGUGGCAAGAGAACUUAUGCCAUUGAUUCUGGGGUUUAUUUUGAAACUCUCUUCCAGAAUCUAGAAUCCUGUACAAAAAUGUAUGAUGUUUUAUCAGUUCCAAUAGCCGAUGAAUAUUAUGUUUUUCGUUUCAAAUGGUCUAUACCAAAUUGCAGAAAAUGUGGAGAGGGAAAGAAGUGUGAAUGGCAGAACAAUGAAAUUAAAUGUCUUCCCUGGAGGAAACCAAGUAAGGAUAACAUAUGUAUUCAUUGCUAGUUUUAAACAUCUUUACAUUUAUGUCUUAGUAAUUAUUAUUUGAAGGAUGUUGUCCAAUCCAUUUUUACUAGGAAUAUUACCUGACAGUCUCGUUUAAAUUCGCAAUGAUCUUCUACAGGCAACACAUGGAAAAAAGUGGUUACAGGUGGAAUCCUGUGUGCUUUGCUUCUUGUUCUACUGACGAUUGCAGCAUAUCGGGUAUAUAGCGCUGAUAGAAAGGAGAAAGAGAGUCGAUUAAGAAUUGAAAGAUUCUUGGAGGACUACAAAGCACUCAAACCAAGCAGGUAUUCGUACGCAGAUAUUAAGAGGAUUACAAAUCAAUUCAAGGACAAGUUGGGCGAAGGAGCCUAUGGAACUGUCUUCAAAGGAAUGCUCUCUUCUGAAUUCUUCAUUGCUGUCAAAGUCCUCAACAGUUCCAAGGGAGAUGGGGAAGAGUUCGUAAAUGAAGUGCGAACGAUGGGUCAUAUCCACCACGUAAACGUGGCUCGCUUGGUUGGAUUUUGUGCUGAUGGAUUUGUACGAGCUCUUGUUUACGAGUUCUUCCCCAAUGGUUCCCUGCAGGAUUUCAUUUCAUCUGCAGAUAGUAAGAAUUCAUUUCUUGGUUGGGAUAAGCUACAAGAUAUUGCCCUAGGCAUAGCCAAAGGAAUUGAAUAUCUUCACCAGGGAUGCGAUCUACGAAUCCUGCAUUUCGACAUCAAACCCCAUAAUGUUUUGCUAGACCAAAACUUCACUCCAAAAAUUUCUGAUUUUGGUUUGGCCAAGUUAUGUUCCAAGGAUCAAAGCUUGGUGUCCAUGACUACAGCAAGGGGGACCAUGGGCUACAUUGCACCUGAAGUGUUCUCCAGGAAUUUCGGAAAUGUGUCGUACAAGGCAGAUGUUUAUAGCUUUGGAAUGCUACUGCUUGAGAUGGUAGGAGGAAGGAAGAAUAUUGGUUCAAUUACGGAUAACACUACAAAUGAAAUUUACUAUCCACAGUGGAUUUAUAAUCUUCUAGAGGAAGGGGAUGACCUACGAAUCCACAUUGGGGAAGAAGGAGAUGGUAAAAUUCCAAAGAAACUUGCAAUUAUAGGGCUAUGGUGUAUCCAGUGGCACCCGUCGGAUCGUCCUUCCAUGAAAAUAGUGGUUCAGAUGUUAGAAGGAGGAGGAGAAAGCUUGAGUAUGCCGCCUAAUCCCUUUGUGCCUACUGGUUCUACAACUAGGAAUGCAAGACACCUAGAGCUAGAAGCUAUUGCUGAAUUAGAGUAAAAUGUAUAUGCAGAUAUGUAGACGUAUAGAUAUAGUAAUAUUUAUAUUGAAUAAGAGGCCGUUUGAUAACCAUUUCGUUUUCAGCUUUUAAUUUUUAUUUUUCACUUUUUUGAAAACUAAAAACUAAAAUCUUGUUUGGUAAAUACUUUUAGUUAAAAAAAAAUGAAGACUGAGAACUAAAAUGUGAAAGCUCAAAGGAAGUAGAUUAAAAGUAGUUACCAAACAAACCGGAAUCUCAAUAAAUAAAAAAGAUUGAAUUGCACAAUGCAAUCCAAACCAAUCAAAACAUUUAAAAUAGCAAAAAAAAAUUAAAAUUCUAGUUGAUUAGAUUCUAAACAUAGUAAAAAUGAACAGAUCCGAUGAAAAAAACAAAAAAUUCUCAGAUAAAAAUAGGGAUAAAGUAAAAUAUUUAUAAAUAGCUCUUUGUCUCUUAUGCCAUCAAUUAUUUCUAUAGUAUAUACACGUUUUUGGAAAAAUUAGGUUCCCAUCCCUUAUUUUCAUAUUACAUUGAUUGAAAUCUUAUUAUUUUUCUAUUUUAGAUCAAGGUCCCUUGACUUAUUCUAUGUCAUCAUUUUAGUAUUUAAAAUAUUACACGUUAUCAUAAACGAAAUCUCAUCCCUUUCUGCAUUUAAGGCAAAAUAAACUAUAUGAGUAAGUUUAAAACAAGGAAAAUCCAUUUGAACUCCUCCAUUCUUCUUCUUCUCUUAUAAACAUCUGGAAUCUACAACACCCCAAACCCAAUUUUCUCCAUUUUUUCUCCUUUCCUGAAUUGAUCCAAUGCAUAUAUGUUGAAUAAACCUAUUGUGAUUAAAAUACAAAUUAGCAUCAAUGGUUUUAUUGGCUUGUGAGAUUUGUGUGGCAUAGGCAAGGCAAUGCAGGCAUCGUUUUCUCAAGGAAUCUGGUUGAUUCAAACAUGCAGAGACUGUAGAGUGAGUGGGCUAUGUGAAAACUGUACCAUUCUGAAGUCAUUUUCUUUUGUUCUUUAUAUUUUUUUUUCUUUUUCUUUUAUUAUUAUAUAUUAGUCUUGGUUAUUCAAUGCCUGGUUGGCUACACUUAUAUCCAUGGGUACAUUUUUAAUCUACAUGUUUCGUUCUAAUAUAUCUAUUGCUAUAAUAUGUUUUGGUUGGUUCAAAUUUGUUUUACAUAAAUAUAUGGGUACAAAGUUUUUGGAGAAUAUUAUGUAAAUGGUUUUUAAGGUUGCUGCAUUUUACGUACCCACAUAUGCAUGUCUAUAAAACAAUGUGGUAUGAUGUACAUUCUUUUCUUUGAGUUUUUAAAUGUACCCAUGAGUUUUUUUGUAAAUUCGGUAUGUACCCAUAUGCUAUUUAUGUUAUGGGUACAUACAUUAUUUUUGGUCUAAGUUCAGGGUACAUUGCUUUUGUAUGUAUGAAUUCAAGGGGUACAUUAUUUCCCUUAAUACUACUCAAUAAAAUUCACAAAAUAUGUGUAGUGUGCAUGAUUUUUUAUUGUAGAAAUUGUUUUUUUUUAAGUCUCAUAAUUCAUGAAAUUUGUACAUAUAUGAUCCCAUAAAUUUUUUAAUUUUAUUAAAUUUCUUUUAGACUUGAUCGAUUGAUUGAAUCUCAUCAUACUAGGAUUUUGAAUUACAUAAAUUCUUGGAUUUAAAUCCCUUAAAUGUUGGACUGCAAUCAAUAUUUUAAAUUAUAGUUUUUUAUUUAAGAUAUCAAAAAGAUGACAUGGAAAUAUAGUAAUACUAAAAUGCUGAGGUGUACAAAGUCAAAGGACUUUGAUCAAAAAAUAAAAAACAAUAAGAUUUCAAUCUAACAAUUAAAUUGACUAGGGACCGGAACCAAAAUGACCCUAGAUUUUUAUUGAGUUUAAUCUUAAUCAAAAAAAGACUUCUUGUAUCACAGAAAAUACAAGAACCAUUAUUUGAAUGAAAUAAAAGCUAUGGGAUGGAGAUAUAAAUGGAUCAUUUUAUUCACAAUCGGAUUAUAUUUAUUUGAUACACUAUUGUCAAUAUGAAUGUUGAGAAAAAGACUACAAAAGAAAAAACAAUUUAUAAAUAUAACUAACAAUUCCAAUUUCAAUCAAUUAGACAAUUAGAUAAUACAUCAGUAAACGCGGGGUGACUCAGUGGUUAGAAACGAAUUUUAGGCUCGUAUUCUAUACAAUACGUCUUGGGUUCGAUUCCUGACAAUGGUGAAUCACGCGACGGUAGAUAUAGGGGUGUUGUUGGAAGUUUUGAGACUCAAGUCCUUUAUAUAGAUUUAGUGCUUUAGUUUAGUAAUUAGAAUAUGGGUCAUUUGGAAAUGGAUUGAAGGUUUGGGCCUUAUGGUUGUGUGGAUUAGGCUUGUAUAAUAUAGCCUAAAUACAAUUAAUAUUAAUUAAUCAAGACAAGGGCCUUGGGCCUUACUUGGGGCCUUGGAAUUUAAAAUUAAUCUGAUUCAUUAAUUUUAAUUUUCGGAUUAAGUUUUUAAUUAAUUUAUUAUUAAUUAAAAACGUUUUGAUUAAAAGACACAGCUCUUAGAAAAGAGUUAUGAACCUUCAAAUACACUGAACUGGUAUUUGAAAGGGUGUGAAACAACCUAUAUAUCUGCAAUCCAUGGUAUCCAAAUAAAUCAUCUUUUCUUCUUCCUUUUCUUCCGUACAAACUUUCCAGAGAGAGUAAACACACAAAGCAAUUCGCUAGAAUUCUAUAAUUUAGUGCGGGUUAUAGGAUUAGGUAGUUGUAUCCUGGUCGAGCAGACGUUAUAGAACCACAAGCACAAGAGUGGGACGGAAUUACUGUUCGAAUGACAUAGCUUUUACGUUAGCCUCUACCUUCUGUAAUCAAGUUAGUACCGUUGACAUUCUUAUAUUAAUUUCUGUAUUUAUUGUAUACUUUUCAUUUUGUAUAGCAAGUACCUUUUGUUAAAUAAAAAUUGUGAAUUUCAAGUUCUGUUUAUUUCUGUUAUUCUGUUUAUUUCUGAAUUGUUCUCCAACACCCCUAUAUCUACCGUCGCGUGAUUCACCAUUGUCAGGAAUCGAACCCAAGACGUGUUGUAUAGAAUACGAGCCUAAAAUUUAUUUCUAACCACUGAGUCACCCCGCGUUUGAUUAUAUUUCACUUAGACUUAUCUUGCGGUAUAGCAUGUCAUCCCCGCCCAAGUUUUUCUGUUGGCAUUGAGUUUGGGAUACCAAAACUUGCCAAACAAAGUAGAUUGAUUAGUAAGCGAAGCUAAUUAUUCGACUAAACAUUGUUUAGAAUUUUAAUUAAAAGAAACAAUAUGAAUCUGUUUAUUUUUUUUUUUGACAAACUAUAACGUUAAGGAGUUAAAUUGUUAGUUAUUAAGAGUACAAUGAUAGGUGAGGAUCGAACCUCCACCAGAGUGCAUAGACAUUAUUGGUUCUACAACUGCGGUAAAUCACAUAAAACAAAACGUAAUACUUUGAGGAUGGAAGACACUUCGUGGAUAGCGGGCAAUCAACACUAUCAGUUGCUAUCCAAAACUUGGAAUUAUGUUUAUUGUCCGAAGGAUUUUUCUUCCAUUAAAUUGCUAAGGAAGAUGAGGAUGGGUGGAGUGUCUAAAUGUCAAGGUUGACAAGAACGUGUAUGGUGUUCAGCUUGCGAUUGAGAUUUGUUAGAGUGGCACAACAAACCACAUAAAAUUUUCUAAAUGAUAAGCUUGAGUAUAAUUUUUUAUCACGUAUUUAUCUUUAAAAUCAUUAUAAUUAGAUUUUCUCUUAAUUAAUAUAGACCGUUAGAUUCAUCUAAUGACCCAAGUUUUUUUCCUCUUUUCUUUCCACUCUUUUCCAUUCACCGUGUAGCAGUCGUUCUUCCCCAACUACGUUUCUUAUUUUUCUUCACAAAAAAUUUGUAGAAAAUAUUAAGAAAAGAAAAGUCAUCAAUAUCAGACUCGACCAGGUAAUCGUUCCAACCUUCCCAGCAACUCUCAGUCUUAACUAGGCACCAAAUUUUCUCCGCCACCUAACUCGUCAUUCAUUCAUGGGUGUUUCAAGCUUGGUGAAAAUUGAUAGAGUUCCAUGUGUGUACACGGAUGUGAACAUAUUGGCCACUCUCUAAGAAUGAGUCAUUGGAAAAGUUGAAGGAAAGAUGUAACCGAUGAAAUUAAUGGAUUGGAAUUACAAUGAAGUCUGUGUUGGUUUAUCACAAAGAACCCAGAUACAAAAUUUUAAAAGCAAACAAUUUCAACUUCUCAAAUAUUAUCUAACAAACUUUCAAUGAAAUGUUGCUCAUAAUUGAAAAAAGGUUGACGAAGGACGGAGUUGGGGUUAUUUUAGAUGAGGAAGAGUUAAAAGAAGGAAGCACCAUUUAAUUAAUAAAAGUGAUUGGAGAAAUGGUAAUUCAAUGGUGGGCGUUUUUAAGGUGUGGACCUUGUAUCACACCCUGAUCCCAACAUACAUUGAGGAUCGACACGUGACAUGGGGACAUAGGGGACAAAAAUCUUACAUAAGAUACAGAAUGAAAUACUAUAUAAUAUCCCAAAAUGAAUAUGAUAGUGGGUUCACCCCUAUAAAAUACAUACGAGUUUGUACAUUCACAAAAAAAUAAAAAAAAUAAAAAUAAAUAAAAAUAAAAAACACACACACAACUCUCGCUAGGCCAAGACUUGCCCAUGGUGCUCAAAGGAAAGUCCCAAAAGAAAUAGUACAAUGAAGGAUAAAGGGGUAACCUAAACACUCCAAGUCUCUGAUCUCUGCACUGCUACCCCCACCGGCUCCUCGUAAUCUACUCAGACCUGUCACAUGUACAAACAGUGCCUACAUUGUGGGAAUGGUGCACCAGGCAAACAAAAACCCGGAUAAGCUGCAAAACUCGUGUGAGUGACAAUAAUGCAACGUAUGUGAUAAUCAAGAAAAACAGACCAUCGAUCACAGUUUAUAAAUCUCAAAUAUAACUUCAUACUUAUGAAAUCAUAAUCAAGUCACUGAAAACUUCGAAUGAGUCACCCAGACAUCUAACGACUUUUCUAAAUCAAAUCUCAGAGAUUCCCAAAACUAUCGUUCACAAAUACACUAAAAACUAGGGCUAGAGUGACACAGUUCAGCCAAAGCCUACAUAAGUAACCAAAUAAGAAGUGGCCCCCCAUAGCGGAUUAACCAAGCAGAGCCACUCCUGAGAAAGUAACCAAGUAGGUAGUGACCCCCAUCACGGAUUAACCAAGCAGAGUCACUCCUACGAAACUGUUAGGUAGUGAUCACCCAUUACGGAUUAACCAAGCAUGAUCACCCCUAAGCACGUAUGGCCAUACCUAAGAAAUAAGGAUCGCCCAUCGCGGAUUAACCAAGCACGAUCCAAAAAUAUUAUGGGUCCCCUAUCGCCGAUUAACCAAGCAUGACCAUCCAUGUACCACUGCUACAUGGUGUAAAUUCGGUGUCACCUAACCUCGUGACACUAGGGUAACGGUCCUCUAGUAGCCCUCACGUUUUUCAAACAUUUCAAAUAUAUAAUUUAAAACACAAUUCAUAAACAUUUCGAAUAGGGAAGUCACAUAGUGUUUAAUAAUGUAGGUCAAUGGCAAACUUUAAAAACAAUUAUUUAGCAUAAAACAUAUUUUAGAAAUCCAUGCUGUAUCCACAAAGUAUACUAGCACGGGAGAUUUUCAGGGUAAUAACUCUAUCACAUAUAUUAAAGUCACUCACCUGGAGUCCGCACUAACGCACCCUGGCACGAAUAUCAAGACGUCGCGUACUAUCAUCUGCAACAUCCCACAUCGACCAACGAAGAGGGGGUGAUGUGCCUUCUAUGUACAUGCCCACCUCCAUAGCAUGAGGCAUUUUGGGAGCUCACUGGCUUCAUAUUCCAUCGGAACUCCAAAGUUAAGCAAGUUUGGGCGAGAGUAGUCCCAGGAUAGGUGACCCAUUGGAAAGUUAUUGUGUGAGUCCUAGAAACAAAACCGUGAAGGCGUGGCCCGAGGGGGCCCAAAACGGACAAUAUUGUGCUACGACGGAAUCGAGACUGAGAUGUGACAGAAUGGUAUCAGAGCCACUCUGCCGUGUGGUGCGAGUGUGCCGACGAGGACGUCGGGCCCCUAAGGGGGGUGGAUUGUAACAUCCCACAUCGACCAACGAAGAAGAGGUGAUGUGCCUUAUAUGUACAUGCCCACCUCCAUUUAGCACGAGGUCUUUUGGGAGCUUAUUGGCUUCGGGUUCCAUCGGAAAUCUGAAGUUAAGCGAGUUCAAGCAAGAGCAUUCCCAGGAUGGGUAACCUACUGGGAAGUUCUCGUGUGAGUUCCCAGAAACAAAACUGUGAGAGCGUGGCCAGGGCCCAAAGUGGACAAUAUCGUGUUAUGGCGGAGCCGAGAUUGGGAUGUGACAUUGUCACCUAAGACAAAGUACAGAUCCACAUUUAGAGUUCUUCAAGUAUUCACAUAAUAAAAAAUUUCCAUACGCCCCCUACAACUAAUGAACAGAAAUCGAGACACGUUGACAAAAAGUCAACCGUCGAUCAACGGUAGGGUCCACAACCCUACAUAACUCGAUCCGCAAUAUCCAACCACUGUAUUUGUGAUUCAUAAGUUCAUAAGGUCUUCAAAUCCUACCUACAAUAACAUACUAAACUUUGGUGAUGAUCUAAUGGUCGAAUCAUCAUUUGCUAUAAUGUUCAAAUGACGCAAAUUCAUCAAUCAGAUGUCAAAUAUGGAAUCAGACAUCGAAUUUAGCUUAGGAAUGUCAAGUGGUGUCUCGAGCACGCACCGCCGUGCGCAACAGCUGGCAACCUAGAUUCGUCGGAAAAAUCACCUAAUUCCAAAAUGAAUGUUGUGAGACGUGGAGUAAAUUGUAUACCUGUGAAGAAGCCCAAUUUGGCCGGGAAGUGGCCUGAAAUCACUUUAGACCGUCGGAAACCCUAAAAUAGGUGAAUCUCGAUUCGUCAUCCCCGGUAUUCCACCGUUCUCAAACUUGUUUAGGGUUUGCUCAUGGUCUCAAAAGAAUGCUAAUGAUGGUGGUGAUUGAAAGAGAACGUUUCAGAAAUAGUGAAUCACCAAUGAGGGUUUCACGAAACCGACAUGGGUGUUCCUCGUGGAACCAAGACCAAAUCUCAACGGUUUUGGCUAGAAAUGGAUGCUGGGAUGUCAUGGUGAAGUUUGGUAGUGAUGGGAGGUUGAAGAAAGACAAAAAAAAUCGACAAAAAAAUCGUCGUCGGAGUCGCAAGAAACGAGUUAGAAAAAUGAGUCGUCGGGUCUGAAACGUCGAAGGCUUUUGAGACAACUACUUACUCUCUCUUCUCUGAUUAGUCACUCCACUCACUCUCUCAUUUGAUUGGUCCAGCCUUCCCACAUGGUGGGAGUUCCCUCAUAUAGUAACCCAAAAUUUACUAUUUAAAUCUGGUAUUGAACGUCCGUAACUUUUUCGUUAUGGUUUCGAUUCGCAAACGGUUUUCACCUAUGCGCUCGUAUGAUCGAAUUAUACUCAAAAACAUUAAUUAUGACCUCGAAAAGGUCUACGAGUUUUAAAAGAUUAAUUACAAAAAUUCACACCUUGUAACUAUACGAUUCAAAUCCUAAAAUUAACGGAAUUAAAAUAAACUAAAAAUAAUGUAAACACGAAAUACAGACUUUAAUAAUGAAAUACGUAAUUAAUAGUGGAAUUCCGGGGAUGGGAUUUCACAACUUGCGUCCGGACCUUCAAUGCGGAUCAAAAUCCAAAGGUCGUGAUCUGACGAGCUCAUGCAUAGAACAGAGUUGUUGUGACCCAAUGCAAUUCAAAACUUUUAUGUUUUUUUAUUUACUGGGUACGUUUUUUAUUUACUGGGUACAUUUUUGCAAGACGUUAAAGAAAGCGCUUCUUGGGAGGCAACCCAUGUAUUCAAAAAAGGAAGAUCUAUGAAUCGCUCUACAAUUAGUUUUGCGUUUCUAAAAACCUUCCCUUUUCUGCAUUUCUAUUUUGCCAUGAUUGUCAUUUUUUAUUUUUGUUGUUUAUUUAAUUAUUUUUGGGUGUGGGUUUAUUUUUGAAACAUUGACAGAUAUGCAAGAUAUUCUUACAUUCAUUUUCAUGAAAAAAAGAAAAGGGAACAUUAAGCAGGAAAUUACAAGAGGGAGCCUUCACAAAGGCUGCUUAGGAGAAGUCUCAGUAGUCGGCGGAGCCCCAGAAGAAGGAGGCAGCGGAGGUUGAUCAUUUGGAGCUUCAGUACGCGGUGCAGCCCCAGAAGACGAAUGCAAAUGUUGUUGGAACAAACCCACAAACCGCUGAUGAUCAAGUAAAAUCUGACAAUCAGAUUCCUGCAUCUGGUCAAUCUUCCUCUUCAUGUUUGUAGCAUAAUUAUGUGCGAGCCUGUGCAACUGUUUAUUCUCAUGCUUAAGCCCUCUAAUCUCCUGCUUAAGACUCAUCACUUCAGCCGCCAAUGAUUCAACUUGACGGGUUCGGGCAAAUAGGCGUUGGGCCAUAUUAGACACGGAACGUGCGCACUGCACACUGAGAGCUAGAGAAUCCUUUACAUCCAACUCAUCAGACCGUUUGGCAAGUAGUCUAUUAUCUUUGGGAGUGACAGGGUUCCUGACCACCACCGCAGCUGUCAUAUCAUUCUUCAUCACCGAAUCCCCAACGAUAAGGGGACCAGUAGGGGAUAUGAAGGAUGGGCGCCAUAUGUUGUCUGGAGAAGGCGGGACUGCCUCUUCACCAAGGUUCAAGUCAAAACGACGAUCGGAUGGGCCAAACAUUUUCACAGGUGUUAAAGAAAGAAGAGGUCGGACAAGUCAAGAUCGUAGAAGUGCAAGAUGAGAGUUUUUACAGGCAGAAAUUCAAGUGUGCUUUGAACGUCCUACGUACUUCUAUAAAAAUCAGCACUCGAUGGGAUUUCAGAGAUCGAAGAGGCAAGCUCAGAAAUCGAAGAGGCCAACUAAAAAAAUUAAAGAGGCGCUAGCUUUCUCAAAAGCUGAGCUUGCUCAGAAACCACGGCCAAUCUUCUUUUCCAGAUUUGUCCGCACUUGUCACAUGCAACUCGACGGGAUUUCAGAGAUCGAAGAGGCAAUUCCAGAUAUCGGAUAGGCAUCUGCUUUUGCAGACGUGUCAACAUCUGUCACAUGCAGAGUAAGCUUUGCGAAAAUCACGGGCAGUUUGUGAAGCGCCGAUUCCAACCAUCUGCUUUUGCAGACGUGUCAACAUCUGUCACAUGCAUAGUAAGCUUUGCGGAAAUCACGGGCAGUUUGUCGAAGCACCGAUUCCAACCAUCUGCUUUUCCCGACGUGUCAACAUCUGUCACUUGCAGAGUCAGCUUUACGAAAAUUACGGGCAAUCUGUCGAAGAUCUCUUGUGAAGUUUACUAUUAAAUCAUCCAACGGUUGCUGACAAGAGUGAAAGAAUAGUACCGACUAUUAAUUCCUAUAAAUGUCAUCCUUCACCCUCAAUUGCAAGGCAGACAUACAUAACCCCCUUCUUCUCAGAAAAUGCCUUUCCAACACACCCUCUCGAGUCACUCAGUGUUCCUAAUUCCUUGGGGUACCUCUGCAAACAACUCAUCCAAAGCAAAAGUAUUUCAUAUCAUGAAGGUUGAAAGCAAGAGUAUCUCAUAUCAUGCUUUCUCCCUGUCCUUCUCCUUGUCUUUGUUUUAGGACAAGGAGAAAGAGAGCAAUCAGCCAGCACUUGGUAUCAAUCUUCCGAUCUGGAACCGACUGCCUGGAACCCCUUCCUGAUUGCUUACCUAGCCUUGCUCUCGAGAACUCAUCUUCAUCAUCUUAUGCUUCCUCUUCGUCUACCACAUCUGCCUGGGGAACAGAUAAGGGAAGUGAAAAUGAUACCUCGAAGCAUGUGGAAACAAUUUACCAAUUCAUCCUUAGCUAGGGACAAGGAGAAAAAAAGCAAGAGGUGGGCACUUGGAAAGAUUGAAGAAAGAAACAGACCAACACCUCUACCUCAUGCCUGCCCGCCGUGCAGAAGAAUCAAGCAGAGAAGAAUACAGACUGCACAAUCAAAUCAGGGAACUCUCAUAUUUCUCGCUCAGAAUUCCAAACCAGUUCAAGAUCAACGCUGUGGAAAGUCAACAAGAUCAUCUAUCUCCAAAACCAGAUUUGCGUUCUUAAACUCUACUCUGUCUGGUUUUUACUUUGCUAUACUUGUCAUGUUUAUUCGUUGUUUGUUUGUUUGCUUGUUGUUGUGUGAGUUUAUGUUUAAAACAUUGAGGACAAUGUUUGAUUUAAGUGUGGAGGGAUAACCAUUGUUUUGCAUGAAAUUCGUAGGAGUUUAUCACCCAUUACUUCUAGUGUUGUUCCUUGCUGUUUUAAGUGUUUUAAGCUGUUUUGGAGUGUUUCAGUGUGUUUUGACAUAAAAAUCCGAAAAUCUCAUAAAAAUUUGAAAAAUUGUUUUGAAAAACCAAAAAAGAGUUGUUUUUGUAUGUUUAUUUGUGUUUUAGGGUACCUUCCAACACAAUGAUGAGGAUUUGGUUUUUAAUUACAUGACUGUUAAAGAGAAUUAUAAACAUGGAUGAAAAUUUGAUUUACUCUUUGGUGUAUGCUUGGUUGUGGUUAUAAUUUAUGAAUUCACAUGCAAUCAUAAAGGAAAAAUCAAUUUUGUAACAUGCUUGAAAGAAGGAACUCAAAUGUACGCUACAACCUUGUGAGACUUGAGCCUAGACGUUUAUUUGGAGAGUUAAUAAUGUGCAUUUUUGUUUUCUAAAGUCGUUGUAUGAUCUCAUUAUUCUUUGCUUGGUUGCUACCUAGAAUGCGUUCAUCAUUAUAGAUCCACAUACUAGAACUCAUGCCCGUUCCAUUCAAAGCAUGACAUUAAUUUGCAUAACACAUAUCCAAGAUGAAGUUGUUUAGUGAACCAAAGCCAAAAUAGCCGAACCCACCUUUGUCAUUUGUUUUGUAGGUUUAAACCCCGUUGAGCCUUGUUUAGCCUAUUUUCUUUGUUAAACCACAUCAUCUCUACCUAACCUAGAAUAGGACUAUCCAUACCCUUGUUCUUGAAGUAUAGUGGAGCAUAACUUAGAAAGAAUUCAUUUUGAAACUUAUUGGGGGAAUUUAGAUUUCAAAUUUUUUGUGUGCCAAAGAAAACGGCAAGAGAAAAAAUUCGUGAAAAAAAAGAAAAAAGAAAAGAAAAAUUUGCAAAUUUUCCUGUGUUUAAAAGUAGAUGCCUAAAUUAACCCUUACAUUAAUUUUCCUUGAAUAAUUUCUCAUUCCAUCUAAUUUAGAUCCAUCUUGCUCACUAUUCUUUUUAAAUUUGUGGAUUUUGAAAUUUCAAAUGAGAAUGAAAUUGGAUGAGUUCAAUUUUCGUUUAAUUCUUACAAUUAAUAAGAAAUUCCGUCGAAAACAUUUUGAGUAUUGUUUAAUUUUUCAAUAUUACCGUAUUGUGUCAUUGAAAUAAUUAUCAGAGGAAUUAGGGAAUUCUCUUAAGGAACAACUCAAAAUGUAGUACAUGAUUAAAUAAUUCCUUUGAAUGGUCAACUAUGAUCAACAUAUCUUGUAUCAGAUCUUAGUCAAAUACCUGUUAAGAGUGUAAAUUUCUUGUGUGAAAAUGAGUGUAUCUAGUAAUUUUGGCAUUAGGAUGUUACUACAUUCUCAAAAUGCUGUUUUUUGAUUAAAUGAGCUGUGAGGUACUAAUCAAAUAUGCUCGAGGGUAAGAAUGGCUUAAAUUAUGUGAGUGGUGAUCUGGUUCAUGUUUCAUUAAAAAUCCCUGAGGCAAAUGUUGGAAGAUUUAGGUUAUGUUUUGUUUGUUUCGUUUGUUUUGUUUUGCUCGAGGACUAGCAAAAGCUAAGUGUGGGGAAUUUGAAUUUGAUAGGAGCAUUAUUAUGCGACUGAGUUAGCUUGUUCUCAUGCAUUUAUGUUGUUAUUUCUUAGUUAAUUAUGUAUUUUAAGCUAUUUUCGUGUGUUUGUAGGUCCAUAGGCCUUAUAAAGCAAUAAGGUGCAUUUUGGAGCAGUUUUGGGCUUGGAAUGGAUAGCACAUGCAUGGAGUAAGGUGAUGGACGAAAUUGAAGACUAAAGAGGCUUGGAAUGUGUUAAAAAGAAAGAAUAAUUAAUGACAAAGAGCUCAGCAACCAAACAGGGAACAUGAGUCAAGAUUACCUUAUUUUGAUUUAAUCUUUCCUAAUCUUCAAUGUCCCUAAGUUCCAACAACAUUCCUUGUCUAUUUCAUUCACUCAUUGCCUAGCACCACCCUUGUUCCCUCCAUCAUUCCAAAUUUCUUGCAUCAAUCAUCACUCCACCUUAACCCUUGACUCAUUUCUACACCAUUCCACCUCCCUUUCCUUUCUCUACCAUGUGCACAAUCAUUCAUGUUCCCUACUUGCAUUCAUUGUUGCAACACCACUCCAUUUUACCCCUCAUGCUUUGCAUCAUUACUUCACUUUCACCUUUGAAUCAUUUCAACACCACUUCAUUUUACCCAUGGUUUGCAUCAUUACUUCACUUUCACUUUCACCUUUGCAUCAUUACUUCACUUUCACCUUUGAAUCAUUUCAACACCACUCCAUGUCCCCCUCCAUUGCCUUGCCCUUCCUCUAUAAAAGGAAGUGUGUGUAACAUAAAUUUAGUUCAUAUAUUUUUUUAGAUCAUUCACUCCCAUUUCAAUACAACCUUCAUCCAAACACAUUCAUUCAUCUUCACAUCCAUUCCUCCAUACAAACAAACCUUCAAACACUCACCAACACCUUGUGCCAUAGCAAAGGAAGGAAAGGAAAAUGCUUGGACGUGCGUGCUGUCAACUUGGAUCGUUGGAGCGUUUAGGUGUUUUCUUUCUUUUGUUUCCAAUGUUAAAUUCAUUUUCUGAUUUUGUUGCAAUUAUGAGUGGCUAAAACCCUAUUUAGUUAGGGGGAAGUUUGAAGCCAUGAACAUGCUUGAGAUAUGAAUUGAUUUCUUCCAAUUGUGAUUUGAUAAGUUGUGAUUGCAAUUCAAUUAUCUAUUUUAUUCAUAACUGAUUCUUGUAUGUUUAUUAAGGAUGCAUACUUAAUUUUCAUGCAUGAAUUAGAUGCUAGAAUAUAAAUGAGUUUCACCUAAUCGUUACAAGUUUAUAUUCAUGAGUAGUGAAGGUUGUUUAUCACAAUCUGACACACCCCGUCCCGAAGGAGGGCGUGCUGGCCGUCACGUGAGAGUGACGUAACCAUUUACACAGUUCGGAAGCUUUAAAAAAAAAUUCCAAUUACUAAUAUAACACACCCGAGGGUGAGUCCUACUUUUGUGAAUUCUGUCAGAACACCGUUGGAUUCCUCGUGGCCACCAAAGCUCUGCUAACUUGAACCUGGGGCGCAAAACAAAAGCUUGAACUUGAACCUUUCAGGCGCAAAACAAAAGUUUUUUCGAAAACUUUUCAUUUAAAACAUUUCUAACCCCUCACUGUAAAACCUGUAUACUUUCCCAGAAAAUAGUGUAUAUAUAAACAUAUAUAUAAGCAAAAAUCUCGAAUCUCAAACCUUUAACACUUUUCAGAAAUAUAUAUAUAUAUAUAUAUAUAUAUAUAUAACCAUUUGAAAUCUCAAGACUUGAAUCCCAAAUCUUUAACAUUUUUCAAGAAAAGCAUGCCAUGCCAUAAAUCAAAAAUAUAAAUCAGGUGAAAUAAGGAAUCAAUCGGAGACCCUGCAGUUGGUCCUAUACGAUUAAUUCAAUAGCUCAUUAUCUCACUAAGCCGGAGUCACCACAGUAACCUAUACGGCCCUACUCUGCACAUCACUCAGAACUACGUAAGGUAGUCUAUACGAUGAAAGGUGUAAAAAUACGCUCUAGUGCUUCUCUCAUCAUAUCAUCAGCGCGCAUAACUAAGAUCACCCACUAGUCGGAAUCACGCCUAGUGAUCUAUACGACUAGCAUGUCGGAACCCUCACAUGGUCUGUACGACAUCCACCUACUUGGAUCCAAGGCGAGCGUGCGGUGUGGUGAAUAAAAUAAGCACUAACACCUAGGGUGCAGGUUAUGAGCUUAAAACAUCUUAUCAACAAUCAAUUAAAUGAAUAAAUGAACUCACCUGACUUACCUGUGCCUCCACCGCACCAUGCAACAUGUAUGCAUCAAAUAUCAAUUCGUAUAACUCAUACGCAAUUCACAUUUUUCAAUUAAUUCUAUGCAUGGCAUUUUUAAAACAUAUUUUCAUAUAAAUUCAUUUUAUGGGAAAAAUCAAUAGUAUAAAGGUAAUACAAAAACAAAACUGCCCACUCACCUGGAGUUCGCCCAACAACUCCCUAGCACCACACAUCAAGGCGUCAUGAAGAUUAGUGCCUAGAACAAUAAUCAAACCCAACCUCAGAAAUCAUGCCGAUAGAAUACAUAACUUAUAUAAGACGCGUCCCUACGUAGUUCGAUCCGGAUGAUCUGCAACUCGGAUUUCAAAUCCGUAACUUCCAGAGGUCCACAAUAUACCUCUAGGACAACAUCCUAAAAUUUCAUUACCAUCCAACGGUCGGAUCUCCGUCAAUUUCCAAAACUAAGUGCCGGUUAACAUUCUAUUUUAUGAACUUACAACUCCAAUUCCGGAAGAUCCGUAAAUCGGAUUCCCAAUCCGUAAGUUCCUAUAAUCCUCAAAUAUUACGUAUUACAACGUAUCAACGUUUGGUGACGAUCCAACGGUCGGAUCGUCAAUUCACAUUUUCACCUAACUACGAAUCGUAACCAACUUAGGUUCAAUUACUCAAUUUACGUCCAUCAAUUAUCAAAACUGAACCUAGAGCCUUAAUCACAUGCUAAUAAUGACAUUGGCGGGCCAUUGGCCAUGCGCCGCCGCGCGGGCCGCCGCGGGUGGCGGUUGGCCGCCCCCGGCUCGCCGGAAAAUUCAACUAUUUCCAAAAAUUACCAAAAUUUGCAGAUUUGAAGAUAUCAAUGAGUAGAACAACUUUCAUACCUGUGGCCAAGGCCAAUUUGGCCUGGAAGUGCUUCAAUUUCACCAAAACCGUGAAGAACCCUAGAAUUAGGUGUUUCCAAUUCGACCUUCAAACUUGUUCCAACGCCUCAAUUACCUCUUAGUAUUUGUUCUAGGUCCUAAAGGAAUGCUAAUGGUGUUAGUAAUUGAAAGAAAACAUUUCAAAAUUUCAAGAAUUUAAACAAAAGGGUCGCGGCACCCGUGUGGGUGUUCUUCGCGAAAUCACCAUGAAAUUUAAUGAUUCUUGGGGUGAAACGUGAAGAGGGAAGGCCUAGAUGUUGAUUAGGAGUGGUACCUUGACUCAAUUCGUCGGAAAUUUGGACGAAAAUGGUGAGAACCCGCCGAUUGGAAGUCGCGGGUCGCACGGGUAUACGGGUUGGGAAAACCCAUUUCUUCCUUCUCUCCUCCGCUUCUCGCCCUCUCUCCUUUCCUCCUUUCCUUCCUCUGGUUGGUCAGCUUCUCCCUCUCUCUUCUUCUGAUUCGCCUCUCCUCCUUCUUCUCCGAUUGGGCAGUUUUUGCCCAAUCUCUCUUCUUCUUUCUGUUUUCUGGUUCUUCUCACGCGCACACACACACACAACUUCCUUUUUCUCAUCCCAGCCAUCUAUUUCAUUCAUCAUUAAAUCUGGGUCGUCCAUUUUCAUAAAAGAAUUUCUAUUUUACUAAAAUUAUAAUUCCUUAAAAUCCCAAAUUUCAAACGUUAAUAACUUCUUCGAUAUAACUCCAAAUCACGAACCGUCUACGCCCACGCGUCCGUAACGACGAGUACUACGAGGAUAUGUCAAGAAAACAAAUCUUAGAUGGCACGACACAACGAUUAACCUCGAAUGAUGUGCGUGCCUCAAAGGGCAUUUUUGUAAAAUCCUUUAUGAAAACUUUAAAAAUUCUUAAAAUUAGGGACGGGCUGUCACACAAUCGCGUUAAUUGAAUUCUUGGCAAUUGUAUCAUGCAUUCAUAGUUAUAAUUGUCUCGUCAACACUUAUGAUUUUCAUUGAACGUAAUGAUCUCUGAUUGUAUCUCUAUUAUGCAUUAAUAUAGGGGACUUUUAGAGGAUGAUUUGGGUUGUCGCAUGCAUUCAUCCAAUUCAAUGAGUAAAGGAAAAUCUGAGGGUUAAUUUGUGCAUCACGGUUAAUCUGGGUGUUGAGCAUAAUAGUUUAUUGAAAAGCAAUUGGAAAUCGAUUCAUGUACAAGUGUGUCAUGUGUGAAGAACGGACCUCUAACUAAUCCAUCCAUCAUUUUAUUUCUCAAAUUCAUUUUAUAAUCUGCCUAGUUUUAUAACUUGCUUGUUUAUUUCAAAUUCAUCCAAACCAAAAUCCCCUUUUUACUUUCUUGUUUCAAAGUGUUAAAUUUCUGUUUUGUUUGUGUUUUUGAGUGUUUUGAUUCAAGCCAAAACACUAAAUUCAUCCAAAGUUGAUUUAAAGUCCAAAUCUGACUAGUUUGUGUUUUUAGGCAGUUUUGAGUGUUUUUAAGUUGUUUUGAAUCUUUAGAAUCUGUUUUGAGUCCCUUGAGUCUAUUCAAACAUUUUUAAUUUUGUUUUUAUGUUUUUGAGUCAGUUUAAAGGUUUUAGCAAGCCCUCCUAAUCCCCGGUUUAGAACGAUCCCUACUUGCAUUUAUACUACAAUUUGACAACAAGAGGGUUUAAUUUGAGUGCUUAACUUUCAUCGCAUCAUGUGAGUUCCCAGAAACAAAACUGUGAGGGCGUGGCCAGGGCCCAAAGCGGACAAUAUCGUGUUAUGGCGGAGCCGAGAUUGGGAUGUGACAUUGUCACCUAAGACAAAGUACAUGUCCACAUUUAGAGUUCUUCAAGUAUUCACAUAAUAAAAAAUUUCCAUACGCCCCCUACAACGAAUGAAGAGAAAUCGAGACACGUUGACAAAAAAUCAACCGUCGAUCAACGGUAGGGUCCACAACCCUACAUAACUCGAUCCGCAAGAUCCAACCACUGUAUUUGUGAUUCAUAAGUUCCUAAGGUCCUCAAAUCUUACAUACAAUAACAUACUAAACUUUGGUGACGAUCUAAUGGUCGAAUCAUCAUUUGCUAUAAUGUUCAAAUUACGCAAAUUCGUCAAUCAGAUGUCAAAUAUGGAAUCAGACAUCAAAUUUAGCUUAGAAAGGUCAAGUGGUGUCUCGAGCACGCGCCGCCGUGCGCAACAGCUGGCAACCUAGAUUCGUCGGAAAAAUCACCUAAUUCCAAAUGAAUGUCGUGAGACGUGGAGUAAAUUGUAUACCUGUGAAGAAGCCCAAUUUGGCCGGGAAGUGGCCUGAAAUCACUUUAGACCGUCGGAAACCCUAAAAUAGGUGAAUCUCGAUUCGUCAUCUCCGGUAUUCCACCGUCCUCAAACUUGUUUAGGGUUUGCUCAUGGUCUCAAAAGAAUGCUAAUGAUGGUGGUGAUUGAAAGAGAACGUUUCAGAAAUAGUGAAUCGCCAAUGAGGGUUUCACGAAACCGACAUGGGUGUUCCUCGUGGAACCAAGACCAAAUCUCAAUGGUUUUGGCUAGAAAUGGAUGCUGGGAUGUCGUGGUGAAGUUUGGUAGUGAUGGGAGGUUGAAGAAAGACAAAAAAAUCGACAAAACAACCGUCGUCGGAGUCGCAGGAAACGGGUUAGAAAAAUGAGUCGCCAGGUCUGAAACGUCGAAGGCUUUUGGGACAGCUACUUACUCUCUCUUCUCUGAUUAGUCACUCCACUCACUCUCUCAUUUGAUUGGUCCAGCCUUCCCACAUGGUGGGAGUUCCCUCAUAUAGUAACCCAAAAUUUACUAUUUAAAUCUGGUAUUGAACGUCCGUAACUUUUUCGUUAUGGUUUCGAUUCGCAAACGGUUUUCACCUACGCGCUCAUAUGAUCGAAUUAUACUCGAAAACAUUAAUUAUGACCUCGAAAAGGUCUACGAGUUUUAAAAGAUUAAUUACAAAAAUUCACACCUUGUAACUAUACGAUUCAAAUUCUAAAAUUAACGGAAUUAAAAUAAACUAAAAAUAAUGUAAACACGAAAUACAGACUUUAAUAAUGAAAUACGUAAUUAAUAGUGGAAUUCCGGGGACGGGAUUUCACACCUUGCAUCCGGACCUUCAAUGCGGAUCAAAAUCCAAAGGUCGCGAUCUGACGAGCUCAUGCAUAGAACAGAGUUGUUGUGACCCAAUGCAAUUCAAAACUUUUAUGUUUUUUUAUUUACUGGGUACGUUUUUGUAGGAGGAAAAGGGGAAGUCGAGAGAUUCUUUGCGCAUUAAAGAGGGAAAGAGAGAAAGGGGGAGCUAAGAGGUUCUUCGCGCGUUAAAUUUUUGCUUCUGAUUUUGCAACCUAGAAAUAAAGUAUUUUCUUUAUGGUUUAUGGUUCAAGAAUAUAAUGGAUACAGCCUAAAAAUGUUUCUUUUUUUAUUUUUUACUUUUUUUUUCUUAUGUUGGCUUUUGGUUUAUUUUUAUAAUGCACUAUAUAUUAACUAAAUUUAUAAACAUUUUGUAUCUUUGUUGCAGUCAAAUUAAUCAUAUGGGUCGGCAUGACGAAGUUCGACUGAGACAUACAGAUGUUUUGCAAUCUUAAGUCUAACCUGACACACCCCGACCUCAAUAUCUAGUGGACACCAAAAUUGAGGUGUGAUGGCCAUCAUCCGGAUGGGUGAUGAAACCAUAAUAUGCAUGAAACAUAACUAAAUUAUCAACCAAUAAAAUCUAUUGAAAAAUUUGGCAGAACAUCCCUUAAAAUAGGGAUAUGCCCAAAUUAAAAACACUUGCACAUGAUCAAAAUUAUUCAACACUUCCCCGAAGGGCCACACUUAAUGGGACUUCGACCAUCUAUUACAUGCAUGAGAAUAUGUUCAGAGCAUAAUUACCCAAACACGUCUUAUUAAAAUAUUGAGUAAAUACCAUACAAGAUAGAAUACGUCAGAGCUGUUGCAAAAUACCUCAAUGUCCGAUGUAAUCACUGAUAGAAUUACUGAAUCAUGUAUAGAUGGAAAGCUGAUAAAUACAUGUAAUUUGAGUGGAUACUUACCAGCAGCAUGGAUACAAUAUCAUCCACCGGUCGUAACUAAUGACAAGCUGAGAGUAUAACUGUAGUACCUCUUAUUAGUGCAAUGCAUGAUAUGAAUUCCAUCUCACAUAUAUAUGCAAGCCAUAAUCAAACCAAUAAACAUCCAACAAAAGCCACAAUCCUUUUAACAUUCGACCACAAGAUCAAUUUUCAUAUUUCCCAAACCUAGGUUCCAAAGCAUUGUUUCGAAUUAUUAAUACAAGAAACCACCACCACCUCAAUCAACUCCUAUUCCCAAGUGUAAGCAAUUACUAAAUGCAUCACUUUCGACUCUAGUCUUAAUUAGAUUACUUGGGAUACUCAUUCACACCAUCAGAUCCAAGUACUAUUUUGAUAAACUUUAAAUAGCAUGGUUAAAAUAAAUGAAACACUUUUAGAAAAUAAGUGAAGAUGUUGUUUACAAAUAUAGAUGCAUCUGUAUAUAAAAGCUUUGGCGGUUGAUCCGUAUACACUUCCAAAGAUAUAAGCAAGUUCAUUGGAAUAUACAUGCAUAGUUAAUGUAUUACAGUAUAAUUAAUAAGAAAACAAUUGCAUCCCUUUAAGAAUAUAUAUAUAUAUAUAUAGACACACACACAUACAUACACACAGGCCCUUUAUGCAAAGGAAUUUCCAUUUUUUUUCAAAAAAUGGGGAUUAGUUGUGGGGCCCACGUUGCAUUGAACUUUAACGAUCCGAACAGUCUAUUUUGUAAGUCUCGAUUCAUAUAUCAUCCUUGUAAAAAUUCAAUUCAAUCCGAACCCAUUUGCCUAUUUAAUUAUCAAGAUAAAAUUUUAUUGUUUCUUAUAUAACAAAGUAUUCGUUAAUUUCUUUGAACUCAAUUAGAUAUCUUAAACAUUUCCGAUUUGGUUAAUAUUUUGUAAGGAUGAUCUAUGUGGUGCAACUUGAAAAAUAGACGAUUACGAUCGUUAAAGUUCGAUGUGGUGUAAACCCUACAAUUAAUCUUCAUUUUUAUAAAAGAAUGGGAACCCCUUCCCUUAAAGGUUUCCUAUGUAUAUAUUUGUUCUCCAGACAUAUGCAGAAGGUAAUGUAAAACUAAUGAGAACUUAAAUGGAUAUUCCAUACAUAGGACAAUUCCAUAUAUGCUUUUUCAACAUUUAUAUCGAAAAGCCAAAUUGUUUUGAGGAAAUUAAUUGUAGCAAUGAUCCCUUAACUUUUAUCUUAUUGGAACAAUGGUCUCUCAACUAAAAAUUCAUGACCAUUGGUUCCUUAACACCACACAACGUGUAGUUAUGGUCAUUUUCAUUAACUCCGUCAGAACUUUUGUUAAAACAAGUAAUGUUAGAAGAAUCAUUGCUACAAUUAGGUUAAAGUUGGGGACCAUUGCUCUAAUUAAAUUAAAAUUGAGGGAUCAUUUCUCCAAAUUGCUUAAAGUUCAAGGACCAUUUCUACAAUUUUCUCAUCUAGUUUCCCAUAUUUACCCCAUGAUUCAGCUUCACAUGCAUUGCACAUGACUCAUUUUGACAAAAAAUUUAACAAAAUUGACGAAAAUGACCAUAAAUGCACGUUUUGAAGAGUUAAGAGACCAAUGGUCGUGGAUUUUAGUUGAGGGAUCAUUGCUCCAAUUUGGUUAAAGUUGAGGGAUCAUUGCUACAGUUUUCUCAAAUGUUUCGUAUGCGAAAAUAGGCAUUUGUAAAGUUUGGCUUGUUUAUGGCAUUAUUACUUUAGUCUAAAGUAAGGCUGGGAAUGGCACUGUAGAAAUGAAUAGUGUUCCAAUCCGAAUUUCAGUUUAAUUACAACAAUGCCAUUGCUCUUUGUGUUGCCUUUAGGUGAGCAGCCCGGCUUGCAGUCAGGCCCAAAUGUAUUGGUUUUAGCUGAGAAGCCCGGCCCUUGGUCAGGCCCAAAAUUUUAAAUUACAGUUUUGCCCAUACAAAAUAACAAUCCGAUUGUAUCGGGAAGGACAAUUUUGUCCUUUCAGUUUUGGGUGAGAUAAGGGGUAACAGGGUAAGUUUCAUUUGCUGUCGUUUAAUGAGGGUUUCGGGGAUGAGGGCUCUGUGUGUGUGUGGAUGAGAGAGAGAGAGAGAGAGAGAGAGAGGGAGAUGGCGAUGGAAGGAGAGCGAGGGGGAAGGGAAGGGUUCUCGGCACUGUUGCUGCAUGUGGAUUUCACAUGUGGGAGAGUGGGUAUGGUCAGAGAAAACCAUAUAGGUCAUUGGGAUUUCAGGGAAACGGGGUAGGGGUCAUGAAUGAACUCUGCUGAGAGUGUGGGUACCGGAUCUUGCGCUGCAUGCCUCAAAUCAAAGAUAAGUUCGUUUUUUUAUUGUAUUUUUUGUGGUAGCUUAGCUUUUGGAAUUGUUUAGUAUGUUAGGUCCGAUUUUGGGGGAUUUAUCUUUUUAGAGAGAGAGAUGGACAGGGAGAUAGAGAGAGAGAGAGAGAGAGAGAGGAGGAGGAAGCAUGACUGUGUGCAAUUUUUGGUGUUAAUUAAUGGGUUGGUGCGUAGGGUGAGUGACAGAGUGACAGAGUGAAGGAGGGACGUGUGGGAGGGUAUGAGUUUUCAGUUCUUUCUUUUGAUUCAACAGGUUAUACAUUGUUUGAAAAACCUUUUUUUAUUAUUUUUUUCUCGUUUGCUUUGUUAAAACCAUCAUUUGAAUUUUUGGGUUUCACUGUGUUCAUUUCUCUGCUUCUUCAUAAUUUGCUGGUGUUUGCUUUUCAUCCCUCUAUUGGUAGAUCUUUUUCUCAUUUCUUGGUUCCUUAUGUAUUCUUUGGUACAAAUCUAUUUACUUUUUGGCUGUGUGAUAAUCUUAGCAGGUGAACUAUAUGAACGUUUUUUUUGAAACGAGUUAAGAAGAUCCAGCUGAAAAGAGCAUGCAAGAUAGAGAACUGGUAUGCUGCUCGCCAGGGAAAGGCUGCUGGAGAGGCUGAGACGGAUGCCUCCUUCAAAAACCAGGUCAGUUUCCUGCUACUCGGCGUCUUAAUGUAUCCAAAUUGUUUAUCUUUUGAUGAAAUUAGCUGGCUUUAUUUUCUAUUUUAUUUAUCUGCAUAUUAUUUUGGUUUGUUGAAAUUUUGACUAUAGUCAUUGUGUCACAUGGGCGCCCAGCCCAACCCAAAUUAGUUGAGGAUAUUUAAAUCUUCACCAUGGUAUUAUAGUACUCACUCACAGUUGUGAAUACUAAGGUGCAGGCAUGGCAUGAAGAAGUGGACCGUGCACGCCAAGGUCAGAGGGAUGCAGAGGGCAAACUUUUUUCUUUGGAGGUAAGUAUCCUUUGUUUAUUGCCCAACAGUGUUGUUAUUAUCAAUUUGUAGCUUUGCGUUCUGAAUUUUUUGCUUUGUCAAACAACCUUUUUGAAAUGCUCGAUUUCAAGCCGAAGUCCAAAAAAUGAGAGUUGAGAUGGCUUCCAUGAAGAGGGAUGUAGAGCAUUACUCGCGCCAGGUGAAAUCUGCUUCCUCUCUUUUCGUAUAUCUUCAUAUGAAGAGUUUUACUAAGUUAUAUUGAGAACUAUGUUAUUUAUAGGUUAUAUUUUCCAUUUUGCAAGAACACAUGGAGCUAAGGAAGAGCUAUCGUGAACUCACUGAUCUACUGGUAAUGUCACUCAAACUGCUUUAUUUGUGCAUGCUGCUACUAUGCGCUUGAAUGCAUUUUAUUACUGGCGGGAUGCGAAGAAUGCUAGAUAUAUGUGCUGGAUCGCUUGAUUAGUGUUAGGGUUUUAACAACUAAUUGUUAGCAGCUAGAAGCUCUGGUUAGAUGAAUGCUAAUUUGAUUUUCCUUACAGUACUUGAGUGCCAGUUUCAUAUUGUUUGUUCCCUGCUGGAUACAUGCUGUACAGUUUCAUUUCUGUUUCUUCAUAACUUUCUUGGCCCUGCGAUAUAUGCAUAUUGAGUACAAUGAAUAUCCAUUGUUCUCUAACUGUUGGGCUUUACUAUCUUUGUAGCAGCCUGCCUAACAUUUUUUAGGCUCUACACUCUACCAUCCAAUUUAUGAAAAAUUCAAAGAUUGGACGGUAUUGAUUGCAUAAAUGAAAAAAAUACUAUGAUAUUAGAAAGGUGAAUGUAAUUGUGUUAGAAGAAGCGUCUAGCAUGAUGGGUAAUAUUUUAAGUUUGUAUUUCUAAAAUUUUUUCGUUCUGGAGUAUGAUUUACCUCAAUUGUUUUGUACUUUAAUCUUUACUAAUUUUCAUUGUGGAGUAUGAUUUGCCUCAACUAACAACUUUUCAUUGUUUAACUUUUUCCUCCCUUAGAUAGUUGCAUAUGUUUGAUUUGUUAAUCUGCUUCUUACACAUGUUGUUUCCUAAUGGUGUAGGUGGAUUGCCGGAUGCAUGUGCAGAUUACUUGAAUAGACGAAGCUAAGAAUGACUUAGUAUUAAGUGAGAAAGAAGCUUGGGUCAGUUGGAUUUUGACAUUUGAUUUAUUCAUGUUUUUUUGUUGCUUGCAAUGUUCUCUCAUUGUUUGUUCUGAGAUUCUGUGAUCUUAUUUUUCAUAGGAACUGACAUUGGUUUGCCAUAUAAUGUUUCAGGAACUAAUACAACAACUAAUCACCUUGCUUAGGUCUCAAGACACAUACUUAACAGGUUAACAAACGCUAACCUAUAAACUUAUCUACUAAGCUGGACCAUUAACCUCUGUUUAUAUCCCUGCCACUCAUCUUUUGGCACUUAUCAAUAGCAAAAUCUAGAGUUGUUGAAACCCCAAUUUUAAUGAAUAUUAUUUUUAGUUGAUAAUUAAAAUUAAUUGAUGAUUAAUCUAUUCCAUUGUGCAUUAUUUUAUCGCCAAAUACUUUGAAUAUUCAUUAGCAAAAGAUAUAGGGUUCACUAUUUAAUGAAUAGAAUUUUGAUGGUGGAUUGCAUUUCCUGAGUUAUAAAUGUGGUGAAUCCAUUAUUUACUAGCUGAAUAAUCAUAAUGUUUUGGCCACUUACCUUGAAUUUUGUUCAAAUUGAAGAAGUCACAUGUUUCUUUCUGUUGUUGAGGUAAUCUCUCUGUUGAAAGCUUCUAUUUCUUUUUUCUUUUUCUUUUUUUCAUUUGGGUAGAUUUUUUUUUUAUGGAUUUAUGUAUUUUUUUUCUUCAGAGAAUUCGAAAUGAAAUAAGAAUAGCGGAUUGAGCAUAAACAAAUUGAUGAAAUUUUUAUUUGAGUGUUUGUGUUGGUCCUUUUUUGAUUUGUUGAGGUUUGGAAUUAUUUGAGUUUUUUUGCUGUUAGUACUGUGAAGGAUGCUUGGCAAUCGCGAAAUGGGGGCUACCUCUUUGGAAAGAGAAGUCUCGCUAUCCAACCUCUCAUGAAUUACAAACAGGGUGCUUUCUUGCUGAAAAACCACUGAAUCAGUAGAACUUUCCUCGGUUCUUCAAUUCGAUUCGAAUAAUUUUUUUACCCAGAAAAGCCAGCGUUUCCUGGUGAGUUUUACAGCUUUCUCAAUGUUUUUUUUAUUUUGGAUUUGCAAAUUUGUUUUCUGUUCAAAUUUCCUUUUGUGAUUUUGGAGGUUUUGUUUAUCGAUUCUCUCACUCAUCUCUCAGCUCUCUCCCACUUUUGAGGUACAUGUCGUUGGAUUCCGUUUGCUGCUGUUGAUCUGCAGGUAAAGCUUCAAUUACCAUACAAAGUUUACAUUUUUCAUGAUUUCUUGAAUUUGGGUUUUAAACAAAGGAAAUAUUGCUAGAUUCUUAUCUUAUGUGCAAAUUACUGGCUAUUUGGAUUGGUGCUUGAGAUUUAGAGAAUGUCUCGCAGCUUUAAUUUCUUUUUCCUUCAUUAUUACUGUUUUCAAAAUUUUUAUUGCUGGGUAUUGAUAAUUUGUAGUAUGUGAGGGCUUCAAUAUGUUGGAAUUUUGAAUGGUUAUUGCUUCAUCGGAAUUUGGGUGGUCCAAAUUUUGAAUUAGAAGAAACCCAUUUGAUUAAUAUUUUUGGUGGAUUGGUUCUCUGUGUUUUCUUUGCUAUUUCUCCCCCAGUUGGAAAUUGGAAGCCCCAACUUUGAGCUCAGAGCUUGAAUUUCUCAAUCGUUCGUUUCUCUACACUCUCAUCAGUCACUCUUGAUCCUCUAUCUAAAGAACUGGGUAAUUUUCCAGCUCUAUCAAGUAAUACUCAAUUUAAUUGCUUAAUUGAGGUUUUUUGUUUCUCUUUUUCGCUCUUUCAUCAGUUCAUUGGCUUUGAUGUUGAGCUUAAGUAAAUGGGAGAUCAUUAAUUGGCAUUGUUCAAAAUAUAAUUAUGUGUUUUUGGAUUUGUGAAACGAUUUGCCUAAUGAUGAUAGUGGUUAAAAUAAAUUUUUCGUUAUGAAAGAGAACAUUGUUCUUCAUUUGCCUACGGUUUUAACUACAAAGUUAAACUACUAUGCUUUUGUUCAAUUGAUUGCAACUCAUGCCGCAGUUUGCUUCACAAACCUCUAUGGUUAGCUUCCAUACAGUAUGUUGCAAGUUUGAGGAUAUCUUUACAUCUUAAUUUUUGCUCUCUCUGGUUGCUUCAAGUUUGUAAUUUUACGUGUUACAUUGCUACUUGAUUUGAUUAUAAAAAUGCAAAAGAAAAUCCAUUUUGCUUUUAUUCAACUUAAAUGUAUCCUUUUGUUUGUUCAUAAUUGUGUUGAAUUUAUUCAACUUAAAUGUGUUUUAUUCAUCUGUUUACGCUUAAAACAACUGGUUCCCCUAGCAAUGCGCGGACCUAAUUUCUAGUACAUAUACUAAAAGCCAGCAGAAAAUUACUGUUCAUCAUGGGAGAUAGAGCACUGUUCAUUAACAGUGAAAGGGAAAAAAUGCCCUCGGUUUCUUCUUUACUUCACGUACUGUUUACGAAUUGCUACAGUAUAAAGUCCGUUUUGUCAUUCCUGUCCACGCAUCUUUCAUCGUCCGUUUCUCUUGCUUCGACCGCAUCUUUUUCGCUUUACCUUUCCUCUUCGUUUUUCGCCUUCGCUAGGCUGCAAUUUUCGGAGGUGGAUUGUUUGCCCUUCUAUUUCCAUGCUCUCCCCAUGCCCUCCAUUGAUGUGUGGUCACGGUUAAACUAUGUCAACAUUUUAUAUUAAUUUUUUUAUAGAAAUAAUAAAAUAAAAAGUAAUAGGUAUCCAGGAAAUUUUCGUCAAAAUAUCCAGGAAAUAGGUAUCCAGGAAAUUUGCUUUACCGAUAUUUUAAUAGGUAUCCAGGAAAUUUGCUUUACCGAUAUUUCGCCGAUAUUAUCGGUUUUUUGCUUUACCGAUAUUUUAAUAGGUAUCCAGGAAAUUUUCGUCAAAAUAUCGCGAUAUUAUCGAUAUUAUCGAUAAUAUCGCGAUAUUUUAGAUAAUAUCGAGACAUUUUGGUUUCUCGACAGUCAGUCACAAUCUCGCCGGAGAAUCAGAAUAACUCCGAGCAAGAACAAAACCUGCAACCAAACGGAACAAAAUCAUCACUAUCUUUCAACAAAAAUCACCACUUUAUACCAAAAUCAGUGACAAAAUUACACUAAUCCGAGAAGCAAGGGCUUGAAUUCGAGCAAGAUCUGGAAGAAAACAGUAGAAGCUGAGAAAUCGAGUACCUCACCGGCAGUUACAGUGCUAAAGAUCAUCAUCUUUGGAAGGCCGCGGAUCAGACGGAGCUGAGAGAUCAAUGAGUAAGCAUUUCAUAGAUCGUAUUCGAUGAGCAGCUGAAAGAGAGGAGAGAGAAAGCAGAGAGAGACGCGGACGAGGAGGAUCUCGCUGAUGGGGACGACGAAGGAGAGGUAGAGGUCGCGGCCCGCGGGACAUGGUGACGGGCUCGACGAGGAGGAAGGCGAAGGAGGAGCAGAGGAGAUGGGUGCGUGCGUGCUGCGGUGCAGAGAAGAGAGAUGAGGGAGAUAUGAGAGAGAGAGAGCCGAGAGGGAGACAGAAGAAAAAGAAAAGAAAACAGAAAGAAGAAGAAAAGAAGAAGGGAGUCGCGGGGGAACAAAGAGAGAAAAGAGAAAAGUGGAGGGGCUGCCACGUGGCCACUUCAGAAAGAAAGGGAUCCAAUGUUUUGGAUCCUGAUUGGGUAGUCAAAGAGGACCAAUUUGAUAUAUUAAAAUGUUUAGGGGAUAAUUACACAAAUAUAUCUUUAUAAAUGGGGGUGGGUGUUACAUAUUGCCCUAAAAAACUCCAAGUAAUUACAACAUCGUAUUAGAAUUGUAAUUGAUCCUUGUUAGAUUUGGUUUAGAAAUUCUAUGUAAUUUAGUGAUUGUUUCAUAUUAGAUUUAGAUUUGAAUUUUUUACUCCAUUCAGAUUUUAAAUGAUUAUAAUAGAUUUAAAAAUUUACGAACUUUGAUGAAGUUUAAUAAUUUUUAAAACUUUUAUGUAAAAUUUUAAGUGAAUUCCCUCAAAUUUUCAGGUAGCGAUUUGAGAAUGUUUAAAAUAUUAUGUGAAAUAUUUCUAAUUUUUUCGAGUUUCCCAGCUUUUUAAAAAUCUCUUUGAAUCAAUUUCUAAAUUAAUACAUUUGGAAUGUAUGAAUUUCUUAAAAAUCAUGAUCGAAUACCCCUUAAACUUUAAAGAAUCACUUAAAAUCCUAAUUAAAUGCCCUUAGAUUUUUAAGGAGAAUUAAAAUGUUUAUAAGCCCCAAUUGGAUGUACCGCUUAAUUUAACUAAUUGACACAACACAACAUAACCAGUUAAGAUUACAAAUUAACACAAAAGACGACUUGAUGCGAGGUCAUAUCUACAAAACUUGCCGCAAUAAGCCCCAAUUGGUGUGUUUAAACUUCUUUCAUUAAUUACUACAUAUUUUCUACACUCAUAAUGUUUGUCAGCUCGCUAUAUAAUCAACUUGAUAAUGUUAAAUCCAUCAUGCAAUGCAUUUCCUUCCAAUUUUUUGUGAUAAACUAAUAGAUAAUUGACUAAAUAAACAUCCUGCAAAGUUUCAAUAAAAAUUUUCAAGUUUUUUUUACAAUUUCCGUGAUUUUCAUGUAAUUUUUAUCGGUAUCGAUAUUAUGCCGAUAUUUUUAUCAAUAUUUCCGUGUUUUCGAGUACAUAUUUCCGAUAUUACCGAUUCAUCCGCGAUUUUCUCCCUUUUCGCCAGCCCCUCUUUUGCUCUCAAAUCCUUGCUCUUUCUUUUUCAAACUAGUCUCAGAAGAGAUCCUGGGUUUAUCUAAUCCUUUGUUGUUCGGCGUUUUGUUCUCAUCUUGCGAUCGUCGGGGCAGCAGCUUUAAGGUAAGUUUGUUUUUAAUGAUUUAUCCUCAAUUUACGAUGUCUGGGCUAACAAAUUUAAGAUCUUUAUUUUUCUUUUUGCUGUGGAUCUGCAGGUUUUGACAAGUUUUUUGUGAAAUUGGUGCUGUCAGUGGGUGUUAAUAUCAGGUACCCAUGUUCAGUUUUUCGUUUUGAUUUGAAGGAAUUUCUUGCGCAGAAGAGCUAGGUUUCUUGGUGAGUUCUUCGGGUUGUGCAUAUGGGUAAUUUUCUUUUAGGUAUAACCCUCUGCUUCUGCUGCUCUCUCUCUCUCUCAUCCCUGCCUGCUCCUCUCCAAUUGUUUGCUGUUCUUAAAUAUUGUGUUCAUUGCCUGAUACAAGGAGCUGCAGCAAUCUGUUUUAUCCUACACGGGACAACGAGGCAAUGGCGUGACAACAAGUGAGCUUGGAUAUCCAAAGAAAAAGAACAGUUGGUUCAUCUGCUGGAGUCUGAAGCUCAGAGAAGUGGAGGAAAAUUGCAGGUGUGCGAGAAAUUUUAUUUUGCUGAUAGGACUCCUUAUUUACCGAUGCAUUUUGAAUUAAUUGAAAAGUUGGAUUUGAGUUAACAGCUAUAAAAAUGUAGACAUGAUUGCUGAGAUUAUGCUAUGAAAGUGGAAUAAAAAAAUGGUAGUUUAUAAUAUUGCGUACCAAUUUUUUUCUCUCUUUUUUACCAAAUGAUAAGGGUGGUGGCUCAGGCCGCCCCCCUACGCGUCCCCACUCUUCGACAAGUUGAAAUCAUGGUGAUAGUUUAUGGGUUGCGGUCUUGGGAUUCUGCAAAUAGAAUAAAAAACAGACACUUAACUAUCUUGUUAUUAAGCAUUUCUGCAUCAUUCAGUUGCUCUUGAUUUUCGUCUUUUAAGCGCUCUUAUUUCUGCGAUCUGACUUGAGGAGGGGUUUUAGACCUAUGGUUGUGGGUGUUUUGUCUGACCCCAUUAAAUUGGUUUCCGAGAUUUGUAGACUUGCGAUCGGCGGUCAAACAUUUCGUGAUUCUUGCUUUUUUUCCGACUGGGAUUGACGAAUUUUGGCCGAAUCUGUUUCCUGUUUUCUUCUCUGUUUGAGCGGCCGCUGCCUUUCGGUCGUUGAGCGCCGGCAGUCUUUAGAUCUUUGGCAAAUCAAUUUAAUACAACCGAGGUAUGUUUUAUAACUGCUGUCUUUCAAUUUUUGUUCUGUAUUUUUGUUAAUUUGGAUGAAGCUCUAAUAAUUUUGUUUUGGAUCAGUUGUGGUCCUCUGUUAGGAUUUUCCUGGCUAAGAGGGUAUUUGCAUUUUUGUUGCUUGGUUGGUCGAUCCAGUGUAUUAAAAGCGUGAGGCGUGGGCGAGGCGUCCGAGGGAAGCUCGGCCUAGGCGUGAGGCGUGAGGCGAAGCCUCAUGGGACCUAAAUUUUUUAAUAUAUAUACAUUGAGCGUACACAUAUAUUAUAUUAAAAAUAAGAAGAUUAUUAAUCAAUAAUCACCUUGAGCACACACAUAUAUUAUAAAUAUAUACACACACACAUAUAUAUACAUAUAUUAUAUUAUAUAUGCAUAAAAUAGAGGAUGAAAAACACAAUGAGCACACAUAUAACAAUGCACGCAAACAACACACACAUCCAUUAUAUAAAAAUAAAAAUCAGAAAAAAGGCAUAGAGACAAAAGUGCAAGGAAGAUGUAUGAGACAGUUAAAAUCCUACCCAAAAUUUGGGUUUGGGAGUAAAGAAAAAAAAAAAAAAAAAAAAACUCACUGAGGCGCGCCUAGGCGGCUCCGGCGACGCCUAGGCGGCCUUUCGCCCACUCCAGCAAAACUGAGGCGUUAGCCAUGGAGCCAAGCCUCAAGGGCGCCCUAGGCGCGCCUCGAGGCGAGUUUUUUAAAACAUUGGGUCGAUCACAAAUUUACGAACAGCUGUGGUGGUCCUGUUAGAGCCAAGCCUCAAGGGCGCCCUAGGCGCGCCUCGAGGCGAGUUUUUUAAAACAUUGGGUCGAUCACAGAUUUACGAACAGCUGUGGUGGUCCUGUUAUUUUUUUGGUAUGUUUUUUCUCCUUUUUGGUUUUUUCCCGGUUUGAGCACCCAUUCAUGAAGAAUUAAAAUGUGUUUAUAGUUUUUCAGGAGAGAUUAGAAAAGUGAUUUCAAUUUGGGAAAAUUUAAUGUUGGUUAAAAUUUGUUUAUAAUUUUUGGGAAGGAAUGAGAGGACCCAUUGAAGUAUGUGUUGUGAUUAUUUUUUAUUCAUAUUUUUAACAAAUUGGGCAUGAAUUGGUAGGUUAACUGUGUGUGUUUAUUAUUUGAAUCGGCCAUGUUUGUCUUUCUAUGGUUCUAAAAAAUUUGUAAAGGCUGUUAACUUGGAAGAAAAUGGGAUCGAGGGUGAGGGGAAAACAGCAGAGAAAGCAUGGAAGAGAGAUUUGGGAUUAGGGGUAGGAAAACAGAUGAAAAGAAUAUGAUAGAGGAAUGGGUUCAGUUCAUUUUCACUAUUUUUUUUAACUGAUUUGGAUUUUGUUUGGGUUUGAGGCCAUCAUUGGCGUUAAGACGUUUAUUAUCAGAUCGUGUGUGUUUUUUGCUAACUUUUAUUGGUAAUUUUUAUGUUGUUCUUAUGAUUUUGUGUGGUAGGGUUUCUGAAUUUUAUCGUUGUUCAUUUGGUUUUUUCUGAAUUUUAUCUGAUUUUGUGUGGUGAGUUUACAAAAUAAUACUAAAUAAAUUUAUUUGUAAUUUCGGAUGAUUGUGAUUCAAUCCUACUACAAUUGAAAUUCACAGAAAGAAUGAAAAACCAGAACAAAACUGCAGCACCUAAAAAGUUGUCAUACAAAAAAACAUGGAAUGUAAAAAUAUGUUAAGAAAUCUAGUUCGUUAAUUUCCAGCUGGUAAGCGGCAUUAUGUAACUUUAGUAGUAUAACUAAUUAACUACUUAUCUAGUGGGUUGCACUUCUAUCCUUGAUCUCAGUUGUGGCUGCAAAGUGCAGGCCACCACCAAGUCUCAGUGUUUGUGUAUUAGCAAAACACUUAAAUAAAUUAAAUUCUGAAAUGUAAAUUAUAUUCCUAUAACUUUAAGAUGCACAUAUAGUAUUGUUGAAGUCGAACUGAAAGCACUGACAAUUCCAAGCAACAGAGCAGCAAUUAUUAAGAGCCAAAACUCAUUCCUAGUCUCCUCAUCCUGGUACUCUACUCCGUAAUCUUCGUUCAGCAUCAUUGACUGAAAUUAGGAGAGAAAAAGAAAAGGAAUUUCAGAAAUUGUCUAUGAAGCAAAGGAUACUGCAGUUACUUCAAGACAUGUAAAUUGCAUAUGUAUAAAGUAAUUUUCUACAUAAAGUAACGAGGCAUAACUCUCUCUCUCCUCUUCAAACCCUAAACAGAGCAAAGCCACAAACUUUACAGAGAUUAGAAUGAGAACUGGAAUUAAUAGAACAAUGACUGAAAAGUAACAUACUUGAGGAGUGAAUGAUUUAGUGUUUCCAUCAUCGGAAAGCCGGAGUAAGUCGCUAAGAGAGGUCGCAAACAGCCCAAAGGGACAAACCCAGACCCCCGGCCCCGAUCCAUACCCUUCCCCCUCAAAUCCCGACGGCCCCCAUACUUUUCUCUGACUGUACCCCCUCUCCCACUCAUGAAAUCGAGGAUCUGUAGCAAUGGUACUGAGAUCCCCACUCCUCCCCCUCCCUUUCUCUCUGUCACUCUGUCUCCCUCUCCCUCUGUCUGUCUAUCUUUAUCCCAGAGCGGCAUGGCCUCGCAUCCCUGAAACCCUCACCGAAAGGUGGCAAUUUUGUAAAUAACUUGAAAUCCACCAACAGCAGGGGCAGAGAAUUGAAACAGACAUUUAGGCUCGUUCGAUAACCAUUUAGGCCAAAACUGAGCACACCUAAACCAUUCCUACUCGUGCCAAAUGUUAGCGGGGAAGCAAGAUGAUGACUUUAUUGUUCAAAACCAAAAGAAAAAAAGAGAGAAAACAAAAUAACAAAUCUAAUGGUUGUAGUGUAAAAGCUGAGAACGUAAAUAAACAUGCAGGGAAAAAAAUUGAAGAUACAAAGUAGCUGCAUCAUGAAACACUUGCUCCAAUUAGACGCAAAAAGUGAUGGUGAUGAGAAGAGAGAGAAAAUGCAGUCGUUUUGAUUUUUCUGGCUUUUAAAGGGAGCAGCUUUCUUCGACCACCAAAAAAAGGAAGCUGCUUUUCGUGUGGUUGUGAUUUCCUGAGUGUAUGUGAGCGGGUCUAUGGCACUUGCACUUUUUGUGUCGGUUACGGUAACCGGGCGAGGUGGACACGGCGGCGUGGGACUGAAUUCGGAGAGGUGAGAAAAAUUAAAAACACAAAAAGAAGGUGUUCAUUUUGUCACAUUUUUAUUACUAAAAAUUCAAUAAAGUACAUUCAUUAGUAUGGUAACUUAACUAUUUAAUUCCAUCUCAUUAAACUAAAAAAAACAAUUACAUAAAAAUAAGGGAAACCUUGUCCAGAGAGACCUGAGAGAAAGUGACGACUUCUCCUCUCAUUCCACUCCAUACUUGAUCUCUAAAGUCCAUUUGGCAUGUAAUUGAUGUUCAAUUUCAAAUUUAGUGGUAGCAAUUAGCAAAGCUAAUGAAAGAAUAAAAUAAAAUGAAAGAAAAAGCAUCAUGAAAUAAAUCAAGAUGAAGAAUGAAAUUUUGGCAACUCGCCAUUCUCUUCUUUUAUACAAAAGAUACAUCCUAUUUGUAGUGAAAACAGGUCCCGACAAACCCAGUUAUCGUCAAGAAGUAUUUUGUAUGACUUUAAAAACAUAUUCCGAGAAAUUAUCUCUUGGCUGAGAACAACAACAAAUCUUCAUGCAUAGCUUGUAGAGAAAGACAUCAGGCAUACAAAAGAACACGCAAGCAUAAAAUAAACGACGCAGGGAAAACCAAAAAUACAAUUGGAUACGCUGUCAAAAGAACAUAAAUAAAUGAAAAUUACAAAACAAAGAAGUGAUGAGAAACCAAAGUACCCAUUUCAUAAUCUAAUUGCUUUUUAGUUUGCUUGCCAUUUUUAGUUCUUCAAUUUAGAGAGAAACCAUAAUUCAGCACAUGAAUAAAGUGAAAACAUAAAAGAUAUGUGGGAUAAGCUAACAGCCAUCCCUGAGUAAUGCAUUCACUUCUGAACCCCAAACACACCAAAACAAAAAUUCACACACAUGAACUACAGCUCUGCUAUGUAACAAGAAUUAAAAGCAUCUCAAAACAAAAUGGCAAACUAUAAGAGCAAUGUAAAAGUAAAAUUGCAAGAAAUCUAAUACUUGGAGGGCAAGUACUAAUCAGACGAAAAUGAAAGAUUGAACUACCUCGCGUGGAACUGUGCCUUGGUUUUUUCCCAUGCUUACAGGAAGCUUUGCACUGAGCUCUUAUAGCCCAAAUUUUCUCUGAAGGGAAAAAAACACAAUUUUGAAAUAAGAUUUUCAUAUUAUACCUUAAAGAGAAGAAUUAGACAACAAAAAAGAGAACAAUGAGUACUUUUCAUCAUAUAUUGUUAGAGUAUGUGGUCCUCUAGUCCAAUGGUCCUGCAGCCAUAUUUACUUUAUAACUCUUUCUUUAGUCUAAAAACAUCUUGGAUCUCAAAUUAAUAUGAAUACGGAUUCAUACGCAUGCAUUGCAUUACAAUCACAAUGCAACAUCUCAUUAGAAAUCCCCACACAAAAUUCUUUUAUUGCUACUUUGAUUUUAGUUUAUAUUUUUUCUGAAGCACGAGGGAGCUAAUUUUUUUUUAAAAAUUUUUUAUUCCAAUAAUGUUAUAGGGUUGAAAGGAUAUUAUCAAUUUAAUUGAUUGUAUUUGAUUGGUGGAACUUCUAUAUCUAUAUUUCAGGUUUUCAAAUUCAGCACUGGGAGAGUCAUUCAUAAAAUGUUUGACAGUGAGAUUACCUCCAUGGAUUAUGCUCACAAUGGACAGCUCAUUUUCCGCGGUGAUGGGACAAUAUAUUUCAGUCAUUCGCCAUUCAAUCAAUUCAAACCGAGGAACAAGCAACAUCAAGAAGAGGAUCUGCCAUGUCAGGAUCACUGUCGUCCAAUUAAUACAAAAAAUCUAGAUAAAAACGAUCAAUUUACAUAAAAGCCUUUCAUUUUCUCAGCAACCAAGCAAAAGAAAAUACCUAUCCGUUAAACACUCGAUUUGGGAGUAAACGUUGCUGAAACUGGACUUCAAUCCCCUCAACCGCAACAAUCGAAUCGAGGUGUGCAAGUCAUUGAAAAACUCACCCAAGAUUUCAAAAUCUGCAUAAAGAAAUAAAUAAGCACAUAAAUUAGCCAACCCUGUUAUGAUCCCACAUCGGGUACACAAGAAAUUGUGUAGUGGUACUUAAGUGCAAGGGGUCAUCCCACCUAUUGGACUAGUUUUUUGGAUUGGGCUCUUCCCUUGGGCUUGAGUACCUAACAUUGGUAUCAGAGCCUAGGUUCCCGACGCUGCGAGACUUGGCGAGUGGUGCCGCCUCAUGGUGCCGCCUUGGGAGUAUGGGCUCCCAAGGGUCUUGGAGACGGGCAAGGUAUGAAAUGUCGAUAUUAUCGCGAUAUUUCGCCGAUAAUAUCGGUUUUUUGAGUUACCGAUAUUUUAAUACUUAUCCACUGAGUUUUCGUCAAAAUAUCGCAAUAUUAUCGAUAAUAUCAACAAUAUCGCGAUAUUACCGAUAAUAUCGCGAUAUUUUGGAGAUGUGCGAAUCGGAGAAGAAGGCCGGAGCUUCUACAGCUCCUGCCGACUGUAAAAGAGCACCCUAGACUCCGAUCUAGGUAUCAAAAUGAAAUACAAGACGAGAGGAAUGUUUUUAUAACUUCCGUUUGCCGUGAAACGGUCGAAGGUGUUCGGAAAGUUCGUCGACACCCACGGCCUCGCCAGAGAUGGGUGUGCCUAUUCUCGAGCCGAUUUCGUCCCAAAAACCUUGCAAAAACACGAGAUAGAACUUAAAUUUCACAUCUAAGCUUCAAUCUAGAAUAGAAUGAGGUAAACCCGAAGCUUACCUAACCGGAGAAAUUCAAGAAACUCGCCAGAGGGUUCCUGCGUCGCCGAGUUGCAGAGACGAGAAAGAGAUGGAGAAAGACGAGGUUGCUGAUAACGAUGGGUGUCUUCCUCAAGCAGGUGCGAUGGUGUGCGUGUGUGUAUGUGGGUCUCGGUGCAGAGAGAAAGGAGAGAGAUGAGAGUUUCAAGAAAGAGACGGCGCCAACGAGAGCUAUUUGUUUUUUUUUAUCUUAAAAAGAGAGAGGUCUAAGAGAAAUGGGAAGAGAGGGCCGAGUGAAAUGAAAGGAGGUCCUUGAAUUAUUGAGAGAUAUCUCUGAGAGAGGCCUAGGAUUUCUAAAAGGUAAUUAGAAAUGGGAAAAAUGGGGCACAUCUUAGCCUUUAUUUUGGAAUCCUAAGAAGUUCACCACAUGGAUGCAUGACAUGUGUGCAUGCCAUGUCUGUUGAAUGGGAAAAGUCUGACAUGGAAAGACAAAGAGUCGUUUGGUCCUCUGGGCUCGAGGCAAGAUAGAAAGUGCUAGGGUUUUUUUUUCUGAAAUGAACAUAAGCUGCUAAAUUCGCAUAUAUUAUAGUUGUUGCUAAAGAUUGACACUAGUGCGGACUUGGACGUGUUGGUCAACAUGUCCUCACAAUCCCCAAGUUCUCCGGUUCGAACCCUUACGCCCAUCAAAUUUUUCUUUCUUUUCGAUGCGCUUUUUCCAUGGCUCUAGGUCUUGAUUUCGAAUCCAGGUGAGCCCUUUCCUUUUUCUUUUUUUUUUCUUUUUGUUUUAUUAUUUGUUUAUUUUAAUUUAUUUGUUUCUUUUAUGUUUUUCCUUUCUUUUAGUUUCUUUGUCUUAGGCGUUCGUGUUUAUUAAAGUAGGAUGUAAAAUCAAUUAUCUUAAAAUUAUGUGUUUUUAAAUUUUGGACUUGUUUGUUGGAUACUUUUUUUGCAUUUUAUCAUUAUUUUAUUAUGAAAAUAUGCUAAAAUAUGCUAAAAUAUCACUUAUGUUUUUGUGAAAAUAUGCUAAAAUAUUUAUAUAUAUGGUUUUGUUUUGAAUUCUUUUUGUACUAAUUCAUUAUAUAUAAAUGAUUAUGGUGUGUUUAAACUUCUUUAAUUAAUUACUACAUAUUUUCUAUACUCACAAUGUUUGCUAGCUCGCUAUAUAAUCAACUUAAAUCAGUAAAAUCCAUCAUGCAAUGCAUUUGCUUCCAAUUUUUUGUGAUAAACUAAUAGAUAAUUGAUUAAAUAAACAUCCUGCAAAGUUUCAAUAAAAAUUUCCAAGUUUUUCUUACAAUUUCUGUGGUUUCCAUAUUAUUUUUAUCAAUAUCGAUAAUAUCCCGAUAUUUCCAUCGAUAUUUCCGUGUUUUUGGACUACCGAUAUUUCCGAUAUCAUCGAUAUUUAUACCUUGGCGACGGGGGACUUGCCGACUGGUGCCGCCAUGGACGUUGGGUCUUUCGAAAGGUGGUGUAAUGUUAUGAUCCCACAUCGGCUACACAAGAAAUUGUGUAGUGGUACUUAAGUGCGAGGGGUCCUCCCACCUAUUGGACUAGUCUUUUGAGUUGGGCUCUUCCCUUAGGCUUGAGUACCUAACAAACCCAUAAAUCAAAGAAAUCAAAAUCCACCCAGAAUCAAAGAAAUCAAAAUCCAUCCAAAACCAAAGAAAUCAAAAUCACACACAGAUAUACAAGGUGUACAGUAUUGACAUGCCUUAAAUGAUAUUAUUCACAAGAUUUAUAAAGCUCAUGUUGUAAUACUUGUGCAGAAUCUAUCAUUCACGGCGUCACUUUUGUGCAAGUCGUAAAUAAAAUUAUUCACGAUUUAAACAUUGUGUGUCGUAUUUGACAAUUUAUACUACGCACUUUCUUUUUCUUUUAAAGCUUUGCGUUAUGUCGUAAAGUUGACUUUCUAUAUAUUUGGGUUGUACCUUUUAUGGCGCAAAUAACACGUCGUAAAUAAUGGCUUUUAGCACAGAAGUUUUGUGGUAAAGAAGCCCGCGCACUAAUUCAUUCUCGCGCCUUCUCUUUUUUAUUUAGCCGCUUCUUUUUUUGGUUUUUUUUUUUUUUAAAAUUCCCCUCAAAUCUUAAAAGGGUUUGUAUUUUCUUUGGUAAACUUGAAAGAGAAACAUUGCAAUUGCAUUUUCAUUUACCCAAUAUUAAUUGUCGAGAGCCCACCCCCUUCCCUUCUCUCUGACAUCGUAACUCUCUCCUCUCCAUCGAUCUCGCUCCAUCUGCUCGCCGUCGCUCUAUAUGCUCGUCAUCGCCGUCGAUUCGUCUGCUCGUCGUCACCGUCGCCCAUCUGCUUUCCGUCACCGUCGAAGUGCCCCGCCAUUCAAAAUCUGAAAUCCCCAAUACAGGGUGCUUUGCGGCAUUUCGUUCUCCAAAACUUUAGGUAUGCUCUCAAUCUGUAUCAACCCUAUCCUGUCACCUCUACUUCAAGGUGAACAAUUUAUAGUUUAUAAAUUUUACUUGUGUUAAUAUAUAUUUUUUGGUAAAUGUUAUGGAUAUUUUAUCAAAUCAGAGAGUAAAUUCGUAUUAAGUGAAGAUUGGCAAAGAACAUAUUGUUUUGAAAGGUUGAAUAAUGUUUGCAGAUCACAUAAAUCAGUAGUUGUCAAGUCCAUAAGAGAAGCAAGAAAUCGGAAAGCAAGGCUUCGACUAAAACCAAAUAAUGUCAAAUUAAUUCAAGAUUGGAAGACUUUCCUUGCAAAGUGUAAGCUCAUUUUCAUUUUCUUUCAUUUCUAAGAUUAGUUAUCUUCUUUUGAGUUCAAAAUUGGGUCAGAGAAAUCAAACUGAUAGUAGUUAAAAGUCUAUUUCAACACCAAGCCUUGUCUACACAAGAAUUUGGUGUUAGUUAAACAUGUGUAUGAUUCUAUCUUGAUUGCAUGUUAAUUUAGUUUGAAGAUAGAUUUGGUACAUGCUAGCUAAUUGAUACGUGAUAUGAAUCUUUGGUUUCCUUUUGAUAGGACAAAAGUGAAACAUUCAGAGAGAUGAAGUCUAAGCAACUCCGCACACAUGUAGUCGCAAGGGAUAUGGUAGGUUGGCCGAGGAUUUGGUAAUUACAUUUCAUUCUAGUGCCUUCUUUUCUACAGGACAAGAACAAUUUACUAAUUUUAUUCUGUGUUCUACUGUGUGUUUACUACAUAUAUGUUUCUAUUUUGUAGAAAAGAAAAAGUGUAGACCCUUCUCUAGUUUCUAGAGGUGAUGUUUGGAUUGCAGCACAUACUAAAAAGGGUGGUGGACCAUCCAAUUUGCUUGCUGCAGAGACUAUUGUAAGUAAUUUUUAACCAUUUAUUUCUUCUUGUUUGUUGAUAUGCAAUGACGGAUGAGGUCUUAACUUUGAUGUGCAACGUUAGGAAAAAAAUUAAGCAAUAUGGAAAUGGAUCAUCAUCUGGUUUUCGAGGUGACGUUCUUUCCAAAGUUUUUGGUGCUGAGCGACAUGGUCGUGCAAGAGGAGUUGGAGGUGGUGUUCCUCCUACAAAGCUUGGAAUAUUUUCACAACAAAAAUUGCGUAAUCACCAAAUGGAUGAAAAGGUGCACAAUUUAACUAAUCAGGUCAGAGCACUGACAGAAUUGGUGCAUCUUUUUAUGAAAAAUCAGGUUAGUGAUUUAAUAACAUUGGUAUCAUAUUGAAUAUUUGUGAAAUCAGUUGUAGUGACACAUCAAAUCACAGGGUAAUGAUCUACCAAGUGAGGCAUCUCCUGACACACAGGUUGCAGCUCCUGAGGCACAUGUUGAUACUGUCGCAAGAACUGAAACUCGUCUUUCCCAAUGCGCAACAAAUGAAUCGUGGUGGCGAGGUUGAUACACUUUUUCAAUGAGCCUUCUAACUAUUAAUGCUCAUUGACUCUGUUAAAAGCUCUGCCAUUUUCAAUCUAACUAGACACUAGAAAUGAUCAUUGACUCAGUUAAAAGUUUUGAUGCUUUGGUCCUUUUGCAUAGUUGCGCAUCUACUGAUUUCUAUUUUUUUUCAAAUCCUGCAGGUUAUUUCUGAAAACAUUGAAACAUCGUGGUGUGCCAGAUGGUUUGAUUAUAAGACACCUUCCUUUUGGUCCACCAACUUAUUUAUAACUGCUAAAUGGUACGUAGUGUGAUAAUUUUCAAAUAUUUUGAUAUUAAGACAGGUGUAGGACAACAUAGAAAUUCUUAGGGCCUUCAGCAACAAAAUUAUGAAAAAGUGAGUGAGAUACAAUUAAAAAAAUGAAAGAGAAGGAUCAUGAUUCAUGAUCUAAAGGUUUGAAUAGGGUAGAAAGGAUUUAGUUUCGUUGUUAAAAUCGAUUUGUGAGUCUAUUGUUAUUGUAUUGUCAAUUUGUUUAUUUACUUGAACUUCCUAGUAUCAAUUUGGUUCGAUAUAUCUAGCACCACCAUAGAUAUAUCUAGUAUCAAUUUGGUUAGAUAUUGUCAAUUUGUUAUUUUAUUGUCAACUAUAGAAUGUGCAUCAGUUGUAAAAGGAACAAAACAAUUCAGAUUUUUUGUUUAUGUCCAAACUUAGAAUUGUAUUGUAAUUGACAAUUUCUACUAAUUAAUCCAAGUAUUUGGAGUUUAAUAUGUUUAUGAUCAAUAUUGUUAUCCUUGUAUUGUAUCAGUUUAGAUGUUAUGAAGUGAGGUCUGUCUAAAAAUGAUAUGCUAAAUAUAGAUGUAAAUUACGGCAUCUAAAAUCAGCAAUAAUUGUUGAUGGUAGUCUUUUUUUUACGAUGUAUGCCGUAAUCACCUUCACAAUAUUACGACACUCAACAAAUGCUGUAUCAAAUAUAAAUUACUGCACACUAGUAUGUCGUAAUUGUUUUUCAGUAUUACGACACCCUAUUAACGCUGUAACUAAUACCAAUUAAGGCACGUAGGACAUGCCUUAAGAACAUUUAUGGCGUGUUUUACUUAAAUUAUUCACGACUAUUAGAGUACGUUGUAUUUGUCAAAACAUCUUUUACAACAGGGGCUUUUACUGCUUGGAGGCUCAAGCCGUGAAUUUCCAUUUAUGGCACCCUUUGUGCGCCGUAAAAGGCCAAUUCUAUUGUAGUGAUCCAUGGGUACAUUUUUAAUCUACAUGUUUCGUUUUAAUAUAUCUAUUGCUAUAAUAUGUUUUGGUUGGUUCAAAUUCGUUUUACAUAAAUAUAUGGGUACAAAGUUUUUGGAGAAUAUUAUGUAAAAUGGUUUUUAAGGUUGUUGCAUUUUAUGUACCCACAUAUGCAUGUCUAUAAAACAAUGUGGUAUGAUGUACAUUCUUUUCCUUGAGUUUUUAAAUGUACCCAUGAGUUUUCUUGUAAAUUCGGUAUGUAUCCAUAUGCUAUUUAUGUUAUGGGUACAUACAUUAUUUUUGGUCUAAGUUGGUGGGUACAUUGCUUUUGUAUGUAUGAAUUCAUUGGGUACAUUAUUUCCCUUAAUACUACUCAAUAAAAUUCACAAAAAUGUGCAGUGUGCAUGAAUUUUUAUUGUAGAAAUUGUUUUUUUUUAUUUUUAAUUUUUAAGUCUCAUAAUUCGUGAAUUUUGUACAUAUUGAUCCCAUAAAUUUUUGAAUUUUAUUAAAUUUUUUUUAGACUUGAUCGAUUGAUUGAAUCUCAUAAUAAUCCCUUAAAUGUUCCAAUCAAUAUUUUAAAAUACAGCUUUUUAUUUAAGAUUUCAAAAAGAUGACAUGAAAACAUAGUAAUACUAAAAUUUUGUUUUAAAUUACAUUUGUGUAACAAUCAAUGGUAUGUUAAAACUGGGCAAAAAAAAAAAUGGUAUAUUAAAAAAUUAUAAUUUAUUCUUUUUUUCAUAACUGUCUUCUGCUUAGAUUAAUUUUUUCCAACGUUUCUCUUCGGGAGAAUUAGUUCUUACCAAUAUAUAUGCACAUUAUCUGCUUUUUACCUGGUCUUAACACAUGAUUAAUUACUUUCCUACCUGCUAACGCGUUGACUUGCGCAUCCAAAGUAUUAUCAAAGUCACUGCCACCAAAAAGGUGCCCACUCCACAACCUUUGGUUGAACCAAAGAACAUCACAACAAUAAGGAAAUCGUUAAAUCUAUCUCCGCAACAUUUUUAUUAAUCAUUAGAUAGAUUAAACGAUCCCCCUAUUCAUAUUGUGUUCUUUUGUUGAACCAAACCAUGUCAACAAAAUAUAUCUAUGGUUAAAGCAUCUAGAUUCAAGCUUUUGGAUGUGCAACUUAAACCCCUCAAUGAAUAGCCAAGCAAUUUAUCAUGUGUUUACAGUAGGUCAAAAGAAGAAAGUGUUUGUCUAUAUAUUAAUAGGAACUAAUUCCUCUGAAGAGGAGAGAUGGAAGUGAUGAUAAUAAAAAAAAAAAAAGUCGUAUUCAGUGCACAAGGCUCCCGCUUUACGCAGGGUCUGAGAGAGGUGAAUGUCGGCUAGCCUUACCCCCAUUUUAUGGAGAGGCUGCUCCCAAGUCUCGAACCCGAGACCUACCGCUCAUGGGCGAAGACACUUGCCAUCGCACCAAGUGCGACCUCUAAGGGAUAAGAGAGUAAUCAUGAAAAUUUUGAAAGUGAAAGCAUUGCCUUGGAAUAUAUAUUCUCUUUAGGAAUUCUGUGCCCAACUAAAUUCUAGAUUCUCAAAAUAUGAAAUUAGCAACUUCACCAAACACUUGGACAUGUAACAGGUCACACGUAUGGUACCAACCUUACCAACCUUACCAACCAUCUAUAUACCUAUGUUUUCGAACAUCGUUAGAUAAUUAAAGUACAGUUCACACAGCAUUUCACAUAAAAAUGGCAUCAUACAACACAUGAGAAGUACUUCUUACAGUAGCAGUCUCGUAACAUGACUAUAGUUUUUGUUACUUCUUAAGAAAAAAGAGUUUAAAAUCCUAUUGAAAGAUAAUUGUAGAGACAGAAACCCAAACUAGUUAAUUAGGUUUCUUUACAUCUCAAUAAAAUUGAAGGGAAUGUAUCUAAUAUUAUCUACUAGAGCCUCUACAAUCAUCAUAGAAUCCACAACCCACAUUUUAAUUAAUCGAAAUUCCAUGAACACAAAUAAGCAAAAGUUGAGUGAAGCCUAAGCAAUAUGUGAUCAUUUAGAGAGUCAAACUCCAUCUUUUUAGAAUUAGGGACUUUUCAAUAUGAAAAGGUAACCUCCACAAUCCAAUAUCAUAUGAAAAGGAAAACCCAAGAAAAAUACAGUAUAAUUGUGUGCAAGAGCAACACAAAAAAAGUUGAAGAAUUAGAAAUCAUAAAGAGACUUGAGACGAUUGUUGCUCACUUAGCUAAAGAGCAUUUGCACUUGAGGUCUCGAGUUCGAUUGCCCCCUUUCUUUAGAUCGCUUGAGAGGAAAAACCUACCAUUCUCUAGUCUAAAGAUAUAUGCAUCUUUGACAUGAAUGACUAGAGGGGAAGAAAGUGCAGACAAAUCACACAUACCUUCAAAAAAUUUUAUGGGGUUGGUGAAUGGUGAUUAGGGAUACUGACUUUUAAUAGCCGUUGAUCAGUGUAUAUUGCACACGCCUUCAUCAAUGGCUAGCGUCGGUACAACUGUGAUUGGGAGGGCCUUUUUACGAUAAUAGAUGGGUAAAGGUUUCAUUAGAAGGGGAAUUUUGUUCUGGUUUGCCAUAAUAACUUGAAAUUAAUGGUUUUUUGUAAUCCUUAAGUUAUUGUCAUUUUAGGUUAACUUUGUACCUGGACUCUUUACUGGAGCUAUCAAUUGAAACCCCCAUUUUCUUACCAAAAUAUGAAAAACAAAGAGUCCCAUUUUUACAGCACAGUCCUACUCUAGUUGAAAUCCGAUCGACGGUCAAGAUUUUCUAGUCAUGUGAAAGUAUCACAUAUAUAAAAUUGACUGGAGAAGGCAUGCCACAUUGCCAUGCCCUUGACAGCUUUACUUUGUUUACAAACUUUCUAAAAGAAAGAAAGAAAAAAAUCUAAAAUGGAAGGUGAUAGCGAUUUUACCACUUGUAAAACAAAGGGUUAAACCAUAGAAAAUUCUUGCAAGAGAACAAGUGUUUGUAGUAUAGAAUGGCUCAAGCAAGGUCGAUCUCCUCAGGGACUGAUAUAAACAAUUUACGAGUUUUUAUGUAUUUAACUUAUUUAACUCUAAGAAUUACACUAAUUUAACGAAACUAAAUAUUAUUGGAUGUGACUUAAACAAAUAUCUAAAAUGGGAAUUGGUUUUAGGGAAUAAUGAUUCAACUUAAACAAAACAAGUAAAUGAGGAAAUUCAAGAUAAAAUAAAUGAUUAAGAAAAAUAGAUUGACAAUAUGCUAGAGUUCAACAUUUACCAACAACACUCUUACGUAGCUAUUCCAAUUGCUUAAAUAAUUGAAAACACAUAUGCUUUGAAUGUUGGAUUUUCCUUGUGUAUGUUUUACUUGUGACAUUCAAGCUAAAACGCAUACCACUACAUGCAACUUAUCCAUGACAUUUGAAUUAAAUAUAAACAUGAGUGAUUCAUUAAUCUUGGUGAAAAUCCUUUUGUUAAACCAUAUAAUCCCUAAGAGCAUGAUAUUUACCUUAGGAGAUUACAAUUCUCAAUCACAAGAAGCACAACCAAUUUUAACGUGACAUUCGUUCAAAAUUGCAUCCGAUAACUUUUCUAAGCAUCCUAAUGGUGAUCAAGCAUCAAGGUACAUAGAUAGUUUAAUUCAGUGAUUGAAAAUAUCAAAACAAGCAUGUAACAACACUUAAGCAAUUGAAAAAUAAAACUACGUAUUCAUGUUGCGGCUCAUGGCCUCACUCUAGCAUAAUACUUUAAAUAAUUAAAGCCCAAACAAUUUACCAAAUUUCAUCUCUGUACUCCGCAGAGACGCUAAACGAGACAUAUUUGGUCCAUCUCUGAACAUCUUUUCUUACUGUUCUUACAAUAGAAAGGGCACAAAAUUGACUUACACAGUCUUGCACAAUACUCACUUUGCUUCAACCCAUAUUUCACUUUGUCAAAUCAUACACGUUCCUGCAACAGGUGAACUCAUAUUUAUCUACCACUUCUUGCUAAUUUUAAUUUUUCCAUUCCCAUUUUUACUACAAGUUUUCACAUAAUUUUUUUAUUGCAUUUGUCAAUUCUUUAUACUUUUUAAUUGUAUUUUUUUUUUUGUCUUUUAUGUGUUUUCUAUGUUGGCACAAGGUUACAACAGUAUUAAACAAUUACAGGUCCUCCAGAGGUUUGCUUAUUGCCCUAUUUCAUCAAGCUCGGUAUAAAUAGAUCUUAAUUUUUUACUACAGUUAAAUACAUGGACAUGCCUCCACAAAUACAAAUUAGUUCUUGCUUAAAUACUUUGUGUGUUUACAUAGAAAAUGUUCCCAUCGUCUACCAAAAUCCUCCACACAUGAAAACAAAAAUUCUUACUCAAAAUACUUAUUACAAUACCACCAUAUCUGUUGUUUUUUAUUAAAUUAACACACUGUUUUCAAUUUUAUCUUCAACACAAAAGAAAAUGCUCUUACACAAUGUGUUUGCUUACAUUUUAUAACUUAUCUACCACAUGUUAAUCGCAGUUAUAUAAAUAGGAAAAUACGUGUUCAAUAGAAGUGUGAUGCAUGUCACUUCGUUAACAAUAGUGGAAACUAAACAAUUAAAUAAUUUGUUUCAAUUAGUUAGUACAUUUUAUAAAUUUCUCAAUUAGAACUGUUUCAGUAUAUUUAAUACAUUUUUAAACAACUUUCCAGUUAGUUGCCCAAACUAAUUAUUCCAGCUUAUUCACAGUAUAAUACCAACAAUUUAACAACCAAUGAUACUUCGUUUAACAUAAACUUCAUUUGGAAAAAACAAAAAAAAUCUUUUUCUCUGCUGAAAAAAUCAACAGAUUUAAUGAUGUAGAUCAGUUAUACCAACAAAUUACCAUAGUUUACCCAAUGCUAUACAGGUUUGACUUUUGUUUAUAUUCUUGGAUCUGUUGCUUGGUUGUAUAAUUUGGCUGUGUGUUUUGUUUCAGGACAAUUUGUUCUUCGUUUCUUGAGGCUUCUAUGUGUAGAUUUGAACCGUUUAGCUUUCAAACCGUUUAUACUCAAGGUAAAUAAUUUCGUUUGUUUCUUUUUAACCUUUUUUGUAAGAAUUUUUUAUUUAAUGUUGUGAGAGUUGUGUUUUCUAUAGUAUGGAAAUUGAAUCUUUGUGAUCUUAUAUCGUUAGAUACGUUGCUUGGUUAAUGUGAACACGGAAAAUUCCCGAAACGAAAAAGACAAGAACAACGUGCACAAACAAAUAUUUUGUAUUUGAUGAUUAUUUUGGGUUACAAUCUCUCUCUAAUUUGAUCCUCUGAUUCGAUCUCCGUAAGAUAUUGGUUUGUGGAUGUGCGAUUGAUCCAAGGGCCGUCGAGGCUUGAUCUUGGAUGAACGGUGAUGAACGGAUCUUCAAGGGCUUUUGGGCUUGAUCUUGAAGAAUAGUGAUGAACGGGUCUUCAAGGGCUUUUGGGCUUGAUCUUGAAGGAUGGUUGGAUGUGUGGAUUUGUCGACGUUGUUAAUCCAAAGGGCUGUUGGGGCUUGAUCUUAGGAUGAACGGAUGAUGAACGAAUAACACUUUCUUCAAGGGCCGUCGGGGCUUGAUUUUGAAUUGGUGAAAGUUCUUCAAGGGCCGUCGGGGCUUGAUCUUGAAGGUAGAUGAUUGUUGAUCCAAGGGCUGUCGGGGCUUGAUCUUGGAAGAACGAUGAACGAAGAACGAAGAAGGCUUUCUUGAUUCUUCGGGAACCUGGAUGCUUGAGAGCUUCGGAGUUUCAGAGCUUCAGAGCUUCAAGGUGUAAUAUGAAUUUGGUUCCCUUAAAUGAAUGAAAUUGGCUUCUAUUUAUAGAAUUUUCCAAGGCCUAAUUUUGAAUAUAAUAUUCCAGAUGAAAUAAGUCGUUUCUGCCAAGUGUUGACACGUGUCCUAUUUGAUGACUUUUCCGACUCAUUUCAAUUUUUCGUCGAGUCACACACUACGUGUAAAAUUUAUGUAAUACAUGAGCGUUGAAACUUUGAUUUAUCAGUCAACAUUUAUUUACCAAAAUUUCGAUGUCUACAAAUGCCCCCACUUCAAGGCGCGUCGUAUACAUGUGCUUGUCACGUGUAGGAGAUGCGUUUUGAAGUCCCCUUACUGUAGAUGUCGAUCCAAGGGCCGUCGAGGCUUGAUCUUGAACCGGGCUGGAGAUUUCUUCAAGGGCCGUUGAGGCUUGUUCUCGAACUUUGUUCGAAAUUUCUUCAAGGGCCGUUGAGGCUUGAUUUUGAAUUGGGCUGAAAGUUUCUUCAAGGGCCGUUGAGGCUUGAUCUUGAAUUGGGUUGAAAGUUUCUUCAAAGGCCGUUGAGGCUUGUUCUUGAACCUUGUUUGAAAUUUCUUCAAGGGCCGUCGAGGCUUGAUCUUGAAUUGGGCUGGAAGUUUCUUCAAGGGCCGUCGGGGCUUGAUUCUUGAAGGUGGAUGAUUGUUUAUUCAAGGGCCGUUGAGGCUUGUUCUUGAACCUUGUUUGAAAUUUCUUCAAGGGCCGUCGAGGCUUGAUCUUGAAUUGGGCUGGAAGUUUCUUUAAGGGCCGUCGGGGCUUGAUUCUUGAAGGUGGAUGAUUUUUUCUUCAAGGGCCGUUGAGGCUUGUUCUUGAACCUUGUUUGAAAUUUCUUCAAGGGUCGUCGAGGCUUGAUCUUGAAUUGGGCUGGAAGUUUCUUCAAGGGCCGUCGGGGCUUGAUUCUUGAAGGUGGACUCGAACACAUGGCAAGCAGGCACGAGGUGAAGGUGACGGUCUGUUUCUUUGCUCAAUCUUUCCAAGUGCCGACCGAUUGCUUUUCUUUCUCCUUGUCCCGCAGGCAAGAGCAAGGGUAAAAGAAAAGCAUGCCAUGAGAUAUCUUUGUUUUUGACUCUGAUGAUAUGAGGUACUUCUGCUUUUGAAGAAGUUGCGGAUGAAUCGACACGUGCUUUGUUGUGCUUGUCUCCACAUGCUCAGACUCUUGGCAGAAUGUGAAAGGUGGCAUUUUCUCGAGUUACUCAACUCAGACUCAUUCUGCUGAGUUGACUGUGCGGGCCGCAUUCUUCUCUGCUUGUUUCUUCUGGCAGCCUUGCUCUCGAGUACUCAUCUUUAACAUCUUAUGUUUCUUCUUUGUCUACCACACUGUGGAAGACGAGUACUCGAGAGUAAUACCAUGUAAGCAAUCAGAAAAGGGUUCCAAGCAGUCGGUUCCAGAUCGGAAGAUUGAUACCAAGUGUUGGCUGAUUGCUUUCCUUCUCAUUGUCCUACAGGUUAGAACAAAGACAAGGAAAAGGACACGGAGAAUGCAUGAUAUGAGAUACUCUUGCUUUCUCCCUUCAUGAUAUGAAAUACUUUUGCUUUUCAAGAUUUGUUUGCAGAGGUAUCCUAUGGGAUGAAGAACACUGAGUGAGUUGAGAGGGUUUGUUGGAAAGCCAUUUGUCGGAGAUGACGGAAUGUUAUGUAUGUCUGCCUUGCCAUGGAGCGUGAAGGUCGACAUUUGUAGGAAAUAAUAACUGGUACUGUUCUUUCACUCCUGUCGGCAACCGUUGGAUGAUUGAACAGUAAACUUCACGUGAUUUCCUCAAAGCUUUUUCUGCAUGCGACAAGUGCUGACGAGGCUGAGAGAGACAUGCGAUUGGAAUCGGCGCUUCGACAAACUUUUCCAUGAUUUUCGCAAAGCUGACGAGGCUGAGAAAGACAGAUGGUUUGGAAUCGGCGUUUCGAUAAACUGCCCGUGAUUUCCGCAACGCUGACGAGGCUGAGAAGGACAGAUGGUUUGGAAUCGGCGUUUCGACAAAUUGCCCGUGAUUUCUGCAACGCUGAGUUUGCGUGUGACAGGUGCUGACGAGGCUGAGAAAGCUGACACUUCUUCGAUUUUUGAGAUCAGUCCGUGAUCCUUGAGUAGGCCUAGCUUUGGAGAAAGCAGGCGCUUCAUCGAUCUCUGAACUCGCCUCUUCGAUCUCUGAAAGCCCAUCGCAUGCUGUUUUUUUAUAGAGGUACGCAAGACAUUCAAAGCACACUUGAAUUUCUACCUGUGAAAAAAAACUCCCCUUUUGCAUAUCUGAGAUCUUUAAUUUGCCCGACCUCUUCAUUUUGUUGAACACCUUCGGAAAUGUCUUUCCCAUCUGACCGUCGUCUUGACUUGAAUAUCGAAGAAGAUAUUGACAUGUCUUCUCCAGGCAACAUUUGGCAGCUGUCCUUCGUAUCCUCCAACGAACCUCUUACGGUUGGGGACACUGUGAUGAGGAAUGACGCAACGGCUGCAGUGGUUGCUAGAAAUCUUCUCACUCCUAGGGAUAGUAAGAUGCUUUCCAAGCGGUCCGACGAGAUGGCUGUUCAAGACUCUCUGGCCUUCAGCGUCCAAUGUGCGGGCUCAGUAUCAAACAUGGGCCAACGCCUUCUUGCUCGAUCUCGUCAGGUUGAGUCUUUGAUGGCCGAGGUGGCUAGUCUUCGGCAGGAGAUCAGAGGGCUUAGGCACGAGAAUAAAGAGUUGCAUAUGCUAGCAACUAGUUACUCAACGAGCAUGAAGAAGAAGCUAGACCAACUGCAGGAGUGUGAAGUUCGGGCUCGAAAUGAUCAUCAAAGGUUUAUGGCGUUACUCCCGAGGCAUCUUCUGCCUUCGUCAUCUGGCGCUUCACCAAAUGUUGAGGCUCCGGAAAAUCAAACUCUGGCGCUUCGUCUUUCUGGAGCUUUACCAAGUGUGGAGGCUUCAGUUGAUCCACCUCCGGUGCUUCGUCUUUCUGGAGCUCCGUCGAGUACUGAGGCACCACAUGAUCAUCCUUGAAGAUCCUUUCCUGUAAAUUUGAUUUGACUUUUUUUUUAAGGUAUGUAUAAUGUAAAAUUUCUAGAAAAAUAAAAUGGACUUUAUUUCUCUGAACAUGUUUUUUUUGUUUUUUUUUUUGGCUGUAUAUUUUCUCUUUAAUCAUGGUGCACCCAUUUUCCACAUGGUGCCAGACGGACCAAAGAUCAAACAUUUCCUUUUUUUAUUUUUUUAUUUUUUCUUUAAUCAUGGUGGCAGACGCAUAAACAAUUUCAUUUAUAUUUUUUUUUCUUUUUGCUGGCACAUGGUGCCAGAUGCACCAUUCAUUUAUAUAUAUUAUUAUAUAUGUUUUUUUUAUUUUUUUUUAUUUGCACAUGGUGCCUGAUGCACCACCUCUUUUUUUUUCACGUGGUGCCAGCAUCACUUUGCUCCACCAUCCAUUUUUUUUAUUUUUAUUUUCUGUAUAAAUUUGGGUGAUGGGUAGAGGAUUUUGCAGGCAGGGAGCAAGGAGGCCGAGAAGAUGGUGCUUCGAACUUCAUGACCGGCUAGUCGUUUGACGGCGGUCGUUGAAGUCGUUGGCAGUUGCGAGGCAAAAGACGGAGGAGAAGGUGGAGUAGGUGACCUUGAUGUCGGAUCCAGCUAGAACCCAGAGCACAGCGACUGAGCCCAAUCACCGAGCACAACCGCUGCACACCCGUUGUACUGCCACCGAGCACUGCCACUGCGCAUCUGUUGCACUGCCAAUUGCUGCAAAGGAUUAUGUUUAACGGCGGAGACGCUGCCCUAUUUGCCAUGCUAUGCCGACGUGCUUCACAUAAUUAACCAUCCAGAAUUGUUAAACAUUCCAUCUGGGUUUAUCGCAAAAACAGAAGAAGAAAAAAACCAAGAUCCAUCCAUGCCAAACACCAAUCUGCCAUCUUUUUGGGAUUUGUACGACAUCAUCAGCCAAAACCUGCUUGGUCCGCUCGCAAAUUGUGGGAGAGGAAGAGUUGGCGGAGCAGCUGUAACACUGGAAAAUGGAGGACGUUGACGAGUCCUCCAAGUUGUUCUUGACGUUGGUGCUGGAGAAACCUGCCUCUCUCAUGACUCUGCUGACACUUGGGUCGUCAAGGAUGGGGAUGAUGAGCUGCUCGAGCUCGACUUUGAUGGUUAAGAGCGGCUGCUGCUGCUGCUCGAUGCAGUCUCUUCUCUGAUGGGCUUGGGCUCUCUUGAGGGCGUUGGAGAGAGAGGGCUGCCCGUGGAGGAGAGGGCAUGGAGUUGUUGGGAGAAAUCAGGGCCGGAAUGGAAAAUAUUCCCGAGCUGCAUCAACGAGGAGAUAACACCGCUAAGUUAUUCAUCUGGUUUGCUUUAGUCAAAUGGAUCAAUCCGCGGGUCAUGCUCGCUUGCCAUCAUCAUCCCAGUGCACAGGCAUGUCGGGCACAUGACCUUUCCAGCACCAGAGCAAUUUGGGCACCUCUCAGUUGUGGGCACUCGCAAAGGUUGGUCUGAUGCACUAGAUGCUGAUAUAGGAUUGAUGUUCAAGCACACUCCACUUGCAGAACAUCUAGCACAGGCCAAGUACCCAGUUCCAUGGCAAUAUUUGCACCUUUUCUUCUCUUGCUGCUCAACAUUAUUAGCUUCAAUCAACAUCAAUGCUGAAAUGACACCCACUGCCCCACCGGAGAAGGAUGCCACAAUAGGAUCAACCUGACUUAAUUGUAAAGGCAGAUGCAUGCUACGAAUGAAAUCUUCAUACGAGGUACCUCCUAUACCUAAUUUUAGUUCCAACGAUGGCGCAAUGAGACCCCCAAAUACAAUUACACUAGAUAUCAUAGAUAAGCUUGUGAGGUAGAGCUGCUUCAACGUCUUUGGUGUCAUAUGAGGGAGAAAAGGGAUAGUGGAUGGAAUGUCAGGCAUCUCAUUUGACUCUUCCUCACAAGCCUCAUCCAUAUCUCUCGCCAUCUUUAUCCGUUGCUGCACCCGCAAUCUCCUUAGCUCUUCCAUGAGAAGAAAAAUCUUGUUGUGCCGGCUUCUUAUGUUGUCCUAAAUUUCCUGUAGUUGCAUCUGCACAAAGUCCUGCACCGUCUCCGGCUCUUCUAUGAUACAAAAAGUGCUUGGCGUGUUAUCGCCGGGGAAUGAUUCCUUGGAAGCAGAACAGGAAAUUUGGGGAUGCGGGGAGGUGAAUUUGGACAGAGAGAGACGUCUAGGGAUUCCAUGGGAGGGGGGUUGAGAGUGGUUUUUUGCCGGCGCCUCUAGGGUAGUCGUCGUUGGCUAUUGCUAUAGAGAGGUCAAUGACUUCACCGGAGAUGGCGUUGUUCUGGAGCCCGAGCGUGAGAAGCCGGGUGAGAUUGUCUGGAAAGGGUCCCCAGAGGUUGUUGUCGGCGAGGUCGAGAAGCUUGAGCUUGGUGCAAUUGACGAGAGGAGAAACGGUGUCGUUGAGGCGGUUGUUGUGGAGGUCGAAGAGUGAGCUGGGCGAGAUCAGAGAACCUUGACGAAUUCGGAGCGUUGAGGGUUAUCAACACGAUCCCAUCGACGAAGAAGAAGCAGAAUGGGCCUCUUGCGGGGCCUAUGGCAUCAACCGGUCUUUGGGCUUCUGGGCCAGUAAAUUGGAGAGAAGCCUGGGCUUUUGACUUGCAGAGAGAUUAGGCUCUGGGAGCCGCUUGUAGUAUUGUGGCUAAAGGGGUUGCUUCCUGUGGCCACUUAUAUAUAUAUAUUUUGUAAAUACAUAAAACAUUUAUCUCUUUUUUUUUCUUUUUUUUUUGUACAAAGAAAUUGUAAUAGCAUCAAAACUUUUAAUAAAAUCUUUAUUCCUUAUUUUGGUGUGACUGAACUCAAAUUUUGAAUAUUCGAGUUGCCUACGUACCUCUCCAAAGAAGAGAUCAAGUCGUAACGUAGUUCAAAUGAGUGAUGAAUUUAACAGUGAUUUUGAUGAUGAUUUUGUCGUACACAGUUUAUGCUCUUGCGGGCCAGGAGCUUUGGUUCGUGCAGUUUAGGCUCGUGCGAACAAGGAGUGUUGGUGUUGCCUUUUAUGCUCGUGCAGACCAGGAGCGUUGGUGUUGCCUUUUAUGCUCGUGUAGACCAGGAGCUUUGUGCCAUGCAGUUUAGACUCGUGCAGGCAAGGAGCGUUGGUGUUGCCUUUUAUGCUCGUGCAGACCAGGAGCGUUGGUGUUGCCUUUUAUGCUCGUGCAGACCAGGAGCUUUGUGCCAUGCAGUUUAGACUCGUGCAGGCAAGAAGUGUUGGUGUUGCCUUUUAUGCUCGUGCAGACUAGGAGCUUUGUUGUGCCAUGCAGUUUAGGCUCGUGCAGGCGAUGAGCUUUGGUUCAUGCAGUUUAGGCUCGUGCGAACAAUGAGCAUUGUGCCAUGCAGUUAGGCUCAUGCAGGCGAGGAGCGUUUAUUGGUUCGUCAAGCGAUCCAGGAGAGUCGUUCCUCGCAAUCUUCAUAGCAAGGAGCCUUGACUGAGUGAUUGAAGAAGUCUUUGGGGAAGAAAUCGCGCAUCGUGAUGGGGAUGGACGAUAUUUGUGUCGUCAUUUCAUCAUCUUCAACACUUUCACUUUUCUUUGAAGGUUGACAAGAGCUGCUUUGCCCCAUUUCCGAUUGGCGGACUUGUGGAUGAGACGUAUGCUUCUUCUGCAGUUUCUCUAGAGUGACAUGAGUCAUUCCUUCAACUUCGCUUGGCUCAACUGGCAUGGUUUUGGAGCAUGCCCCCAGCGAUUGAGGUGAAGAUUUUGAGUUGACAAAGCCGGAAGUGACGUCUUCUUCCAUGAUUUCAUCUUCUUUGUCUUCUUGGGCUUGUUGGCGUGAAGAUUGGCCGGCGUAGAUGAUGGUGCGCCUCUUUACCUUCAGUGGUCCUUUUGUGUCGACCUCCCAAGCUGUUUGGCGCUUUAUCCUUGAAUGAAUCAAGCUUCGAACGUCGUCUUUUCCUGCUAGACCGUCGAGCUUUUCUUCCUUUGGCGUUGUCUUCCUAUUUCUAGAAUGCUUCUUGGUUUCUUCAAGUUUUUCCAAAGCCGAUCGUUGGGGAGGAGAGCCAGCCUUGCUGCUUUGUUUCUUAGGUUUUGACAACCUUUCAAAAACAGAGCUUUGGGGUGUUGGCGUGUUAAGCCGUUUGAAGAUGGAAGUUCGGUCUUGCCCACCAAUGCGAUCAAGUGCCGACCUUCUGGGUUUUGAACGAUUCAGCCUAUCGAAGACUGACACUCGAAUAGGAGGUUGAGGCUCCUCUUGAUCUUGUUCAAUCCUCAAGCUGAUGUGUCGAGUGCUAGCAUUUUUUGCUUUACUUGAAAUCUUCACGGGUGCAUUUGGUGUGAAGCCAAGUCUAGCUCUGUUGUUGUCAACUCCGUAAUCAUGCUUUUCCAACUUCUUCUGAGUCUCGGUGAAGUCAUGAUCUUUGUCGUUGAUGGUGUUUGAAACCUUCUUCUCAAGAUUUGAAGAGGAAGCAAAGUCGUACCCAGCCUUUAACAUGAGUUCGUAGGCGUUUGGGUUGAGACCUUCUUCGGUCCUCUUAGUUGGAAUGAAGCUUGGGUUCGCUUUGACGCCAUGAUGCGCCUCCAGACGGUUGAUAAGUCCAACGGUUUGCAAGUUUUUCUCCUCCGCAGUCUUUAUCAGCCUUGCAAUUGUUUCCUUCAUCUGAACUAGUUGUUCUUCAAUAGAGGUAGCGCCGAUGGUCAUGACUUGUUCUUUGUUUGAAGCCAUGAAGUGUGCUUGAAUUUCUUGAACAGAGAAAGAGAUGAGAGGUAGAGAUUGUCCCACUGGGCGUGCCAAUUUGUGAACACGGAAAAUUCCCGAAACGAAAGAGACAAGAACAACGUGCACAAACAAAUAUUUUGUAUUUGAUGAUUAUUUUGGGUUACAAUCUCUCUCUAAUUUGAUCCUCUGAUUCGAUCUCCGUAAGGUAUUGGUUUGUGGAUGUGCGAUUGAUCCAAGGGCCGUCGAGGCUUGAUCUUGGAUGAACGGAUCUUCAAGGGCUUUUGGGCUUAAUCUUGAAGAAUAGUGAUGAACGGGUCUUCAAGGGCUUUUGGGCUUGAUCUUGAAGGAUGGUUGGAUGUGUGGAUUUGUCGACGUUGUUGAUCCAAAGGGCCGUUGGGGCUUGAUCUUAGGAUGAACGGAUGAUGAACGAAUAACACUUUCUUCAAGGGCCGUCGGGGCUUGAUCUUGAAUUGGUGAAAGUUCUUCAAGGGCCGUCGGGACUUGAUCUUGAAGGUAGAUGAUUGUUGAUCCAAGGGCCGUCGGGGCUUGAUCUUGGAAGAACGAUGAACGAAGAACGAAGAAGGCUUUCUUGGUUCUUCGGGAACCUGGAUGCUUGAGAGCUUCGGAGUUUCAGAGCUUCAGAGCUUCAAGGUGUAAUAUGAAUUUGGUUCCCCUAAAUGAAUGAAAUUGGCUUCUAUUUAUAGAAUUUUUCAAGGCCUAAUUUUGAAUAUAAUAUUCCAGAUGAAAUAAGUCGUUUCUGCCAAGUGUUGACACGUGUCUUAUUUGAUGACUUUUCCGACUCAUUUCAAUUUUUCGUCGAGUCACACACUACGUGUAAAAUUUAUGUAAUACAUGAGCGUUGAAACUUUGAUUUAUCAGUCAACAUUUAUUUACCAAAAUUUCGAUGUCUACAGUUAAAUGAUUUGGCUGUGUGCAUUGUUUCAGGACAAUUUGUUCUUCGUUUUUUGGGGCUUCUGUGCGUAGCUUUGAAGUCCUUUGUAGUCAACAUAAAUAAUUUUAUUUUUCUUUGUUUUUAGUCUUCUAUGUAAGAAUUUCUUAGUUAAUAUUCUGAGAAUUAUGUUUACUAUAGUAUGAAAAUUGAAUCUUUGUGAUCUUCGAAGUGUAACGUCAUUGCAACAUGGACGACUGCCAUUAUCGAACAUGAAAAACAUUUUGAUUUCUGUACUCCGUCUAGUAGAAAACUCUCGACUUCUUCAGAAACCACGAGAAACUUAAAACUGAGAAAGCUUCGCGGUCUCCCUUCCAUCUCUGCUACGCGGUCUCUGCUUUGCGAUCUCUGCUUCCUUCGUGAUUUCUUCCUUCCUGAACGACAUCUAUUCGAAUUGAAAACCUUCUGGAGCUCUCUUCCCCAAAUUUCAGCAGCAACUUUGCUCCAGAUCUUUCCAAUUGAAAUUCCUCUCCUUCACAUUUUGCAUAUUGAAUUUCGCAUCAUCAUCAUCUCCCUAGAACCUAGGAGUUCGGUUCGGUUUCGAGUUUUCCGACGGAAAUCCGGCGACAGCGGCCAUCGAGGUUGGUCUGAAACUAUUCCUCAUCACCACAGGUACUUUCUACACCUAUUACAUUUUAGAAAAAGUUUCAUGACUUUGUGGAAUCCAAUUUAACGAUUAGAAAAAUUUUCAUUAAUUUUCUGGGUUCGUGAGUUGGAGGGGGAUUAGAAAUUUUUUCAUUAUUUUUCUGGGUUUGUGGUUUUUUUUUUCCAAAACGUUUUUCCUUUCUACUAAUCCAAGUUCCUUCACAUCAAUCUCUCUGUUUUGUUCUUGAUCUUCCUCGAGUAGAAUACCUCUUCUUGCUCUGGAGCGCGUGGGCAGUCUCUCUAAGGCAGCCCAUGACGUCAUUUUCCGAUUCGACUCGGAGGAGGUUGGCUGCUCUUCUUGGCUGAGCUUCAUGGCUGGCCGAAUUCCCCUAUUCCCUUCCUCUUAUACUUUUUUAUAUUCGUUCACCAAAACAAUAGGAAAACGUCUCCGUCUGUUUGAUUGACGGCGAAAAAAAAAAAGACGGAGAAUAAAAGCCUGACGGAAGCUGAAAGCUUGGACUCUGUUUGUAUUUUUAAUGGAUUUUCAGAACACAGGUCAAGAAUAUUGCGAUUUGAGAAAAAAAGAAAGAACCACGUUGACAUAAUAUAUUCACAAUAGGUGUACAAGGUUCAUAAAGCUUUACUGUGGUUCCAUUUUUUGUUAAUGGAAUUAGCCUUUUGUUUUAGGAAGAACUUGGAACCCCCUCCGUCCAUUCUAUCCCCAAUGGAAUUAACACUUAGAUAGUACUAUGACAAUGUGUCAUUAUUUGAUGCAUACCUGUAUAAAUUUAGGCUAAGUGUUUUAUACACAAAUUGAUACAGAUUAACUAUACAAUGAUAACUAUAUACCGGAGAGCUAACUAUACAAUGAUACAUUCUUAUCUGUUAAUUAUCUUUGGUUACCAGCUAUCCAUGUUGCUGUCAUAUUAAACUACACAACAUCAGUUGUAAUUUAUGUCUUAUUAGUAUCAUCAUUUUUGUUCAUUAUUUCAAUGUCUAACAUAACUCCGCCUAUGUCUUACAUGGCCGGUCCCAAGCCCGGAUAAAGGAGGAGGGGGAGGGCGUCAGGUAGUCGACAGCCGGCACUCCAUGAUCACGUCGAAUCCUUAUGAAAAUGAAUCCAGAACAAAACCCCACUUAGUGGGAAAAGGCUUUGUUGUUGUUGUAUUUCAAUGUCUAACAUGAUGAUCUGGUUUCAAUUUGCUACAGGCAUUAUUUCCAGACAAUAGCUAUGGUUUUGAUUGUAGCGGUGACUGAAAAAUUAUUCCGAAACUAACAUUUGAGGAAUUCAAGGUUUGUUAGUUAAUUUGUACAUCAGAAUACCAUGACAAACUAUGAAGUUGUAAUUGUUGACCUUACAAUGUAUCUUUUUUGGUUUGGAGCAUUAGACUUAUAUGUGUUGCUUUCACCUCAUGAAGGCUAACUCUUUAUUUUAGGCCGUAAGAGUAUAAUUUCUUGGAGAAUCUACAUUGUUGAUAAUUUUUUGAACAAUAUUAUCCCCAAAAUUUCUCCGCAUGUUACCCUCAACGUAGACAUCAUAUAACCAUCAUUGAACUUCUGAACCAAAAAUUUGAGUUUUAUGAUUAUAACUAAACGUCUAUAAACACAUGAUACAGAUUGAGACGAAUGUCAAAUUUAAAAUGGCAUUAAUACAGCUGCAAACUCUGAUUUGCGGGAUUUGAAAUGGAGCAGUUACUUCUUGCUUCACUUCAGCAGCAUAGUCCAGCUUCUAAAUUCAGUUCUCAGGUAUGAGGUUUCUCAGUUACCUCUUUUUUGUAAUAAAACAUUUGAUCAGUACUUGCCAGGAUAUCCAAUUAAUUAGGUCAGUUUUUGUUAGCAGUAAUAAUUUGUUUUUGCAGCUUUAUAUGUGUCUCUGUCUCCAAAUAUGAUGAUCUCUUAAUUUGCUUCUAUAGCUUUUGUAAUAUAAUGAUCUCUUAAUUUUCUUUUGCAUAUCUUCUUUGCUUCCUCUGCUAGCUCUAUAUGAGAUUCCAUCUCCAAAUAAUUAUUCCUUAUUUCCUAUUUUUACCAGAAGCAAAUCAUUGAAUACACAUGGUAAAUUAAAAGGGUUUUAGUUUUUGGAGUAGUUUAAAUUUUUUGUUUGUUAUUGCUUGUAUUGCUGUUAAAUAUUUGAUGGGUAGUUUGAAAUGGGGAACUUGGUUGAUUGAGUAUUAACUUUUAUUAAAUUAAUAUUCUUAUUCAAUAUUGAAUUAAGACUCCUCUUAUUAAAUUAAGACUCUUAAGGCUCUAAUCUAAUGUUCAUGCUCAAUAUCUCCUCUAUCUUUCUACAAUUGGUAAAACUUUUGUAUUAUUAUUCCAAUUUUGGUUACUGGGUUGUGGAAUUUUCCAUUUUUUUUCUGGGUAAUCAAUACUAUAUAUAUGCAUGACAAGUAUAAACAAUAUUUUGGGGCAAAUUUAGUUGUUUAAUUUUUAAUUUUUAUGUGACAGUGAGAUUAUGGUAGGAUUUCGUUUAGAUUCUGCGGCCCAAUGGGAGUCUCUGCUUUGAUAAGAUUGGGGUUGAUGCCAAGAAAGCCAAUAAGCCUACUGUGGACGCCGUAGCCGCCUGGCGCUGUUUUCCAAAAUCCUCUCUCACUUGGUUAAGCAAUUAAGACUUUUUGGUUCAGUUUUUAUUAUGCCCAAUUUUGUAUUUAAACCUUAAAAAAAUUUAAACUGAUAUGGGGAUACUGAAAUAGGCUGCAGAGCUGCCAUCCCUGAAUCAGAAGAUGUUCAGAAGGAAGAAGAAGAACAAGAAGAAAGUCGUGGAAUAUCAAAAGCUUUUAGCUUUGUGAAGGUAUGCUUUUUCCCAACUCACCUCUUGCUUUUGUUGCACUGAAUUGGUAGAUUGGGUUCAAAAAUAUAUAUAUGUGAUUUUUCGUGUAACUAUUUCUUUACAUAAUUACCAAUUGGAGGUGAUUUGAGAUCAUGUAACAUUUCCUCGCUAGAACCGAAGAUUGCCGUCGCUCAGAGCUGCGUUUCAUGAAACAAGUUCAUCUCCUGCCAAUUUUGUGUACCCACCUUUUAUUCAUGAGGGUUGGUGCUUGCUUGCAACACAAUUUGGUGCUAUUAAGUUUUGCGGUUUUACAAUUUGUUCAUGCUUAAACCUCUUUCAAAUUUUCAUUUCUAUGUAAAUCUUGCAGGUAGGACGACACACCUAUCUUGGCAAUGUCGGGAUGUCUAGGCUUGGGUGGAGACGUGGUCUUAUGGAAGAGGUGAAGUAGCUUAGCUCGAUCUCAUUAGCUCUUAUCUGUUCUAUUAUGCUAAGAUCAAUAGUAAAAAGUUCUAUUGAUUUUAUAAUCAAAGAUACAUAUAUUAUAGAAACAGAGGGUAUAUAAUUAAUUUCUUGAUGUAAACAAUUAUAACUUGAGGAACCAUUUAAAGUAUUUUGGUAAUCAGCAUACUUAAACUUAAAUGUGAUAUAUCCGUUUAGUAUUUUUUUUAUACAGUGAUAAUACUUAAGUAUAAUUUACAUCAUAUAUCUUUUGAAGUACAUGAAACUAUGAAGAAAAUGAUAAACCAAAUCCCAUUCCAUCUCUGUUUGCUACUGCACAAUCACAAUCCAAUUCCAACAUGGAAUCCUCAGACGACAUGCCUACUGCAGAACAAGUUUCAUCCUGACUUAACUUAUAUUUAGUCCACGUCCUGUUUAGAUUGUAAUCCUAGUUCUACGUGUGUUUGUAUAGUACUCCUAUAAAUAUCAAUGAACAUCGCUCACUCUAAUUAAGAGUUGAGAUUCUGCAAAUCAUAUUUACUAUCUUUCAUGGUAUCACGAGCCAGCGUCUAACGACAACGGUUCCUAUUAUAAUUUUUUUCUCUUUUGCAGAUCCUAAACUAUGGCAUCUUCUUCCUCCUCCGCUGCUCCCUCCAUCACAAAUUUUCUUACGAUCAAGCUCGACCGCAACAACUACCCUCUUUGGCAUGCUCAGUUUCUUCCCUUGCUGCGCAGCCGCAACUUACUCUCUUAUGUUACUGGCGAAACUCAAUGCCCCUCUUUCUUCUUGAUGACAAUGGUAAAUUCACCGAUAAAGUCAAUCCAUUAUAUAAUGAAUGGAUCCAGACUGACCAGAUGAUCCUAUCUUGGAUUACGAGUUCUCUUACUCCCAAGGUUCUUGCUACGAUCGUCAACAAAAUUGAUUCGGCCUCUGCUUGGUCGUCAAACUCGAAUUAAUCUGAUUGUGAGGGUUUUGUUUUAUAUCAAUAUAUUGCAACAGAAGUCACACUUUGAAGAGUUCAUGCUGCACAGAAAGAUGAUGAAAUGCUACCCGUUGAGUCUAUCAUUGCUCCAUUGGAGACAGAGCUGAAGCUUACUGCAGGAGUUAUACAUUUGUUAUGCAAUAUGACCCCUUUAAUUUUAUUUUAAAACUGAUACAAAAAUACUACAAAAAUUUAUGUAGUAUUUUUGUAUCAGUUUUGAGUGUCUAUUUUGGCUUCCAUAUAUCGUCUGUACAUGUGAGAGGUAUAGUGUUCAAUAUGUAUUUGGUUUCUAUAUUGUUAAUGGAUCCUUUUUUUUUUUUUAAUUUUAAUAUAAUUUUAUUAAGGUAACCAAGUUGCAGGAUGACAUCAGAACACUUGAUCUGCAGGUAAACCUUCAAUUUCCAUAUGAAGUUUGCAUGUUCGUUGUUUCUGGAAUUUGAGUUUUUAUUAUUUCUCAAUUCUAUCACAUAGAUUACGAUUUCACAUAUGUGAUUAUUAAUGGCAAUUAUAUGAUAGAAGAAUUGGGAUUGGAAGAAGAUAUUGAGUUGUUUAUUUAUGGGGAUUAGAAAAUGAUUAUCAUACAAGUGAUAUUUAUUUUUGUGUGGAUUGUUAAUAUAUAAAACUAUAAGCUUUUGAGAUUGGGAGAUAAAACCCACAAAUUCAAAUCAGACAAAAUAAAUAAAAAAUUUAACUGACUUAAAGAUCAAACUCCAAAAGGGUAUUAAAAACAAGGCUUAUUUGAUCCAUUGAGUGUGAAAGUUUUGAGCUUUGAAGAAGCAUAGGAGGAGAGUUGUUAACCAAGCUGCAUUAUCCAUGUAUUAGGAUGUUGAGGGUAGGCAGGAAAAAUACUUUUUGACGCCAUAUCCAGAGGAGCAUAACGACAGGCCUGCAUUUUUGCAGCAAGGACCAAAACAAGUAGAAGUGAAGGCUUGACUGUUUGGGUAUUAAUCCUAAACCUAAUUAUUCUUAUUUAGGUUUAGGAUAAAUGAUUGAGUGUGUCUCGAUGAUUGUAUUACCAUGUUUGAUGAAUGACUUGAGGAGUUGGAAAUGGUUUAUUGCUUAUGUUUUUCUUAGGUGUGUACUUUGGUUAUUUCCGAGCUUUUCACGACUCUUGAUACCUAAUAGAGAAAAUGGAAACCCCAACUUUAAUUUUAUGAAUUGGUUUUGGUGCCUAAAAUGAAAUCUAGCAUAGUGAAAUCUUGCAUAAUGAAAUUAUGACAAAUUUCCCUUCAUCUUUAGAUUUUCAUUUAGUUCAAUUUGUAUGCAAUUUAGGGUUAUUCAAUUCAUGAGUGAUCAAAUUAUGUUUUUAAUUCCUUCUUCUUUUGAUUUACAGUUCAACAUUGUCGUACAAAAUGAAAAAGGUGCCAGUAACAUAGUUAUGGAUUUGGAUGCCUUUAGCGGAAUAAAACUGAAUUUUUUAACUUUGUAUAGUUGUAAACAUAAAAUACUCCAUCAGAUAGACUCAUAGCAUUUGAAAACAAUCCUUGAGGAUGGCAUAACAACAUCUCCAACUUUUGUCAUGUAAUGUAUGAAUGUAAAUAGCACUUUGUAAACAUAUGGAUGUAAUAUAUGUAUAUAAACAGUCUUUAGCAUGUAUAUUUUUCAAAACUUUCUACAUCUUCAACAAUGUUUCAAUGAUUUCUUGAUGUAAACAAUGAUAAUUUGAAGAACCAUUUAAAGUUUUCGGUAAUCAGCAUACUUAAGCUUAAAUGUGAUAUAUCCGUUUAGUAUUUUUUAUACAGUGAUAAUACUCAAGUAUAAUUUACAUCAUAUAUCUUUUGAAGUACAUGAAACUAUGAAGAAAAAACCCUAAUUAAUCUGAUUAUGGGGGUUUUGUUUUAUAUCAAAAUAUUGCAGCAGAAGUCACACUUUGAAGAGUUCACGCUGCACAGAAAGACGAUGAAAUGCUAUCUGUUGAGUCCAUCAUUGCUCCAUUGGAGACAGAGCUGAAGCUUGCUGCAGGUGGUAUACUUUUGUUCUGCAAUAUGACCCCUUUAAUUUUAUUUUAAGACAGAUAGGGUUGAAAAGAAUUUAUGUAGUAUUUUUGUAUCAGUUUUGAAUGUCUAUUUUGACUUCCAUAUUUGGUCUGUACAUGUGAGGUAUAGAGUGUUCAAUAUGUAUUUGGUUUCUAUAUUGUUAAUGGAUCUUUUUUUUUUGUUUUUUAGGUAACCAAGUUGCAGGAUGAAAACAAAACACUUGAUCAGCAGGUAAACCUUCAAUUUCCAUAUGAAGUUUGCAUUUUUGUUGUUUCUGGAAUUUGAGUUUUUUGCAGGAUGAAAACAGAACACUUAAUCUGCAGGUAAACACUUGAUUUGUUAUUUCCAAGCUUUUCACGACUUUCGAUACCCAAUAGAGAAUAUGGAAACCCCAACUUUAAUUUUAUGAAUUUGUUUUGGUGCCUAAAAUGAAAUCUAGCAUAGUGAAAUCUUGCAUAAUGAAAUUAUGACAAAUUUCCCUUCAUCUUUACAUUUUCAUUUAGUUCAAAUCGUAUGGUUUAGGGUUAUUCAAUUCAUGAGUGAUCAAAUUAGGUUUUUAAUUCCUUCUUCUUUUGAUUUUCAGUUCAGCAUUGUCGUAUUUUGGAUGCCUUUAGUGGAAUAAAACUGAAUUUUUUUAACUUUGUAUAGUUGUAAACAUAAAAUACUCCAUGAGAUAGACUCAUAACUUUUGAAAACAAUCUUUGAGGAGGGCAUAACAACAUCUCCAACUUUUGUCAUGUAAUGUAUGAAUGUAAAUAGCACUUUGUAAACAUAUGUAUGUAAUAUAUGUAUAUAAACACCACUCUUUAGCAUAUAUAUUUUUCAAAACUUUCUACAUCUUCAACAAUGUUUCAAGCCCCGCGGCAACGGGCGGGUACACUUGCUAGUAUACAUCUAAAAUUAUAAGACUAAAUCCUUUAGUUCUUGGAUUCAUCUAAGAACUACUUAUUCCAGCAGAUGCUAUGCUUGCACUACUAGAAUUUAUGGCUUGCCCUGUCAACUAUUGCGCGACAGAAGAUUUCGUCGGUUUCACCUUUUUUAACCGACAGAAUAUAAGUUUAGUAGGGCAAAAUCAGUCAACAAACUGGGUUGAUUGAAUAAAUUUACAGGAUGGCUAGAGUUCGUAGGUUAAGACAUCGGUCGUUGGGCAAACAUUUGGAGCGAAGAUGUGAGUGUUUUAACUGACGAAUAAGCUGGUCGUCAUGUAGAUCUUCUUUCCCGACGGACGGUUCAACAGGUAGCUCUUUGGAUAAUAAUUCAUCUUCAAGGGGAACAGGUUGCCCCUCAGAUGAAUGGUUAGAGGCAAUUGUGAGACUAUAAUUUUCUAGGGCCGGAAUAAAAAAUACAUAAACCCUCACCUAUUCUGUCUCUGUAACCAUCCACCAAAUACCCAUUUUUCCCUUUCUAUUUCUCUCCUAGUAAUUUCCCCUGACCGAAUCACACAAUCCAACCAACUCUCUUUAAGCCUCCCUCACUGAUUCCAUGGAUUUCAUGGACUUAUCCCACCCUCUCUCCUUCCUUCUAUAUAUAGCAAGUCCCCUUGCCUCAGUGUCCCUGGCAACAGAAUUUAUGGCGUUUCUUCGUUCUUUCAAUUAUUUGAAAGCUUCCCUGCCCUGCAAUCUUGUAUAAAGGCGUAUGGUGUUUCAUCAGUUCCAUUUGGUGGUCGGGUGGGAAAUGAAAUUAAAACACUGCAUUUCAAAUGCAUUUCAAAUGGUCUAAACCAAAUUGAAUCAAAUGUGAAGCAAAGGGCAAGAGGUGUAGAUUGAAGAACAAUGGCACCAAGAGCGAAAUUGAACUUGUUGACAGGAGGAAACCAAGUAAGGAUAACACGUCUAAAUCUUAUUUUGAAUCCAUUCAGCUCAUGAUGUUUUGAAUGAUGAUGAUCGGUAUACUCUGCUACAUGCUGUGAUUUUUCCGCUUUCAUGUAAUUAACGGCUUAUAUUUGUGGUAACCAUAUUGAUUAAAAAAGGUCGUACCCAGUGCACAAGGCUCCCGCUUUACGCAGGGUCUGAAAGGUGAAUGUCGGCUAGCCUUACCCCCAUUUUAUGGAGAGGCUGCUCCAAAGUCUCAAACCCAAGACCUACCGCUCAUGGGCGAAGACACUUGCCAUCGCACCAAGUGCGAUAUUGAUUAAUUUCGAGAAAUGACAGUCUAAUUUUUGCAACUGUCUUUUGCAGGCAAAACAAAGACGUUUGCAAGGGUGAGUUGUGUAGGAGCUUUGUUUCAUGUCCAAAGGACACUUGAGAAUAAAUGUUUACACUCAUGGAUAAUAUCUAUCUAUUUGCAGGAGUAACCCUGGGUUCAUUUGUUCUGUAACUGCUGGUCAUUGCGGCAUAUCACGCCUAUAGCACUGACAAAAGUAAAAAGAGAAUCGAAUGAAAUUUGAUAAGUUUUCAGCGGACUACAAAGAUCUUAAGCCAAGCAUAUAUUCCCAUGCAGAUAUUAAGAGGUUUACAAAUCAAUUCAAGUACAAGUUGGGCCAAGGAGCAUACGGAACUAUUUUUAAAGGAAUGCUUUUUUCUGAAUGCUUUGUUGCCAUGAAGUACUUAACAAUGGGCCAUAUUCACCAUGUCAAUGUGGUUCACUUGGUUGGUUUUUGUGCUGAUGGAUUUAGAUGAGCUCUGGUUUAUGAGUUCUUUUCCUUUGGUUCACUCCAGGAUUAUAUUUCAUCAGUAGAUAGAUUUCUUUCCUUGGUUGGCAUAAGUUACAAGAUAUUGCUAUCAGCAUAGCCAAAGGAACCAAGGAUGUGAUCUACAAAUCCUCCAUUUCGAUAUCAAACCCCAUAAUGUUUUGCUCAACCAAAAAAUCACGCCAAAAAUCUCUGAUUUUGGUCUGGCCAAGUUAUGUUCCAAGGAUCAAUCGGCGUGACUAAAGCAAGGGGGACUAUGUGACUAAAGCACCCGAAGUGUUUUCCAGGAAUUUCGGAAAUGUGUCUUACAAGGCAGAUGUCUUGAAUGCUGCUGCUUGAGAUGGUAGGAGAAAAGAAGAAUAUUGGUUCAACCAGAGGACACGACAAAUGAAAUCUACUAUCCAAAAUGGAUUUAUAAUCUUCUAGAGGAAGGAAAUGACCAACAGAUCCCUAUUGAGGAAGAAUGUUAUGGUAAGAUUCCAAAGCAACUUGCAAGUUUAGGGCUCUGGUGCAGCCAGUGACACUCAGUGGAUCGGCGGUCCAUGAAAACGGUGGUUCGGAUGUUAGGAGGAGGAGAAAACUUGAUGAUGCAAGCAACCCUAAAAGCCUCAUACAGUUAGAAGCAAUUGCUGAAUUAGAGUAACAUACGUAUAUGUAUACGCACCAACACAAGUCGUUCUUAGAUGAAUCCAAGCCAAACAAUUACAGACAAUAGUUAUUCACUAAAUCACUUUAAGGCAAGAAUUUAAUUAAUAAUACAUUACUGCACUUUCUUAACCAUUUGACUAUCACCUAGCUGACAAUGAACACGUUAGCUCCGCGUUAGAACAUCUUGGGUUCAAUUCAUUGUCUUGAAUAUCACCCACUGUCACAGGCGUCUUUUGGGGGCAUAGAGAAGGCCUGAGAGGCAUUUGCAGACAUUCAACAUCUCCUCCAAGCAUUUUGACAACUUUGGACAUCGAAGGGCGAUCACUUGGUUUCAUUUGAAUACACCACAAGGCGGUUAUAACCAUCUUUCUUAUUACUUUCUUUUCCUCCUCUGUAACAUUGUCCAUUUCCAAGUCAUUUCCUACAAUAUACUGAUCGUAUACCCACAUUGGGAAGUAGAUUUGGCUUGAAUGCUCUACCGUUGGAUUCAAAUUCCUCCUUCUGCUUGCCAUUUCCAUCAACAACAUUCCAAAACUAUAGACAUCUGACUUAUAUGAGACGCCUCCAAUAUUUUUGUAGAACAACUCAGGAGCAAUAUAUCCCAGUGUACCCCGUGCUGCUGUCAAAGAGACAAUGCUAUUAUCUACAUGAUACAAUUUUGCAAGCCCAAAGUCAGAAACCUUUGCUUUAAAGUUCUCAUCAAGAAGGAUGUUAUGAGGCUUGAUGUCGAAAUGUAGAAUUUGCAUUUCGCAACCUUGGUGUAGAUAUUCGAUCCCUUGAGCCACUCCAAGAGAAAUCUCGUACAUGUUCUUGAUAGUUAAGGGGACACUUCCUUCUUUGGAAUAAAUGUAUUUAUCAAGAGAACCAUUAGGCAUGAAGUCAUAGACUAGAGCGCGUUUUGAUCCCUCAACAUAGUAUCCAACAAGUUGCACCACAUUGGCAUGGUGAAUCCUUCCGAUUGUAGCUAAUUCGCUAAUGAAAUCUUGGCCAUCAGCUUUGGGCUUGGCCAAAACUUUAACUGCUACAAAUCGACCACUGCGUAGCUUUCCCUUAAAUACAGAGCCAAAGCCACCUUUGCCCAACUUGUCCUUAAACUUGCGAGUCAUUUUCUUGACGUCCGAGUAAGAGUACCUUAUAGGCAUGAAGUUGUUAUUGCAUUGCAGAAAAUCUUCUAUUGUGCUAUACAUUGAUAAAUGUCUUCUGCGCCAUGUGUAGAUUAGAAAUGCAGUCACAAUUGGAACUCCAAAAACAAAUCUGGCUAGGAAAAAUAACCCUACAUGCAUUGACAUUAAUAUGUUAGAUCCACUGCGUACUACUUUUUCUUCCCUUUCUUUCCAAAUUACUUUGUCUUUGAUGUAAUUAAAGAGAGAAUGGGAAAUGUACAUAUGUUGAUAAUACAAUCUCGUCUUAGUCCUUACCGAUGCAUAUGAGUAUAAACCAUACACGUACUGCAACAAAAUCAAUCGACUAUGAGUUUGAAAAGUGCAUAAAGUGAAAAAAAAAUAAAAAAAAUCAAAGGGUGCCUUUAUUGACAUCCAAAUUUUAGUUAGUUUUACUCAACUAAAAAAUUUUUGUCAUCAAACUUUUUAAUUUGCCGUCGAAAUUGAGUUCACCCAACCCACAAAGCAGCAACUACCACUCACCAAAAAAACCAACAACACACAGCCACCAGUACCAUUCACCAAUAGAAAGAGAAGGAACACACAGACCCACCAAGGAGCCGGCAUCGACGCGUCUACGAGGGAGGGACCGGAGGGUGGUGUAGUUUUGUUGGGCGCGCGGUAGUGGUUUUGUCUGUUCAUUUUCUCUUUGUUUUGGUAGGUGGAGGCUGGUGUGGAUUUGGGCGAACUUAAAAAUGAGGGGAAACUAUGAAGUUUGACAAAAUGUUUUAGUUAGGUGAACUUCACUAAAAUUUGGGUGCCGAUAAAGAUACCCAAAAUCAAAAGACUAGAUGGACUAAUUAAAUGAAGCUCUUACCCAUAUAUAACGAUGGACGCAACUUGCCAGCUGCUGCAGUACAUACCACGGAAAAGUGAGCAAAGACAUACAGUUACUAGGUUUAAGAAGUACAGAUAGAGCACACAAAAAAUAAAAGAAGCUUUUGGGAAGAAACUUCUUACGCAAAUAGAUUUUUUUCAUGACCUACAGUAAAAAAAUGUCAAGAAGAAUACACAACAUUAGCAAUAGCUCACCCAGUCUUCAAAAUUUAAAAAAUCAAGUUUGUCGAUCGAAAACUUGUAAAUAAAACAAAAAGAGGACCCCUUACCGAUUUGUUGCCAUAGAUAUUGAAAGAAACCUACAAGAACAAAGAAAGAACAAGACCACAUGCAUUAGAAUAACAAGUGUGAGGUGUAUAAGCCGUUAGAAAAUAAAUUUAAAAUUCUAGUGCUGUCAAUACAUUGAUAAUAUAUAUAUAUAUAUAUAUAUAUAUAUAUAUAUGUAUGUAUGUAUUAUUUUUUCUGAAAAUUUAACUUUUCCCGUCCAAACUCAUUUUUCUAGUCUCUAGCCCAACAUAUAAUAUUUAUCUGAAUAAAACCAAAUGAUUAGGAUCCAACUAAGAAACUUACCAAAUUAAGUUUGUGUGUCCAUUUUUAUAUUUUUUGGAUCCCUAAUAUACCCCAUCUAAGCCAGUAUGGAAAGGUCUUGUAAUUUUGCUUUAAGUGAUUACGUGCAUUGAAUUUGGCAAGGUCUUAUAGCCAUGAAAUAUGGUUCUAGAUGGAGGAAUUAAUUUGGAAUUUUUUUUAAUUUCGACAACAAAUUUCAAUUUGAAUAUACCUAAUUUAGUGUUUAUUUUCAACAAUAAAUGUGCCUACUUUUUAAAUUUGUAACAAAAUUAAUUUACCUACUUUUUAUGGUAUUAGUGACACACCCUGUCCCGAAGGAGGGCAUGCUGGCCGUCACGAGAGAGUGACGUAACCAUUUGCACAGUACGGAAGCUUUAAGAUACAAUUUAUAAGUUGAUACACCCGAAGGUGAGUCCUAAUUUUUGUCCAAUCUGUCAGAACACCGUCAAAUUCCUCGUAGUCACCACACCUUUGUGAUUCCUGAACCUGGAGGGGCGCAAAACCAAAAUUGAGUGGGUCAGUAAAACAAUUCUUUUCCAAAUCCAAACAUUUCUCAAAACGUUGUAACCCUCUCCGUAAAACUUGUAUACUUUCCCAGAAAUGUAAAAUAUAAAUAUACAUAUAUAUUCUCAAACUUCAUUUUUACUAUCUCAACAUUUUUCUUUAUCAAACAUGCCAUGCCAUGUCUAAUUCAACAGUUAAGUAUGGAUGCAUCAACAAUAAUCAUAUCAGGUGCAAGAAAGUAAUCAACCGGAGGCCCUCUAAUAGCCCUGUACGGUUGAACCUAGAGCUCAAAAUCUAUCACUCUCACUCUGCCGGGAGUCACCUCUGUGACCUGUCCGGCCUUCUGCACACAAGUUACGCUCUAGUGCUUUCUCAUCAAUCAUCUGUGCACAUAAUCUAAGGUCACCCACCAGUCGAAAUCUCACUAACACUCUUCGACUGGCCCGUCGCACCCACUCCGCGUGGACUGUGCGACCAGCAUCUACUUGGAUCCAAGGCGAGCGUGCGAUGCGGUGAAUACUAUAAGCACUAAACCAUGGUGCAGGAUUUGAGCUCAAUAUAUAUCAACAUCAUCAUAACAGUACUUAAAUACUCACCUGAUACUCACCUGUGCGUCCGCCGCACCAAUUCAUACAUAUGCAUCAUAUUUCAAUUCAUAUCAUUUCAUGCAUGGCAAUUCGAUUCACAUUUCUAUAUACAUUUCAUAUACUUCUAUGCAUGACCUUUCAAUUCACGUUUUCAUAUAAUUCUAUAUACCUUUCAUUUAAAACAUAAUUUCAUUCUAAUUCAAUUUCUGGGAAAACGUCAAGUAUAUAUAUACGGAAAACAAAACUGCCCACUCACCUGGAGUUCGUCCAACAACUCCCUAGCACCACACAUCAAGGCGUCAUGACGAUCGCCGUCUAGAACAGUAAUCAAAUCCAGCCUCAGAAUUCAUAUCGAUAGAACAUAUAACUUAUAUAAAAUAUGUCACUACGUAGAUCGAUCCGGAAGAUCUGCCACUCAGAUUUUAAAUCCAUAACUUCCAGAGGUCCACAAUAUAUCUCUAGGAUAACAUCCUAAAAUUUCAUUACCAUCCAACGGUCGGAUCUCCGUCAAUUUCCAAAACUAAGUGACGGUUAACAUUUUAUUUUAUGAACUUACAAUUCUAAUUCCGGAAGAUCCGUAACUCGGAUUCCCAAUCCGUAAGUUCCAAUAAUCCUCAAAUAUUACGUAUUACAACGUAUCAAAGUUUGGUAACGAUCCAACGGUCGGAUCAUCAAUUCACAUUUUCACCUAAUGCGAAAACUAUAAAACGUUAUUCGAACACCUAACCAACAAUCCUUAAUAACUUUCUCAUACGGUGUUCAAUUUGGGUAUAUGAAUAUACCACAGUGAUCUACUCAUUAAAAUAAUUUUUUACUGUAGCACGCGCCCCCACGCGCCAAGGAAGGCACGGACCUACGCGCCCCCACGCGCACCUUCUUCUUCCUUGGGUCGCCGGACUGGUUUUUCCGGCGGCCGUUUUUCAAAUUGCCAUAACUUUGUCAUUUCUCAACGAAAUCAAGUGAUUCAAAAACGAAAGUUGUAGCCCUUGAAGAGACAAAGAGAAUGGUACCUUGCACAACACCUAGUUCGCCGUGGUUUGGCCGGAAACUGCUUCGAAAGCCUCGGAGGUCGCCAGAAACUGGGUAUUUUUCAAAUCAGUAUAACUUCUUCAAUACUCAACGAAAUUGAGUGAAACAAAAAGGAAAGUUGUAGUACUUGACGAGACGAAGAGAUUGAUACCUACCUCGACUCCUAACUCACCGGAUAUUCGCCGGAAAAUGCCUCGAAAGCUCCGGCCAAACUUUGAACUUGUCGAUCUCCGUGUUCUUACAUCCAAAAACUUCCAACGAAGCACUCCGAGCUUCCUUGGGACCUCACUAAGCUCGCUAUGAUCUUGUUUUAGCCUAAAACGUAGUCAUUUAGAAGAUCAUGAACAAUACCAUUUCACGGGAACUUUGAAACUAGGGUUUUCCGAAGCAAAACUUACCUGAAAUGGAUACCAUCGUGAUCGUGGAGGUUCCAGGAGUUUGAUGGUGGUCUUAACUCUGUCGUUGGUGGAAGUUUAAGGUUGUUUUGUGGUUGGUUUGUUCGAACGGAGAAGAAGAGUGACAGAGAGAGUGAGAGAGUCGUGAGGGAAGAGAGAGAGAGACAGCAUGCAGAAAAUAGGGAGAGGAUUGAGGGGUGUGGGGAUCCCACGUGGUCCUUUUCCAAUCCCCAACUCCAAACCAUAAAAUUUUAACCUAAAAAUCUAAGUUCAAUCCUUAAUAAAUUCCAUUUUAUUUUCAAAACUUAGGAACCUAGAUAAUUAUCAACUUGAGCUUCACAUACUUAGUAUUUCUUAAGGGCAAUUUCGUUCAUUCACAGCCACGAAUGUAAUAUUUUGGAACGGGCUGUGACAAUUAGUAUACAUAAAUGUAGAAUAUAUGUCCGUAUAUAUUUGAUCCAAUUAGUAUUAGGGAGAAUGACAAGUCAUCCAAGUCUGCUACUGUUAAUAAUUCUGUUACUGUAAAUUAACUGAUUGUAUUAGUUGUGAUUAGUUAAGAUAGUUAUAAAGUAGUUAGGGGUAUCUAUGUAAAUAGCCAAAGGCUAUAUAUAUUCCUACACAAUGUGUAAAGUUCUCAGUCAAGUAAAUACAAUCAAGAAAACUUACUGUUGAAGUUUUCUGUUUCUACAUGGUAUCACGCCAUUCCGCUUCACAGCUUCGAUCUUUCUCUUCGCUUGCUGCAUCGAUCGACUCUUGAUCGAUUUUUCUUCUCUGAUCUUCUCUUCGCUUGCUGCAUCGAUCGACUCAUGAUCGAUUUUUCUUCUCUGAUCGUCACUUCUUCCCUUCCGAUCUUGUAGUAUUUUCUUGAUUUCUGUCAGUAAUGGCGGCUCAAUCGACUGGUUCAUCUUCUCCGGUCAUCUCCCCCUCGAGCCCAAACCCUAAUUUUCUCUGGAAACCCUAAUUCCUCUGGAAAUCCGAGUCCUCUGACUUCCUACACUUCUCUCUCACAAUUCAUAACAUCGGCAGCAUGGUGCCGAUCAAGCUCAAAAGAUCCAAUUACCUACCAUGGCGCGCCCUGUUUGGCCCGAUUUUCCGGCGAUACAAGCUUCUUGGAGUAAUCGAUGGUACUGACGUCUGUCCAUCGCCAUUUCUGCCUGAUCGUAGCAUCAAUCCUGCUUUUGAGGACUGGUAUGAGAAAGAUCAAAAUCUUUUUGAUCUGGUUGAAUUCCACACUUUCUGAGGAAAUCAUCCCGUUCACGGUUGGGGUUUCAUCCUCUCGAGAACUUUGGGUAAAGCUUGAACAGCGCUUUGGUGGAAUUUCAGAGGCUCAUAUCCAUCAGUUGCGAUCGCGCCUUCAAUCUGUUCAGAAAGGAUCGCGUUCUAUCUCUGACUAUCUUCAAGAACUCAAGGAAAUUUCAGAUUCUCUGCAAGCUGCUGGUGCUUCUGUCUCUGAUCGAGAUCUUAUCGCCGCCACACUACAUGGCUUGCCUGAUGAAUUUGAGUCUUUCAUCGACUGUAUCAUGCUCCGAUUGUCCUCUACCUCUCUGAUGAACUUCAUGGCCUCCUUCUCACAAAGGAAUUGUCUAUGGCCAGACGCAAAACUGUCAGUUCAUCUCCUGUCCCUGAAUCUUUUCAGGCUUUCUCGGUGCAGUCUCAGCCUCAUCUCCUUCCUACUCCAUCUGCUUUUGCUGCUCAGAAUCUCCCUCUUCAAUCUGCAUCUCGGUUCAACUCUAAUCGUGGCAGGAACACUAAGGGCCAGUUCUUUUCCAAUCGAGGUCAUCGAGGUAAUCGUGGUAAUUUUCCUAAUAAACCGUGGCAAUCGAGGUUAUCAAGGAUUUCGCAGCAAUCAAGGCUCUUCUCACUUCAAAGUGCUUUGUCAAAUCUGUGGUUCUACCAGUCAUGAGGCUAUUGACUGCUUUGAUCGUAUGAAUCCUGACAUCUUGUGGUCGUAUUCCUCCAGCUAAGCUUGCUGCCAUGUGUGCCACAACAUUCUGCUAAACCAUCUCAGCCUUGGUUAAUUGAUUCAGGGGCAACCUCUCAUAUCACUAAUGAUGUUGCUAACCUCACCUCUCCUACUCCCUACACUGGCGAGGAUUAAAGUGUAUAUUGGAGAUGGUAAAGGUUUAUCCAUCCUCAAUGUUGGUUCAUCUACUCUGCACACCUCUCAUAAUUCUUUUCAAUUGCGAAAUGUUUUACAUGUUCCCCACAUAACCCAUAAUCUUAUCUGCUUAUCAGUUUUGUUAAUGAUAAUAAUUGUUCAUUGACACUUGACCCUUAUGGAUCCUAUGUCAAGGAUCGUAUUUCGGGGAAGAUGCUUUUACGGGGACCGGUUAGAGAUGGCUUCUAUCCUCUUCAAAGUUCCAGCAAUCUUCAUCCUCUUUCACAUACCGCUUUACUUAGUAUUAAAGCUCCAGUUACAAUUUGGCACAAGCGUUUGGGUCACCCUUCCUCCUCCAUUUUUAGAAGGCUCCUUUCAUCCAAUAAUCUUGCUUUACAAGGCAAGUCUACUGUGGACUUUUUCUGUUCGGAUUGUGCUCUUGCCAAGAAUCAUAAGCUUCCAUUUAAAGCUGCUACUUCAUCAUCAACUCACAGCCUUCAACUACUGCACUGUGAUCUGUGGGGACCUGCCUCAAUCACAUCAAGUAGUGGUUUUCAAUAUUAUUUGCUCAUUGUUGAUGACUAUAGCAAAUAUAGUUGGUUCUUUCCUUUGAAAUCUAAGUCAGAUGUAUUUUCUACAUUUGUUGUCUUCAAAUCAUAUGUAGAAAAUUCACUUGGAAAUAAAAUAAAGGUUCUGCGUUCAGAUUCAGGGGGUGAAUUUACUAGUCACUCUUUUGCAUCAUAUCUCAGCAAACAUGGCAUUCUUCAUCAGUUCAGUUGUCCCCACACCCCUGAGCAAAAUGGUUGUGCAGAAAGAAAGCACAGGCACCUUGUUGAAAACAGCUCGCACUUUGCUUCUUGCAUUCUCAUGUCCCUCAUAUUUUCUGGGUUGAAGCAUUCUCCACUGCUAUCUAUCUUAUUAAUCGCCUUCCUAUUUCUGGCAUUUCACAGUCCCCUUGGCAGUUGCUAUUUCACAACCAUCCAGACUACUCUAAGCUCAAAGUAUUUGGUUGCCAAUGCUUUCCUUGGCUCAAACCUUACUUUCAUAGCAAAUUGGAUCCCAAGAGCAAAAAGUGUGUUUUCUUGGGGUAUAGUCUUCAACACAAAGGCUAUAGGUGCCUUGAUCCUAUCACCAAUCGCAUCUACAUCUCUCGUCAUGUCUGUAUUCGAUGAAAGUACUUAUCCAUUUCAGUUGUCCCACAUUCAACACUCUUUUCCUGUUCCAAGUCCUCCAUCUUCCUCACCAACAAUUUCUUCCUCUCUGGAUCUUCAUUUUUUAGCAAACACAUUCCUCCUGUUUUCAGUCAGCCAUCUACAUCACCAUUAUGUGCUUCUGUGCCUGUUCCUAUUUCUUCAUCUUCAUCUUCCCCUGCACCUGUCUCAGUUGGCUCUUCUUUCCAGUUUUGUUCCUCCUUCAGCACAUUCAUCUUUCUCCCAAAAUCAACAGAGUCAUCCUCCUGCCCCUGUUAAUUCUCAUCCAAUGAUUACUAGAUCCAAGGCUGGUAUACUCACGUCGAGAGCCUGUGCAGCAACUAAGCACCCACUUCCGGUUGAUAUGGAUUAUGUUCCUACAACAUACUUGCAAGCUUCUAAGCAUGCUCAUUGGAGGCAAGCUAUGCAAGAUGAAUUUAAUGCCUUGCUAACCACUGGUUACUUUGGUCUCUUGUUCCUUCUCACCAUUCUCAAAACUUAGUGGGCUGCAAGUGGGUUUUCCGGAUUAAGAAGAAGCCCGAUGGCACUGUUGACAGAUAUAAAGCCCGGCUUGUGGCCAAGGGUUUUCAUCAACAAGAAGGUAUUGACUUUUCAAGAAAACCUUCAGUCCAGUUGCCAAACCGGUUACAAUUCGGAUCCUUCUUACCCUUUGCUGUGCAAUAUAAUUGGUUUCUCAAUCAAUUGGACAUUAGUAAUGCCUUUCUUCAUGGAGACUUAAAGAGAGGAUGUCUACAUGCAACAACCCCCUGGUUUUGUUGAUCCCUUUACCCUACAUUUUGUAAGUUGAGGAAAUCGUUGUAUGGUCUCAAACAAGCUCCUCGAGCUUGGUUUGAUAAACUGUUCCAAGCUCUUCCUCUCUUGGAUUCACCCAAUCAUCCUCAGAUGCUUCUUUAUUUGUUCUCAAUGGUCCUCAGUUUAGUCAUUGUCCUUGUCUAUGUUGAUGACAUUCUUGUCACCGGACCCUAUCCUUACCUCUGUCAACACUUCAUUCAGCAACUUGGGGCUCAAUUUCCAGUAAAAGACCUUGGUCCUCUUCAUUAUUUCUUGGGAUUAGAAGUACAUCGAUCUUCCCAGGGUAUAUUUCUCCAUCAAACAAAGUACUUAUUGGAUCUUCUCAAGAAAACAAAUAUGGAGGGUGCAAAACCUUGUUGUACUCCCCUUGGCUCUAAGAAAUUAGAUCACAGUGGCCCUCUUCUGUCCAAUCCUACUGAAUAUCGCUCCAUUGUUGGUGGUUUACAAUAUCUUACUUGGACUAGACCCGACCUUGCUUUUGCUGUGAACCAAAUCUGCCAAUUCAUGCAUGCUCCCAGGGAACAACAUCUCCAGGCAGCAAAAAGGGUUCUCAGAUUUCUCAAAGGCUCUAUCUCACAUGGUGUGUGGUUCACUAAAGGCCCUGUCCAUCUUUCUGCCUACUCGGAUGCCGACUGGGCUGGUUGCACAAUUGACAGGAGAUCAACCACUGGUUAUUGUGUAUUUUUGGGUUCCAAUCUUAUCAGCUGGAGUGCCAAGAAGCAAAGUACUGUUGCCAAGGUCCUCUACAGAGGCUGAAUAUCGCUCCUUAGCUCACACAGCUGCUGAGAUAACUUGGGUUUGCAGAUUCUCAAAGAUCUGCACUAUCCUCUCUCUUACAUUCCCUACUUUUGGUGUGACAACAUAUCAGCAAUAUCUUUAGCAUCUAAUCCUGUCUUUCAUGCUCGAACAAAGCAUGUUGAGAUCGAUUAUCNGAAGUUUUCUGUUUUCUACAUGGUAUCACGCCAUUCCGCUUCACAGCUUCGAUCUUUCUCUUCGCUUGCUGCAUCGAUCGACUCUUGAUCGAUUUUUCUUCUCUGAUCUUCUCUUCGCUUGCUGCAUCGAUCGACUCAUGAUCGAUUUUUCUUCUCUGAUCGUCACUUCUUCCCUUCCGAUCUUGUAGUAUUUCUUGAUUUCUGUCAGUAAUGGCGGCUCAAUCGACUGGUUCAUCUUCUCCGGUCAUCUCCCCCUCGAGCCCAAACCCUAAUUUCUCUGGAAACCCUAAUUCCUCUGGAAAUCCGAGUCCUCUGGACUUCCUACACUUCUCUCACAAUUCAUAACAUCGGCAGCAUGGUGCCGAUCAAGCUCAAAAGAUCCAAUUACCUACCAUGGCGCGGCCCUGUUUGGCCCGAUUUUCCGGCGAUACAAGCUUCUUGGAGUAAUCGAUGGUACUGACGUCUGUCCAUCGCCAUUUCUGCCUGAUCGUAGCAUCAAUCCUGCUUUUGAGGACUGGUAUGAGAAAGAUCAAAAUCUUUUGAUCUGGUUGAAUUCCACACUUUCUGAGGAAAUCAUCCCGUUCACGGUUGGGGUUUCAUCCUCUCGAGAACUUUGGGUAAAGCUUGAACACAGCGCUUUGGUGGAAUUUCAGAGGCUCAUAUCCAUCAGUUGCGAUCGCGCCUUCAAUCUGUUCAGAAAGGAUCGCGUUCUAUCUCUGACUAUCUUCAAGAACUCAAGGAAAUUUCAGAUUCUCUGCAAGCUGCUGGUGCUUCUGUCUCUGAUCGAGAUCUUAUCGCCGCCACACUACAUGGCUUGCCUGAUGAAUUUGAGUCUUUCAUCGACUGUAUCAUGCUCCGAUUGUCCUCUACCUCUCUUGAUGAACUUCAUGGCCUCCUUCUCACAAAGGAAUUGUCUAUGGCCAGACGCAAAAACUGUCAGUUCAUCUUCCUGUCCCUGAAUCUUUUCAGGCUUUCUCGGUGCAGUCUCAGCCUCAUCUCCUUCCUACUCCAUCUGCUUUUGCUGCUCAGAAUCUCCCUCUUCAAUCUGCAUCUCGGUUCAACUCUAAUCGUGGCAGGAACACUAAGGGCCAGUUCUUUUCCAAUCGAGGUCAUCGAGGUAAUCGUGGUAAUUUUCCUAAUAACCGUGGCAAUCGAGGUUAUCAAGGAUUUCGCAGCAAUCAAGGCUCUUCUCACUUCAAAGUGCUUUGUCAAAUCUGUGGUUCUACCAGUCAUGAGGCUAUUGACUGCUUUGAUCGUAUGAAUCCUGACAUCUGUGGUCGUAUUCCUCCAGCUAAGCUUGCUGCCAUGUGUGCACAACAUUCUGCUAAACCAUCUCAGCCUUGGUUAAUUGAUUCAGGGGCAACCUCUCAUAUCACUAAUGAUGUUGCUAACCUCACCUCUCCUACUCCCUACACUGGCGAGGAUAAAGUGUAUAUUGGAGAUGGUAAAGGUUUAUCCAUCCUCAAUGUUGGUUCAUCUACUCUGCACACCUCUCAUAAUUCUUUUCAAUUGCGAAAUGUUUUACAUGUUCCCCACAUAACCCAUAAUCUCUUAUCUGCUUAUCAGUUUGUUAAUGAUAAUAAUUGUUCAUUGACACUUGACCCUUAUGGAUCCUAUGUCAAGGAUCGUAUUUCGGGGAAGAUGCUUUUACGGGGACCGGUUAGAGAUGGCUUCUAUCCUCUUCAAAGUUCCAGCAAUCUUCAUCCUCUUUCACAUACCGCUUUACUUAGUAUUAAAGCUCCAGUUACAAUUUGGCACAAGCGUUUGGGUCACCCUUCCUCCUCCAUUUUUAGAAGGCUCCUUUCAUCCAAUAAUCUUGCUUUACAAGGCAAGUCUACUGUGGACUUUUUCUGUUCGGAUUGUGCUCUUGCCAAGAAUCAUAAGCUUCCAUUUAAAGCUGCUACUUCAUCAUCAACUCACAGCCUUCAACUACUGCACUGUGAUCUGUGGGGACCUGCCUCAAUCACAUCAAGUAGUGGUUUUCAAUAUUUAUUUGCUCAUUGUUGAUGACUAUAGCAAAUAUAGUUGGUUCUUUCCUUUGAAAUCUAAGUCAGAUGUAUUUUCUACAUUUGUUGUCUUCAAAUCAUAUGUAGAAAAUUCACUUGGAAAUAAAAUAAAGGUUCUGCGUUCAGAUUCAGGGGGUGAAUUUACUAGUCACUCUUUUGCAUCAUAUCUCAGCAAACAUGGCAUUCUUCAUCAGUUCAGUUGUCCCCACACCCCUGAGCAAAAUGGUUGUGCAGAAAGAAAGCACAGGCACCUUGUUGAAACAGCUCGCACUUUGCUUCUUGCAUCUCAUGUCCCUCAUAUUUUCUGGGUUGAAGCAUUCUCCACUGCUAUCUAUCUUAUUAAUCGCCUUCCUAUUUCUGGCAUUUCACAGUCCCCUUGGCAGUUGCUAUUUCACAACCAUCCAGACUACUCUAAGCUCAAAGUAUUUGGUUGCCAAUGCUUUCCUUGGCUCAAACCUUACUUUCAUAGCAAAUUGGAUCCCAAGAGCAAAAAGUGUGUUUUCUUGGGGUAUAGUCUUCAACACAAAGGCUAUAGGUGCCUUGAUCCUAUCACCAAUCGCAUCUACAUCUCUCGUCAUGUUGUAUUCGAUGAAAGUACUUAUCCAUUUCAGUUGUCCCACAUUCAACACUCUUUUCCUGUUCCAAGUCCUCCAUCUUCCUCACCAACAAUUUCUUCCUCUCUGGAUCUUCAUUUUAGCAAACACAUUCCUCCUGUUUUCAGUCAGCCAUCUACAUCACCAUUAUGUGCUUCUGUGCCUGUUCCUAUUUCUUCAUCUUCAUCUUCCCCUGCACCUGUCUCAGUUGGCUCUUCUUCCAGUUUUGUUCCUCCUUCAGCACAUUCAUCUUUCUCCCAAAAUCAACAGAGUCAUCCUCCUGCCCCUGUUAAUUCUCAUCCAAUGAUUACUAGAUCCAAGGCUGGUAUACUCACGUCGAGAGCCUGUGCAGCAACUAAGCACCCACUUCCGGUUGAUAUGGAUUAUGUUCCUACAACAUACUUUGCAAGCUUCUAAAGCAUGCUCAUUGGAGGCAAGCUAUGCAAGAUGAAUUUAAUGCCUUGCUAACCACUGGUUACUUGGUCUCUUGUUCCUUCUCACCAUUCUCAAAACUUAGUGGGCUGCAAGUGGGUUUUCCGGAUUAAGAAGAAGCCCGAUGGCACUGUUGACAGAUAUAAAGCCCGGCUUGUGGCCAAGGGUUUUCAUCAACAAGAAGGUAUUGACUUUCAAGAAAACCUUCAGUCCAGUUGCCAAACCGGUUACAAUUCGGAUCCUUCUUACCCUUGCUGUGCAAUAUAAUUGGUUUCUCAAUCAAUUGGACAUUAGUAAUGCCUUUCUUCAUGGAGACUUAAAGGAGGAUGUCUACAUGCAACAACCCCCUGGUUUUGUUGAUCCCUUACACCCUACAUCUGUUUGUAAGUUGAGGAAAUCGUUGUAUGGUCUCAAACAAGCUCCUCGAGCUUGGUUUGAUAAACUGUUCCAAGCUCUUCACUCUCUUGGAUUCACCCAAUCAUCCUCAGAUGCUUCUUUAUUUGUUCUCAAUGGUCCUCAGUUUAGUCAUUGUCCUUGUCUAUGUUGAUGACAUUCUUGUCACCGGACCCUAUCCUUACCUCUGUCAACACUUCAUUCAGCAACUUGGGGCUCAAUUUCCAGUAAAAGACCUUGGUCCUCUUCAUUAUUUCUUGGGAUUAGAAGUACAUCGAUCUUCCCAGGGUAUAUUUCUCCAUCAAACAAAGUACUUAUUGGAUCUUCUCAAGAAAACAAAUAUGGAGGGUGCAAAACCUUGUUGUACUCCCCUUGGCUCUAAGAAAUUAGAUCACAGUGGCCCUCUUCUGUCCAAUCCUACUGAAUAUCGCUCCAUUGUUGGUGGUUUACAAUAUCUUACUUGGACUAGACCCGACCUUUGCUUUUGCUGUGAACCAAAUCUGCCAAUUCAUGCAUGCUCCCAGGGAACAACAUCUCCAGGCAGCAAAAAGGGUUCUCAGAUUUCUCAAAGGCUCUAUCUCACAUGGUGUGUGGUUCACUAAAGGCCCUGUCCAUCUUUCUGCCUACUCGGAUGCCGACUGGGCUGGUUGCACAAUUGACAGGAGAUCAACCACUGGUUAUUGUGUAUUUUUGGGUUCCAAUCUUAUCAGCUGGAGUGCCAAGAAGCAAAGUACUGUUGCAAGGUCCUCUACAGAGGCUGAAUAUCGCUCCUUAGCUCACACAGCUGCUGAGAUAACUUGGGUUUGCAAGAUUCUCAAAGAUCUGCACUAUCCUCUCUCUACAUUCCCUACUCUUUGGUGUGACAACAUAUCAGCAAUAUCUUUAGCAUCUAAUCCUGUCUUUCAUGCUCGAACAAAGCAUGUUGAGAUCGAUUAUCACUAUAUUAGAGAAUUGGUUUUGGCUCAACUUCUCAAAGUCAAGUUCAUCUGCAGUGAAGACCAAUUAGCUGAUCUUCACACCAAGUCUCUGUCUAAAACCAGAUUUAAUUAUCUGUGUUCCAAGCUUCCCAUUGGUCUCAUUUCUGAUCCCCCUUCUCGCUUGAGGGGGUGUAUUAGGGAGAAUGACAAGUCAUCCAAGUCUGCUACUGUUAAUAAUUCUGUUACUGUAAAUUAACUGAUUGUAUUAGUUGUGAUUAGUUAAGAUAGUUAUAAAGUAGUUAGGGGUAUCUAUGUAAAUAGCCAAAGGCUAUAUAUAUUCCUACACAAUGUGUAAAGUUCUCAGUCAAGUAAAUACAAUCAAGAAAACUUACUGUUGAAGUUUUCUGUUUCUACAGGUUUUGGAUUGGAGGAGUUGACACAAAAUUAUAAAUAUAUUAAACAAAUUUAUCUAUUCUAAAGUUGGAGGGAAAUUGGCCUGUACAUUGCUACAGUAAUUUUUUUUUACCCAAUUUCACGUUAUUUACAACAAAGCUAUCAGAUUUGGGUUGGGUUGGAGGGUAAUUUGUUAAAAGUUAGGAGGGUAAUUUUGUGCAUAGGGUUUAGGUGCCCUCCUAUACAUGACCCUUGAUUUUACUUUAUUUACACCACUGCCAUCAAAUAUGUGGCUGAAUUGGAGGGUAUUAUUAAAAGUUAGGAGGGUAGUUUGUUCAAGGGGUGAGGGCGACAUUCGCAGACAGAGAGCGAUGGGAGCCAUGGCCAUUGCACAGAGAGAAAGGGAGUGAUGGGGGAAAUUACAGACAGAAAAGGAAGGGAUGGGGGGGAUUUGAUGGAUGGUCACAGAGAGAGAUUGGGUGAGGGAUGUGAGAGGAGAUUACAGAGAGAUAAAUAAAAGGGAGGGAUCGGGGGAUGUGAGGGAUGGUCAGGGAGAGAAAUAGUGAGGGAGGGAGGGAUGGGGGGGCUGAUUUUCGGUUCCUCCUUCCAGAUUUGUUCCGUAAAAACCUGUUGGGUAGAAUUCAAUUUCCUCCCCCUUUCCCCUGAACGAAAAAUUCGAAACCUACAACUCAAAACUCACUCAUUUGUCGUCCCUCCUUGGCUUUCCGCUUUACUCAUCUCCCGGUGGUUCUCUCUCCAUACGAUUCCAUUUCGGUGAGUUCUUCGUUGCCCUCAUGAUUUCCCACUUUUAUUUUUGGGGCGUCCUUAGUCGUCGUUUUUAUCUGGGUUUACUGCAUUGUUGCUUUUAGUUUCUGGAUUUUUAUUUUUUUGGCACUUGGAUGAAUCGUGGUUAAUAAUUUCACAUCAUGGGAUUUUCGCACUUCUGAUGGAAUUGAGCGCGGGGAUUCGGGGUGGGGUUUUACUGAUAAUUUGUCUUCAUUCAAACGAAGGGUUAAAAUUUAUGAGUAUUAACAAAUUUUGUAAAUUAUUCUUAUACAUUUUAUUGAGGGAUCUAAUCGAUUUCUUUCUGUAGUGGGAUUGAAAUUGGGGCUUUGUGGUACUCUCUCUCGCUCACUCUCUCUCCUAUGUGUAUGAAUUGAGUUCUGCAGUGAGUUUGCAGGUGGGCGCGUUCACUAACUAAGCUUUCAAGGGAACCGAUCAACGGUUUGCUUGCUGGGGGAAUUCGGAGACUACCAGUGUAUGAUUUAGUUAUCAUUAAUUUUUUUACUUAAUUUUAUCCAUAUAUAAUAUGUGGGUAAAUUUAGAGGUCGCACUUGGUGCGAUGGCAAGUUCCUUCGCCCAUGAGCGGUAGGUCUCGGGUUCGAGACUUGGGAGCAGCCUCUCCAUAAAUGGGGGUAAGGCUAGCCGACAUUUACCUCUCCCAGACCCUGCGUAAAGCGGGAGCCUUGUGCACUGGGUACGAUCUUUUAUAAUAUGUGGGUAAAUUUAUACUAAACAAUUGUGAUAAGCCAAUAUGCUAUACGACUUUGAAAGCAUUGAUUUUGUGUUUAGUUUGCAUUUUUGCAUUGUGAAUGUUGAAUUUUGUGUUUAAUUUGGAUUUUUGUGUUUGAAUUUGUAGCAUGAUCUUCCGCUGCAGCAUCCAAAUUUUGCAUUUGUAAAUUGUCAAAGAAAAACGAAGUAUGAGGAAAUUAUAGGAGAUUGUGUCGGCUUUGGCCAUGAAGGGUAUCAGCAGCUUGUUCCCCCAUACAGGUGAUUAAUCGCAGUCUGUUCUAUUUGGAUGAGAAAGUGAUUGAAAAAUAUGAUUUUUUAUUUGUUGGUUGAUUUUGUAUAACUCCGCCGUGUAAGUUUAUCUUACAUUGCCGGUCCCAAGCCCGGAUAAAGGAGGAGGGGGAGGGCGUCAGGUAGUCGACAGCUGGCACUCCAUGAUCACGUCGAAUCCUUAUGAAAAUGAAUCCAGAACGAAAUCGCGCUAAAGCUAGGGCGUCACCCAUAAGUGGCGCGCUGUGUGGCCCGAGCACAGUGAUAAGUGAGCAAGGGUCGUUGUAUCUCCAUCGGCACCCGGAUGCAGUGUUAAAUGAGCAAGGGGCUAUAGAAACUUCUUUUCGAACGACUCCACUCAAAGUUGUUUGGGAGCAUAUGCUCCUAUCAACUUUACACGGGACACACAAAAGAAGUACUUUGAUCCUAUUAGACGGGGAAGGGUGAAGAAGCUAGGACAGAAGGGUAGAGUUCAAGAGAGCAAAAUGCGUUUAGGAACGUGGAAUAUAGGAACCUUGAACGGGAAAAUCUAUGGAAGUAGUAGAAGUUAUGGUGAGGAGAAGGAUAAAUAUUAUGUGCCUACAAGAAACUAAGUGGGUUGGUCGUAAGGCAAAGGAUCUAGAAAACUCAGGGUUUAAACUAUGGUAUUCGGGCACAAAUAGAACGAGAAACGGUGUUGGCAUCAUCGUGGACAAGACCUUGACACAAGAUGUUGUAGAUGUCAAGAGGGUAGGAGAUAGAAUCAUGGCAAUCAAGAUUGUAAUAGGACAAGAACUUAUCAAUGUGAUUAGUGCGUACGCACCUCAAGUAGGGUUGGAUACGAGUUCGAAGGAGAAAUUUUGGGAAGACCUUGGAGACUUGGUGCAAGGAAUUGCUCAGACGGAGAAGUUAUUUAUAGGAGGAGAUUUAAAUGGACACGUGGGCAGGGAGACAGGCAACUAUGGAGGUUUUCAUGGUGGCCAUGGUUUUGGGGAGAGAAACGAGGAUGGGGAAGCUAUCUUGGAUUUUGCAAUGGCAUAUGAUCUCUUCUUAGCCAACACCUUCUUUAAGAAGAGAGAAGAACAUGUGAUCACCUACAAGAGUGGGUCGUCAAAAACACAAAUAGAUUUUCUUCUAAUGAGGAAAGGGGAUCGUAUAACUUGUAAGGAUUGCAAAGUUAUACCAGGAGAGAGCGUGGCUAAUCAACAUCGCUUGUUGGUGAUGGAUGUACAUAUCAAAAGAGUGAGAAAAAAGAACAAGACUUGGAAGUGCCCAAGGACUAGAUGGUGGAAUCUAAAAGAAGAAAAACAAGCCAUUUUCAAAGAGAAAGUAAUCACCCAGUGUGUGUGGGAUAGAGAGGGGGAAGCUAACCAAAUGUGGGAUUCCAUGGCUAGUUGUAUCCGAAAAGUAGCAAAAGAGGUAUUAGGAGAGUCCAAGGGCUUUGCCCCACACCAAAAGGAAUCUUGGUGGUGGAAUGAGGAGGUACAAACAAAGGUGAAGGCUAAGAAGGAAUGUUGUAAAGCCUUAUACAAGGAUAGGACCGAUGAAAAUGGUGAAAGGUAUAGAAAAGCGAAGCAAGAGGCGAAGAAAGCUGUGAGAGAAGCUAAGUUAGCGGCUUAUGACGAUAUGUAUAAGCGACUAGAUACCAAAGAAGGAGAGUUGGAUAUCUAUAAACUAGCUAGAGCAAGGGAAAAGAAGACAAGGGACCUAAACCAAGUGAGGUGCAUCAAGGAUGAGGAUGGAAAGGUUCUUGCUACAGAGAACGCGGUUAAAGACAGAUGGAAAGGUUAUUUUCAUAAUCUUUUCAAUGAAGGACAUGAAAGGAGUGCUUCUUUAGGGGAGUUGAGUAACUCAGAAGAGUGUAGAAACUACUCUUUUUAUCGUAGAAUCCGGAAGGAAGAAGUGGUUGUAGCUUUGAAGAAGAUGAAGCAUAGAAAAGCAGUAGGCCCAGACGAUAUACCAAUCGAAGUGUGGAAAGUUUUGGGAGAGACAGGUAUAACAUGGCUCACUGACCUUUUCAAUAGGAUUUUGAAAACGAAGAAGAUGCCAAAUGAGUGGCGAACGAGCACUUUGGUGCCUAUCUACAAGAAUAAGGGCGAUGUACAAAAUUGCAUGAACUAUAGGGGUAUUAAGCUAAUGAGUCAUACAAUGAAGCUCUGGGAGAGAGUCAUUGAGCAUAGAUUGAGGCAAGAGACACGGGUUUCGGACAACCAAUUCGGGUUCAUGCCAGGGCGCUCAACCAUGGAGGCAAUCUAUCUCUUACGAAGAUUGAUGGAAAGAUAUAGAGAUGGGAAAAAGGAUUUACACAUGGUCUUUAUAGAUUUGGAAAAAGCGUAUGAUAGGGUCCCAAGAGACAUUCUUUGGAGGAUUUUAGAGAAGAAAGGAGUACGAGUAGCAUAUAUCCAAGCUAUACAGGAUAUGUAUGAAGGAGCAAAGACUGCCGUAAGAACUCAUGAAGGACAAACCGAAAGCUUUCCCAUAACUGUAGGAUUACAUCAAGGCUCAUCCUUAAGUCCUUACCUUUUUGCGUUGGUAAUGGAUGAGUUAACAGGACAUAUUCAAGAUGAUAUUCCUUGGUGUAUGCUUUUCGCAGACGAUAUAGUGUUGAUAGAUGAAACUCAGGAAGGGGUAAAUGCAAAGCUUAACCUUUGGAGAGAAGUGUUGGAAUCUAAAGGUCUUCGCCUAAGCCGAUCAAAGACAGAAUAUAUGGAGUGCAAGUUCAGUGCAAAUGGAGGCCAAAACGAGUUAGGGGUGAGGAUCGGAGAUCAAGAAAAUACCAAAGAGCGACCGUUUUCGUUACCUAGGAUCUAUCUUGCAAAAGAACGGAGAAUUAGAUGGAGAUCUCAACCAUAGAAUACAAGCUGGAUGGAUGAAGUGGAAGAGUGCAUCCGGCGUGUUGUGUGACCGCCGUAUGCCACUGAAGCUCAAGGGAAAAUUUUAUAGGACGGCAAUAAGGCCGGCGAUGCUGUAUGGCACAGAAUGUUGGGCGGUGAAGCAUCAACACGUACACAAAAUGGGUGUAGCGGAGAUGAGGAUGCUUCGUUGGAUGUGUGGGCACACGAGAAAGGAUAAGAUUAGGAAUGAGGAUAUCCGGGGUAAAGUAGGAGUAGCCGAAAUUGAAGGAAAGAUGAGAGAAAAUCGGUUACGGUGGUUUGGACAUGUGCAAAGAAGGCCUACUGACGCUCCGAUUAGAAGAUGCGACUAUGGGACAGAGGUUCAGGGCCGAAGGGGUAGAGGAAGACCUAGGAAAACUUUGGAAGAGACCCUAAGAAAAGACUUAGAGUACUUGGAUCUAACGGAGGACAUGACACAGGACAGAACACAAUGGCGUUCUAAGAUUCAUAUAGCCGAUCCCACUCAGUGACUUGGAUUUUCCAAGUCUCCAACCGAGAAGUUUUCCUCACUCGGGAAAUUAAGGGAACACUACCUCAACCUACAUGCUCCACUCACAAAGCUUCAACAUACAAGCUUCAACAAAAGAAAAUUCAAAGAACUUAGCGAAGAAGGCUUUGGUGUAUUUAACACAAUACGUUGAAAUGAAGGAAAGCUUAUUUAUUGAUAUCCCCGAUAAGUUACAAAUAUGUACAUAUACUUGAGUCAAAAUAAACAAACAAGAGGGAGCCUUCACAAAGGUUGCUUAGGAGAAGUCUCAGCAGUCGGUAGAGCCCCAGAAAGAGAAGGCACCGGAGGGGGAUCAUUCGGAGCCUCAGUACUGGACAGAACCCUAGAAGGAGGAGGCAUCAGAGGUUGAUCAUUUGGAGCUUCAUUACGCGGUACAGCCCCAGAAGACGAAGGCAAUAAAUGCCUUUGGAACAAACCCACAAAUCUCUGAUGAUCAAGUAAAACCUGACCAUCAGAUUCCUUCAUCUGGUCAAGCUUCCUCUUCAUGUUUGUAGCAUAGUCAUGUGCGAGCCGGUGCAACUGUUUAUUCUCAUGCUUGAGCCCUCUAAUCUCCUGUUUGAGACUCAUCACUUCAGCCGCCAAUGAUUCAACUUGGCGGGUUCGAGCAAAUAGGCGUUGGGCCAUAUUAGACACAGAACCUGCACACUGAACACUGAGAGCCAGAGAAUCCUUAACAGCCAACUCAUCAGACCGUUUGGAAAGUAGUCUGUUAUCUUUGGGAGUGAGAAGGUUCCUGGCCACUACCGCAGCGGUCAUAUCAUUCUUCAUCACGGAAUCCCCAACGGUAAGAGGACCAGUAGGGGAGACGAAGGAUGGGCGCCAUAUGUUGUCUGGAGAAGGCGGGGCUGCCUCUUCAACAAGGUUCAAGUCAAAACGACGGUCGGAGGGGCCAGACAUUUUCAAAGGUGUUGAAGAGAGAAGAGGUCGGACAAAUCAAGAUCUUAGAAGUGCAAGAAUGGAGCUUCUACUGGUGGAUAUUCAAGUGUGCUUUGGAACUUAAUGUCAGCCCCUAUAAAAAUCUGCACUCGACGAAGCUUCAGAAAUCGAAGAGGCGCCUGCUCAGAAAUCGAAGAGGCGUUUGCUUUCUCAAAAGCUGGGCUGCUCAGAGACCACGAGGGUCGAUCUCAGAAAUCGAAGAGGCGUUUGCUUUCUCAAAAGCUGGGCUGCUCAAAGACCACGAAGGCCGAUCUCAGAAAUCGAAGAGGCUUGCUUUCUCAAAAGCUGGGCUGCUCAGAGACCACGAGGGCCGAUCUCAGAAAUCGAAGAGGCACCUACUUUUCCAGCCUUGUCAGCACCUGUCACACGCACACUCAGCUUUGCGGAAAUUAUGGGCAUUCUGUCGAAGAUUUCUGGCGAAGUAGAAAGCACAUGAAUCGUACUGUUCAAUCACCCACUUCCCACACGCAACAGUAGCUCAUGGGUACCACAGAUAACUUUGCCAAAGUUCUCUGACAAAGUUGAGACACGUGAAGCUUGCAGCUCCCACUACAUCGCUCUGACCAAGAAGGGUAAAAGAAUUAGCAAAGAAACAACACUAACAAAGUUUAGACACAUAAAUUUUGAAGGUCUAGCUACCAUAUUAUUACCCACAAGGGUAAAGGAACAGUACCACUGCUGGAUAAUUGGAAAGUCCCGGUGUGUCAACCUCUGUGCUUCGUGGCAAGGUAGACUAGCAAACAUGCCCAACCUUUACUCACAUUCGAGAAAACACUCCCAACAAGAUUGCUUGCUCCAAAAUCGAAGAGGCACCGCCCUCCGAAUCUCGAGAGCCAGACUCCCAACAUGAUUACUUUCUCAAAAAUCGAAGAGAGGGUAAAGGAACAGUACCACUGCUGGAUAAUUGGAAAGUCCCUGUGUGUCAACCUCUGUGCUUCGUGGCAAGGUAGACUAGCAAACAUGCCCAACCUUUACUCACAUUCGAGAAAACACUCCCAACAAGAUUGCUUGCUCCAAAAUCGAAGAGGCACCGCCCCUCCGAAUCUCGAGAGCCAGACUCCCAACAUGAUUACUUUCUCAAAAAUCGAAGAGAGGGUAAAGGAACAGUACCACUGCUGGAUAAUUGGAAAGUCCCUGUGUGUCAACCUCUGUGCUUCGUGGCAAGGUAGACUAGCAAACAUGCCCAACCUUUACUCACAUUCGAGAAAACACUCCCAACAAGAUUGCUUGCUCCAAAAUCGAAGAGGCACCGCCCUCCGAAUCUCGAGAGCCAGACUCCCAACAUGAUUACUUUCUCAAAAAAUCGAAGAGACACCGCUCUCCGAAUCUCGAGAGCCAGACCCCCAGCAGGAUUGCUUUCUCAAAAAUCGAAGAGGCAUCGUUCUCCGAAUCUCGAGAGCCAGAUCCCCGACAGGAUUGCUUGUUCGAAAACCGAAGAGGCACCACUUUCCCAACUUCAAGAGCUGGAUCUCCUUGGAUAAAGCUUGUCUGUAAUCUUCACACGCAACAUCAGCUUUCCAGAUACCACAGACCACUUUUUCAAAGUGCUCUGACAGAGUUAAAACAUGUGAAGCUGGCAGCUCCCACUACCGUGCUAUGACCAAGCAGGGUAAAGGAAUAGCAUUAUUACUUGAUGUUAGGGAGACUCCUAUAUAUGUCGACCUCCAUCCCCAACGGACAGGCAGACCUGCAAAAAUGCUCAACCCUUCCUCUUAUCUGAGAGGGCACUCCCAACGAAGCCUUUCGAAAUAUUCAGCUUUCUUUCCCCCCGAUAAUACCUCUGUAAACAAGCUAUACUAGAGCAAGAAUAUCUCAUAUCAUCAGGGUUAAAAGCAAGAGUAUCCCAUAUCAUGCUUUUUCCCUGUCUUUUCCUUUGGCCUUGUUCUUACCUGCAAGACAAGGAGAAAGAGAGCAAUCAGUCAGCACUUGGAAUCAAGCUUCCAGCCAGGAACUGACUGCCUGGAACCCCUUACCUGAUUACUUACCUGGCAUUGCUCUCGAGUACUCAUCUUCAACAUCUUAUGCUUCCAGGGAAGAUACCGCAUCUGCCUGAGGAACAGAUAGGGCAAGUGAGAAGGAUACAAGGAAGCAUGUGGAGACAAGCGUAACAGCACACGUGCCGAUACAUCCAUUACUCUGUCAAAAGCAAAAGUAUCCCAUAUCAGCAGGGUCGAACGUACUCUAGAUUUGAUGGACUUGUUUUGACCCUCAAAUUCUUCAGUCGGCCUUAUACUCUGGAGGAAACCAGAAAACCCUCCAGCCCAGUUCAAGAAUAAGCCUGUGGAAAGUUACUUCUUCAAAAGCAAAAGUAUCCCAUAUCAUCUCUUCUCAUUUUUCUUCUCUUUAUCCUUCAUGCUGCCUGCAAGAUAGGGAGAAUGUGAACAAUCAGCCGGAGCUCUGAUUGCUUACCUUGUCUGUCACCUCUUUCAGCAGAUCCCCUAGCUCGGCGACUUGGGGGACUCCUACUACAUGGUUUGUAUCGCGCUUGACCAAGCCUGAAACUACAAGUAAGCUUCAAGUGACAAUUGAUACAUUACCUUGUGCAUCUCCACCAGUUACAGAUACCACCCCUGGAUGGAGGAAGAGUACUUCCAGAGAAGAUGCCACAUCUACCUAUGAGACAGAUAAGGAAAGUCAAGACGAUACCACACUCCGGUACUUAGAAGUUUCGUGGUUACGAGAUCAUUCUCCCACAAUAUUUCCUAAUGUCAUUUGUACUAAAUCAUUCACUUGUACUCACUAAAGGAGAGCUUGAACCUAUGUACUUGUGUAAACCCUUCACAAUUAAUGAGAACUCCUCUAUUCCGUGGACGUAGCCAAUCUGGGUGAACCACGUACAUCUUGUGUUUGCUUUCCUAUCUCUAUCCAUUUAUAUACUUAUCCACACACUAAUGACCGGAGCAAUCUAGCGAAGAUCACAAAAAAGUGACCGUUUUCGCUACCUAGGAUCUAUCUUGCAAGAGAACGGAGAAUUAGAUGGAGAUCUCAACCAUAGAAUACAAGCUGGAUGGAUGAAGUGUAAGAGUGCAUCCGGCGUGUUGUGUGACCGUCGUAGGCCACUGAAGCUCAAGGGAAAAUUUUAUAGGACGGCAAUAAGGCCAGCGAUGUUGUAUGGCACAGAAUGUUGGGCGGUGAAGCAUCAACACGUACACAAAAUGGGUGUAGCGGAGAUGAGGAUGCUUCGUGGGAUGUAUGGGCACACGAGAAAUGAUAAGAUUGGGAAUGAGGAUAUCCGAGGUAAAGUAGGAGUAGCCAAAAUUGAAGGAAAUAUGAGAGAAAAUCGGUUCUGGUGGUUUGGACAUAUGCAAAGAAGGCCUACUGACGCUCCGGUUCGAAAAUGUGACUACUGGACAGAGGUUCAGGACCGAAGGGGUAGAGGAAGACCUAGAAAAACUUUGGAAGAGACCCUAAGAAAAGACUUGAGUACUUGGAUCUAACGGAGGACAUGACACAAAACCGAGCGCAAUGGCGUUCUAGGAUUCAUAUAGCCGACCCCACUUAGUGGGAAAAGGCUUUGUUGUUGUUGUUGUUGGUUGAUUUUGUAUGGACGAUGUAUUAAUUUUUUUUUUUUUUUGGGAUUUUGUGUAUUGGGUAUUGUGUAGAACCAGCAAUGCAGGAUCUGAUCAGUCACGCCCGAAAAGGGGUUUGUUUCUCAAAUCACAUUAAUUAAUUAGAUUAUUAAUGUGCGUUGGAAGGCUCUUCAAUAUGAUUUCUAAUUUCUCCUUUCCAGCAUUCUCUUUUUGGUUUUUGGAGUAUGUAUGUGAUUUGUAUUUGAUUAUAGAAUAAAAAUUAAUAAAACACGAGAUGCAGCAAUUAAUUUGCAUCCUUAUGACAACACAUAUAUGAAAGUGCAUUCAAUUUCAAUGUGCGAAUGUGUGACAGGACAGGAUGUGCCUGCCUGCUGGUGGUGGUAUGCUUGCUGUUGUUUCUUGCGUUGUUAAUUUUUUGUGUGUUGAUUUGAUUAACAAUUCAAGCGUAUCUUAUUUUUUUUGUGUUGGUUAGCAGCCAGUUUUAUGGCCCCGAUCUAGUGAUGCUUCUCAGUGACUGGUAAUUGCAGUUCAUUGCCACCAGUUGGUCAGCUACCUGCUCUGAAAGAGCUCUACGUAGAAGGGAUGAAAGUUGUUAAGAGUGUUGGUGUUGAGUUGUACGGGGGAAAUCAACCAUUUCAAUGUUUAGAGAAGGUAAAGUUUCGGGAGAUGCCAGAGUGGGAGGAAUGGCAGCCUAGUCCAAGUGGAUGUGAAAGUCCAGACUUUCCUCAUCUUAAGGAGCUGAGGUUAUCCGAAUGUCCGAAGCUGAGAGGAAACUUGCCCACUCAUCUUCCCUCCUUGAAAACACUUUAUGUGAACAAGUGUGAGGUUCUACAUAAAAACAGGGCCAGUAAUACCCUGAACGUGGAAUCCUUACGAGGAUCUCUUGAAAAACUGACAAUAAAUGGAUGCCCGGGUCUCUCAUUGUUACUAGAGUCGAUGGAGACGCUGCCGUCGCUUCAGAAGCUUGAUAUUGAUAGUGUUGGUGGGAAAGAGUUGUUGGUGCAAAUGGUGCACAACAGCAAUCGUCUUCAAAGUUUUGACUUUAUAUAAAUGUUCCUCACCCUUGUCGUUCCCUACAAAUGGUCUGCCCACCACGCUGACGUCACCGAGCAUAACAGAUUGCAAGAAAUUAGAAUUCCUAUCACGUGAGAUGAUGGCCAAAUUGACUUCCCUUCAGUCUUUGCGUCUAUCCAACAGCUGUGAAUGCAAAGGCUUGAGUAAUUUUUGUGAGUCUGCUGUUUGGUUUUUUUUUCUUCAUUUUAGAGAUUUUUCUACUGUUUGGUUUUUGGGUUUUGUCUAAUUUUUGUGGUCUGCUUUAUAGAUUGUUCUCUUUGGAAGCUUCUUUCCAGCCUUGACCUUCUUCUUGCCUGGUGCCUUCUCAUUGAGUAUUGGAGGAGCAUUAAAACACAGGUGUGUGUGUUUUGUCGAUGUAAGAGAUGAACGACAUAAAAACAUCCGUCUUUGUAUUUUUUUGUGCUUUUUCUAACCCAUCAAUUUCUUUUGAGUCAACCAAAUAGUCCCAAAUUGCAACUUAUGUUGUGAGGUAUUAUUGUCUAAAAUUAAGUAUGCAUGUAUAUUUUAUGUUUGUGCGCGCGCACACCUCCGCAUGGUGUUAAUCUCUGUGGGUCAUCUAUGUAUAUGUAGACAUAUCUAUAUGUGUAUGUGUGGAAUGCAACAUAUCGGAUUUAGGUUAUACUGUGCAUAGUUUUAUUGCCUGUUAUUAUCUACGAUAUCACUAUGCCAUUUCUAUGCAGGCUCUGAAAGUUAUCCAUGAGCUUUAUAAGCACUUACCAUAAUUUAAGCAGUCUGUUUUGGGUUCUUUUUCAUUAGGUCAUUAGCUACAGAUUAAUGGAGAAACGAGGACCAUGCAACUGAUUUGGGUUCUUUUUCUAAUUUUCUGAUUUUGGGGUUUUGCAGGGAGUACUGAUGUACUGAUUUUCUGGGAUUUUUUUUGUCCUUGCAGGAUUUUUGGUCUUUGGAAUGGGUAUGUGUUGUUUUUAACGUUUCAGUUCUAGCUUGUUCCGUUCUUCGUUGCUUCGUGAUUCUCAUUUUUUAGUGUUGGGUGAUGGAAAUUUGUUCAAGUAGUUGGUAGUUUUUUUAGAAAGUUGGCAUUUUUAGUUAUAUUUUCUGUUUAAUCCUAAAUGUUAGACUGGAAAAUCAUUGAAAUGACGGUUUUUUAAAAACUCAUAAUUUUUUUGUUCUGGGAGUUAAAAGCAUCUUUUCCAGAUUGGUUAUAAGGGUUAUGUUCUCUUCAAUUGGUUCACCUAAUUUUGAUUAGUUUUAAGUUUUGUCCUUUUAAGUUUUGUCUUUUAAGUUUUGUUCUUUAAGUUGUCUUUUAAGUUUGUUCUCUAAGUUUUGUCUUUUAAGUUUUAUCUUCUGUGCUGUAAUGAGAGAUUUCUGUUGGCCUUUCGGAUUUUGGCAUGGGAAAGUUCACUUAUUUGUCUAAUUAGAUUGUGUAUGCCUUCGAUUCUUUAUUUAAUUGUUCUGUUUGUGUUCAGGUGUGAUGAUCUAAAUUUCAUAUGUUUGGAAUUAUUCACUUAACACCAAUUUGUUACAUUCAGAUCUCCACCCCACAUUUCACUAGUUCAAAUUCCAUAGAAGUCGGUUACUGCAGAUUGCGUCUACAAUUAGAUCAGAGAUCAACUGCUCUUUUGUUAUCCUGCAGAAGAUUGCUUUUGGGAAGGAUCUGAAGUAGUUUCUUUCUGUAAGUUUAUUCCCAUGUAGCUCUGUCUUUUCUAAUUGAUGGUGUUGAUAUUACACUGUAAUUCAUGAUGAUGAUUUAAUUGUUUAUUGAUUUGUAAUUGUUUGUGAAUAAUGUGGCAUAUAUGACUUGCAAUAUGUGUUUGUAUGAAAGGGAUGACAUAUUAUGUUGCUGACUUAAUUGUUUAUGUUUUUCAUAUUUGCGAAUGGUGUUAUGAUCAAUUAGGUGAUUGCUGACCUGUGACUUUGUUUGGAGCUCAAAUUUUGUGAGCAUUACAUUGGAUUGUUUUGAUGUUGUUUUGGUUGACAAUGCAGGGAUAGGAGAAACAAAGAGGAUGACACUUAUAACUGCCCUUCCCCAUCGGCCGUCUUCAAAUUUGGAUCACAAGAAGGGAGCAACAUAGGUGUUUUCCUUCUUCAUUUAGAUAUGGUUAGUGUAAAUAAUUGGACAAAAGAGCCAAACAAACCCUGUUCUCUCAAAUGGAGUCGAUGAUGUGGUCGAUGGCCACCAGCCCCAACUCAAGAGUUUGGCCUUCAUAUAAUUGGAUUGUAGUAUAAUUUUAUUUUGGUUCAUUUCUUUUUUCCUUUAUAUAAGUGCAGGUGUUGUGAUGUUUUGAAUAAAGGGUGAUGAAAGGUGGUUCACACACUUCCUCCUUACUUAAAGCAAGUGGAGAUGAUGGGUUGUAUAAAAAGAAAAACUUGCCAGGUACUUCGAUUUUCUAUUUUAUUAAUUAUUGUUUGGUUUUCCAAAUGUUGUAUUCACAAAGAGAGACCAAUGAUGUCUUUGAGAAACAAGUUUCUUUGUCUACAUUGCGAGAAUUUGCAGUUUGCAACUUUCAUUGGUUAUUAUAUUUGAUUGAGUUAAACUUGGAUUUCUGGAUUUUGACUUUUUCGUUUGUUUCUUUGUUGUAGAGUUGGCUUCAUUUCAUUCCAGUAACUCUAUUCCAGUAACUCUCUAAAAUAGGGCCAAGAACUCACUAAAUAGGUAGUCAAGAGGAAUUCAGUUUUGCCUUCAAUUUUUGCCUUCUGUUUACAUUCUUCCUGGAUGCACUCUCACCGCUUCUCUCGCUUACCACUUUUGUCUCACUCACCGCUUCAUCUCUUCUGUUGCUUACAAGGUCGUGUCAUAUAUUUUUUUAAUUUUUGUGUGUUUAAUUUAUUGAAUAUUUGAAAAAAGAGAUAAAAUUUUCAAUUUACAAUUACUGAUAUGAUGUUUGUUUUGAAAAUCAUUAAGGUGAAUGGAGAGAUUUACAACCAUGAAGAGCUGAGGAGCCGUUUGCCAAAUCAGAUUUAUAAGGUCUCAUCAAUUAUAAAUAAACGACUUUUCAUUCCCAAUGACCUUUAUCGUUUUUCUUAAUGGGUUAGCUGAACAUGAGGUAGAUGCUGACUUUAUAAAAUAUGAGAAUGUUUUAGGAUUUCAUUCUAAUUUUUUGGCUGUUUGAUUACUUUGCUUUUCGUAAUUUGUUUUGCUUAUCGUCAAUUGGAUGGGACAACAUAUUUUUGUAACCAGUUUGUACUUUUUUUUUUUGUGGAAACUAACCAGUAUGUACUUUUACCAUCUCGGUUUUGAUGGAAUUGGAGCUUUCAGUAAUGGGUUCUGAGGGAAUUGGAGUUUUGAGUAAUGGGUUUUUUAACAACUAUAGUAUCAUUUGUGAUUCUUUUAUUUAUAAGAUAUUAUAUAGGAAACUGUUAUUAGCACUCUAAUAAUCUUAUUCUACACUCGCGACAAGUGUAUUUUUCUUUCUAAUUAUGGAAAGUUUGGAGUGCAAAAUGAGAAUUUUGGAGUGCCAAUAACAAUUCCCUAUUAUAUAUAGCUCUACUAAGAAGGCGACUGUAUAUGUCUUCAUCCUGUUAAAUUGUAUAUGGCUCUUGAUGUCGGCUGAAUUAAAUCAAAAUGAAAACCAAGCUGCUGAUCUUACCAGCCCAUAUCACUUAUCACUUAUUUAAAUUAUUUGAAGAUGCAUACGUGGAUUGGUGAUUUUGUUGGAUUCACUUAGCUCAAAUAUAUGUUAUCUGAGUCGCUACAUUUGAGAAUGUGAUUCUGUUCCUACCACCAUUUUGCCCACUUUUUGUGGAAAUUAUUCAUUCCUGUUGUGAAUAAUAUCCCCGGCAGCGAAGUGCGGGCGCAUUUUCUAGUUUAAGUUAAAUCACACAAUGGGUCAUCAAUAAUGACAAACUCGUCAUUUAUGCGAGUCAAACAUGAGACCACCUACCUACUAGUUUAGUGGAAUACCACAAGUGACAUGUUGAUACCUUUAAAUCUCAUAUAAUGGAUUGCAGAAUUAGGAUAUACCUAGUCUAAUUUAGUCAGUGCGUGAACCCGAACAAUUAACCAGGGUUUUAUUCUUGCUUGAAUGUUUGUAAUAUGUUCCUAGUUUGACAAGGCAAUUAUAUUUCCGACUACAAAAGUUAUUAAUUUAGUCGAGAAUUGACGCACCUGAAAUGGUGUGAGGAAAACAUGUAGACACAUCAGACGCGGUCCAUCCUGAGCAUUGUGUAUUAAGGAUAAAGCUCAAAGCCAUACAUGAGGGCAUUGUGUAUGUCUUUAUAAGAGAAGUUGCUGUAGUCCUCAACGUGGCCGGCAGCCAAACUCAUCCACUCUACACUGCAACCCUCAUCCAAAUCCCAUGCUUCCAACCUGCCCCCGACAUAGUCAUCGACCAUGACAUAGCUAUACGUUUUUGGUUGACUCGAAGAAGAAGAAGAAGAAGAAGUAUUAUUCAAGCAUGGAGCAGUGUCCACGUACAGAGAAGAAUUCGAUGGAUUCGAACACUUCAAGUAAUAUAUAGAUAGAGAAUUGAUGUCAUAGGUGGGCCAAUAUAGAGAAUCGAUGUCCUCGAUGGGCGGAAUAUUUUGAGACAUGGAAGAGCAAUUGUUGUUGUCAAGCCCAGGAUCUAGAAGUCGGAUUGUUUUGUUAAUGUAGUUGAUUGCCUGGACAUAGUAUUUUCCGGAAGAAGGUAGGUCUAGUACUGUAAUGUUGCUCUCACAGGACAGAGUAAACCUUACGUCGCCACAGUACUUUGGAUCAUCGUUCAGUCGAAAAGGAUGGCUUAUGUUGUGGAUAUGGCCGCAGGAUGAAGUGCAGGACUUGGCACUACUGUUGUCAGCGUUACAAGUUUCACUGCAAAAGCAAAGAAGAAGAAAGGCUAAACUUAAGGUGAAGGACCUGGUUCCACUGAUUUCCAUUGCUCUGAGAGAGAGAGAGAGAGAGAGAGGGCACUAUAGCUUAAACACCAAGGAGUUAUAUAAUAUGGGAGGGGUUAAAGCACCUCGCUUAAAGUUGCAGUAAGCCCGUCAAAUAUCCUAGGGAAAAGUCGGUCAAUGCUGUCCUAUAGAGAAAAGUCGGCCUUGAUGUUUGACACGGUCACACUCUCUCUCUCUCUCUCUCUCUCUCUCAUUGACGAGGGACACUGUAAUUGAAAAAAAAAAUUGUUAUUCAGAGAUAGAUCUUGAAAUUCUUAUUUUAUAUAAAAAAAAGGGGUAUUUAGAUUUUAGGACCUAUAUAAGAUAAUUUUUAGAUUAUAAGGUUUCAAAAUCUUAUUUUAGUCCCUAAUUUAAUAUUCAUCGCCACAUCAUAUUAUAAGAUACCUCUAUUACCUACCAUAUUUACAAACUUUGCCAUUUAAAUUGUCAACCUAUUCUAUAAUUAAGGCUUAAAUAUAUUCCGUUAAUAAACCAUUCGUCAAUAAGAUAAAUCCAACUAUGGUAAAUUAUACUAAUUUAUACUUGCUGACAAACAAAUUAAGUCUAUAGUAAUUUUAGGUCAGUCACCUUAAGAAGUCGAAGAUGAAAAAAUCAAAUACAAAACAAUAGGUUAAAAAAAUUAAAUAAUAACCCUUAAUAUAUAUAUAUAUAUAUAUAUAUAUAUAUAUCACAAAAAAAAAGUAUAACAACUCCUUAUUGUCUAUAUAUAGGAAUUGCAUAAGUGUCGGUACAUAUGUGUAGGUACAUACAUGCACAUAGGUACGGAAGUAUCGGUAUGGAAGUGCCGGUACAUACGUACACAUAGGUACGAAAAUAUUGAUACGUUAGCAUCGGUACAAAAGUAUCGGUGCGGAAGUGUCGAUACUUAUGUACAUAUAUAUAGGUACGCAAAUAUUGAUACAUAAACAUCAAAAGAAAAAAUCGGUAGAUUCGAUGUAUGAGAAGGUAAAAAUAAAUCAUCAACACUAGAAAAAAAUGAUAAAAGUAAAUCAUGCACUAUUAGAUGCAUAAGAAGAAGAAAUAUUAGAUGUGGAUGGUGGCCCUAGCCCUCUCUUCUAACACGGUUGAAGAUAAUUUUUUGGGUUGGACAAAAAGUUUCAUUUUUAAGGAGAACCAUUUAUGUUAGCAAUAAAACUGAAAAGUUAUAAAUAAAAUAAAUAUAAGACAUUAUAAUUCACUCAAGGAUAAUAUAGGAAGAAAAAAAUUACAUAAAAGGAAUUAACUCUGACAUUAAAUAUAAAUGCUGACUUGGACAUAAGUCAAAGGACUAUAAUUAGUUUUUUAUCUUGGUUAAGGUUUUAGUCUAAAGAUAAUCUUUUUCAAGGAUUAAUAUCUAGUUUCCUAUAAAAAAAAACACCUAAUAUUAAUCAUUCAAAUGAAAUUGUUAAAAUUAAGUAUAAAUAAUACAUAAUGAAAACUGAACACAUACAAUCAACGGUCACGACCAUGAAAUCCUCCGGAUCCUCAGAAAAAAAUCCGACGAUGAUCUUUUUCUGUGUAAAAUAAUUUGAGGGUAUAAUACUGGAUGUGCGAUUAAACCGAAGAACCCACCCACCUCCAUCUUCUCUGACCAACUUGAACCCAGCCACUACUACAUGUCAUCCCGACAACCCACUCUCAGCUUCCCAAACCGCCAUUUUUCACCCAAUGGAACAUUUAAAGAAAAAAUCCAUCUGCAAAUCGAAAACCACCGAAAAAAAUUAAAUCAGAUACAUUGGAAAAAACGCAAAACUCAAUGGAACAACACUGGCGUGGAAGAGAAAAAAAGCAGAAGGUGAGAAUGGAGAGAAAGAAGCGAACGGAAAGAAAAAGCAAAGAAGAGGUUGGAAACGGAACAACAGAAGAACAAUAGAAGAACAGAAAUGGGUAUGGGAAACGGAACAACAGAACAAAAAGCAGGCGGUGUAUAGAGCAAGAAAAGCAAACCUCACGAUGACCAACACGUGCUAAGAGAGGCCCCGGUUCACUGUGUAUCACAUUUUUUAAUAUUUUUUUUGGUCUUCCCACCGGCUAUACAUGGGAUUCCAAAAUUAAGAAGGUAUAAAUUUUUAUUGUUUCUUGUGCCACAAACCAUGUGGCCCAGUCUUAAUCACAUUUUUUAAAUAUUUUUUUUGCUCUUCCCAUCAGCAGUACAUGGGUUAAAAAAAUUAGGAAAGUAUAAAUUUUUAUUGUUUGUUGUGUCACAAACCACGUUGCCCGGUUUUAAUCACAUUUUUUUAAUAUUUUUUUGUCUGCCCACCAGCUAGGUUUAAAGAAUUAAAAAAGGACUAAAAGAAAGACUCCACAGAUGGAGGAACAUGGGAAUAGAAAGGGCAAAUUUGGGAUUUUACUGUACAAAAAAGACAAAAAGUAACUGCUGAAGACUAACUUGAGGGGCAUUUUGGUCUGCACACUGCCCUAGAACAGUAACCAUCGGAUUGGGUUUUAGUAUAUAUAGAAUAUGUUUAGAUAAGGACAAUAAACUUAGAAUUUUGCCAAAAGUCAGAAUUUAUAAAUUGAUACAAUCAAUUCAUUUGUUUGGAUUCAUAAACAUAGAAAUUUAGACUUUCCGCGUGAGAAAAAACUUGGAAUUUGGGACCUUCAAUUCUCAUGUUUAAAUUUCAUGUAAAUAGGUGUCAUUUAUAAAUUUCAGUAAGUGAGAGUUUAAAAAUAACAAACAUGUAUUCAAAUUUCAUUCCUCCUUUGGUUAACCAAAAAAGAAAAUUUAUAAAUUCUAGAAAAUAAAAUUUCUUUAUUUUAAUUUCUGUUAUUUUAAAAUUCUUAGGGCUUGUUUGGUAUUCUACUUGAAUCCAACUUUUUAAACUAAAAAAUAAUUUUCAAGUUUUAGGCCUUAAAAACUUAUUUGGUAGAACUAUUUAAAAAAACUGAACUUAAGACUAACUAAAAAAUAUAAUAUAUUAUCUAAAAACACAAAAAAUGAGUUUUUAGAAUUUUUAAACUUAAAUUCACUCAUUUCUUUUCUCUCCCUCCUCCCCUCUCACUCCAAAUCUCUCUCUCUCUCUCUCUUUUCUUCUUUCUCUCUCCCCUUCUCUUUUUUUUAACCUUUUUUUGUCUCUCAUCUAAUCCGCUCUCUUCAUUUUCUCGGUUCUUUCUCUCACUCAUAUUCCUCUCUAUCUCCUCCAAUUCUCUCUCUUCAUUCUUUUUCAACCAAUAAUUUCUUACUUUUUUCCUCUUCUCUCCUCUUGAUUCUCUCUCUUCAUUCUUUUUCAACCAAUCAUUUUUUACUUUUUUUCCUUCUCUCCUCUUUCUCCCUCGACUUCCUCUUUUUGGAUCUCUUUGUUCAGUUUGAGCUGUAAGAUUUAAAAUUAUUUUAAAUCGUAUACCAAACAAGUUUUUGAGUCUUAAAGAAAAUUGUUUUUCAAAAAAUGUUCUUAAGAAAUGUUUUGAGAAAUGAUAAAAAAUUUCAAAUAAGAUACCAAACAAGCCCUUAAUAAUCUUAAAUUUUCCCAUCCAAACAAAAAAUUUUCUUGUCAUAGAACUUUCAAUUGGAAUCAAAGAAGACAAUCUUUUCACAACUAAUUAUUCUCACCAAAAGCAAUUUUUAUUUUAAAGCAAUCAAUACCAAACUGCAAAAGCAAAGUAGGAAGGCUAAAAUUAAGGUGAAGAACCUGCUUCCACUAAUUUCCUUAGGAGGGAGAGAGAGAGGGGGAGAGAGAACCAAGCGAGCGAGCAGAGAGAGAAAACACCAAGUAGUAUUCUAAUGUUGGUGGGGUUAAGUCACCUUCCGUGAAGUUGCAGUAAGGACUUCUAUCCCAGAGAAAAGUCAGUAAAUGAUGUUGACACAGUCAACGACAAAGACAGAAUUGUGUAACCAUAAUUCUCUCUCUAUCUCUUUUUCAUUAUCGGAUGACAGUGUAACACUACUACGUAUAUAUCUCUGCUCAAUUAUUGAAAAGAAAAAUCCAUGUGCAUUAUUUUUAUUAUUAUUAUCUCAGAAAUGCAGAAAUUGAUCAUCUCUUCCUUUUGCAUAUUGAUACUGGUUUUCUUCAAACUAGUUGAAGCAAGUCAAUAUGUGUGCGCGAAAUCCAACUGUAGCAAUGAUCAAAGCGGGGCUAUCCAUUUCCCAUUAAACAUCAGGCGCACACAUCAUUGUGGUAAUUCUGGGCUUGAAUGCAAUGGGAGAUAUGAACAGCAAAUACUAAUAAAAUUAUUUGUCAAAGACAUAGAUUACAAGCGUCAGGAAAUCCAAGUCUAUUCCCCAAGUAACUGCCUGCUGCUAAAGCAUGUUGAAAUCCCAAACAUGCCACCCUCUCCCUUCAACGUGUCAGUCGAUGACUACAUGAGUAACCUUACCUUAUUCAGUUGUCCUACUUCUUUUGCAAGACGAGAUACGGAUGUGUAUCAAGUCCCCUGCCUCGGCGACCGUGGCAAGAGAACUUAUGCCAUUUAUUCUGAUUAUGGUUUUAGAACUCUCUUCCGGAAUCUACAAUCUUGUACAAAAAUGUAUGAUGUUUUAUCAGUUCCAAUACCCUCUGAAUAUUAUGUUCUUCGUUUCAAAUGGUCUAUACCAAAUUGCAGAAAAUGUGGAGAGGGAAAGAGGUGUGAAUGGCAGAACAAUGAAAUUAAAUGUAUUCAAUGGAGGAAACCAAGUAAGGAUAACAUAUGUAUUCAUUGCUAGUUUUAAACAUCUUUACAUUUGUUUCUCAGUAAUUAUUGUUUAAAACAUGUCCAAUCCAUUUUUACUAUGAAUAUUAACUGACAGUCUCAUUUGAAUUUGCCUUUAUCUUUUACAGGCAACACAUGGAAAUUAGUGGUCACAGGGGGAAUCCUGGGUUCUUUGCUUCUUGUUCUACUGAUGAUUGCAGCAUAUCGGGUAUAUAGCGUUGAUAGAAAGAAAAAAGAGAUUCGAUUACGAAUUGAAAGAUUCUUGGAGGAUUACAAAGCACUCAAACCAAGCAGAUACUCGUACGCAGAUAUUAAGAGGAUUACAAAUCAAUUCAAGGACAAGUUGGGCAAAGGAGCCUAUGGAACUGUCUUCAAAGGAAUGCUCUCUUCUGAAUUCUUUAUUGCUGUCAAAGUCCUCAACAGUUCCAAGGGAGAUGGGGAAGAGUUCGUAAAUGAAGUGCGAACGAUGGGUCAUAUCCACCACGUAAACGUGGCUCGCUUGGUUGGAUUUUGUGCUGAUGGAUUUGUACAAGCUCUUGUUUACGAGUUCUUCCCCAUUGGUUCCCUGCAGGAUUUCAUUUCAUCUGCAGAUAGUAAGAAUUCAUUUCUUGGUUGGGAUAAGCUGCAAGAUAUUGCCCUAGGCAUAGCCAAAGGAAUUGAAUAUCUUCACCAGGGAUGCGAUCUACGAAUCCUGCAUUUCGACAUCAAACCCCAUAAUGUUUUGCUAGACCAAAACUUCACUCCAAAAAUUUCUGAUUUUGGUAUGGCCAAGUUAUGUUCCAAGGAUCAAAGCUUGGUGUCCAUGACUACAGCUAGGGGGACCAUGGGCUACAUUGCACCUGAAGUGUUCUCCAGGAAUUUCGGAAAUGUGUCUUACAAGGCAGAUGUCUAUAGCUUUGGAAUGCUGCUGCUUGAGAUGGUAGGAGGAAGGAAGAAUAUUGGUUCAAUCACGGAUAACACUACAAAUGAAAUUUACUAUCCACAGUGGAUUUAUAAUCUUCUAGGGGAAGGGGAUGACCUACGAAUCCACAUUGGGGAAGAAGGAGACGGUAAAAUUUCAAAGAAACUUGCAAUUAUAGGGCUAUGGUGUAUCCAGUGGCACCCGUCGGAUCGUCCUUCCAUGAAAAUAGCGGUUCAGAUGUUAGAAGGAGGAGGAGAAAGCUUGAGUAUGCCGCCUAAUCCCUUUGUGCCUACUGGUUCUACAACUAGGAAUGCAAGACGCCUAGAGCUAGAAGCUAUUGCUGAAUUAGAGUAAAAUGUAUAUGCAGAUAUAUAGACGUAUAGAUAUAGUAAUAUUUACAUUGAAUAAGAUACCGUUUGAUAACCAUUUCGUUUUCAGCUUUUAAUUUUUAUUUUUCACUUUUUUGAAAACUGAAAACUAAAAUCUUGUUUGGUAAAUACUUUUAGUUAAAAAAAAAUGAAGACUGAGAACUAAAAAGUGAAAGCUCAAAGGAAGUAGAUUAAAAGUAGUUACCAAACAAACCGGAAUCUCAAUAAUAAAAAAGAUUGAAUUGCACAAUGCAAUCCAAACCAAUCAAAACAUUAAAAUAGCAAAAAAAUUAAAAUUCUAGUUGAUUAGAUUCUGAACAUAGUAAAAAUGAACAGAUCCGAUGAAAAAACAAAAAAUUCUCAGAUAAAAAUAGGGAUAAAGUAGAAUAUUUAUAAAUAGCUCAUUGUCUCUUAUGUCAUCAAUUAUUUCUAUAGUAUAUACAGGUUUUUGGAAAAAUUAGGUUCCCAUCCCUUAUUUUCAUAUUACAUUGAUUGAAAUCUUAUUAUUUUUCUAUUUUAGAUCAAGGUCCCUUGACUUAUUCCAUGUCAUCAUUUUAGUAUUUAAAAUAUUACACGUCAUCAUAAACGAAAUCUCAUCCCUUUCUGCAUUUAAGGCAAAAUAAACUAUAUAAGUAAGUUUAAAACAAGGAAAAUCCAUUUGAACUCCUCCAUUCUUCUUCUUCCCUUAUGCACAUCUGGAAUCUACAACACCCCAAACCCAAUUUUCUCCAUUUUUCUUCAUUCCUGAAUUGAUCCAAUGCAUAUAUGUUGAAUAAACCUAUUGUGAUUAAAAUACAAAUUAGCAUCAAUGAUUUUAUCGGCUUGUGAGAUUUGUGUGGCAUAGGCAAGGCAAUGCAGGCAUCGCUUUAUCAAAGAAUCUGGUUGAUUCAAACAUGCAGAGACUGUAGAGUGAGCGGGCUAUGUAAAAACUGUACCAUUUUGAAGUCAUUUUCUUUUGUUCUUUACAUUUUUUUUUCUUUUAUUAUUAUAUAUUAGUCUUGAUUAUUCAAUGUCUGGUUGGCUACACUUAUAUCCAUGGGUACAUUUUUAAUCUACAUGUUUCGUUCUAAUAUAUCUAUUGCUAUAAUAUGUUUUGGUUGGUUCAAAUUUGUUUUACAUAAAUAUAUGGGUACAAAGUUUUUGUAGAAUAUUAUGUAAAAUGGUUUUUAAGGUUGCUGCAUUUUACGUACCCACAUAUGCAUGUCUAUAAAACAAUGUGGUAUGAUGUACAUUCUUUUCUUUGAGUUUUUAAAUGUACCCAUGAGUUUUCUUGUAAAUUCGGUAUGUACCCAUAUGCUAUUUAUGUUAUGGGUACAUACAUUAUUUUUGGUCUAAGUUCAUGGGUACAUUACUUUUGUAUGUAUGAAUUCAUGGAGUACAUUAUUUCCCUUAAUACUACUCAAUAAAAUUCACAAAAAUAUGUGUAGCGUGCAUGAUUUUUUAUUGUAGAAAUUGUUUGUUUUUUUUAAGUCUCAUAAUUCAUGAAAUUUGUACAUAUAUGAUCACAUAAAUUUUUUAAUUUUAUUAAAUUUCUUUUAGACUUGAUCGAUUGAUUGAAUCUCAUAAUACUAGGAUUUUGAAUUACAUAAAUUCUUGGAUUUAAAUCCCUUAAAUGUUGAACUGCAAUCAAUAUUUUAAAUUACAGUUUUUUAUUUAAGAUAUCAAAAAGAUGACAUGGAAAUAUAGUAAUACUAAAAUGCUGAGGUGUACAAAGUCAAAGGACUUUGAUAAAAAAAUAAAAAACAAUAAGAUUUCAAUCUAACAAUUGAAUUGACUAGGGAUCGGAACCAAAAUGACCCUAGAUUUUUAUUGAGUUUAAUCUUAAUAAAAAAAAGACUUCUUGUAUCACAAAAAAUACAAGAACCAUUAUUUGAAUGAAAUAAAAGCUAUGGGAUGGAGAUAUAAAUGGAUCCUUUAUUUCACAAUUGGAUUAUAUUUAUUUGAUACACUGUUGUCAAUAUGAAUGCUGAGAAAAGACUACAAAAGAAAAAAACAAUUUAUAAAUAUAACUAACAAUUCCAAUUUCAAUCAAUUAGACAAUUAGAAUUAUAAGAAGAAAAAAAAAAGAAAUUUCAGUUUUCAGUUUAAAAAAAAUGAAAAAAAAAUGGUUAUCAAAGCCGUCCAAAUAAUACAAGUUUGUUUCCACUCUUUGUUUAAGCAUAGAUGCCAAUUUUUGUUUAUCAUUUUUUUAACCUUUAUUUUUUGUUACAGUAGAAGCCCUGGAAGGAAAUCGAGCACUGGACUUACCAAACUCUUAACUUAUUUCUACACACCAAGAGCUUGAUUUCGGUUCUUAUUUAUACUAUUUAAGCUAUAAGCCGUGACAAGAAUUAGAGAACUAUCAUUUGUUGUGAGCUUCAAUUGGUUAGCACUUUGUAUGUUUUCAUUAGAAUAUAUAUUUCACUUAGACUUUCUUAUUAAAAAAGGGAUCAGCUGGUGACUUUACCACGACAAUCCAAUUUUAUGGGGGUCAUGAAUACUCACAAAGGCAUUUCAGCCUCCCCCUAUAUCUACCGUCGCGUGAUUCACCAUUGUCAGAAAUCGAACCCAAGACGUGUUGUAUAGAAUACGGGCCUAAAAUUCAUUUCUAACCACUGAGUCACCCCGCGUUUGAUUAUAUUUCACUUAGACUUAUCUUGCGGUAUAGCAUGUCAUCCCCGCCCAAGUUUUUCCCUUCGCGUUGACUUUGGGAUACCAAAACUUGCCAAACAAAGUAGAUUGAUUAGUAAGCGAAGCUAAUUAUUCGACUAAACAUUGUUUAGAAUUUUAAUUAAAAGAACCAAUAUGAAUCUGUUUUUUUUUUUUUUGACAAACUAUAACGUUAAGGAGUUAAAUUGUUAGUUGUUAAGAGUACGGGGAUAGGUGAGGAUCGAACCUCCACCAUAGUGCAUAGACAUUAUUGGUUCUACAACUGCUGUAAAUCACAUAAAACAAAACGUAAUACUUUGAGGAUGGAAGACACUUCGUGGAUAGCGGGCAAUCAACACUAUCAGUUGCUAUCCAAAACUUGGAAUUAUGUUUAUUGUCCGAAGGAUUUUUCUUCCAUUAAAUUGCUAAGGAAGAUGAGGAUGGGUAGAGUGUCUAAAUGUCAAGGUUGAUAAGAACGUGUAUGGUGUUCAGCUUGCGAUUGAGAUUUGUUGAGUGGCACAACAAACCACAUAAAAUUUUCUAAAUGAUAAGCUUGAGUAUAAUUUUUUACCACGUAUUUAUCUUUAAAAUCAUUAUAAUUAGAUUUUCUCUUAAUUAAUAUAGACCGUUAGAUUCAUCUAAUGACCCAAGUUUUUUUCCUCUUUUCUUUCUACUCUUUUUUUCUUCUCUGAUUUUCCAUUCACCGUGUAGCAGUCGUUCUUCCCCAACUAAGUUUCUUAUUUUUCUUCACAAAAAAAUUGUAGAAAAUAUUAAGAAAAGAAAAGUCAUCAAUAUCAGACUCGACCAGGUAAUCGUUCCAACCUUCCCAGCAACUCUCAGUCUUAACAAGGCACCAAAUUUUCUCCGCCACCUAACUCGUCAUUCAUUUAUGGGUGUUUCAAGCUUGGUGAAAAUUGAUAGAGUUCCAUGUGUGUACACGGAUGUGAACAUAUUGGCCACUCUCUAAUGUGUUGGUUUAUCACAAAGAACCCAGAUACAAAAUUUUAAAAAGCAAACAAUUACAACUUCUCAAAUAUUAUCUAACAAACUUUCAAUGAAAUGUUGCUCAUAAUUGAAAAAAGGUUGACGAAGGACGGAGUUGGAGUUAUUUUAGAUGGGGAAGAGUUAAAAGAAGGAAGCACCAUUUAAUUAAUAAAAGCGAUUGGAGAAAUAGUAAUUCAAUGGUGGGCGUUUUUAAGGUGUGGACCUUGUAUCACACCCCGAUUCCAACAUACAUUGAGGAUCAACACGUGACAUGGGGACAUAGGGGACAUAAAUCUUAUGUAAGAUACAAAAUGAAAUACUAUAAAUAAUAUCCCAAAAUGAAUAUGAUAGUGGGUUCACCCCUAUAAAAUAUAUACGAGUUUGUACAUUCACAAAAAAAAAAAAAAAAAAAAAAAAAAAACACAUACACACACACAAAACUCUCGCUAGGCCAAGACUUGCCCAUGGUGCUCAAAGGAAAGUCCCAAAAGAAAGAGUACAAUGAAGGAUAAAGGGGUAACCUAAACACUCCAAGUCUCUGAUCUCUGCACUGCUACCCUCACCGGCUCCUCGUAAUCUACUCAGACCUAUCACAUGUACAAACAGUGCCUACAUUGUGGGAAUGGUGCAUCGGGCAAACAAAAACCCGGAUAAGCUGCAAAACUCGUGUGAGUGACAAUAAUGCAACAUAUGUGAUAAUCAAGAAAAACAUACCAUCGAUCGCAGUUUAUAAACCUCAAAUAUAACUUCAUACUUAUGAAAUCAUAAUCAAGUCACUGAAAACUUCGAAUGAGUCACCCAGACAUCCAACGACUUUUUAAAAUCAAAUCUCAGAGAUUCCAAAACUAUCAUUCACAAAUACACUAAAAACUAGGGCUAGAGUGACACAGUUCGGCCAAAGACUACAUAAGUAACCAAACAAGAAGUGGCCCCCCAUAGCGGAUUAACCAAGCAGAGCCACUCCUGAAAAAGUAACCAAGUAGGUAGUGACCCCCAUCACGGAUUAACCAAGCAAAGUCACUCCUACGAAACUGUUAGGUAGUGAUCACCCAUCGCGGAUUAACCAAGCAUGAUCACCCCUAAGUACGUAUGGCCAUACCUAAGAAAUAAGGAUCGCCCACCGCAGAUUAACCAAGCACGAUCCAAAAAUAUUAUGGGUCCCCUAUCACGGAUUAACCAAGCAUGACCAUCCAUGUACCACUACUACAUGGUGUAAAUUCGGUGUCACCUAACCUCGUGACACUAGGGUAACGGUCCUUUACUAGCCCUCACGUUUUUCAAACAUUUCAAAUAUAUAAUUUAAAACACAAUUCAUAAACAUUUCGAAUAAGGAAGUCACAUAGUGUUUAAUAAUGUAGGUCAAUGGAAAACUUUAAAAACAAUUAUUUAGCAUAAAACAUAUUUUAGAAAUCCAUGUUGUAUCCACAAAGUAUACUAGCAUGGGAGAUUUUCAGGGUAAUAACUCUAUCAUAUAUAUUAAAGUCACUCACCUGGAGUCCACACUAACGCACCCUAACACGAAUAUCAAGACGUCACGUACUAUCAUCUGUAACAUCCCACAUCAACCAACGGAGAGAGGGUGAUGUGCCUUAUAUGUACAUGCCCACCUCCAUAGCAUGAGACCUUUUGGGAGCUCACUGGCUUCAUAUUCCAUCGGAACUCCAAAGUUAAGCGAGUUUGGGCGAGAGUAGUCCCAGGAAGAGUGACCCACUGGAAAGUUCUCGUGUGAGUUCCUAGAAACAAAAUCGUGAAGGCGUGGCCGGGGGGGGGGGUUAAAGCGGACAAUAUUGUGCUACGACGAAAUUGAGACUGAGAUGUGACAGAAUGGUAUCAAAGCCACUCUGCCGUGUGGUGCGAGUGUGCCGACGAGGAUGUCGGGCCCCUAAGGGGGGUGGAUUGUAACAUCCCACAUCGACCAACGGAGAGGAGGUGAUGUGCCUUAUAUGUACAUGCCCACCUCCAUUUAGCACGAGGUCUUUUGGGAGCUCACUGGCUUCGGAUUCCAUAAGAACUCCGAAGUUAAGCGAGUUCGAGCGAGAGCAUUCCCAGGAUGAGUAACCUACUGGGAAGUUCUCGUGUGAGUUCCCAGAAACAAAAUUGUGAGGGCGUGGCCAAGGCCCAAAGCGGACAAUAUCGUGCUAUGGCGGAGCCGAGAUUGGGAUGUAACAUCGUCACCUAAGACAAAGUACAAGUCCACAUUUAAAGUUCUUCGUGUAUUCACAUAAUAAAAAAUUUCCAUAUGCCCCCUACAACUAAUGAAGAGAAAUCGAGACACGUUGACAAAAAGUCAACUGUUGAUCAACGGUAGGGUCCAUAACCCUACGUAACUCGAUCUGCAAGAUCCAGCCACUGUAUUUGUGAUUCAUAAGUUCCUAAGGUCCUUAAAUCUUACGUACAAUAACAUACUAAACUUUGGUGACGAUCUAAUUGUCGAAUCAUCAUUUGCUAUAAUGUUCAAAUGACGCAAAUUCAUCAAUCAGAUGUUAAAUAUGGAAUCGGUCAUCGAAUUUAGCUUAGGAAGGUCAAGUGGUGUCUCGAGCCACGUGCUGCCGUGCGCAGCAGCUGGCAACCCAAAUUCGUCGGAAAAAUCACCUAAUUCCAAAAUGAAUGUCGUUAGACGUGGAGUAAAUUGUAUACCUGUGAAGAAGCCCAAUUUGGUCGGGAAGUGGCCUGAAAUCACUUUAGACCGUCGGAAACCCUAAAAUAGGUGAAUCUCGAUUCGUCAUCUCCGGUAUUCCACCGUCCUCAAACUUGUUUAGGGUUUGCUCCUGGUCUCAAAAGAAUGCUAAUGAUGGUGGUGAUUGAAGGAGAAUGUUUCAGAAAUAAUGAAUCGUCGACGAGGGUUUCACGAAACCGACAUGGGUGUUCCUUGUGGAACUAAGACCAAAUCUCAACGGUUUUGGCUAGAAAUGGAUGCUGGGAUGUCGUGGUGAGGUUUGGUAGUGAUGGGAGGUCGAAGAAAGCCAAAAAAAUCGACGAAAAAACAGUCGUCGGAGUCGCAGGAAACGGGUUAGAAAAACGAGUCGCCAGGUCUGAAACGGGUCGAAGGCUUUUGGGACAGCUACUUACUCUCUCUUCUUUGAUUAGUCACUCCACUCACUCUCUCAUUUGAUUAGUCCAGCCUUCCCACAUGGUGGGAGUUCCCUCAUAUAGUAACCCAAAAUUUACUAUUUAAAUCUGGUAUCGAACGUUCGUAACUUUUUCGUUAUAGUUUCGAUUCGCAAACAGCUUUCGCCUACGCGCUCGUAUGAUCGAAUUAUACUCGAAAACAUUAAUUGUGACCUCGAAAAGGUCUACGAGUUUUAAAAGAUUAAUUACAAAAAUUCACACCUUGUAACUAUACGAUCCAAAUUCUAAAAUUAACGGAAUUAAAAUAAACUAAAAAUAAUGUAAACACGAAAUACAGACUUUAAUAAUGAAAUACGUAAUUAAUAGUAGUAUUCCGGGAACGGGAUUUCACACCUUGCGUCCGGACCUUGAGUGCGGAUCAGAAUCCAAAGGUCGUGAUCUGACAAGCUCAUGCAUAGAACGGAGUCGUUGUGACCCAAUGCAAUUCAAAACUUUUAUGUUUUUUAUUUGCUGGGUACGUUUUUGUAGGAGGAAAAGGGGAAGUCGAGGGAUUCUUUGCGCAUUAAAGAGGGAAAGAGAGAAAGGGGGAGCUAAGAGGUUCUUCGCGCGUUAAAUUUUUGCUUCUAAUUUUGCAACCUAGAAAUAAAGUAUUUUCUUUAUGGUUUAUGGUUCAAGAAUAUAAUGGAUGCAACCUAAAAAUGUUUCUUUUUUUAUUUUUUACUUUUUUUCUUCUUAUGUUGGCUUUUGGUUUAUUUUUAUAACGCACUAUAUAUUAACUAAAUUUAUAAACAUUUUGUAUCUUUGUUGCAGUCAAAUUAAUCAUAUGGGUCGGCAUGACUAAGUUCGACUGAGACAUACAGAUGUUUUGCAAUCUUAAGUCUAACCUGACACACCUCGACCUCAAUAUCCAGUGAACACCAAAAUUAAGGUGUGCUGGCCAUCAUCCGGAUGGGUGACGAAACCAUAAUAUGCAUGAAAACAUAACUAAAUUAUCAACCAAUAAAAUCUAUUGAAAAAUUUGGCAGAACAUCCCUUAAAAUAGGGAUAUGCCCAAAUUAAAAACACUUGCACAUGAUCACAAUUAUUCAAACACAUCCCGAAGGGCCACACUUAAUGGGACUUCGACCAUCUAUUACAUGCAUGAGAAUAUGUUCAGAGAAUAAUUACCCAAAUACGUCUUAUUAAAAUAUUGAGUAAAUACCAUACAAGAUAGAAUACGUCAGAGCUGUUGCAAAAUACCUCAACGUCGGAUGUAAUCACUGAUAGAAUUACUGAAUCAUGUAUAAAUGGAAAGCUGAUAAAUACAUGUAAUUUGAGUGGAUACUUACCAACAGCAUGGAUACAAUAUCAUCCACCAGUCGUAACUAGUGAAAACUGGAUAAUAUAAUCAUGUCAUUGCCGAGUAAUCUCAAGGCAAUGACAAGAUGAGAAUGUAACUGAGUAAUCAUAUCAUUACUAAAUAAUUUCAAAGCAAUGACAAGCUGAGAGUAUAACCGUAUAAUCAUGUCAUUACCGCGUAAUCUCAAAAUAAUGACAAGCUGAGAGUAUAACUGUAGUACCUCUUAUUAGUGCAAUGCAUGAUAUGAAUUCCAUCUCACAUAUAUAUGCAAGCCAUAAUCAAACCAAUAAACAUCCAACAAAAGCCACAAUCCUUUUAACAUUCGACCACAAGAUCAAUUUUCAUAUUUCCCAAACCUAGGUUCCGAAGCAUUGUUUCGAAUUAUUAAUACAAGAAACCACCACCACCUCAAUCAAUUCCUAUUCAUAAGUGUAAGCAAUUACUAAAUGCAUCACUUUCGACUCUAGUCUUAAUUAGAUUACUUGGGAUACUCAUUCACACCAUCAGAUCCACGUACAAUUUUGAUAAACUUUAAAUAGCAUGGUUAAAAUAAAUGAAACAUUUGAAUGAAACACUUUUAGAAAAUAAGUGAAGAUGUUGUUUACAAAUAUAGAUGCAUCUGUAUAUAAAAGCUUUGGCGGUUGAUUCGUAUACUUCCAGAGAUAUAAGCAAGUUCAUUGGAAUAUGCAUACAUGGUUAAUGUAUUACGGUAUAAUUAAUAAGAAAACAAUUGCAUCCCCUUCAGAUUAUAUAUAUAUAUAUAUAGACACACACACAUACACAUACAUACACACAGGCCCUUUAUGCAAAGGAAUUUCCAUUUUUUUUCAAAAAAUGGGGAUUAGUUGUGGGGCCCACGCUGCAUUGAACUUUAACGAUCCGAACAAUCUAUUUUGUAAGUCUCGAUUCAUAGAUCAUCCUUGCAAAAAUUCAAUUCAAUCCGAACCCUUUUGCCUAUUUAAUUAUCAAGAUAAAAUUUCAUUGUUUCUUAUAUAACAAAGUAUUCGUUAAUUUCUUUGAACUCAAUUAGAUAUCUUAAACAUUUCCGAUUUGGCUAAUAUUUUGCAAAGAUGAUCUAUGUGGUGCAACUUGAAAAAUAGACGAUUUCGAUUGUUAAAGUUCGAUGUGGUGUGAACCCUACAAUUAAUCUUCAUUUUUAUAAAAGAAUGGGAACCCCUCCCCUUAAAGGUUUCCUAUGUAUAUAUUUGUUCUUCAGACAUAUGCAAAAGGUAAUGUAAAACCAAUGAGAACUUAAAUAGAUAUUCCAUACAUAGGACAAUUCCAUAUAUGCUUUUUCAACAUUUAUAUCGAAAAGCCAAAUUGUUUUGAGGAAAUUAAUUGUAGUAAUGGUCCCUUAACUUUUAUCUUAUUGGAGCAAUGGUCUCUCAACUAAAAAUUCAUGACCAUUGGUUCCUUAACUCCACAAAACGUGUAGUUAUGGUCAUUUUCAUUAACUCCGUCAGAACUUUUGUUAAAACAAGUAAUGUUAGAAGAAUCAUUGCUACAAUCAGGUUAAAGUUGGGGACCAUUGCUCUAAUUGAAUUAAAGUUGAGGGAUCAUUACUCCAAAUUGCUUAAAGUUCAAGGACCAUUUCUACAAUUUUCUCAUCUAGUUUCCCAUAUUUACCCCAUGAUUCAGCUUCACAUGCAUUGCACAUGACUCAUUUUGACAAAAGUUUUAACGAAAUUGACGAAAAUGACCAUAAAUGCACGUUUUGAAGAGUAAGAGACCAAUGGUCGCAGAUUUUAGUUGAGGGAUCAUUGCUCCAAUUUGGUUAAAGUUGAGGGACCAUUGCUACAAUUUGCUCAAAUGUUUCGUAUGCGAAAAUAGGCAUUUGUAAAGUUUGGCUUGUUCAUGGCAUUAUUACUUUAGUCUAAAGUAAGGCUGGAAAUGGCACUGUAGAAAUGAAUAGUGUUCCAAUCCGAAUUUCAGUUUAAUUACAACAAUGCCAUUGCUCUUUGUGUUGCCUUUAGGUGAGCAACCCAACUUCCAGCCAGGCCCAAAUGUAUUGGUUUUAGCUGAGAAGCCCGACCUUUGGUCAGGCCCAAAACUUUAAAUUACAGUUUUGCCCAUACAAAAUAACAAUUUGAUUGUAUCGGGAAGGACAAUUUUGUCCUUUUAGUUUUGGGCGAGAUAGGGGGUAACCGGGUAGAUUUCAUUUGCUGUCGUUGAAUGAAGGUUUCGGGGAUGAAGGUUGUGUGUGUGUGUGAGGGAGAUGACGAUGGAAGGAGAGCGAAGGGGAGGGGAAGGGUUCUCGGCACUGUUGCUGCAUGUGGAUUUCACAAGUGGGUGAAUGGGUAUGGUUAGAGAAUACCAUAUAGGUUGUCGGGAUUUCAGGAAACGGGGUAGGGGUCAUGAAUGAACCCUGCUGAGAGUGGGUGCCGGAUCUUGCGCUGCAUGCCUCAAAUCAAAGAUAAGUUCAUUUUUUUAUUGUAUUCUUUAAUGGUAGCUUAGCUUUUGGAAUUGUUUAGUAUGUUAGGUCCAGUUUUGGGGGAUUUAUCUUUUAGAGAGAGAGAUGGACAGGGAGAUAAAGAUAGACAGAGAGAGAGAGAGGAGGAGGAGGCGGAGGAAGUAUGGCUGUGUGCUAUUUUUGGUGUUAAUUAAUGGGUUGGUGCGCAGGGUGAGUGACAGAGUGACAGAGUGACGGAGGGAUGUGUGGGAGGGUAUGGGUUUUUAGUUCUUUCUUUUGAUUCAAUAGGUUAUACACUGUUUGAAAAACCUUUUUUUUAUUUUUUUGUUCUCGUUUGCUUUGUUAAAACCAUCAUUUGAAUUUUUGGGUUUCACUGUGCUCAUUUCUCUGUUUCUUCAUAAUUUGUUGGUGUUUGCUUCUCAUCCCUCUGUUGGUAGAUCUUUUUCUCAUUUCUUGGUUCCUUAUGUAUUCUUUGGUACAAAUCUGUUUACUUUUUGGUUGUGUGAUAAUCUUAGCAGGUGAACUAUAUGAACGUUUUUUUGAAACGAGCACAGUGAAGCAAGCGUAGAUUGGGAGGCAACCCAAUAUUUCUAUUCAUUGCCUUUUUCUGUCAUUUUCAAUUUUCUUGCAUGCUAAACUGAAUUAUUUCUUUUCUUUGUAUUUGGGUUAUGUCCACCCUUGGAGUUGAUUGCGGAAUUAUAGUUUGGGGGUCAUCAUUUGAUUUCACUGCAAAUUGGGGAAGUUUUUAGUCCAAAUGCCGGAUCACUUCAAGUAUCACCUUCCAUUCGAAGUUCACUUCCAUGCCAUGGAACCUAUGGGAGUGUGACUGGAGGCAUCGUCCGGCUGCAAGACGUUAAAGAAAGCGCUUCUUGGGAGGCAACCCAAGCUUUCUAUCUUUCAUCUUUAUUUUGAAUAAUUUUAAAUGUUCUUGUUCUGUUUUUCUCUUAUUUUCUGGUUUUUGUAUUUAAGUCCUACUUUUGUUCCUUUAUGCAGGUAAUGAUUUUGCAAUCUCUACCACAACUUCUUGCAAGGUAGUUUUACAUUCAUAAAAACGAAAGGAACAUUAAGCAUAUAAAUACAAGAGGGAGCCUUCACAAAGGCUGCUUAGGAGAAGUUUCAGCAGUCGGCGGAGUCCCAGAAGGAGGAGGCAUCAGAGGUUGAUCAUUUGGAGCUUCAUUACGUGGUACAACCCCAGAAGACGAAGGCAAAUGCAAAUAAGGAAGAUCUAUGAAUCGCUUCACAAUCGAAAAGGAACAUAUGGUAGAAAAAUUCAAAGAUGAGCAUACAAACAAGAAGGAGUCUUCAUUGGUCAGGAGGUGUCGCAGCAGUCGAAGGAACAUCAGAAAGACGAAGUGUCAGAGCUUGAUUGUCCGGAGCACUUGGUGAAGCACCAGAUGAUGAAGGCAGAAGUUGCCUCAGGAGUAAAGCCAUAAACCUUUGAUGAUCACUCCGAGCCCGAACUUCAGCCUCUUGCAGCUGGUCCAACUUCCUCUUUAUGCUUGUUGAGUAGUUAGUUGCGAGCAUGUGCAACUCUUUAUCUUCAUGCCUCAGCGCUCUGACCUCUUGCCAAAGGCUAGCCACUUCAGCCAUCAACGACUCCACUUGACGAGUUCGAGCAAGAAGGCGUUGGCCCAUGUUUGAUACUGAGCCUGCACUUUGGACGCUGAAAGCCAAAGAAUCCUGAACAGCCUGCUCGUCAGACCGCUUAGAUAGCAUCCUACUGUCUCUUGGAGUAUGAAGAUUUCUAGCAACCACUGCAGCUGUUGCAUCAUUUCUCAUCACAGUGUCCCCAACUGUAAGAGGACCGUUGGAGGAUAUGAAAGAUGGCUGCCAAAUGUUACCUGGAGACGAGAGGUCAAUAUCUUCUUCGAUAUUCAGGUCAAAACGACGGUCGGAUGGGCUAGACAUUUUCAUAGGUGUUAAAGAAAGAAGAGGUCAGACAAGUCAAGAUAGUAGAAAUGCAAGAAGGGAGUAUUCACAGGCAGAAAUUCAUGUGUGCUUUGAACAUCCUGCGAACCUCUAUAAAAAAUAGCACACAAUGAGAUUUCAGGGAUCGAAUAGGCGAGUUCAGAGAUCGAUGAAGCGCCUGCUUUCUCCAAAGCUAGGCCUACUCAGGAAUCACAGGCUGAUCUCAGGUAGUGAAGACGCGCCUGUCUCUCUCAGCCCCGUCAGCACUUGUCACAUGCAGAGAAAACUUUGAGGAAAUCACGGGCAGUUUGUCGAAGCGCCGAUUCCAACCAUCUGUCUUUCUCAGCCUCGUCAGCUUUGAGGAAAUCACGGGCAGUUUGUCGAAGCGCCGAGUCCAACCGCCUGUCUCUCUCAGCCUCGUCGGCACUCGCUUUCUCAAAAGCUGGGCUUGAAAUCACAGGCCAAUCUUCAGUUUCUAAAUUUGUUCGCACUUGUCACAUGCAACCUCUGCACUCAACGAAGCUCAGAACUCGAAGCGCCAAUUCCGGAUAUUAAAGAAGCCUUUGCUUUAUCAGACGUGUCAGCAUCUGUCAAUUGCACAUCUGCGUUGCGUAAAUCACGCGCAAUCUGUCGAAGAUUUCUGGAGAAACGGAAUGCACGUGAAGUUUACUGUUAAAUUACCCCAGGCUUGCUGACACGAGUACUAGAACAAUGCCUUCCCAGCCAUUAAGAAAAAUUCUACAAAUGUUAAAGGCAACCUCACUCAACUUUCAGCCUCACUCAACCUUUCUUCCUCUCUGAGAAUGUAUUCCCGAAGAAGCCUCCCGAGUCACUCUGUGUUUCUCAUCCCUUGGGAUACCCCUGCAAACAACCCACCCAGAGCAAAAGUAUUUCAUAUCAUAACGGUUGAGAGCAAGAGUAUCUCAUAUCAUGCUUUCUCCCUGUCCUUUGUCUCGCCAGCACUUGGUAUCAAUCUUCCGAGCGGGGACCGACUGCCUGGAACCCAUUCCUGAUUGCUUACCUAACCUUGCUCUCGAGUACUCAUCCUUCUUAUGUUUCCUCUUCGUCUACCACAUAGGGGAAGUGAUAAUGAUACCUCGAAGCAUGUGGAUACAACGUGCUGAUUCAUCCUCAACUAAGGACAAGGGAGAAAGCAAGCAAGAUGUGGGCACUUGGAAAGAUUGAACAAAGAAACAGACUAACACCUCUACCUCGUGCCUGCCUACCGAGCAGAAGAAACAAGCAGAGAAGAAUGCAGACUGCACAAUCAAACAACCCAGGAACUCUGAUAUUCCUCGCUCAGGAUUCCAAACCAGUUUGAGAUUCGCCUACACAAAUUGGUGUGUUCUUUCCUUUUCUUUAUGUGUCUUUAUUUCAUUUUAUAUUUCUUUCCUUCCAUUUUCAUGUCUUAUUGUUCAAAAAUUCCUUUCAUUAUCAUUGGGGACAAUGCUAUAAUUAAGUUUGGGGGUAUUUGGAAAUAUAUUUCGUUAGUUUAUUUCUCUAUUAAAAAAAAAAAAAAAUUUUGCAUUUUUAUUGUUGUUUGUAGCUACUUCUCAAUUCAAUGAUGAGAUUUGAUUUUAAUUUCCUUCUUACUUUCAAGAAAGUCUAAGUUCUUUUCGUUGUCUUUGUGUUAACUGUGAUUUCCAGAAAUCAACUUGAAAAAAGAAAUGUGCCUAGUCUUGUCAAUGUGAAACUUGAGCAUGAUUUAGCGUUUCAUAUGUGAAUCAUGUGAGAUUAUGUAAACCUUGUGAGUUUUUUAGCCUAUACAUGAUUGAACCAUUAUGCAUCAAUCUCAUUCCUUCUUGUGCGUAUGAUCUCACUGUACAUGUAUCUCUAGAACUUGCUUUAUACUACUCGAUUCAUUAAUCAAUUCAUGUAAUAACUUGGAAGUGAUAUAGGCCAUCUUUGGAUCGUUUGAGCCUUUCAUGCCUACCUUAUAUGCUAUGUUUAUCCUUAGUAGCCCUUUGAGCCUUUAACUAAGCCAUUUCUUUGUUAACCACAUCUCUUUACCUUGCUCCAAUAUUGGAGUUGAGCCCAUACACAAAAAUCGAUUCCUUAUUGUUUUGAGAAAGUAUUACAUGGGUUGUGCUUUUGGGGGUUUCAUUUAUAUAGAAAGAUGGAUGGAGUAUGUGUAUACAAUGAAAUGUGAAUUUGAUGGGUGAUGUAGAUUUUGAAAAUUAUUUCAAAAGAAAAAAAAAACGAAAAAAAACGAAAAAAAUGAAAAUUGGAGAGUGUUGAUUUGUUGAAAAUGUGUCGGUAGAGUAUAAAUUUCCUUUUAAAGUUAAAUUUGGGGAGUAACAGGUGCUCGAGGUUUUAUUAUUUUGCUUUCAAUUUGAGGUGGUGUGAUAUUGAGGUGUUGGAAAACUACCAAAGUGUACUUUCUCAAAAUUUUUGAUUUCCAUAUCCUUUCUUUCAUUAGCCUAUCACCUUUAGCCCCAUUACAACCGUAAUAAAGUCCUAUUGAUCCAAGGUAUUACUUAAAUAUUGAUAAGCGAGUUAGGUGGACAAGCAAGCACAUGGCGGCAUGUACAAUGAGAUUACUUGAGUGAAACACAUUAACAAAAAAUUAUGAGUGAAUGAGCGUAUGUCUUGUGAGAAACUCACAUGUUUGCAUAUGAUGAUUUAAAGGAGCUUGGAAUUGCAUUGACAUAGCUAGCUCACACAUGGCAUUUCAACGUUUUGUUUGAAGGAAAUUUGGUUAACUAUUGGAUGAUGUUUUGAGCUCUUGCUUACUUCUUGGCAGUGUAUCUCAUGACUAGCACUUAUCUCUGAAAUCGAAAUUGAGAAGUUGGCUACUAAGUUGUUGAAUCUAGUCUUAGUUGAGUGGUUUUGUUUUGCUAGAGGACUAGCAAAAAUGUAAGUUUGGGGGUAUUUGAUCACUCAUAUAUUUCAUGCAUUUAUACCAUCCAUUUCUAAAGUCUUUGUGAUGUUUUUGUGUUAAAGUUGUGGCAUUUUACCUUACCUUGUGUUAAUGUACAGUUAAUUUUAUUUUAGGAUCAAUUUCAAAGAAAAUGGGCUGAAAAGAAAAUAAAAGAAAAGAAAUAAAUGGGACGGAAAGGAAGACACUGACAGAAUAAAAGAAUGAAGAAAGAGGUAGAACGGCAGAUAGAGAAGUGGGAAGAAAGUGGAGUGCGCAUGGGAUGGAAGUGGAACAAAAAGCAGGAGAGGGAGUGAGGAGUGCGGGAUAAAAGCAAAGAAAAAUAGAAGAAUAAGAAAGAAGUGGGAGGACACGGACUGAGUGGAAGAAUUAAAGAGAGAAGCAGGGUGCAGGCACGGACAGAAAGGAGAACUGAAGAAUAAAAGAGAAGACAGAGAAGCAGAAAAAAGAAGAGAAACUGACGUGAAAGCCAGUGCGCAGAGGGCGCAGAGAGAUAGGAGAGAUUGUGCGGGAGCAGAAGCACAGAAGCAGAGGGAACAAAAUCACAGACUGACAGCAGACGCAAGAGGCACGGCAGAGAGCAAAGCUUCACUCUAUUUUUCUUGGUUUUAUCUUCUCAAACCCAUGUUUUACUUUUGGUUUAAUUUGUGAAUUAUGUGUAACUAAAUUUUAAGUAGUUAGGGGCUGUUUUGAAGCCCCGAAUAUGAUUGUAAGUUUGUUGUGAUAUUUUGUUUGAAUGACUUUUAUGAAAGGAUGAAAAUUGUUUCACUACUUAUGUGAUUGAUAAAUUCUUUAUGUGUUUCUAUGGAUGCAUACAUAGUGAGCAUAUCUAGGAUUUUAAUGCUAUGAAUAUAUGUUUACCUGCCCUUGUUGAAUGAGGACCUACAUAUGUUCUAGAGUAGCACUUGUUAAUUGUGGUUAACAUGUGAACCGAUUUCUAGGAUAAGUAAGACAAUGCCAGUACUUAUCAUGCCUUGUGAUGACUCAAACUCUUUUCGUUCUUAAUGAUUUCUACUUGUUAAAUCUAUGAACACGACAUUCUAGAUUACAUGCUAGGGACUACGUUAAGUUGAAAACGCUAUUCUCUUAACAUACUACGUAAGAAAAAGUAAUAGGUUGUGUUCUAACAUUGAGCCAACUUGAGCAUCUUCAUCCGGAAAUAAAAGGAAUUUGAAUGAAACAUAACAUGUUUGCAUGAUUAUUUGGUGGUGGAUAGCAUUUCCCCUAAUUCGUUUUCUUAACUUGUGAAUUAAAAUCUAUUGGUAUUAUUUAAAACUGGUUGAGGUCCUGUUUUGUCCGAUUUAAUUUAAAUAGCUAAUCAACUUCAAAAAUCCCAAACAUUUGUGUGAGCAUAGCUUGGUGUGUCUAGUUUAUGUGUAUAAAAUUUCGUUGCAUUUGGAUAAGUGUAAGUUAGUCUAAUAAUUAUUGUUCGGUGGCUGGUCAGUGGAGACAACCAUCCUGUUUUUGUGACAUUUUAAGUGUUUGGAUAAAACAAUUUUCUGCGGAAAAGACCCUUAUUUUCAUAUGCUACAAUCGACAAAAUUUUAGUGUUAAUAAGGAAAAUCAAUAGGAUUAUUGUGGGCUACUUUGUGGUGCGUUAUAAUUACUACCAUGCUGUCAGUGGGUGUUAAUAUCAGGUACCCAUGUUCAGUUUUUCGUUUUGAUUUGAAGGAAUUUCUUGCGGAGAGGAGCAAGGGUUUCUUGGUGAGUUCUUCGGGUUGUGCAUAUGGGUAAUUUUCUUUUCGGUUUAACCCUCUGCUUCUGCUGCUCUCUCUCUUUCUCUCAUCCCUGCCUGCUCCUCUCCAAUUGUUUGCUGUUCUUAAAUAUUGUGUUCAUUGCCUGAUACAAGGGGCUGCAGCAAUCUGUUUUAUCCUACACGGGACAACGAGGCAAUGGCGUGACAACAGGUGAGCUUGGAUAUCCAAAGAAAAAGAACAGUUGGUUCAUCUGCUGGAGUCUGAGCUUAGAGAAGUGGAGGAAAAUUGCAGGUGUGCGAGAAAUUUUAUUUUGCUGAUAGGACUCCUUAUUUACUGAUGCAUUUUGAAAUAAUUGAAAAGUUGGAUUUGAGUUAACAGCUAUAAAAAUGUAGACAUGAUUGCUGAGAUUAUGCUAUGAAAGUGGAAUAAAAAAAUGGUAGUUUAUAAUAUUGCGUACCAAUUGUUUUCUCUCUUUUUUACCAAAUGAUAAGGGUGGUGGCUCAGGCCGCCCCCCUAAGCGUCCCCACUCUUCGACAAGUUGAAAUCGUGGUGAUAGUUUAUGGGCUGUGGUCUUGGGAUUCUGCAAAUAGAAUGAAAAACAGACACUUAACUAUCUUGUUAUUAAGCAUUUCUGCAUCAUUCAGUUGCUCUUGAUUUUCGUCUUUUAAGCGAUCUUAUUUCUGCGAUCUGACUUGAGGAGGGUUUUUAGACCUAUGGUUGUGGGUGUUUUCUCUGACCCCAUUAUCCGAGAUUUGUAGACUUGCGAUCGGCGGUCAAACAUUUUGUGAUUCUUGUUUUCUCUGCCUUUCGGUCGUUAAGCGCCGGCAGUCUUUAGAUCUUUGGCAAAUCAAUUUAAUACAACCGAGGUAUGUUUUAUAACUGCUGUCUUUCAAUUUUUGUUCUGUAUUUUUGUUAAUUUGGAUGAAGCUCUAAUAAUUUUGUUUUGGAUCAGUUGUGGUCCUCUGUUAGGAUUUUCCUGGCUAAGAGGGUAUUUGCGUUUUUGUUGCUUGGUUGGUCGAUCACAGAUUUACGAACAGCUGUGGUGGUCCUGUUAUUUUUUGGUAUGUUUUUUCUCCUUUUUGGUUUUUUUCCCGGUUUGAGCACCCAUUCUUGAAGAAUUAAAAUGUGUUUUAUAGUUUUUUCAGGAGAGAUUAGAAAAGUGAUUUCAAUUUGGGAAAAUUUAAUGUUGGUUAAAAUUUGUUUAUAAUUUUUGGGAAGGAAUGAGAGGACCCAUUGAAGUAUGUGUUGUGAUUAUUUUUUAUUCAUAUUUUUAACAAAUUGGGCAUGAAUUGGUAGGUUAACUGUGUGUGUUUAUUAUUUGAAUCGGCCAUGUUUGUCUUUCUAUGGUUCUAAAAAAUUUGUAAAGGCUGUUAACUUGGAAGAAAAUGGGAUCGAGGGUGAGGGGAAAACGGCAGAGAAAGCAUGGAAGAGAGAUUUGGGAUUAGGGGUAGGAAAACAGAUGAAAAGAAUAUGAUAGAGGAAUGGGUUCAGUUCAUUUUCACUAUUUUUUUUUAACUGAUUUGGAUUUUGUUUGGGUUUAACUCCGCCUAUGUCUUACAUGGCCGGUCCCAAGCCCGGAUAAAGGAGGAGGGGGAGGGCGUCAGGUAGUCGACAGCCGGCACUCCAUGAUCAUGUCGAAUCCUUAUGAAAAUGAAUCCAGAACAAAAUCGCGCUAAAGCUAGGACGUCACCCGUAAGUGGCGCGCUGUAUGGCCCGAGCACAGUGAUAAGUGAGCAAGGGUCGCUGUAUCUCCAUCGGCACCCGGAUGCAGUGUUAAAUGAGCAAGGGGGCCAUAGAAACUUCUUUUCGAACGACUCCACUCAAAGUUGUUUGAGAGCAUAUGCUCCUAUCAACUUUACCCGGGACACACAAAAGAAGUACUUUGAUCCUAUUAGACGGGGGAGGGUGAAGAAGCUAGGACAGAAGGGUAGAGUUCAAGAGAGCAAAAUGCGUUUAGGAACGUGGAAUAUAGGAACCUUAACGGGAAAAUCUAUGGAAGUAGUGGAAGUUAUGGUGAGGAGAAGGAUAAAUAUUAUGUGCCUACAAGAAACUAAGUGGGUUGGUAGUAAGGCAAAGGAUCUAGAAAACUCAGGGUUUAAACUUUGGUAUUCGGGCACAAAUAGAACGAGAAACGGUGUUGGCAUCAUCGUGGACAAGACCUUGGUACAAGAUGUUGUAGAUGUCAAGAGGGUAGGAGAUAGAAUCAUGGCAAUCAAGAUUGUAAUAGGACAAGAACUUAUCAAUGUGAUUAGUGCGUACGCACCUCAAGUAGGGUUGGAUACGAGUUCGAAGGAGAAAUUUUGGGAAGAUCUUGGAGACUUGGUGCAAGGAAUUGCUCAGACGGAGAAGUUAUUUAUAGGAGGAGAUUUAAAUGGACACGUGGGCAGGGAGACAGGCAACUAUGGAGGUUUUCAUGGUGGCCAUGGUUUUGGGGAGAGAAACGAGGAUGGGGAAGCUAUCUUGGAUUUUGCAAUGGCAUAUGAUCUCUUCUUAGCCAACACCUUCUUUAAGAAGAGAGAAGAACAUGUGAUCACCUACAAGAGUGGGUCGUCAAAAACACAAAUAGAUUUUCUUCUAAUGAGGAAAGGGGAUCGUAUAACUUGUAAGGAUUGCAAAGUUAUACCAGGAGAGAGCGUGGCUAAUCAACAUCGCUUGUUGGUGAUGGAUGUACAUAUCAAAAGAGUAAGACAAAAGAACAAGACUUGGAAGUGCCCAAGGACUAGAUGGUGGAAUCUAAAAGAAGAAAAACAAGCCAUUUUCAAAGAGAAGGUAAUCACCCAAUGUGUGUGGGAUAGAGAGGGGGAAGCUAGCCAAAUGUGGGAUUCCAUGGCUAGUUGUAUCCGAAAAGUAGCAAAAGAGGUAUUAGGAGAGUCCAAGGGCUUUGCCCCACACCAAAAGGAAUCUUGGUGGUGGAAUGAGGAGGUACAAACAAAGGUGAAGGCUAAGAAGGAAUGUUGUAAAGCCUUAUACAAGGAGAGGACCGAUGAAAAUGGUGAAAGGUAUAGAAAAGCGAAGCAAGAGGCGAAGAAAGCUGUCAGAGAAGCUAAGUUAGCGGCUUACGACGAUAUGUAUAAACGACUAGAUACCAAAGAAGGAGAGUUGGAUAUCUAUAAACUAUCUAGAGCAAGGGAAAAGAAGACAAGGGACCUAAACCAAGUGAGGUGCAUCAAGGAUGAGGAUGGAAAGGUUCUUGCUACAGAGAACGCGGUUAAAGACAGAUGGAGAGGUUAUUUUCAUAAUCUUUUCAAUGAAGGACAUGAAAUGAGUGCUUCUUUAGGGGAGUUGAGUAACUCAGAAGAGUGUAGAAACUACUCUUUUUAUCGUCGAAUCCGGAAGGAAGAAGUGGUUGUAGCUUUGAAGAAGAUGAAGCAUAAAAAAAGCAAUAGGCCCAGACGAUAUACCAAUCGAAGUGUGGAAACUUUUGGGAGAGACAGGUAUAACAUGGCUCACUGACCUUUUCAAUAGGAUUUUGAAAACGAAGAAGAUGCCAAAUGAGUGGCGAACGAGCACUUUGGUGCCUAUCUACAAGAAUAAGGGCGACGUACAAAAUUGCAUGAACUAUAGGGGUAUUAAGCUAAUGAGUCAUACAAUGAAGCUCUGGGAGAGAGUCAUUGAGCAUAGAUGAGGCAAGAGACACGGGUUUCGGACAACCAAUUCGGGUUCAUGCCAGGGCGCUCAACCAUGGAGGCAAUCUAUCUCUUACGAAGAUUGAUGGAAAGAUAUAGAGAUGGGAAAAAGGAUUUACACAUGGUCUUUAUAGAUUUGGAAAAAGCGUAUGAUAGGGUCCCAAGAGACAUUCUUUGGAGGAUUUUAGAGAAGAAAGGAGUACGAGUAGCAUAUAUCCAAGCUAUAAAGGAUAUGUAUGAAGGAGCAAAGACUGCCGUAAGAACUCAUGAAGGACAAACCGAAAGCUUUCCCAUAACUGUAGGAUUACAUCAAGGCUCAUCCUUAAGUCCUUACCUUUUUGCGUUGGUAAUGGAUGAGUUAACAGGACAUAUUCAAGAUGAUAUUCCUUGGUGUAUGCUUUUCGCAGACGAUAUAGUGUUGAUAGAUGAAACUCAGGAAGGGGUAAAUGCAAAGCUUAACCUUUGGAGAGAAGUGUUGGAAUCUAAAGGUCUUCGCCUAAGCCGAUCAAAGACAGAAUAUAUGGAGUGCAAGUUCAGUGCAAAUGGAGGCCAAAACGAGUUAGGGGUGAGGAUCGGAGAUCAAGAAAUACCAAAGAGCGACCGUUUUCGUUACCUAGGAUCUAUCUUGCAAAAGAACGGAGAAUUAGAUGGAGAUCUCAACCAUAGAAUACAAGCUGGAUGGAUGAAGUGGAAGAGUGCAUCCGGCGUGUUGUGUGACCGCCGUAUGCCACUGAAGCUCAAGGGAAAAUUUUAUAGGACGGCAAUAAGGCCGGCGAUGCUGUAUGGCACAGAAUGUUGGGCGGUGAAACAUCAACACGUACACAAAAUGGGUGUAGCGGAGAUGAGGAUGCUUCGUUGGAUGUGUGGGCACACGAGAAAGGAUAAGAUUAGGAAUGAGGAUAUCCGGGGUAAAGUAGGAGUAGCCGAAAUUGAAGGAAAGAUGAGAGAAAAUCGGUUACGGUGGUUUGGACAUGUGCAAAGAAGGCCUACUGACGCUCCGAUUAGAAGAUGCGACUAUGGGACAGAGGUUCAGGGCCGAAGGGGUAGAGGAAGACCUAGGAAAACUUUGGAAAGAGACUCUAAGAAAAGACUUAGAGUACUUGGAUCUAACGAAGGACAUGACACAGGAUCGAGCACAAUGGCGUUCUAAGAUUCAUAUAGCCGAUCCCACUCAGUGACUUGGAUUUUCCAAGUCUCCAACCGAGAAGUUUUCCUCACUCGGAAAAUUAAGGGAACACUACCCCAACCUACAUGCUCCACUCAGAAAGCUUCAACAUACAAGCUUCAACAAAAGAAAAUUCAAAGAACUUAGCGAAGAAGGCUUUGGUGUAUUUAACACAAUACGUUGAAAUGAAGGAAAGCUUAUUUAUUGAUAUCCCCGAUAAGCUACAAAUAUGUACAUAUACAUGAGUCAAAAUAAACACACAAGAGGGAGCCUUCACAAAGGUUGCUUAGGAGAAGUCUCAGCAGUCGGUAGAGCCCCAGAAAGAGAAGGCACCGGAGGGGGAUCAUUUGGAGCCUCAGUACUGGACAGAACCCUAGAAGGAGGAGGCAUCAGAGGUUGAUCAUUUGGAGCUUCAUUACGCGGUACAGCCCCAGAAGACGAAGGCAAUAAAUGCCUUUGGAACAAACCCACAAAUCUCUGAUGAUCAAGUAAAACCUGACCAUCAGUUUCCUUCAUCUGGUCAAGCUUCCUCUUCAUGUUUGUAGCAUAGUCAUGUGCGAGCCGGUGCAACUGUUUAUUCUCAUGCUUGAGCCCUCUAAUCUCCUGUUUGAGACUCAUCACUUCAGCCGCCAAUGAUUCAACUUGGCGGGUUCGAGCAAAUAGGCGUUGGGCCAUAUUAGACACAGAACCUGCACACUGAACACUGAGAGCCAGCGAAUCCUUAACAGCUAACUCAUCAGACCGUUUGGAAAGUAGUCUGUUAUCUUUGGGAGUGAGAAGGUUCCUGGCCACCACCGCAGCGGUCAUAUCAUUCUUCAUCACGGAAUCCCCAACGGUAAGAGGACCAGUAGGGGAGACGAAGGAUGGGCGCCAUAUGUUGUCUGGAGAAGGCGGGGCUGCCUCUUCAACAAGGUUCAAGUCAAAACGACGGUCGGAGGGGCCAGACAUUUUCAAAUGUGUUGAAGAGAGAAGAGGUCGGACAAAUCAAGAUCUUAGAAGUGCAAGAAUGAAGCUUCUACUGGUGGAGAUUCAAGUGUGCUUUGGAACUUAAUGCCAGCCCCUAUAAAAAUCUGCACUCGACGGAGCUUCAGAAAUCGAAGAGGCGCCUGCUCAGAAAUCGAAGAGGCGUUUGCUUUCUCAAAAGCUGGGCUGCUUAGAGAUCACGAGGGUUGAUCUCAGAAAUCGAAGAGGCGUUUGCUUUCUCAAAAGUUGGGCUGCUCAAAGACCUCGAAGGCUGAUCUCAGAAAUCGAAGAGGCGCUCGCUUUCUCAAAAGCUGGGCUCCCUAGAGACCACGAGGGCCGAUCUCAGAAAUCGAAGAGGCACCUACUUUUCCAGCCUUGUCAGCACCUGUCACACGCGCACACUCAGCUUUGCGGAAAUUAUGGGCAUUCUGUCGAAGACUUCUGGGGAAGUAGAAAAAACACAUGAAUCUUACUGUUCAAUCACCCACUUCCCACACGCAACAAUAGCUCAUGGGUACCACAGAUAACUUUGCCAAAGUUCUCUGCCAAAGUUGAGCACGUGAAGCUUGCAGCUCCCACUACAUCGCUCUGACCAAGAAGGGUAAAAGAAUAGCAAAGAAACACAGCACUAACAAAGUUUAGACCCAUAAAUUUUGAAGGUCUAGCUACCAUAUUAUUACCACACACAGGGUAAAGGAACAGUACCACUGCUGGAUAAUUGGAAAGUCCCUGUUUGUCAACCUCUGUGCUUCGUGGCAAGGUAGACUAGCAAACAUGCCCAACCUUUACUCACAUUCGAGAAAACACUCCCAAUAAGAUUGCUUGCUCCAAAAUCGAAGAGGCACCGUCCUCCGAAUCUCGAGAGCCAGACUCCCAACAUGACUACUUUCUUAAAAAUCGAAGAGAGGGUAAAGGAACAGUACCAUUGCUGGAUAAUUGGAAAGUCCCUGUGUGUCAACCUCUGUGCUUCGUGGCAAGGUAGACUAGCAAACAUGCCCAACCUUUACUCACAUUCGAGAAAACACUCCCAACAAGAUUGCUUGCUCCAAAAUCGAAGAGGCACCGCCCUCCGAAUCUCGAGAGCCAGACUCCAAACAUGAUUACUUUCUCAAAAAAUCGAAGAGACACUGCUCCCCGAAUCUUCGAGAGCCAGACCCCCAGCAUGAUUGCUUUCUCAAAAAUCGAUGAGGCAUCGUUCUCCGAAUCAAUCGAAGAGGCGCUCGCUUUCUCAAAAGCUGGGCUGCUCAGAGACCACGAGGGCCGAUCUCAGAAAUCGAAGAGGCACCUACUUUUCUAGCCUUGUCAGCACCUGUCACACGCACACUCAGCUUUGCAGAAAUUAUGGGCAUUCUGUCGAAGACUUCUGGUGAAGUAGAAAGCACAUGAAUCUUACUGUUCAAUCACCCACUUCCCACACGCAACAAUAGCUCAUGGGUACCACAGAUAACUUUGCCAAAGUUCUCUGCCAAAGUUGAGCACGUGAAGCUUGCAGCUCCCACUACAUCGCUCUGACCAAGAAGGGUAAAAGAAUAGCAAAGAAACAGCACUAACAAAGUUUAGACACAUAAAUUUUGAAGGUCUAGCUACCAUAUUAUUACCCACAAGGGUAAAGGAACAGUACCACUGCUGGAUAAUUGGAAAGUCCCUGUGUGUCAACCUCUGUGCUUCGUGGCAAGGUAGACUAGCAAACAUGCCCAACCUUUACUCACAUUCGAGAAAACACUCCCAACAAGAUUGCUUGCUCCAAAAUCGAAGAGGCACCGUCCUCCGAAUCUCGAGAGCCAGACUCCCAACAUGACUACUUUCUCAAAAUCGAAGAGAGGGUAAAGGAACAGUACCAUUGCUGGAUAAUUGGAAAGUCCCUGUGUGUCAACCUCUUUGCUUCGUGGCAAGGUAGACUAGCAAACAUGCCCAACCUUUACUCACAUUCGAGACAACAGUCCCAACAAGAUUGCUUGCUCCAAAAUCGAAGAGGCACCGCCCUCCGAAUCUCGAGAGCCAGACUCCCAACAUGAUUACUUUCUCAAAAAUCGAAGAGACACUGCUCUCCGAAUCUCGAGAGCCAGACCCCCAGCAUGAUUGCUUUCUCAAAAAUCGAAGUGGCAUCGUUAUCCGAAUCUCGAGAGCCAGACUCCCAACAUGAUUACUUUCUCAAAAAUCGAAGAGACACUGCUCUCCGAAUCUCGAAAGCCAGACCCCCAGCAUGAUUGCUUUCUCAAAAAUCGAAGAGGCAUCGUUCUCCGAAUCUCGAGAGCCAGAUACCACAUACCACUUUUUCAAAGUGCUCUGACAGAGUUAAAACAUGUGAAACUGGCAGCUCCCACUACCGUGCUAUGACCAAGCAGGGUAAAGGAAUAACAUUACUACUUGUUAGGGAGACUCCUAUAUAUGUUGACCUCCAUCCCCAACAGACAGGCAGACCUGCAAAAAUGCUCAACCCUUCAUCAUAUCUGAGAGGGCACUCCCAACGAAGCCUUUCGAAAUAUUCAGCUUUCUUUCCCCCCGAUAAUACCUCUGCAAACAAGCUAUACUAGAGCAAGAAUAUCUCAUAUCAUCAGGGUUAAAAGCAAGAGUAUCCCAUAUCAUGCUUUUUCCCUGUCUUUUCCUUUGGCCUUGUUUUUACCUGCAAGACAAGGAGAAAGAGAGCAAUCAGUCAGCACUUGGAAUCAAGCUUCCAGCUAGGAACUGACUGCCUGGAACCCCUUACCUGAUUACUUACCUGGCAUUGCUCUCGAGUACUCAUCUUCAACAUCUUAUGUUUCCAGGGAAGAUUCCGCAUCUGCUUGAGGAACAGAUAGGGCAAGUGCGAAAGAUACAAGGAAGCAUGUGGAGACAAGCGUAACAGCACACGUGCCGAUACAUCCAUUACUCUGUCAAAAGCAAAAGUAUCCCAUAUCAGCAGGGUGGAAAGUACUCUAGAUUUGAUGGACUUGUUUUGACCCUCAAAUUCUUCAGUCGACCUUAUACUCUGGAGGAAACCAGAAAACCCUCCAGCUCAGUUCAAGAAUAAGCCUGUGGAAAGUUACUUCUUCAAAAGCAAAAGUAUCUCAUAUCAUCUCUUCUCAUUUUUCUUCUCUUUAUCCUUCAUGCUGCUGCAAGAUGGGGAGAAGGUGAACAAUCAGUCGGAGCUCUGAUUGCUUACCUUGUCUGUCACCUCUUUCAGCAGACCCCUAGCUCGGCGACUUGGGGGACUCCUACUACAUGGUUUGUAUCGCGCUUGACCAAGCCUGAAACUACAAGUAAGCUUCAAGUGAAAUUGAUACAUUACCUUGUGCAUCUCCACCAGUUAAAGAUACCACCCCUGGAUGGAGGAAGAGUACUUCCAGAAAAGAUGCCACAUCUACCUAUGAGACAGAUAAGGCAAGUCAAGACGACACCACACUCCGAUACUUAGAAGUUUCGUGAUUACGAGAUCAUUCUCCCACAAUAUUUCCUAAUGUCAUUUGUACUAAAUCAUUCACUUGUACUCACUAAAGGAGAGCUUGAACCUAUGUACUUGUGUAAACCCUUCACAAUUAAUGAGAACUCUUCUAUUCCGUGGACGUAGCCAAUCUGGGUGAACCACGUACAUCUUGUGUUUGCUUUCCUAUCUCUAUCCAUUUAUAUACCUAUCCACACUAAUGACCGGAGCAAUCUAGCGAAGAUCACAAAAAGCGACCGUUUUCGCUACCUAGGAUCUUAUCUUGCAAGAGAACGGAGAAUUAGAUGGAGAUCUCAACCAUAGAAUACGAGCUGGAUGGAUGAAGUGUAAGAAUGCAUCCGGCGUGUUGUGUGACUGUCGUAGGCCACUAAAGCUCAAGGGAAAAUUUUAUAGGACGGCAAUAAGGCCAACGAUGUUGUAUGGCAUAGAAUGUUAGGCGGUGAAGCAUCAACACGUACACAAAAUGGGUGUAGCGGAGAUGAGGAUGCUUCGUGGGAUGUGUGGGCACACGAGAAAGGAUAAGAUUGGGAAUGAGGAUAUCCGAGGUAAAGUAGGAGUAGCCGAAAUUGUAGGAAAGAUGAGAGAAAAUCGGCUCCGGUGAUUUGGACAUGUGCAAAGAAGGCCGAAUGACACUCCGAUGUGACUACGGGACAGAGGUUCAGGGCCGAAGGGGUAGAGGAAGAUCUAGGAAAACUUUGGAAGAGACUCUAAGAAAAGACUUAGAGUACUUGGAUCUAACGGAGGACAUGAUACAAAACCGAGCGCAAUGGCGUUCUAGGAUUCAUAUAGCCGACCCCACUUAGUGGGAAAAGGCUUUGUUGUUCUGUUGUUGUUGUUGGAUUUUGUUUGGGUUUGAGGCCAUCAUUGGCGUUAAGACGUUUAUUAUCAGAUCGUGUGUUUUUUGCUAACUUUUAUUGGUAAUUUUAAUGUUGUUCUUAUGAUUUUGUGUGGUAGGGUUUCUGAUUUUUAUCGUUAUUCAUUUGGUUUUUUGUGUGUGUUGGUUUGUUUAUUUUGCAGGUUGUGUUUGUGCUGGGACAACAUUUUCCACCUUCUGUUUGCACUGGGAUGAUUGCGUUUUAAAACUGUUGGGGUGAGAUUUACAUAUGGAAUCAUUCCAUUUUUUUUCUUCCAAAUAUGUGCAUUUAGUUCUCUUUUAUUUUAAAUUUUAAAAAUUAAAUCGUUAUUUGAGUAAAAUGUUUUAUCAGUUUAUGUUAUGUGUUGUGACCAGGAAUUCUGUUGGAUUUGCGAAUUUUGGUUUGAUGAGAGAAAUGAGGAGUUUUUUUUGUUUGAAUUUUUUAUUGGACCGAUUUUCAAUUGGAUUGCAUUCUGCCUUUUUGCACCAUUCGUAUGCAAGCAAUUCAUUGUUUUAAAUACAAUUUGAAGAGAGCUGGGUUGCGGGUUGGAUAUAAAAUGUUAAGGUGAGAUAAAAUCGAGAUACCAAGGGUGGAAGAAUGAUUCAGAAUUGGGGGAGGAAAACAGAGGGAAGAUAGAAGAGUAUAAGAGAAGGAUAGGGUUGACCUCAUUUAGAGUUUUUAUUUACUUAUUUUUUUUUAUAAAUUGAUUCAGGACUUGCAUAUCAUUUCUAAAUUUCUAACAUUUUUGUUUAAUUUGACUCCAGUUGAUGGAAAACAGAGCUCUUACUCCUAUCAAUCAGUUGGUCCCGUACAUAAAUGCAGAAAAAUCAAGGUUCGAGUUUGCAGAGUAUGCAGACCAAGGUUUCCCGAAACUACUGGUGCAUAUUCAGGCUUGCAUUGUAUAUUACUUACCUAUUAAAAAUUUGUUUGGAAUUUGCUUUUCCCACAGAGGAGAAGAGCUGACAGUUACGCUGUGGGCAGAUGUUGCUCGAAGUAUUGCUUCUUUAUCCAUUGAAUCAUUGUCUCUGCCGAUCAUUGUGGUUUUCACAAGUUUAAAGGUCAAGCUGUACCUAGGUAUUUGACUUAGUUAAAAACUAAUCUAUUUACUAUUAAUUUUUCUAUUAUAUUCAAACGUUAUUUAAUAUAUACUCUACUAAUAUUUUCUUAACAUGUCACACAAACAUAUUCACUUCUUUUGAUCAAUUUUUUACAGCGUUUCAUAUAAAAGCUAACAUUUAGUUGAAAUUGAUUAGCAACUCUUUUCUUGCAUGUAUACAUACGAAUUAAACAAUAGUAUUAAACUAUUUGUUAUCAUUCUCAGUUUUUGUUUUAGAAUUAGAUUAAUAUAUUUAACCUGUUUUAGAAUUAGAAUUAUUUGGUAUCACUCUCAGUAUUUGUUUUAGAAUUAGAAUUAGAUUAAUAUACUGAGAUUAUUUAGACAAAUCUAGCAUUUUCUCAAAAUAUUUGACUUUUAAACUUAGAUUAAUAUAUUUAGCAGUUUUUUAACAUGCAAUUUUUCAUUAAUUUUUCAACACACAGACAAGAUAGUCUUGAACACCAUUGGUUCAUCACUUUUCUUCAUUGAUCUAGAUAUUCUGGAAGUAAAUUCAUACAAAUCAGUGUAAGUGUGUUUACUUUGUUUAAAAAAAUAUUAUAUGCUCUCACAAUAAAAGAAGGGCUAUUCUCACAAAAUUUAUGAACUAAUGUUCUGUUUUAACCUCUACAGCUUUUCCAAAUGCACAGAACCUCUAAAAAUACUGCCACCUUUUACAAAACAGGCCCGUGAAGCUCAAAUCUUGCAGACAGCGAAGGUCACAAUUGCAGACGCUGAAAUUUUCAUGCCAAAAUAUGAUGUGGAGGAUGAGAAAUUGUUUGCUGUUGUUCUCUUUUCAGUUUUGCAGGCGAUGAUCUUUUACCAAAUGUCGAGGAGCUUCCAUGGGACAUGCUCUAUGCUCUCGCUUCCCAGUUGCCUCUGUUGGGGUUGGAAAAGCUACAGAUCACAAUGUAAGUCAAAAACAGUAAAGUUCCCAAGAUGUUCUGUGCUGGAGCAGAUUUAAAGGUACGAAUUUUUAAUUUUUUUGUGAAGUCGAUGUUUUGUUUUAAAAGGAGUUAUAAUGGAUUGAUUGGACAAGUACAGAGUGUUUGUUUGUUUGGUUGAAUGUAAAAAGGAAUUGGAAGAAUGAUGAAAGUACUUGCAUUUGGUUGUAGUUGGUCAGGCACUGAAGGACCGGUCAAUACGAAGUGCAUCUGUGGGACAAUAGUUGAAAGAAGGCCAGAGCAGGAAGAGAAGGCAAGGUUUGUGAAGAAAAACAGUAAAAGGUCGUACCCAGUGCACAAGGCUCCCGCUUUACGCAAGGUCUGGGAGAGGUGAAUGUCGGCUAGCCUUACCCCCAUUCUGCUUUUGUUUAAUUAGAAGAAAUGUGCAUUUUUUUUUCCCAGUCAAAUUCUGCUUUUGUUCUGACUAUUUUCCUUACUGUAUGCUGAUUUUAUUAUUUAAUUUUUGGUUUUUCCUUGAUUGGCUUGGGAAUUACAAUCAAAUGAUGAAUCUUCAGUUUACUUGGGUAAGCAUUUUUUAACAUAUAAUUUAGCUGACCAUUUUAACUGUCAGACCAUGUUGUUUUUGGUUAUCUAAUCAUUCCAAGAUGGCAAGUUAGGAUUGGAAGGGUUGCUAGAAAUAAGGAUUAUAUCUUGGGACAUUCGGUGAGUGAUUUUUCAAACUUUCAGUUUUACAAGACAAAAUAUCUAUUUUUGUGUGUAUUCUUCAAGCAUGUUAUCAUUAUUUAGGUUGUAGGAAAAAAAGAGAGUGACUUGAGGUGUUUUUAGAUAUUUUUGUGUGUAUUCUUCACAAUGUAUUAAAAGCGCGAGGCGUGGGCGAGGCGUCCGAGGGAUAGCCCACGCCUCACGCCUUACGGGACCUAAAUUUUUUAAUAUAUACACUGAGCGUACACAUAUAUUAUAUUAAAAAAAAUUAUUAAUCAAUAAUCACCCUGAGCACACAUAUAUAUUAUAAAUACAUAUAUACACAUAUAUAUACAUAUAUAUACAUAUAUUAUGUUAUAUAUAUAUAUAUAAAAUAGAGGAUGAAAAGCACAAUGAGCACACAUAUAACAAUGCAUGCAGACAGCACACAAUAUAGUGCAAGGAAUAGGUAUGAGGUAGUUAAAACCCUACCCAAAAUCUGGGUUUGGGAGUAAAAAUAAAAAAAAAAAAAAAAAUUGCAUGAGGCGCGCCUAGACGGCUCCGACAACGCCUUCCGGCGCCUUCCGCCCACUCCCUCAAAACAAAGGCGGCAACCCUCAAGUCCAGCCUCACAGGGUGCCUAGGCGCACCCUGAGGUGAGCCUUUUAAAACAUUGAUUCUUCAAGCAUGCUAUCAUAAUAUUUGUAACUAUAAAAAAUAAUAUACUAUUAUACCUCUGUUUCUCUUUUCUUUGUUUUCAUGAGAAAUUAAUUGCCAUUGGCAGCACUAUAGAAAGCCAUCUUUCUCCAUUAUUCUCCGCUUCAUGCAUAAUUACAUAAUUCUACUAUCACAGUUGUCAGUCCUGAACAAUAAUGCAAGUCUAGUGGCAAAAACCACCUCAAUGAACAACUCACACACACACACAGACACUGAUCAUACAUCUCUAACUCUCUUUUUCAAAUAACACACUCUGAUCCAAAACAGGGUAAAUAAAAUGCACAUCCUUAUACAUUUCUAACUUUGUUUUUCGAAAUCCAAAAUAGGGUAUUCUAACUCUCUUUUUCAUUCAUUUCUUACAAACCAAUCAUACAUUUAAAAUAGGCUUUGAAUAAAAAUAGGGUAUAUAAUUAUAUACCUCAAAAUGCCUAGGAACCAACUUCCCCCUCCAACGAUUCAAAUUCUUGAAAUUGCCAACACAGUAAAUCCAUUAGUACUAUAUAAAUGAAAACACAAUUGAAACCCAUCAAACAAAACAAUCCCACAAUUUAAAUGAUUCAAUCCUACUACAAUUGAAAUUCACAGAAAGAAUGAAAAACCAGAACAAAACUGCAGCACCUAAAAAGUUGUCAUACAAAAAAAAACAUGGAAUGUAAAAAUAUGUUAAGAAAUCUAGUUCGUUAAUUUCCAGCUGCUAAGUGGCAUUAUGUAACUUUAGUAGUAUAACUAAUUAACUACUUAUCUGGUGGGUUGCACUUUUAUCCAAUUGGUAAGGAAAGGAAAAUAAAAAUCAACCCCUUGGUCUUAGUUGUGGCUGCAAAGUGCAGGCCACCACCAAGUCUCAGUGUUUGUGUUUUAGCAAAACACUUAAAUAAAUUAAAUUCUGAAACGUAAAUUAUAUUCCUAUAACUUUAAGAUGCACAUAUAGUAUUGUUGAAGUCGAACUGAAAGCACUGACAAUUCCAAGCAACAAAGCAGCAAUUAUUAAGAGCCAAAACUCAUUCCUAGUCUCCUCAUCCUGGUACUCAACUCCGUAAUCUUCUGUCAGCAUCAUUGACUGAAAUUAGGAGAGAAAAAGAAAAGGAAUUUCAGAAAUUGUCUAUGAAGCAAAGGAUACUGCAGUUACUUCAAGACAUGUAAAUUGCAUAUGUAUAAAGUAAUUUUCUACAUAAAGUAAUGAGGCAUAACUUUCUCUCUCCUCUUCAAACCCUAAACAGAGCAAAGCAAACUUUACAGAGAUUAGAAUGAGAACUGGAACUAAUCGAACAAUGACUGAAAAGUAACAUACUUGAGGAGUGAAUGAUUUAGUGUUUCCAUCAUCGGAAGCCGGAGUAAGUCGCUAAGAGAGGUCGCAAACAGCCCAAAGGGACAAACCCAGAUCCCCGGCCCCGAUCCAUACCCUUCCCCCUCAAAUCCCGACGGCCCCCAUACUUUUCUCUGACUGUACCCCCUCUCCCACUCAUGAAAUCGAGGAUCUGUCGCAAUGGUACUGAGAUCCCCACUCCUCCCUCUCCCUUUCUCUCUGUCGCUCUGUCUCCCUCUCCCUCUGUCUGUCUAUCUUUAUCCCAGAGCGGCAUGGCCUCCCAUCCCUGAAACCCUCACCGAAAGUUGGCAAUUUUGUAAAUAACUUGAAAUCCACCAACAGCAGGGGUAGAGAAUUGAAACAAACAUUUAGGCUCGUUCGAUAACCAUUUAGGCCAAAACUGAGCACACCUAAACCAUUCCUACUCGUGCCAAAUGUUAGUGGGGAAGCAAGAUGAUGACUUUAUUAUUCAAAACCAAAAGAAAAAAAGAGAGAAAACAAAAUAACAAAUGUAAUGGUUGUAGUGUAAAAGCUGAGAACGUAAAUAAACAUGCAGGGAAAAAAAUUGAAGAUACAAAGUAGCUGCAUCAUGAACACUUACUCCAAUUAGACGCAAAAAGUGAUGGUGAUGAGAAGAGAGAGAAAAUGCAGUCGUUUUGAUUUUUCUGGCUUUUAAAGGGAGCAGCUUUCUUCGACCACCAAAAAAAGGAAGCUGCUUUUCGUGUGGUUGUGAUUUCCUGAGUGUAUGUGAGCGGGUCUAUGGCACUUGCACUGUUUGUGUCGGUUACGGUAACCGGGCGAGCUGGACACGGCAGCGUGGGACUGAAUUCGGAGAGGUGAGAAAAAUUAAAAACACAAAAAGAAGGUGUUCAUUUUGUCACAUUUUUAUUACGAAAAAUUCAAUAAAGUACAUUCAUUAGUAUGGUAACUUAACUAUUUAAUUCCAUCUCAUUAAACUAAAAAAAACAAUUACAAAAAAAUAAGGAAAACCUUGUCCAGAGAGACCUGAGAGAAAGUGACGACUUCUCCUCUCAUUCAACUCCAUACUUGAUCUCUAAAGUCCAUUUGGCAUGUAAUUGAUGUUCACUUUCAAAUUUAGUGGUAGCAAUUAGCAAAGCUAAUGAAAGAAUCAAAUAAAAUGAAAGAAAAAGCAUCAUGAAAUAAAUCAAGAUGAAGAAUGAAAUUUUGGCAACUCGCCAUUCUCUUCUUUUAUAUAAAAGAUACAUCCUAUUUGUAGUGAAAACAGAUCCCGACAAACCCAGUUAUCCUCAAGAAGUAUUUUGUAUGACUUUAAAAACAUAAUCCGUGAAAUUAUCUCUUGGCUGAGAACAACAACAAAUCUUCAUGCAUAGCUUGUAGAGAAAGACAUCAGGCAUACAAAAGAACACGCAAGCAUAAAAUAAACGAAGCAGGGAAAACCAAAAAUACAAUUGAAUACGCUGUCAAAAGAACAUGAAUAAAUGAAAAUACCAAACAAAGCAGUGAUGAGAAACCAAAGUACCCAUUUCAUAAUCUAAUUGCUUUUUAGUUUGCUUGCCAUUUUUAGUUCUUCAAUUUAGAGAGACACCAUAAUUCAGCACAUGAAUAAAGUGAAAACGUAAAAGAUAUGUGGGAUAGGCUGACAGCCAUCCCUGAGUAAUGCAUUCACUUCUGAACCCCAAACACACUGAAACAAAAAUUCACACACAUGAACUACAGCUCCGCUUUGUAACAAGAAUUAAAAGCAUCUCAAAACAAAAUGGCAAACUAUAAGAGCAUUGUAAAAGUAAAAUUGCAAGAAAUCUAAUACUUGGAGGGCAAGUACUCAUCAGACGAAAAUGAAAGAUUGAACUACCUCGCGUGGAACUGUGCCUUGGUUUUUUCCCAUGCUUACAGGAAGCUUUGCACUGAGCUCUUAUAGUCCAAAUUUUCUCUGAAGGAAAAAAACACAAUUUUGAAAUAAGAUUUUCGUAUUAUACCUUAAAGAGAAGAAUUAGACAACAAAAUAGAGAACAAUGAGUACUAUUCAUCAUAUAUUGUUAGAGUAUGUGGCCCUCUGGUCCAAUGGUCCCGCAGCCAUAUUUCCUUUAUAACUCUUUCUUUUAAUCUAAAAAACAUCUUGAAUCUCAAAUUAGUAUGAAUACGGAUUCAUACUUUAUAACUAAAGAUCUUACUGCUCUUGAUAAGAUGAACAAUACGCCAUUUCUCGCAUGCAUUGCAUUACAAUCACAAUGCAACAUCUCAUUAGAAAUCCCCACACAAAUUUUUUUUAUUGCUACUUUGAUUUUAGUUUAUAUUUUUUCUGAAGCAUGAGGGAGCUAAUUUUUUUUUUUAAAUUUUUUAUUCCAAUAAUGUUAUAGGGAGGGUUGCAAGGAUAUUAUCAAUUGUAUUUGAUUGGUGGAACUUCUACAUCUAUAUUUUAGGUUUUCAAUUUUAGCACUGGGAGAGUCAUUCAUAAAAUGUUUGACAGUGAGAUUACCUCCAUGGACUAUGCUCACAAUGGACAGCUCAUUUUCCGCGGUGAUGGGACAAUAUAUUUCAGUCAUUCGCCAUUCAAUCAAUUCAAACUGAGGAACAUGCAACAUCAAGAAGAGGAUCUACCAUGUCAGGAUCACUAUCGUCCAAUUAAUACAAAAAAAUCUAGAUAAAAACGAUCAAUUUACAUAAAAGCCCUUCAUUUUCUCAGCAACCAAGCAAAAGAAAAUACCUAUCCGUUAAACACUCGAUUUGGGAGUAAAUGUUGCUGAAACUGGACUUCAAUCCCCUCAACCGCAACAACCGAAUCGAGGUGUGCAAGUCAUUGAAAAACUCACCCAAGAUUUCAAAAUCUGCAUAGAGAAAUAAAUAAGCACAUAAAUUAGCCCAACCCAUAAAUCAAAGAAAUCAAAAUCCACCCAGAAUCAAAGAAAUCAAAAUCCAUCCAGAACCAAAGAAAUCAAAAUCACACACAGAUAUGCAAGACAACGCAAAUUUGAAGCCUUACUUUUCGGGUAGCUUGGCGGCUGACAUGAGUCUUCUUCAGAGUUUCAUCCAUCCAUGGAUCCAUUUGGUCCGCCCGUCGCUUCUGGGUCGUACAAUCUUAAAAUCUGCAAAAUGAAUUUAAAGAAUCAAUUUUUACGAUUGAAAAGCCAAAAGUGCUACAAACUCCAAAUUGCUGAGAACCAAAGUGGAGUAACAGUUACAGGUCACGAGAUGAGAUGAGGACAUUGUCGGAUUUCAGGGCGAACCUGACUCUGGAAAUUGCAUCUCGGAUCGGGCUUUCGAACUUCAAAGGAGCUCCGCUCAUUGUGGUCCUUGCAGACCGAACUGGCCUAACAAUCAGCGAGAGAAAGGAGACGGCGGCAAGAUGAGGGAUACAAUGGAUGCGAGAUCGUCUGUAUCGUUCUCGCGGGGGGUUUGCAAGACGGACGAGGAAAGUAGGGUUUGAUGAGGCAUUGUCUUCGCGCGGGGUAUGUGUCCUUCCCAUUCCAUGAUUAUCAACACGUGUGCAUCAACAGAAGCGGCAGAGAGAGGCAUUAUUGUAAAUAAAGUGAAAUCGAAGGGCAAUGGCCCUUUUUUUUUUAAGGUAAUGGCAUGGCCAUAAAUAGAAUGAAAUCCAGAUCAAAACACUGUCAUUUGUACAGUACAAUUUCUCCAUCUUCUUUAGACUAAAGUAAUGUAUAUGUUAUACGCACCAACACAAGUCCUUCUUAGAUAAAUCCAAGCCAAACAAUUACAGACGAUAGUUAUUCACAAAAUCACUUUAAAGUAAGAAUUUAAUUAAUAAUACAUUACUGCACUUUCUUAACAAUUUGACUAUCACCUAGCUGACAAUGAACAUGUUAGCUAUGCGUUAGAACAUAUUGGGUUCAAUCCAUUGUCUUGAAUAUUACCCCCAGUCACAGCCGUCUCUUGGGGGCAUACAGAAGGCCUGAGAGGCAUUUGCAGACAUUCAACAUCUCCUCCAAGCAUUUCGACAACUUUGGACAUCGAAGGGCGAUCACUUGGUUUCAUUUGAAUACACCACAAGGCGGUUAUAACCACCUUUCUUAUCACUUUCUUUUCCUUCUCUGUAACAUUGUCUAUUUCCAAGUCAUUUCCCACAAAAUACUGAUCGUAUACCUACAGCGGGAAGUAGAUUUGGCUUGGAUGCUCUACCGUUGCAUUCAAAUUCUUCCUUAUGCUUGCCAUUUCCAUCAACAACAUUCCAAAACUAUAGACAUCGGCCUUGUAUGAGACACCUCCAAUAUUUUUGUAGAACAACUCAGGAGCAAUAUAUCUCAUUGUACCCCGUGCUGUCGUCAAAGAGACAAUGCUAUUAUCUACUGGAUACAAUUUUGCAAGCCCAAAGUCAGAAACCUUUGCUUUAAAGUUCUCAUCAAGAGGGAUGUUAUGAGGCUUGAUGUCAAAAUGUAGAAUUUUCAUUUUACAACCUUGAUCUAGAUAUUCGAUCCCAUGACUCCAAGAGAAAUCUUGUACAUAGUCUUGAUAGUUAAGGGAAGACUUCCUUCUUUGGAAUAAAUGUAUUUAUCAAAAGAGCCAUUAGGCAUAAAGUCAUAUAUUAGAGCGCGCUUUGAUCCCUCGACACAAUCACAAUCACAAUCACAAUCACAAUCACAAUCACAUUCCAACAUGGAAUCCUCAGACGACAUGCCUACUGCAGAACAAGUUUCAUCCUUACUUAACUUCUAUUUAGUCCACUUCCUGUUUAGAUUGUAAUCCUAGUUCUGCGUGUGUUUGUAUAGUACUCCUAUAAAUAUCAAUGAAAACCGCUCACUCUAAUUAGGAGUUGAGAUUCUGCAAAUCAUAUUUACUAUCUUUCAUGGUAUCACGAGCCAAGGUCUAACGACAACGGUUCCUGUUAUAAUUUUUUUCUCUUUUGUAGAUCCUAAACUAUGGCAUCUUCUUCCUCCUCCGAUGCUCCCUCCGUCACAAAUUUUCUUACGAUCAAGCUCGACCUCAACAACUACCCUCUCUGGCGUGCUCAAUUUCUUCCCUUGCUGCGCAGCCGCAACUUACUCUCUUAUGUUACUGGCGAAACUCAAUGCCCAUCUGCCUUUGUUCUUGAUGACAAUGGUAAAUUCACAGACAAAGUCAAUCCAUUAUAUAAUGAAUGGAUCCAGACUGACUAGAUGAUCCUAUCUUGGAUUACGAGUUCUCUUACUCCCAAGGUUCUUGCUACGAUCGUCAACAAAAUUGAUUCGACCUCUGCUUGGUUGUCAAACCCGAAUUAAUCUGAUUAUGGGGGUUUUAUUUUAUAUCAAUAUAUUGCAGCAGAAGUCGCACUUUGAAGAGUUCAUGCUGCACAGAAAGAUUCUUAAAUGCUACCUGUUGAGUCUAUCAUUGCUCCAUUGGAGACAGAGCUGAAGCUUGCUGCAGGAGUUAUACAUUUGUUAUGCAAUAUGACCCCUUUAAUUUUAUUUUAAAACUGAUACAAAAAUUUAUGUAGUAUUUUUGUAUCAGUUUUGAGUGUCUAUUUUGGCUUCCAUAUUUCGUCUGUACAUGUGAGAGGUAUAGCGUUCAAUAUGUAUUUGGUUUCUAUAUUGUUAAUGGAUCUUUUUUUUUUUAAGAUAACCAAGUUGCAGGAUGACAGCAGAACACUUGAUCUGUAGGUAAACCUUCAAUUUCCAUAUGAAGUUUGCAUGUUCGUUGUUUCUGGAAUUUGAGUUUUUAUUAUUUCUCAAUUCUAUCACAUAGAUUACGAUUUCACAUAUGGGAUUAUUAAUGGCAAUUAGAUGAUGGAAGAAUUGGGAUUGGAAGAAGAUAUUGAGUUGUUUAUUUAUGGGGAUUAGAAAAUUUUUAUCAUAAGUGUGGAUGCAAAUUUCUUCCUCCUUGAUCUUGGACAAAAUUGCACCUACAAAACAAUUAACACCUUAGGUCAAGGCCAAGAGCCUCACGCGCUCACGAUGAAGGGGGGGGCUUUGGUCGAAGAACCUCCGAUGCCAAAGUUAGAAUUUAGAGAGAAAAAGUGUUUGAGAAUUCUAGAGAAUUUUAGCAAGAGUUGCAACUAGGUUUUGGUGAGAAAUGUGGGGCUUUCUAUAGAGGAGUGGCCGGCCUCUUAGGGUGAGAAAGGACCGGUCACAUAGCCUAGUUUGUGGGUUUUGUUCAUGAUUUAAGAUGAUUUUGGGAGUUAUGUGAUUAAUUGACUAAUUAAUUAGGAAAACUAAUAAAAAGGGCUUGAAAACUUUGAGUUUUAAUGAUAAGGACAAAAUAAAGGGUAAAGUGAAUAGUACCAGGAUUGACUUUUUAGUGUAAAAAUGUGGUUUUUCGUUAAAAUGAACAGUACCGGGUGCUUUUCGUUAAAGUUCCCUAAUUAAUUUGGCGAAAUAAAAUUAUUACCAAAUGAAUUAGCUAAUUAAUGGGAUGAAAUGGGCAAAUAUCAAGAGAUAAACAAAACAUGACCAAUUCCUUUUCUAACAAUAGGUGGCCGGCCCUUCACUUGUUUUUGGGGUUGCAUGGAUGUUUUAAUUGACAAUUAAGGAAUUGAUUAGGCAAUUAAUCCCUUAAUUAGUCAAUUAUUAUGAUUUUAAAGGAAGAUUUUAGGAAAUAUGAAAGGAAUAUAUUAUUUAGCUAAUUGAUUAGCUAAAUGGAAUAAAUUAGGUUUUGGGAAUUACCUUAAAUGAGGAUGGAUGAGAUAAUUUGGAAUUGGUUACCUUUUUGGAGCAUUUUUGACUUGGUUAAGGAUGAUUGCCCGCUACUUGCGCAUAGGAAUCCCGUUAUACCUCAAGGGUAUUUUUGUCAUCUUUUACCCAAAAAACCACGUGUCACCUUGUGAUUAUUUUUGGCUCCACAAUACGAGUGAUAUUUAUUUUUGUGUGGAUUGUUAAUAUAUAAAACUAUAAGCUUUUGAGAUUGGGAGACAAAACCCACAAAUUCAAUUCAGACAAAAUAAAUAAAAAAUUUAACUGACUUAAAGAUCAAACUCCAAAAGGGUAUUAAAAACAAGGCUUAUUUGAUCCAUUGAGUGUGAAAGUUUUGAGCUUUGAAGAAGCAGAGGAGGAGAGUUGUUAACCAAGCUGCAUUAUCUAUGUAUUAGGAUGUUGAGGGUAGGCAGGAAAAAUACUUUUUGACGCCAAAUCCAGAGGAGCAUAACGACAGGCCUGCAUUUUUGCAGCAAGGACCAAAACAAGUAUAAGUGAAGGCUUGACUGUUUGGGUAUUAAUCCUAAACCUAAUUAUUCUUAUUUAGGUUUAGGAUAAAUGAUUGAGUGUGUCUCGAUGAUUGUAUUACUAUGUUUGAUGAAUGAUUUGAGGAGUUGGAAAUGGUUUAUUGCUUAUGUUUUUCUUAGGUGUGUACUUUGGUUAUUUCCGAGCUUUUCACGACUUUUGAUACCUAAUAAAGAAUAUGGAAACCCCAACUUCAAUUUUAUGAAUUGAUUUUGGUGCCUAAAAUGAAAUCUAGCAUAGUGAAAUCUUGCAUAAUGAAAUUAUGACAAAUUUCCCUUCAUCUUUAUAUUUUCAUUUAAUUCAAUUGGUAUGCAAUUUAGGGUUAUUCAAUUCAUGAGUGAUCAAAUUAUGUUUUUAAUUCCUUCUUUUGAUUUACAGUUCAACAUUGUCGUACAAAAUGAAAAAGGCGCCAGUAACAGAGUUAUGGAUUUGGAUGCCUUUAGUGGAAUAAAACUGAAUUUUUUAACUUUGUAUAGUUGUAAACAUAAAAUACUCCAUGAGGUAGACUCAUAGCUUUUGAAAACAAUCCUUGAGGAUGGCAUAACAACAUCUCCAACUUUUGUCAUGUAAUGUAUGAAUGUAAAUAGCACUUCGUAAACAUAUGGAUGUAAUAUAUGUAUAUAAACACUCUUUAGCAUGUAUAUUUUUCAAAACUUUCUACAUCUUCAACAAUGUUUCAAUGAUUUCUUGAUGUAAACAAUGAUAAUUUGAAGAACCAUUUAAAGUAUUUUGGUAAUCAUCAUACUUAAGCUUAAAUGUGAUAUAUCCGUUUAUUAUUUUUUAUACAGUGAUAAUACUCAAGUAUAAUUUACAUCAUAUAUCUUUUGAAGUACAUGAAACUAUGAAGAAAAAACCCUAAUUAAUCUGAUUAUGGGGGUUUUGUUUUAUAUCAAAAUAUUGCAGCAGAAGUCACACUUUGAAGAGUUCACGCUGCAUAGAAAGACGAUGAAAUGCUAUCUGUUGAGUCCAUCAUUGAUCCAUUGGAGACAGAGCUGAAGCUUGAUGCAGGUGGUAUACUUUUGUUAUGCAAUAUGAUCCCUUUAAUUUUAUUUUAAGACAUAUAGGGUUGAAAAAAAUUUAUGUAGUAUUUUUGUAUCAGUUUUGAGUGUCUAUUUUGGCUUCCAUAUUUGGUCUAUACAUGUGAGGUAUAGAGUGUUCAAUAUGAAUUUGGUUUCUAUAUUGUAAAUGGAUCUAUUUUUUUUUUAGGUAACCAAGUUGCAGGAUGAAAACCGAACACUUGAUCUGCAGGUAAACCUUCAAUUUCCAUAUGAAGUUUGCAUUUUCGUUGUUUCUGGAAUUUGAGUUUUUGCAGGAUGAAAACAGAACACUUGAUUGGUUAUUUCCGAGCUUUUCAUGACUUUCGAUACCCAAUAGAGAAUAUGGAAACCCCAACUUUAAUUUUAUGAAUUGGUUUUGGUGCCUAAAAUGAAAUCUAGCACAGUGAAAUCUUGCAUAAUGAAAUUAUGACAAAGUUCCCUUCAUCUUUAAAUUUUCAUUUAGUUCAAUUCGUAUGCAGUUUAGGGUUAUUCAAUUCAUGAGUGAUCAAAUUAGGUUUUUAAUUCCUUCUUUUGAUUUUCAGUUCAGCAUUGUCGUAUUUUGGAUGCCUUUAGUGGAAUAAAACUGAAUUUUUUUAACUUUGUAUAGUUGUAAACAUAAAAUACUCCAUGAGAUAGACUCAUAGCUUUUGAAAACAAUCUUUGAGGAUGGCAUAACAACAUCUCCAACUUUUGUCAUGUAAUGUAUGAAUGUAAAUAACACUUUGUAAACAUAUGGAUGUAAUAUAUGUAUAUAAACACCACUCUUUAGCAUAUAUAUUUUUCAAAACUUUCUACAUCUUCAACAAUGUUUCAAACCCCGCAGCAACGGGCGGGUACACUUGCUAGUAUACAUCUAAAAUUAUAAGACUAAAUCCUUUAGUUCUUGGAUUCAUCUAAGAACUACUUAUUCAAGCAGAUGCUAUGCUUGCACUACUAGAAUUUAUGGCUUGCCCUGUCAACUAUUGCGCGACAGAAGAUUUCGUCGGUUUCACCUUUUUUAACCGACAAAAUAUAAGUUUAGUAAGGCAAAAUCAGUCAACAAACUUGGUUUACUGAAUAGAUUUACAGGAUGUUUAGAGUUCGUAGGUUAAGACAUCAGUCGUUGGGCAAACAUUUGGAGCGAAGAUGUGAGUGUUUUAACUGACGAAUAAGCUGGUCGUCAUGUAGAUCUUCUUUCCCGACUGACGGUUCAACGGGUAGCUCUUUGGAUAACAAAUCAUCUUCAAGGGGAACAGGUUGCCCCUCAGAUGAAUGGUUAGAGGCAAUUGUGAGACUAUAAUUUUCUAGGGCCGGAAAAUCUGUAACCAUCCACCAAAUACCCCUUCUUCCCUUUCUAUUUCUCUCUCAGUAAUUUCCCCUGACCUAAUCACACAAUCCAACCAACUCUUUUUAAGCCUCCCUCAUUGAUUCCAUGGAUUUCAUGGACUUAUCCCACCCUCUCUCCUUCCCUCUAUAUAUAGCAAGUCCCCUUGCCUCAGUGUCCCUGGCAACAGAAUUUAUGGUGUGUCUUCGUUCUUUCAAUUAUUUGAAAGCUUUCCUGCCCUGCAGUCUUGUACAAAGGCGUAUGGUGUUUCAUCAGUUCCAUUUGGUGGUUGGGUGGGAAAUGAAAUUAAAACAUUGAUUUCAAAUGGUCUAAACCAAAUUGAAUCAAAUGUGAAGCAAAGGGCAAAAGGUGUAGAUUGAAGAACAAUGGCACCAAGAGCGAAAUUGAACUUGUUGACAGGAGGAAACCAAGUAACGAUAACGCGUCUAAAUCUUAUUUCGAAUCCAUUCAGCUUAUGAUGUUUUUAAUGAUGAUGAUCUGUAUACUUUGCUACAUGCUGUGAUUUUUUCGCUUUCAUGUAAUUAACGGCUUAUAUUUAUGGUAAAGAUAUUGAUUAAUUUUGAGAAAUGACAGUCUAAUUUUUGCAACUGUCUUUUGCAGGCAAAACAAAGACGUUUGCAAGGGUGAGUUUUGUAGGACCGGUGUUUAGCUUUGUUUCAUGUCCAAAGGACACUUGAGAAUAAAUGUUUACUCAUGGAUAAUAUCUAUCUAUUUGCAUGAGCAACCCUGGGUUCAUUUGUUCUGUUACUGCUGGUCAUUGCGGCAUAUCACGCCUACAGCACUGACAAAGUAAAAAGAAAAUCGAAUGAAAUUUGGUAAGAUUUUAGCGGACUACAAAGAUCUUAAGCCAAUCAUAUAUUCCCAUGCAGAUAUUAAGAGGUUUACAAAUCAAUUCAAGUACAAGUUGGGCCAAGGAGCAUACAUAACUGUUUUUAAAGGAAAGCUUUUUUCUGAAUGCUUUGUUGCCAUGAAAGUACUUAACAUUUCCAAGGGUGACGGGGAAGAGCUUGUAAAUGAAGUGGGGAACAAUGGGCCAUAUUCACCAUGUCAAUGUGGUUCACUUGGUUGGUUUUUGUGCUGAUGGAUUUAGAUGAGCUCUGGUUUAUGAGUUCUUUCCCUUUGGUUCACUUCAGGAUUAUAUGUCAUCAGUAGAUAGAUUUCUUUCCUUGGUUGGCAUAAGUUGCAAGAUAUUGCUAUCAACAUAGCCAAAGGAACCAGGGAUGUGAUCUACAAAUCCUCCAUUUCGAUAUCAAACCCCAUAAUGCUUUGCUCGACCAAAAAAUCACGCCAAAAAUCUCUGAUUUUGGUCUGGCCAAGUUAUGUUCCAAGGAUCAAUCAGUGUGACUAAAGCAAGGGGGACCAUGUGACUAAAGCACCUGAAGUGUUUUCCAGGAAUUUCGGAAAUGUGUCUUACAAGGUAGAUGUCUUGAAUGUUGCUGCUUGAAAUGGUAGGAGAAAAGAAGAAUAUUGGUUCAACCAGAGGACACGACAAAUGAAAUCUACUAUCCAAAAUGGAUUUAUAAUCUUCUAGAGGAAGGAAUGACCAACAGAUCCAUAUUGAGGAAGAAUGUUAUGGUAAGAUUCCAAAGCAACUUGCAAGUUUAGGGCUCUGGUGCAGCCAGUGGCACUUGGUGGAUCGGCGGUCCAUGAAAACGGUGGUUCGGAUGUUAGGAGGAUGAGAAAACUUGAUGAUGCAAGCAACCCUAAAAGCCUCAUACAAUUAAAAGUAAUUGCUGAAUUAGAGUAACAUAUGUAUAUGUAUACGCACCAACACAAGUCGUUCUUAGAUGAAUCCAAGCCAAACAAUUACAAACAACAGUUAUUCACUAAAUCACUUUAAGGCAAGAAUUUAAUUAAUAAUACAUUACUGCACUUUCUUAACCAUUUGACUAUCACCUAGCUGACAAUGAACACGUUAGCUCCGCGUUAGAACAUCUUGGGUUCACUUCAUUGUCUUGAAUAUCACCCACUGUCACAGGCGUCUCUAGGGGGCAUAGAGAAGGCCUGAGAGGCAUUUGCAGACAUUCAACAUCUCCUCCAAGCAUUUUGACAACUUUGGACAUCGAAGGGCGAUCACUUGGUUUCAUUUGAAUACACCACAAGGCGGUUAUAACCAUCUUUCUUAUUACUUUCUUUUCCUCCUCUGUAACAUUGUCCAUUUCCAAGUCAUUUCCCACAAUAUACUGAUCGUAUACCCAUAUUGGGAAGUAGAUUUGGCUUGAAUGCUCUACCGUUGGAUUCAAAUUCUUCCUUCUGCUUGCCAUCUCCAUCAACAACAUUCCAAAACUAUAGACAUCUGACUUGUAUGAGACACCUCCAAUAUUUUUGUAGAACAACUCAGGAGCAAUGUAUCCCAGUGUACCCCGUGCUGCCGUCAAAGAGACAAUGCUAUUAUCUACAGGAUACAAUUUUGCAAGCCCAAAGUCAGAAACCUUUGCUUUAAAGUUCUCAUCAAGAAGGAUGUUAUGAGGCUUGAUGUCGAAAUGUAGAAUUUGCAUUUCGCAACCUUGGUGUAGAUAUUCGAUCCCUUGAGCCACUCCAAGAGAAAUCUCGUACAUGUUCUUGAUAGUUAAGGGAACACUUCCUUCUUUGGAAUAAAUGUAUUUAUCAAGAGAACCAUUAGGCAUGAAGUCAUAUACUAGAGCUCGUUUUGAUCCCUCAACACAGUAUCCAACAAGUUGCACCACAUUGGCAUGGUGAAUCCUUCCGAUUGUAGCUAUUUCGCUAAUGAAAUCUUGGCCAUCAGCUUUGGGCUUGCCCAAAACUUUAACUGCUACAAAUCGACCACUGCGUAGCUUUCCCUUAAAUACAGAGCCAAAGCCACCUUCGCCCAACUUGUCCUUAAACGUGCGAGUCAUUUUCUUGACGUCCGAGUAAGAGUACCUUAUAGGCAUGAAGUUGUUAUUGCAUUGCAGAAAAUCUUCUAUUGUGUUAUACAUUGAUAAAUGUCUUCUGCGCCAUGUGUAGAUUAGAAAUGCAGUCACAACUGGAACUCCAAAAACAAAUCUGGCUAGGAAAAAUAACCCUGCAUGCAUGGACAUUAAUAUGUUAGAUCCACUGCGUACUACUUUUUCUUCCCUUUCUUUCCAAAUUACUUUGUCUUUGAUGUAAUUAAAGAGAGAGAAUGAGAAAUCUACAUAUGUUGAUAAUACAAUCUCAUCUUAGUCCUUACCGAUGCAUAUGAGUAUAAACCAUCCACGUACUGCAACAAAAUCAAUCGACUAUGAGUUUGAAAAGUGCAUAAAGUGAAAAAUAAAUAAUAAAUAAAAUCAAAGGGUGCCUUUAUUGACACCCAAAUUUUAGUUAGUUUUACUCAACUAAAAAAUUUUUGUCAUCAAACUUUUUAAUUUGCCGUUGAAAUUGAGUUCACCCAACCCACAAAGCAGCAACUACCACUCACCAAAAAAACCAACAACACACACCCACCACUCACCAAUAGAAAGAGAAUGAACACACAGACCCACAAAGAGCUGGCAUCGACGCUGUCGAUGAGGGAGGGACCAGAGGAUGGUGUAGUUUUGUCUAGCGCGCGGUAGUGGUUUUGUCUGUUCAUUUUCUCUUUCUUUUGGUAGGUGGAGGCUGGUGUGGAUUUGGGCGAACUUAAAAAUGAGGGGAAACUAUGAAGUUUGACAAAAUGUUUUAGUUAGGGGAACUUAACUAAAAUUUGGGUGCCGAUAAAGAUACCCAAUAUCAAAAAUACUUGAGCGUAUAGACUAAUUAAAUGAAGUUGAUCAAGUUUGUCUCGAUCGAAAACUUGUAAAUAAAACAAAAAGAGGACCCCUUACCGAUUUGUUGCCAUAUAUAUUGAAAGAAACCUACAAAAACAAAGAAAGAACAAGACUACAUGCAUUAGCAUAACAAGAGUGAGGUGUAUAAGCCGUUAGAAAAUAAAUUUAAAAUUCUAGUGCUGUCAAUACAUUGAUAAUAUAUAUAUAUAUAUAUAUAUAUAUGUAUUAUUUUUUCUGAAAAUUUAACUUUUUCCCUCCAAACUCAUUUUUCUAGUCUCUAGCCCAUCAUAUAAUAUUUAUCCGAAUAAAACCAAAUGAUUAGGAUCCAACUAAGAAACUUACCAAAUUAAGUUUGUGUGUCCAUUUUUAUAUUUUUUGGAUCCCUAAUAUACCCCAUCUAAGUCAGUAUGGAAAGUUCUUGUAAUUUUGCUUUAAGUGAUCACGUGCAUUGAAUUUGGCAAUGUCUUGUAGCCAUGAAAUAUGGUUGUAGAUGGAGGAAUUAAUUUGGAAUUUUUUUUAAUUUCAACAACAAAUUUAGUGUUAUUUUCAACAAUAUCUAUUGUUUAAUUUUAUGAAAAUAAUUUACCUAAUAUGAAAAUUAAUUUUAUGAAAACAAUAUCUAUUGUUUUAUUUUAUACCUACAGGAUAAUUACAUGAAAAUAGUUUACCUACUAUGAAAAUUAAUUUUUUGAAAGCAAUAUCUAUUGUUUAAUUUUAUGAAGAUAAUUUACCUACUAUAAUUACAUGAAAAUAGUUUACCUACUAUGAAAAUUAAUUUUUUGAAAGCAAUAUCUAUUGUUUAAUUUUAUGAAGAUAAUUUACCUACUAUAAUUACAUGAAAAAAUUUACCUACUAUGAAAAUUAAUUUUUUGAAAACAAUAUUAUUGUUUAAUUUUAUGAAAAUAAUUUACCUACUGUAUAAUUACAUAAAAAUUAAUGUGCCUACUUUUUAAAUUUGUAACAAAAUUAAUUUACCUACUUUUUAUGGUAUUAGUAUACAUAAAUGUAGAAUAUAUGUCCGUAUAUAUUUGAUCUAAUUAGGUUUUGGAUUGGAGGAGUUGACACAAAAUUAUAAAUAUGUUAAACAAAUUUAUCAAUUCUAAAGUUGGAGGGGAAUUGGUCUGUACAUUGCUACAGUAAACAAAUGCUACUCAAUUUCACGUUAUUUACAACAAAGCUAUCAGAUUUGGGUUGGGUUGGAGGGUAAUUUGUUAAAAGUUAGGAGGGUAAUUUGUUAAAAGUUAGGAGGGUAAUUUUGUGCAUAGGGUUUAGGUGCCCUCCUAUACAUGACCCUUGAUUUUACUUUAUUUACACCACUGCCAUCAUAUAUGUGGCUGAAUUGGGGGGGGUAUUAUUAAAAGUUAAGAGGGUAGUUUUGUUCAAGGAAGAAAAUAUCGGUAAUAUCGGAAAUAUCGGUAGUCCGAAAACACGGAAAUAUCGAUGGAAAUAUCGGGAUAAUAUCGAUAUCGAUAAAAAUUACAUGGAAACCACGGAAAUUGUAAGAAAAACUUGGAAAUUUUUAUUGAAAUUUUGCAGGAUGUUUAUUUAGUCAAUUAUCUAUUAGUUUAUCACAAAAAAUUGGAAGGAAAUGCAUUGCAUGAUGGAUUUAACUUAUUUAAGUUGAUUAUAUAGCGAGCUGACAAACAUUGUGAGUGUAGAAAAUAUGUAGUAAUUAAUGAAAGAAGUUUAAACUUUAUAUAUAAUGACUUAGUACAAUAUUUUACACUUUAUACAUUGCAUGGUAAGAUACAUGAGUUACACAAACAACGGGAAAUUAAUGAGAAAACCCUUCCCAAAACGUCAGCACCCGCUUUUUUAAAUAACUUAUAUAAUGAACCUGUCUGGAUCACUUGUUCUAAUAUAUAAACACAAAACAAUACUAUUUGUAUCACAUUUUCUGACAAUCUCAUUGACCGCUUUUAAUUAAUAAAUUGGUCUCAAGUCUAGUUUCCUAAGAAUUUGUUUGUUUGGGCUCAUCUUUGUUGUAAUAACUUAAUUGGGCUUAGAGUUUUAUUGGGUUUACCUAGCCCGUGCGAGCUCAUCUUUGUAUUUAUUUGACGGAUACCCCGAUUUGUUAUGGCAAAAGCAACCACGCAGUCGACGCCCGAAAACCCUUCCCUCUCUCAUUUGGUCUUCGUCUGUUUUCCCGCAUCAUCCAACAGGUGGACUCGGCGCUUCUCUCUCUCUCCCCCCUCUUCGCCCUCUCCACCAAACCCUAACCCCCCAAAUUCCAACCUUCCACCAUUCAAUCCAACCAAAAUCCCCCCAAUCGGACCCCUACCCGACCCAGUUCAUCUCCGAUUGCCUCCAAUUCCACUCCGCCCCGACCCAUUUCUUCAAAAUUCCAAUUCCACUCCGCCCCGACCCAGUUCCUUCAAUUUCUCAGGUAGGUAAGCUUCGGGUUUUUCUUUUUAUAUUCUAGAUCGAAGCGUAGAUGUGAAAUUGAAGUUAUAUGUCGUGUUUUUGCAAGGUUUUUGGGAUGAAAUCGACUCGGGAAUAAGUACACCCAUCUCCGGCGAGGCUAGGGGGUAGUUUUACAGUCGACCGGAGCUGUAGAAGCUCCAGCGUUCGUCUCCGACGUGCACAGUUCCGAAAUUUCGCGAUAAUAUCGAUAAUAUCGCGAUAUUAUCGAUAUUAUCGCGAUAUUAUAACGAAAACACCUUGGAUACCAUUUAAAAUAUCGGUUCGGGAAAAAACCGAUAAUAUCGGCGAUAUAUCGCCGAUAUUAUCGAUAUUUUCUUCUAUGGUUUUGUUCAAGGGGUGGGGGCGACAUUCGCAGACAGGGCGAUUGGAGCCAUGCCCAUGCCCAUUGCACAGAGAGAAAGGGAGUGAUGGGGGAAAUUACAGACAGAAAGGGAAGGGAUGGGAGGAUUUGAUGGAUGGUCACAGAGAAAGAUUCGGUGAGGGAUGUGAGGGGAGAUUACAGAGAGAUAAAUUAAAGGGGGAUCGGGGGAUUUGAGGGAUGGUCAGAGAGAGAAAUAGUGACGAAGGGAGGGAUGGGGGGGCUAAUUUUCGGUUCCUCCUUCAGAUUUGUUCCGUAAAACUUGUUGGGUACAAUUCAAUUUCCUCCCCCUUUCCCCUGAACGAAAAAUUCGAAACCUACAAUUCAAUUUCCUCCCUUCUUGGCUUUCCGCUUUACUCAUCUCCCGGUGGUUCUUUCUCUCCAUACGAUUCGAUUUCGGUGAGUUCUUCGUUGCCCUCAUGAUUUCCCAGUUUGAUUUUUUGAGCGUCCUUAGUCGUCGUUUUUAUCUGGGUUUAUUGCAUGGUUGCUUUUAGUUUAUGGAUUUUUAUUUUUUCCGCGGUUUGAUGAAUCGUGGUUAAUAAUUUCACACCAUGGGAUUUUUGCACUUCUGAUGGAAUUGAGCGCAGGGAUUCGGGGUGGGGUUUUACUGAUAGUUUGUCUUCAUUCAAAUGAAUGGUUAAAAUUUCUGAAGUGAGUGUGCAGGUGGGCCCGUUCACUAACUAAGCUUUCAAGGGAACCCAUCAACGGUUUGCUUGCUGGGGAACUCGGAGACUACUAUGAUUUAGUUAUCAUUUAUUUUUUUACUUAAUUUUAUCCAUAUAUAAUAUGUGGGUAAAUUUACACUAAACAAUUGUGAUAAGCCAAUAUGCCAAACGACUUUGAAAGCAUUGAUUUUGUGUAUAGUUUGCAUUUUUGCAUUGUGAAUGUUGAAUUUUGUGUUUAAUUUGGAUUUUUGUGUUUGAAUUUGUAGCAUGAUCUUCCGCUGCAGCAUCCAAAUUUUGUAUUUGUAAAUUGUCAAAGAAAAACGAACAACAACAACAACAACAACAAAGCCUUUUCCCACUAAAUGGGGUCGGCUAUAUGAAUCCUAGAACGCCAUUGCGCUCGGUUUUGUGUCAUGUCCUCCGUUAGAUCCAAGUACUCAAGUCUUUUCUUAGGGUCUCUUCCAAAGUUUUCCUAGGUCUUCCUCUACCCCUUCGGCCCUGAACCUCUGUCCCGUAGUCACAUUUUCGAACUGGAGCGUCAGUAGGCCUUCUUUGCACAUGUCCAAACCACCGGAAUCGAUUUUCUCUCAUAUUUCCUUCAAUUUUGGCUACUCCUACUUUACCUCGGAUAUCCUCAUUCCUAAUCUUAUCCUUUAUCGUGUGCCCAUACAUCCCACGAAGCAUCCUCAUCUCCGUUACACCCAUUUUGUGUACAUGUUGAUGCUUCACCACCCAACAUUUUGUGCCAUACAACAUUGCUGGCCUUAUUGCCGUCCUAUAAUAUUUUCCCUUGAGCUUCAGUGGCCUACGACGGUCACACAACACCCCGGAUGCACCCUUACACUUCAUCCAUCCAGCUUGUAUUCUAUGGUUGAGAUCUCCAUCUAAUUUUCCGUUCUCUUGCACGAUAGAUCCUAGGUAGCGAAAACGGUCACUUUUUGUGAUCUUCGCUAGAUUGCUCCGGUCAUUAGUGUGGAUAAGUAUAUAAAUGGAUAGAAUUAGGAAAGCAAACACAAGAUGUACGUGGUUCACCCAGAUUGGCUACGUCCACGGAAUAGAGGAGUUCUCAUUAAUUAUGAAGGGUUUACACAAGUACAUAGGUUCAAGCUCUCCUUUAGUGAGUACAAGUGAAUGAUUUAGUACAAAUGACAUUAGGAAAUAUUGUGGGAGAAUGAUCUCGUAACCACGAAACUUCUAAGUACCGGAGUGUGGUAUCGUUUUGACUUGCCUUAUCUGUCUCAUAGGUAGAUGUGGCAUCUUCUCUGGAAGUACUCUUCCUCCAUCCAGGGGUGGUAUCUGUAACUGGUGGAGAUGCACAAGGUAAUGUAUCAAUUUCACUUGAAGCUUACUUGUAGUUUCAGGCUUGGUCAAGCGCGAUACAAACCAUGUAGUAGAAGUCCCCCAAGUCGCCGGGCUAAGGGAUCUGCUGAAAGAGGUGACAGACAAGGUAAGCAAUCAGAGCUCCAGCUGAUUGUUCACAUUCUCCCUAUCUUGCAGGCAGCAUGAAGGAUAAAGAGAAGAAAAAUGAGAAGAGAUGAUAUGGGAUACUUUUGCUUUUAAAGAAGUAACUUUCCACAGGCUUAUUCUUGAACCGGGCUGUAGGGUUUUCUGGUUUCCUCUAGAGUAUAAGGCCGAUUGAAGAAUUUGAGGGUCAAAACAAGUCCAUCAAAUCUAGAGUACGUUCGACCCUGCUGAUAUGGGAUACUUUUGCUUUUGACAGAGUAGUGGAUGUAUCGGCACGUGUGCUGUUACGCUUGUCUCCACAUGCUUCCUUGUAUCCUUCUCACUUGCCCUAUCUGUUCCUCAGGCAAAUGCGGUAUCUUCCCUGGAAGCAUAAGAUGUUGAAGAUGAGUACUCCAGAGCAAUGACAGGUAAGUAAUCAGGUAAGGGGUUCCAGGCAGUCAGUUCCUGGCUCGAAGCUUGAUUCCAAGUGCUGACUGAUUGCUCUCGUUCUCCUUGUCUUGUAGGUAAGAACAAGGCCAAAGGAAAAGACAGGGAAAAAGCAUGAUAUGGGAUACUAUUGCUUUUAACCCUGAUGAUAUGAGAUAGUCUUGCUCUAGUAUAGCUUGUUUACAGAGGUAUUAUCGGGGGGAAAGAAAGCUGAAUAUUUCGAAAGGCUUCGUUGGGAGUGCCCUAUUAGAUAAGAGAAAGGGUUGAGUAUUUUUGCAGGUCUGCCUGUCCGUUAGGGAUGGAGGUCGACAUAUAUAGGAGUCUCCCUAACAUAAAGUAAUAAUGUUAUUCCUUUACCCUGCUUGGUCAUAACACGGUAGUGGGAGCUACCAGCCUCACAUGUUUUAACUCUGUCAGAGCACUUUGAAAAGGUGGUCUGUGGUAUCUGGAAAGAUGAUGUUGCGUGUGAAGAUUACAGACAAGCUUUAUCCAAGGAGAUCCAGCUCUUGAAGUUGGGAAAGUGGUGCCUCUUCGGUUUUCGAACAAGCAAUCCUGUCGGGGAUCUGGCUCUCGAGAUUCGGAGAACGAUGCCUCUUCAAUUUUUGAGAAAGCGAUCAUGCUGGGGGUCUGGCUCUCGAGAUUCGGAGAGCAGUGUCUCUUCGAUUUUUGAGAAAGUAAUCAUGUUGGGAGUCUGGCUCUCGAGAUUCGGAGGGCGGUGCCUCUUCGAUUUUGGAGCAAGCAAUCUUGUUAUGAGUGUUUUCUCGAAUGUGAGUAAAGGUUGGGCAUGUUUGCUAGUCUACCUUGCCACGAAGCACAGAGGUUGACACACAGGGACUUUCCAAUUAUCCAGCAGUGGUACUGUUCAUUUACCCUCUCUUCGAUUUUUGAGAAAGUAAUCAUGUUGGGAGUCUGGCUCUCGAGAUUCGGAGGGCGGUGCCUCUUCGAUUUUGGAGCAAGCAAUCUUGUUGGGAAUGUUUUCUCGAAUGUGAGUAAAGGUUGGGCAUGUUUGCUAGUCUACCUUGCCACGAAGCAUAAAGGUUGACACACAGGGACUUUCCAUUUAUCCAGCAGUGGUACUGUUCCUUUACCCUCUUUUCGAUUUUUGAGAAAGUAAUCAUGUUGGGAGUCUGGCUCUCGAGAUUCGGAGGGCGGUGCCUCUUCGAUUUUGGAGCAAGCAAUCCUGUUGGGAGUGUUUUCUUGAAUGUGAGUAAAGGUUGGCAUGUUUGCUAGUCUACCUUGCCACGAAGCACAGAGGUUGACACACCGGGACUUUCCAAUUAUCCAGCAGUGGUACUGUUCCUUUACCCUUGUGGGUAAUAAUAUGGUAGCUAGACCUUCAAAAUUUAUAUGUCUAAACUUUGUUAGUGUUGUUUCUUUGCAAUUCUUUUACCCUUCUUGGUCAGAGCGAUGUAGCGGGAGCUGCAAGCUUCACGUGUCUCAACUGUCAGAGAACUUUGGCAAAGUUAUCUGUGGUACCCAUGAGUUACUGUUGCGUAUGGGAAGUGGGUGAUUGAACAAUACGAUUCAUGUGCUUUCUACUUCGCCAGAAAUCUUCGACAGAAUGCCCAUAAUUUCCGCAAAGCUGAGUGUGCGUGUGACAGGUGCUGACAAGGCUGGAAAAGUAGGUGCCUCUUCGAUUUCUGAGAUCGGCCUUUGUGGUUUCUUAGCAGCCCAGCUUUUGAGAAAGCAAGCCUCUUCGAUUUCUGAUAUCGGCCUUCGUGGUCUUUGAGCAGCCCAGCUUUUGAGAAAGCAAACGCCUCUUCGAUUUCUGAGAUCGACCCUCGUGGUCUCUGAGCAGCCCAGCUUUUGAGAAAGUAAACGCCGCUUCGAUUUCUGAGCAGGCGCCUCUUCGAUUUCUGAAGCUUCGUCGAGUGCAGAUUUUUAUAGGGGCUGACAUUAAGUUCCAAAGCACACUUGAAUAUCCACCAGUAGAAGCUCCAUUCUUGUACUUCUAAGAUCUUGAUUUGUCCGACCUCUUCUCUCUUCAACACCUUUGAAAAUGUCUGGCCCCUCCGACCGUCGUUUUGACUUGAACCUUGUUGAAGAGGCAGCCCCGCCUUCUCCAGACAACAUAUGGCGCCCAUCAUUCGUCUCCCCUACUGGUCCUCUUACCGUUGGGGAUUCCGUGAUGAAGAAUGAUAUGACCGCUGCGGUAGUGGCCAGAAACCUUCUCACUCCCAAAGAUAACAGACUACUUUCCAAACGGUCUGAUGAGUUGGCUGUUAAGGAUUCUUUGGCUCUCAGUGUUCAGUGUGCAGGUUCUGUGUCUAAUAUGGCCCAACGCCUAUUUGCUCGAACCCGCCAAGUUGAAUCAUUGGCGGCUGAAGUGAUGAGUCUCAAACAGGAGAUUAGAGGGCUCAAGCAUGAGAAUAAACAGUUGCACCGGCUCGCACAUGACUAUGCUACAAACAUGAAGAGGAAGCUUGACCAGAUGAAGGAAUCUGAUGGUCAGGUUUUACUUGAUCAUCAGAGAUUUGUGGGUGGGUUUGUUCCAAAGGCAUUUAUUGCCUUCGUCUUCUGGGGCUGUACCGCGUAAUGAAGCUCCAAAUGAUCAACCUCUGAUGCCUCCUCCUUCUAGGGUUUUGUCCAGUACUGAGGCUCCGAAUGAUCCCCCUCUGGUGCCUUCUCUUUCUGGGGCUCUACCGACUACUGAGACUUCUCCUAAGCAACCUUUGUGAAGGCUCCCUCUUGUUUGUUUAUUUUGACUCAAGUAUAUGUACAUAUUUGUAACUUAUCGGGGAUAUCAAUAAAUAAGCUUUCCUUUAUUUCAACGUAUUGUGUUAAAUACACCAAAGCCUUCUUCGCUAAGUUCUUUGAAUUUUCUUUUGUUGAAGCUUGUAUGUUGAAGCUUUGUGAGUGAAGCAUGCAGGUUGAGGUAGUGUUCCCUUAAUUUCCCGAGUGAGGAAAACUUCUCGGUUGGAGACUUGGAAAAUCCAAGUCACUGAGUGGGAUCGGCUAUAUGAAUCUUAGAACGCCAUUGUGUUUUGUCCUGUGUCAUAUCCUCCGUUAGAUCCAAGUACUCUAAGUCUUUUCUUAGGGUAUCUUCCAAAGUUUUCCUAGGUCUUCCUCUACCCCUUCGGCCCUGAACCUCUGUCAUAUAGUCGCAUCUUCUAAUCGGAGCGUCAGUAGGCCUUCUUUGCACAUGUCCAAACCACCGUAACCGAUUUUCUCUCAUCUUUCCUUCAAUUUCGGCUACUCCUACUUUACACCGGAUAUCCUCAUUCCUAAUCUUAUCCUUUCUCGUGUGCCCACACAUCCAACGAAGCAUCCUUAUCUCCGCUACACCCAUUUUGUGUACGUGUUGAUGCUUCACCGCCCAACAUUCUGUGCCAUACAGCAUCGCCGGCCUUAUUGCCGUCCUAUAAAUUUUUCCCUUGAGCUUCAGUGGCAUACGGCGGUCACACAACACGCCGGAUGCACUCUUCCACUUCAUCCAUCCAGCUUGUAUUCUAUGGUUGAGAUCUCCAUCUAAUUCUCCGUUCUUUUGCAAGAUAGAUCCUAAGUAACGAAAACGGUCGCUCUUUGGUAUUUCUUGAUCUCCGAUCCUCACCCCUAACUCGUUUUGGCCUCCAUUUGCACUGAACUUGCACUCCAUAUAUUCUGUCUUUGAUCGGCUUAGGCGAAGACCUUUAGAUUCCAACACUUCUCUCCAAUGGUUAAGCUUUGCAUUUACCCCUUCCUGAGUUUCAUCUAUCAACACUAUAUCGUCUGCGAAAAGCAUACACCAAGGAAUAUCAUCUUGAAUAUGUCCUGUUAACUCAUCCAUUACCAACGUAAAAAGGUAAGGACUUAAGGAUGAGUCUUGAUGUAAUCCUACAGUUAUGGGAAAGCUUUCGGUUUGUCCUUCAUGAGUUCUUACGGCAGUAUUUGCUCCUUCAUACAUAUCCUGUAUAGCUUGGAUAUAUAUGCUACUCGUACUCCUUUCUCUCUCUAAAAUCCUCCAAAAGAUGUCUCUCUUGGGUCUCCCCCUAUCAUACGCUUUUUCCAAAUCUAUAAAGACCAUGUGUAAAUCUGUUUUCCCAUCUCUAUAUCUUUCCAUCAAUCUUCGUAAGAGAUAGAUUGCCUCCAUGGUUGAGCGCCCUGGCAUGAACCCGAAUUGGUUGUCCGAAACCCGUGUCUCUUGCCUCAAUCUAUGCUCAAUGACUCUCUCCCAAAGCUUCAUUGUAUGACUCAUUAGCUUAAUACCCCUAUAGUUCAUGCAAUUUUGUACAUCGCCCUUAUUCUUGUAGAUAGGCACCAAAGUGCUCAUUCGCCACUCAUUUGGCAUCUUCUUCAUUUUCAAAAUCCUAUUGAAAAGGUCAAUGAGCCAUGUUAUACCUGUCUCUCCCAAAACUUUCCACACUUCGAUUGGUAUAUCGUCUAGGCCUACUGUUUUUCUAUGCUUCAUCUUCUUCAAAGCUACAACCACUUCUUCCUUCCGGAUUCUACGAUAAAAAGAGUAGUUUCGACAUUCUUCUGAGUUACUCAACUCCCCUAAAGAAGCACUCAUUUCAUGUCCUUCAUUGAAAAGAUUAUGAAAAUAACCUUUCCAUCUGUCUUUAACCGCGUUCUCUGUAGCAAGAACAUUUCCAUCCUCAUCCUUGAUGCACCUCACUUGGUUUAGGUCCCUUGUCUUCUUUUCCCUUGCUCUAGCUAGUUUAUAGAUAUCCAACUCUCCUUCUUUGGUAUCUAGUCGCUUAUACAUAUCGUCAUAAGCCGCUAACUUAGCUUCUCUCACAGCUUUCUUCGCCUCUUGCUUCAUUUUUCUAUACCUUUCACCAUUUUCAUCGGUCUUAUCCUUGUAUAAGGCUUUACAACAUUCCUUCUUAGCCUUCACCUUUGUUUGUACCUCCUCAUUCCACCACCAAGAUUCCUUUUGGUGUGGGGCAAAGCCCUUGGACUCUCCUAAUACCUCUUUUGCUACUUUUCGGAUACAACUAGCCAUGGAAUCCCACAUUUGGUUAGCUUCCCCCUCUCUAUCCCACACACACUGGGUGAUUACUUUCUCUUUGAAAAUGGCUUGUUUUUCUUCUUUUAGAUUCCACCAUCUAGUCCUUGGGCACUUCCAAGUCUUGUUCUUUUUUCUCACUCUUUUAAUAUGUACAUCCAUCACCAACAAGCGAUGUUGAUUAGCCACUCUCUCUCCUGGUAUAACUUUGCAAUCCUUACAAGUUAUACGAUCCCCUUUCCUCAUUAGAAGAAAAUCUAUUUGUGUUUUUGACGACCCACUCUUGUAGGUGAUCACAUGUUCUUCUCCCUUCUUAAAGAAGGUGUUGGCUAAGAAGAGAUCAUAUGCCAUUGCAAAAUCCAAGAUAGCUUCCCCAUCCUCGUUUCUCUCCCCAAAACCAUGGCCACCAUGAAAACCUCCAUAGUUGCCUGUCUCCCUGCCCACGUGUCCAUUUAAAUCUCCUCCUAUAAAUAACUUCUCCGUCUGAGCAAUUCCUUGCACCAAGUCUCCAAGGUCUUCCCAAAAUUUCUCCUUCAAACUCGUAUCCAACCCUACUUGAGGUGCGUACGCACUAAUCACAUUGAUAAGUUCUUGUCCUAUUACAAUCUUGAUUGCCAUGAUUCUAUCUCCUACCCUCUUGACAUCUACAACAUCUUGUGUCAAGGUCUUGUCCACGAUGAUGCCAACACCGUUUCUCGUUCUAUUUGUGCCCGAAUACCAUAGUUUAAACCCUGAGUUUUCUAGAUCCUUUGCCUUACGUCCAACCCACUUAGUUUCUUGUAGGCACAUAAUAUUUAUCCUUCUCCUCACCAUAACUUCUACUACUUCCAUAGAUUUUCCCGUCAAGGUUCCUAUAUUCCACGUUCCUAAACGCAUUUUGCUCUCUUGAACUCUACCCUUCUGUCCUAGCUUCUUCACCCUUCCCCGUCUAAUAGGAUCAAAGUACUUCUUUUGUGUGUACCGUGUAAAGUUGAUAGGAGCAUAUGAGCCUAAACAACUUUGAGUGGAGUCGUUCGAAAAGAAGUUUCUAUAGCCCCCUUGCUCAUUUAACACUGCAUCCGGGUGCCGAUGGAGAUACAGCGACCCUUGCUCACUUAUCACUGUGCUCAGGCCACACAGCGCGCCACUUACGGGUGACGCCCUAGCUUUAGCGCGAUUUCGUUCUGGAUUCAUUUUCAUAAGGAUUCGACGUGAUCAUGGAGUGCCGGCUGUCGACUACCUGACGCCCUCCCCCUCAUCCUUUAUCCGGGCUUGGGACCGGCAAUGUAAGAUAAACUUACACGGCGGAGUUAAAGAAAAACGAAUGAGGAAAUUAUAGGAGAUUGUGUCGGCUUUGGCCAUGAAGGGUAUCAGCAGCUUUUUCCUCCCAUACAGGUGAUUAAUUGUUUUUCAGUCUGUGUUCAGUUUUAUUUAUUGGAUUUGGUUAGCAGCCAGUUUUAUGUAUUGGAUUUUUUAUUUGGAUUUAUAGCACUAAGGGUAUAGGUGAACGGUGAAGCGGUUUGUAUGGGCUCAUGUGUGUUUUAGAUAAUCUCAAGGACUAUGUAGAUACUAUGAUUUGGGGUUGCUUUUUUAAACCAUGAUAAAGCAUUCCAAGUAAUUUUAACAUAGAUAUCAUUUUUUAUGUAAGCAUGAGUAUAUGAAAUGUUAAGACGAUAAUAUAUCAUGUGAUUUAAAAUUCAAAGAGAGACAAUGAACCGUGUUUGAUAUUUUGUUUGUCUUGGUUCGUUUAAAUUUGGGCCUUUUUCAGUUGGAUUCAUGGGUUUUGUUUAAGAUAUCAUUUUUGGUUUAUGAAUGGUUUUAAACAUCCACAACAUCGCGCAGGCACACUUUCACUAGUAUUUUACUAAACUAGUGCACUUGAAUGUCCGUAGCUAAAUAUAUUAUAAUGAAUUAGUGGAACAUAAGAAAAUAUGGAAAAACGUAAGUGUACCAAAAAGUCCGUACCUAAACAUGGUAUACUAAAUUAGUGUAACAUUAUGUCUGUACCUAAAUAUAUUAUACUAAACUAGUAUACCGAAAUAUUCAUACCUAAACAUAUUAUAUUAAACUAGUGUACUGAGAUGUCUGUACCUAAAUACAUUGUAAUAAAUUAAUGGCACAUAAGAAAAUAUGCAAAACAUAGGUGUGCCGAAAAGCCUCUACCAAAAUAUUUUCUUAUAUAAGAUACUUACAAUAAAUUGGUGAUGCAAAAUGUCAACAAAUAAAAGCUAAUUCAUUUGAAUUCAAAUGAGUAUUAAAAUUUAAUUCAUAUCAGCAUAAAAUUAUAAAUAGGAAAAAAAAAUAAAGACAUUGAAUGCAUAUGCUGCCAUUAAAUAGAGUCUAGGAACUAAAAUAAAUUUUUAAUCUUGUGUGAGACAUUUUUCUAAAUUUUAUUUUAUUUAAGGAUUAAAAUCUAGUUUUCUAUUACUUAUAUUUCUGACUACAUAUGGUUAUUAGUUACUUUAGUCGAGAGUUGACGCACCUGGAAUGGUACGUGGAAAACAUGUUAGCACUUGAUUCCCAGUCAAAGCCACACACGAGAGCAUUGUGUAUGUCUUUAUAAGUAAUAAAAACUAAUAACCUGAAAUGCUCUCGUAUUUCUAAAGGCCCGACUCCAAGUUCAAAGCCAUACACGAGAGCAUUGUGUAUGUCUUUAUAAGAGACGUUGCUGUAGUCCUUGACGGAGUAGUCAAAGUGACCCAAAUUCAUCCAAGCCUUCCCCUCUGCACUGCAACCCUCAUCCAAAUCCCAUCCUAUCAUGGCCCCGACCUUGACGUAGCUAUACGUUUUUGGUUGGCUCGAAGAACUUGUAUUAUUCAAGCAUGGAGCAGUGUCCACGUACAGAGAAGAAUUCAACGGAUUCAAACAUUUCAAGUAAUAUAUAGAUGUUGAAUACAGUGAUGAAUAUCGUACGUAUGGAUGAGUAAUGAGCGGAAAAUUUCGAGGCCUGGAAGAGCAAUUGGUGUUCACAAGGCCAGGAUCUAGAAGUCGGAUUGUUGUGUCAGUGUAGUUGAUUGCCUGGACGUAGUAUUUUCCGGAAGGUAGGUAUAGUACUGUAAUGUUGCUCUCACAGGACAGGGUAUACCUUACGUCGCCACAAUAUUUUGGAUCAUGGUUCAGUCGAAAAGGAUAGCUUAUGUUGUGGAUAUGGCAGCAGGAUGAAGUACAGGACUUGGCACUAGUGUCGACCUUAGCGUUACAAGUUUCACUGCAGAAGCCAAGAAGAAGAAAGGCUAAACUUAAGGUGAAGGACCUGCUUCCACUAAUUUCCAUUGGGGAGAGAGAGAGAGAGAGAGAGAGAGAGAGAGGUGUACUAGUCCACACCAAGUAGUUAUAUAAUAUAGGAGGGGUCAAGCACCUUCCGUGAAAUUGCUGUUGAAAUAUCCUAGAGAAAAAUCGUCGUCAAUGGUGUCCUAGAGAAAAGUCGGGCGAUGGUGUUUGACAGUCAGUCAACGGCAAAGAUAUUUCUCUUUCAUUAAGGAAGGAUACUGCGUAAUUACUACGCAUAUAUCUCUGCUUAAUCACACAAAACAAAAAUUUCCAGCUAUAGUAUCAUUUGUGAUUCAUUUAUUAAUAAGAUAUUAUACAGGGAACUGUUAUUAGUACUCUAAAAAUCUCAUUCUACACAAGUUUAUUUUUCUUUUUAAUUAUAGAAAGUUUGGAGUGCAAAAUGAGAUUUUUGGAGUGCCAAUAACAAUUUCCUAUUAUAUAUAGCUCUACUUGGAAGGUGACUAUAUGUCUUCAUCGUGUUAAAUUGUAUAUGGCUCUUGAUGUCGGCUGAAUUGAAUCUAAAUGAAAACCAAGCUGUUGAUCUUACCAGCCCAUAUCACUUAUCUCUUGCUUAUUUAAAUUAUGUGAAGAUGCGUAUGUUGAUUGGUGAUUUUGUUGGAUUCACUCAGUUCAAAUAUAUGUUAUCUGAAUCGUUACAUUUGAGAAUGUGAUUAUGUUCCUACCACCAUUUUGCCUACUUUCUGUGGAAAUUAUUCAUGCCUAUUGUGAAUAAUACAUUCACCUCCUGCAGCGAAGCGCGAGCACAUUUUCUAAUUUAAGUUGAAUCGCAAUGGGUCAUCAAAAAUUACGAACUCGUCAUUUAUACAAGUCAAACAUGAGACCACCUACCUACUAGUUUAGUGGAAUACCACAAGUGACAUGUUGAUACCUUUAAAUCUCAUUUUCCAUAUAAUGGAUUGCAAAAUUAGGAUAUACCUAAACUAAUUUAGUCAGUGCCCGAACAAUUAAGCAGGGCUUUAUUCUUGCUUGAAUGUUUGUUAUAUGUUAAUAGUUUGACAAGGCAAUUAUAUUUCCGACUACAAAAGUUAUUAAUUUGGUCGAGAUUUGACGCACCUGAAAUGGUGUGAGGAAAACAUGUAGACACAUAAUCCGCAGUCCACUGUCCUGGGCAUCUAUCUUCAGGAGGUAUGAAUCCAAGCUCAAAGCCAUACACGAGAGCAUUGUGUAUGUCUUUAUAAGAGACGUUGCUGUAGCUGUAGCUAAAGCCAACGGAGUCGUAAAAGGAAUCCAAGGGCAUCCACUCUACACUGCAACCCUCAUCCAAAUCCCAUCCUAUCAUGGCCCCGACCUUGACGUAGCUAUACGUUUUUGGUUGGCUCGAAGAAGAACUUGUAUUAUUCAAGCAUGGAGCAGCAGUGUCCACGUACAGAGAAGAAUUCAAUGGAUUCAAACAUUUCAAGUAAUAUACAGAUGCAGAUCUUGGAUACCGUGAAUAUCGUACAUAUGGAUGAGUAAUGAGCGGAAAAUUUCGAGGCCUGGAAGAGCAAUUGGUGUUCACAAGGCCAGGAUCUAGAAGUCGGAUUGUUGUGUCAGUGUAGUUAAUUGCCUGAACGUAGUAUUUUCCGGAAGAAGGUAGGUCUAAUACUGUAAUGUUGCUCUCACAGGACAGUGUAUACAUUACAUUGCCGCAGUGCUUCGGAUCAUGGUUCAGUCGAAAAGGAUAGCUUAUGUUGUGGAUAUGGCCGCAGGAUGAAGUACAGGACUUGGCACUAGUGUCGACCUUAGCGUUACAAGUUUCACUGCAGAAGCCAAGAAGAAGAAAGGCUAAACUUAAGGUGAAGGACCUGCUUCCACUAAUUUCCAUUGCAGAGAGAGAGAGAGAGAGAGAGAGAGAGAGAGGUGUACUGGUACUCACCAAGUAGUUGUAUAAUAUAGGAGGGGUCAAGCACUUUCCGUGAAAUUGCAGUUGAAAUAUCCUAGAGAAAAAUCGUCGUCAAUGGUGUCCUAGAGAAAAGUCGGGCGAUGGUGUUUAACACAGUCAGUCAACGGCAAAGUUAUCUCUUUCAUUAAGGGAGGACACUGCGUAAUUACUACGCAUAUAUCUCUGCUUAAUCACACAAAACAAAAAUUUCCAUUUUUUCCCUAAAAAUUAAUUUUCUUUCACCUCCAACCCAUCAUGUAUAUUCUAUAAGAUAAGAAUAAUCCAUUGACUAGCUCCAAUUAAGCAAGUUUCAUAACUUGCUUGAUGACUCUGAUCAUGUGUAAUUUUGGGGAAUUGGAUGCUAUUUUAUCCCUACUUUGUUAGGCUUUUGUAAAUGGUUCUUUCACAUUUUUCAAAUGGUUUACAAUCUCUCUCAUUUUCUCUAUUUAUUUUUAAUCUUGUUUGUAUUUUCAAUCUUUCGUUCUUCCAAUUGCUGGAGCUCUACCAGAUUGGCUUUUCAUUGUUCUGAGUCUAUAUUAGACCCUUUUUCAGGUUUUGAUUUGUUAUGUCUCAUUUUUUUUAUUUACUCGGUUAAUUUGCUUCAAUUCUUUCAAUUCUUUCUUGUUAUUUUGAUGAUUUAUAUUAGUAUUAUAUAAAAUAGGAAGAACUUAUACAUUAAUCCGUUUAUCAAAUAUAUGAAAAAAUAAUUUACCCAACGAAUGUGUUAUGUCGUGUGUAAGAAUGUUUUUCCUUUUGUGUUUUAAUUCUGCACUUAUUUUUAUUUUUUCCACAUAAAUAUAACGAGCCUACAUUAUUUUUUCUAUGAAUUAUUUACCUACUUUAAUUAUUUUAUAUACCUACGUUAUUUAUUCUUGAAUCUUUUCACACAUGGCCAAACUUCUCUUGGAAGUUUAAUUAGAUGAAACAAUAUGAAUCUUGAACAAACCAAAGCAAAGCAAAACGUACUCAACACUUACAGGAAAUCAGUCCAAGAAUGAAAACUUUCUUAUCACUUUCUAUCCAAAAUUUUGGAAUUAUGUGUGUUGCAACGGUUGUCCGAAGGAUUAUUCUUCUUUUAUUAAAUUUCUAAGGAAAAUUAGCAUAUGGGGCGUAAAUGUUGAAUGGAUGAAUUUUCAUUGACUUGGAAAGGGAUUGUGACUUUAACACGCUAUUUUUCUUCAUCUUAUGCACUCAUGUUUAUCAAAAGACAAAUAAAUAUGACUUUACAUAAGGAGAGAGAAAGAGUAUUUUCCUUUGUAAAAAUCAACUAUUCAUUUUCGAAGUGGUAGUCAUUGACACGAUACUUGAUUAGAAGAAAAGUCAUAGUAAUUUGUUUUUAUGGGAACGAGAGUGCAAGUUCUUAAUUGGAAUAUGAGAUGAAGUUUCUACAUAACUAUCUGUGGCAAAGAAAGAAGUCUAAGUUUCUAAGUGGUAAGGGCUCCAAUUGAUGCGCGUUUGUUGAGAAAUGAAGAUGAAGAUGAAUAUUGAUAUUGAUGUGAGUUAGUGAACAAGUUGCUUCGAUCUCCUUUGGCCCUCUAAGAUGAUUAUUGAUUGGUGGACUAAGACGUACCAUACAAUUUUUUAUAACCAGCGAAGAUGAACAGUGUCGUGACAAAAUUUAUCCAAGUAGACCCAAGGGCAAGACUUAGGAACUUCAUAUACAGUGGGAUAAAAUGUUGGGCUAAUUUCCUAUUUUAUCUUAUAGUCAUUAAGUAAAAUGUAUUGCACAUUUCUGGAUGCAUACACAUUAAUGUACAUAAUAUUAGUUGAAUAUCAGAGUACGCAACUUUUACAAACAAAUUAACUGAAUAUAAAACGUUUAUAAAAUUUUAUUAAACGGAAUUGCCAAGAAGGCUACAUGAAUCCAAGAGACCACAUCUUGAUUGACUUGUUAUCUCUCAAUAACAAAGCUCUCUAUUUAUAAUAAACUAACCCUAGUCCCUAAUAAGCAAGGAAAUGAAAACCUAAUUUUAAUGGGCUAAGCCCAAAUCCAAACACUAAAUAAAUAACUAUUUUCCAACACCCCCGUCAAACUUGUGGCGGUACACGUCAUGAGUUUGCCAACAAGCAGAUGUGGAUGCAAGCUCCGUUAGGCGGACACGACAAGACAAGCUUCGUUAGGCGGACACGACAAGACAAGCUCUGUUAGGCAGACACGACAAGACAAGCUCUGUUAGGCGGACACGACAAGACAAGUCUCUAUCCCUCGCACAUCAAUCAAAAGACUCCUUUUUGGUGUGAAAACUGAAAACUUUUAUUCAUUUUAUUUCUUUCAUUUUUCUCAUCGGCUUCAUCUUCUUUCCUUUCCACUUCUUCUUUCUUUUUCUUUCCGUUUUCCUUCUGUACAUUCUCCCUUUUUUCUUGUUUCCUCUUCUUCUGUUUUGCGUUGUAAGUUCCUCUUCUUCGAUGGAUUUCAGAGAGAGGGAGUCACAACAGCUAAGAAGGUGGUGGUGCAUAGAGAGAGGGAGUCAAAGCGGUGGAAUUUCUUCUCAGGAAACCUCCACUCCGCCUACACCACCACCUAGACAGUCGCCUAGAUCGUCGCCUAGACCGCCCAAGCUGCCUAAGAGCGCCUAGGCGAGCGCCUAACAGCUCCAUGAUUUUUCUUAACGAUUCAGACCUAAUCGCAUCGGCACCACCACGCCCAGCUCCUAGGUUGCCGCUUAGGUCAUUUUUUAGAACACUGGUAAUACUCGUGUGGUGCAAUUCUAAUCUCUUAUAUAUAACUUUUUUGUGAUCCAUUUCUCCAUCACCAUGCCUAAAUCCCUUUAGAAUUUGCAAUUUCCUCACCCCAACAAACCCCAACAUUCUGUUGGAUAUGGUAAAAAAAAAAAACUCAGAAUUUCAUUUAAACUUGAAAAUUUAGGGAUGGGAAAGCAAUUUUCUCUUGUUUGGCAACUUGUAGCGAGAGAACAGGAAAAUUCCACAGGAAAAAAGUGGAAAUUGGGGAUGAAGAUUCUUGAGUUUAAUUUUGUCUAAAUAAGUGUAAUUUCACAAUUCCAACUACGACAAGAUUCACAAAUUCAUAUAUGGGGAAGUUUUGCGAGCACCAAACUUUACUAUUAGGGCACCAAAUUUCAUGAUAAAACCUGAUAAGGGUUUAGGGCUGCAUCGUUCACUCUGUUAAGUCUCCAAUCUUCGACGAGAUUUUUAGCUCGUGCAUCAUCUUCUCACUUUGUUGUAGGGUUACAUCUCUUCGUUCUUGAAUUAUUUUUAGCUUUUCGGGUAUACUUUUUCUGCUCAUUGUGAAUUUUGAAAUGGGGCAGGAAGAACAUACAAAAAAAAGAUAAGAGCUGGAGCCCAUCCCAGACAUAAUACGACAGUGUUGGAACCCCAGUGUUGUCCCACAUCGGCUAGAGGGCUCAAGUGAAAGUGCUUUAAAUAGAAAUACCCCUCUCUAACUAACAUCGAGGCCUUUUGUGAUAAAACCCCACACCUGAGGAUUGUGCAGGUGGUUAAGUGGGGACAGUAUCGAUGUUGUUGGAGUGGGCCCUCGGCCCGUCGACCUGAAAAUUUCCACAUGGUAUCAGAGCCAGGAGGCGGGCCCGUACUGCCACGUGAUUGGGUGGGUCCCCUUUGGCCCCGCGCGAUGUCCACGUAGGCCAAAGAUGCCACGUGUUUGGGUGGGUCCCCAAUGGCCCCGCAUGAUGGGUGAGUCCCCAAUGGCUCCACGUGGUUGUCGAUGUGGAUUUUCACGUGUGACCCAUAAAUGGGGUCUCACGUGCGGGGGAGUGUUGGAACCCCAGUGUUGUCCCACAUCGGCUAGAGGGCUCAAGUGAAAGUGCUUUAAAUAGAAAUACCCCUCUCUAACUAACAUCGAGGCCUUUUGUGAUAAAACCCCACACCUGAGGAUUGUGCAGGUGGUUAAGUGGGGACAGUAUCGAUGUUGUUGGAGUGGGCCCUCGGCCCGUCGACCUGAAAAUUUCCACAGACAGUUUUCCAUCCUUAAUCCGAUCAAUGCACUAAGACAAGUGGAGAGCAAAAGAGUUUCCAUGGGUUUAGUACCUAGUACCAAAAUAAGGUGGUACUUCGGCUAUUGCGAUGGGAAUCUUUAUGAACACUAAAUUUGGAAUGUAAUGUUUUUUCGAAUCAACACCAGGGGGCUUCGAGCUAUGUGUUCUGCCCUAUUAUUCAUUACUUCAAAGUUAACGUACUUUGGAAAGAUUGUUGGAUUAAAUCAUAUUCUAAAAUGUUAAAGCAAAGGAUGGAAUGUCCCAAGCACUUAGUCACUUGGGUAAGAGCUAUUUAGACACAGGCAUAAAUGAUCCAAAAGACCAUGCAUUCACAAGUAAAUUGCACCAAAAUAAGAUAUCCCCAAGUACCAUCACUAGGGAAAAGAUGUUGAAGUUAUGGAAAGGACAAGCCCUCAUCCUAGCAAACAACAAAUUAAUGCAAAACAUUGUCAACAACCCUAUUUGGCAACAACUUCCCUUUUGGAAGAAGUUGAAGGAUCUACGAAAAUACUGGCUGAUGGAUCACCAUUGGAAGUAGAUCCUCUUCUUCGGAUGCCUCAAAGUCAGAAAUUUUGCUCAGUAAGUCUUUAAGAGCAGCGAAAUCGGCAUCCCAUAUUUUUUUCAGAAUCUGGUAGGUGUCUCAACCUCCAAAAUGAUCUUACUGCGCGUAGCCAAAUAUAUACCCAAAGUUGUACCCCUCUGCAUAUUUUUCUUCGGACGCCUUCUUGUGAGAUGCACGCACGCCCAUUAUUUCUGACUCAUGCUCAUCCUUGAGUUGUUUAAGAUUUGCAAAGCGAACUUUGUCUUUCUAUUCGAUCUAACGGCGAAGUCUUUCCACCUCUAACGGCGAACAUUGUGAGAUGCACGCACGCCCAUUGUAAGCAUUCCGCUUCGAAGACAACGUUCGAUUGAUUAAGCUUCAAGACGCAACAAAGUUUGUUCCACCUCAACUUUGGCUUUGCAUUCUAGCUCCAACUUUUCCUGCAGUUCAGCAAGAGUUGCCUUGUAUUCAUUUGCUUUAAUAUAUUCAAGAGUGGCUUCAUUUAUGCAUUUCUUUACCUCUACAUUAUGGGCUACUCUCAUAAUUUGUUGCUCUACCUAUACCCUCUUGAGCUUCGCCAAUUGAGCUUGCACUUGUUGCUUGAGCUGUAUUUGGCCUCUGAUUCAUGCAAGGAAAACCGCUUAAGAUGACAAAUUCACUUCGCUUGGCCAAAAAGAGUCGCCUCUGUCCAGACAUGAGUCUGACCAAUGCAAGUAAAGGAAAGGAAAAACAAAAUUACCAAAGUUAUUUUGUAAGAAAAGAAUGAAGGAUUACCUCAUAUCGACUUUCGUGACAUCGCAUCAUGGCGUCUUCAAAGGACGUGCGAGCUUCCUAGUAGUCCGCAUGGGUAAUUGCAGCGCUAAGAAAAGCUCGGGUAAAAUUUAUGUUUCGAGUCUUAACGACAAGCAAGGGCAGCGCGCCCCCUUCAAUUCUGGUUAAAGUCGCCAGCAAGGGAAUGUUAGGUUCGAGAGGCACCUCGACAGGUUCAGGUAAACUCCUUGUCACUAGAGGAAUCAGAACUGGGAUAUAAAGGGGUUUAAGGACUCGAACAUCAUUCGGAAGUGGUGGCAAAGCUGUCUGCUAUUGCGCAGGUAGAGAUUCAAGCUUGGAUUCAUGUGGUUGUUGUUGCGUCAGUUCUUAAAAUGGAAGGAAAAGAGGUUGAGAUUCUCUUAUGAGAUGAUGCGGAGCAGGAGUAUCUGGAGUUGUAUUUAUCGAAACAACCAGACGUCUUUUUCUCCUCAUAGUGGAAUUUCUUCCUCCUCUUUGGGAUUCUUGGGUACCACCUCUAUUAUUGGUAGACUUAUUUGAAAAGGUGUAGCUAACGACGUUGAGGAAGUUUUACCAGACCGUUUUAGCUUUUUUUUGCUGGAGUGGGAUAAAUUUUGGGUUUGAGAUGAUGGACCCCCUAAUAAACCUAUUUCACUUUGAUCCAAUUAGGAUCCAGAAUGGGGAACUUAGAACAAUGAUUGAUGAUUGUAUUAUUCCCCCAAUCCAAAAAUCGAACUGAGGAAGUCAGCCAGUUCCAAUUACGGUGCUUAGUAAGGAUUUGCGUUGCCUGAGUGAUCAACUCUGGUCAACACGUGCCAAUAUUCUUCAGGUCAUUGUUCAGACAAAGGUUGCAAUAAGUGAUGUGAUAGCAGCAUAUUUAUGCGACUUAGUUAGCUUGUUUUUCUUGCAUUUAUGUUGUGAGUUCUUACUUAUUAUAGUGUUUUAAGCUAUUUUCGUGUGUUUGUAGGUCCAAUUGACAAAGUUGGCAAGAAAAUGCAAUUUGGAGCAUUUUGGAGCAGUUUUGGGCAUCAAAUGGAUAGCUUAUGAAUGGAGUAAGAUGGAUGGACGAAUUUGAAGUUCAAGAGGCUAGGAAUGUGUUGAAAAGAUGAAGAAAAUAAAUUCAAGAGAAAGAAGAUAAGGAAUUAGCUCAAAAGAAGGAACAUUAUCCAAAACCUUAUCCAACCUUAUCUUAUCCAAACAAACCUUAUCUUAUCUUAUCCUUGCCUAAUCUAGCUUUAUCCUAUCUUAUCUAAAUCAGUUUGUGCCUUAAAUCCAGCUGCAAGAGGACCUAAAUAUCUGAUUUCUAGAAGGCCUAUCAUUUCCUUACACUUAUGCCGCACCUUUAUCCUUCUAGAACCCCUAAAUUUGUGCCGCAUCUCAGCCCUAUAAAUAUACAUCUUUGAUGCACAAAUAAAUGACCCACGCACCCACAUAUAUUCAGAUACAAUUGAGAGAUUUCAGAGAAUUCAAAAGGUGUACCUGCGUGGAGGAAGGAGAAGGAGAAGCUUGUGUCGUGGCUUGCAAUCCAAGGGGGAGUUUGAAAUCUGCCAUUGGAGUUGCUAGGGCGUUCUUGGUUCUUUCUAUCCUUAGAUUUGUUUCAAUGUUGCUUUUAAUUUGGUUUUAUGUUUUCAAAGACAUGAGGAACUAAUCUCUUUUUAGUUGGAGGUGAAUUUGAAGCCAUGAUUAUAUGUUUUGAUAUGAAUUGAUUACAUCCAGUUAUUGUUUCUUGAGUCUUGAAUGUGAUUUGCUUAUCUGAGUUAUCAAAACUUGUUUAUGUAUGUUGAUUGAGGGUCGACACUUAAUUUGCAUGCAUGAAUUUGAUGCUAGAGUAUAAGGGAGUUUCACCUAAUCAUUAUGAACUUAUAUUCACAAGUAGUAAAGGUUGCUAGUCACAAUCGUGUUAAGUAAAUCCUUGGCAGGAGUAUCAUGCUUUUCAUAGUUACGAAUGCCUCGUCAAUGCUUAUGAUUUUCAAAGAACUUAAUGACCUUUGAUAUGUUUUCUAUCAUGCUUUUCAUAGUUAGGGAACUUGAGAAGGAUAAUUUGGUUGUGAUGUGUAUCCCGUCCAAUUCAAUGAAAUAAGGGAAAUCUGAUGGUUAAUUUGUGCUGUCACGGUUAACUUGGGGUGUUGUCAUUCAUGGUUUAAGGGAACAAUACUGGAAAUUGGUUUAUAUGCAUAUGUCAUGUGUGGAGAAAGAUCCUCUGGCUAAGUUUUCAUCAUUCAAAUCACCUAAUUUACUUUGUUUUGCAAUCUGUUUUGUUUAGUUAAUUUUCGUCCAAAUCAAUCCCCCUUCUAAUUAAGUGUCUUAGAUUAGUUAAAAAAGUGUUUCAAUCUGUCCAACUUAGUGUUUUAAGUCCCACUAGUGUUAAAUUCGUCCAAAUAGUUCUUAGAACCUGUUUUGAGUCUUUUUAACUUAGUUUUGCUGUUUUGAGUGUUUUAUGUCAAUUUUGAGUUUGUAGUGUUUAGUUGUGUGUUUUUUAGUCUAUUUGAGUGUUUCUAAGUCUAAUUUGGUAUUUCUGAGUCAUAUUUGUGUAGAUUAACAUCCCUAGUUAAUCCCCGGUUUAGAACGAUCCUUACUUACAUCUUUACUACAAUUAUCAUUCAUAGGGUUUAAUUUGUGUGUCAAGUUAAUUUUCACAUCAAAUUUGGCGCCGUUGCUGGGGAUUAGCAAACUUGCUAAUCUCUUUUGUUUGAGUAGUGUGUCUUUAUUGUUAUGGCAGAUGAGUCUACAAAAUUUGUGAAAACAUUAGAUAUAAAGAAAUGUGAGAAAUAAGAACCAAAUAACAGUGAAAUGAAUGAUAUAAGACUCAUCUGUCAGAACAACAAGGCAUUCGAUUUUCAAAAGUACACUCAACGAUCACUGGAGGAUGAUCUUAGAGUUGUAGUUGGAAUCAUCUUCCAGUGAUUUGAUAUAAAAACAGAUUUGAUGGGAUUUAGAAGCAAAUGUUGGGUUUGAAGAGAUUUAGGUAAUGGUUGGGGACGGGGAGUGAGUUGAUGGGAUUCAGUAGCAAAUGUUGGAUUGUAGAAUCUAAAAACAGAUUUGAGAGGCUAAAAUGUAAUUCGGAUAUUAGUACUACGGUCUAAUAACGUAUUUGUAAGUGAAAAAUUUUAGGUUUGUAUUUCAAGAAUAAGGAGUUCAUAACCAAUUUAUUCCAUAUAUCAUUGUGCAUAUAAAAUAAUGUAAUUCGAAAAUUAAUUUAGUGACGAUGCUACAAUUAAUUAUAUCAUCAAUUUUGGAAUCCCAUUCUUGGCUUAUGUCAAAAUCCAAACAAAUUUAAACCCUCAUUUUUUUCAGAUUUUGGAAAGAAUGGCAUCAUUGAAUUCAAUAUCGUGAUAUGGGAGACUGAGUAAGCUAAAUUUGGAGUAUUUUAAUGUCACAGUAUAAAUAUGGCACCAACAAUAGACGUAAGCCAAAGUCAUAGGUUUAAUGCAGACAAUAGUAAAUACUGAAUACUGAAUAUUGGAUACUGAAUGGAGGGCGGCUUUAACGCUUUCAGUGUACCAAAUUUUGAUACUAAUUGACUUGAUCUCUUCACAUGGUACAUAGGUAGUCUAGCUCGAAUGUUAUGCAGCCAUAAAAUUAAAUAAAUUAAUAUUGUAUCAUGUCCCGGAGUUCAGCACGUGACAUUAUUGUGAGGUCUAGGUACAGUCCUUAGAGUGAUAAAAACAAGGCUCCUCCAGGGAGGGCUAGUCGGAGGUGUGAAUGGACAUUUACUUCACACUCAUAGGAAAUCAGUCCAAGAAGUGGACAUGGAUGCUGGGUACUCAACACUCAUAGGAAAUCAGUCCAAGAACGAAAGCUUUCUUUUUAGUUGCUAUCCAAAAUUUUGGAAUUAUGUGUGUUGUCCAAAUGAUUAUUCUUCUUUUAUUAAAUUUCUCAGGAAAAUGAGCAUGAGGCGUAAAAGUUGAACGAAUGAAAUUUCAAUGAUCUGGAAAGGGAUUGUGAGUUUGCCACACCAUUUUUCUUUCUUUUAUGCCUUCAUGUUUAUUAGAAGAUAAAAAUAAAGAAGGAAAACUAAUGAAAAGUCCAAUUUUUUUUUAGUUUUAAUGAAAAAUGACAAAUAAAUGUGUAGUGAAUAGUACCAGAGAAAGGUAAAAAUGUGGCUUUUCGUUAGAAGUGAACAGUCCUGGGAGUGUUUCGUUAAAACUUCCAAAUAAAUAUGACUUUAUUUGGAGAAAAAAAAGUAUUUCCUUUGAAAAAAAAUCAACUAUUUAUUUAAGAGGAUGUGAAUGAUUGAUGGUGAAUACAAAGAACCACCUUAGAGGGAGACGAGACAUUUAUUAGAAGCCAAAAAAAAAGUUACAAUGAUUUAGUAAAAAAACAAGAAAACCUCAUUUUCUAAGUGGCAGUCAUUGACACGCUAUUUGACUAGAAGAAAAGUCAUAGUAUUGUAUUUACUUUCAAGCCUCUAGGGGGAACGAGAGUGCAAGUUUCCAAAUGGAAUAUGGGAUGAAAUUUCUACAUAACUCUAUCUGACAAAGAAAGAAGUCUAAGUUUCUAAGUGGUAGGGCUUCCAAUUGAUGUGAGUUUAUUGAGAAAUGAAGAUGAACAUGAAUAUUGAUAUUGAUGUGAGUUAGUGAACAAGUUGCUUCGAUCUCCUUUGGCCCUCUAAUAAGAUAAUACCGGAAAACAAGUUGUUACUAAUACAUGUAUCGGAUUGGUAGACUAAGACGUACGGUACAAUUUUUUAUAACUAGAGAAGAUGAACACUGUCACUGUCGUGACAAAAUUUAUCCAAAUAGAUCCAAAGACUUGGGAAGCUUCAUAUGCAGAUCUAAAGCUAAUUUCCUUUUUAAUCUUAUAGUCAUUACGUAAAAUGUAUAUGCAUAUUUCUAGAUGGAUACACACCAAUCUUGAAAUAGGGGAUGAAGAUUCCCGAUUUUAAUUUCGUCUAAAUAGGUGUAAUUUCACAAUUCCAACUAUAACGAGAAUCACAAAUUUAUAAGCGGAAAAAUCUUGCCAGCGUCAAACUUUCUUGAAUAAGGGUUUAGGGCGCCAAAUUUCAUGAUAAAACCUGAUAAGGGUCUAGGGCUGCAUCUUUCACUCGAUUAACUCUCCCAUCUUCGAAGGGAUUUUCGGCUCUUGCAUCAUCUCUUGCUUUUGUUCUAGGUCAACGCCUCUACUCUCUUCUUUCUUGAAUUAUAUUUUUAACUUUUCGGGUAUACUCUUUAUGCCAAUUGUGAAUUUUGCUAGUUAUUUUUAUUUUCUGAUAGUCAUAUGUUUGUGUGCUUUUUUUCUUCCGAUUGAAUUGUGUAUUGGUUGGAUCUGUUACACAAUUUUUUAGUUUUUUUAUGGAUUUUGAUGUUAGUUCCUUGUUAUAGAUAUUGUGUUUUUGAAGGUUUAACAAUAGGCAAGACUGAAUAUGAUGAUUUCGGUGUUAAUUACUUUCUCAUGGUACUAUACUAGAUUGUUCUCUCUUUGCAUUUACAUGUAACCAACUGUUCAUUGUAGAAAUGUAGUAUUUGGAAGACCUUUUUUUUUUUCUUUCUGAUUUAGUGUAUGUUUUUUGGACAAAAGAAACAUGUAGAAGAGAAAACAUGAUUGAUAACAUUGUGCAUCUUUUUUUUUUUUUUUUGACAGAAAGCGAUAGAGUGUUCCAUGGCCAAUUUGUUUUAUCUAGAGAUAGUUUGCACAAGAUGCAAACAUUUUGUAAACCCUAUACGGCUACCAUAAUAGACAACCACAAACAAGGGUCCCGAUAAAAUUGUCACAAAGACGACAAACGCGGCAAUCCUCACACUGGUACCUUGACAUAAAACCAUCGACAAUAAGACCAAAUAAAUCGCAUAAGAAAUACAAACAAAUCACCACAGUAACACAAAAUCUACUACCCUAACCUGCUCAAGGUCCUACAAACAAAAACUUAAACCUAAAGUCGAUGACAUGUCCACAUGCAUGUCCAAAGGGAAGAGACGUGGCAGGAGGCAUGGGUUGCACGACCAUGUGGGUGUGUCGGUGGCAAGGACAACAAAGGCUUGGGGCUUGGGUGGCAGAGGAGAUACCACGACACGCCAGAGCCACUGUCACAUUGUCAUCGCCGCCGCCACGAGCCCAUAGUAACCUGCAUAAAAUCGUUAGUGCUAAAAGCCGCCAAGGGUUUCCGCCGACUGGGAAAAAGAUAAGAUUUGUGAAGACGGAGGUCACAUGGAUGGCAUCAUAGCAAAAUUGAAAUCUUUUAAUCAUCCUCAGCAUUAUUCCGACAGCUAUCCACAAACUGAAGCAACGAAUUGGGCAAGUGUGCAACAAAUUUUCAAUGUGCGUCCAUUGUGAAUGAUUUACAAGGAGUGGGUUUAAUGACGUUUGUAGUUAAAGUGGGAUGCAACUUAGAGCACCAUCACUUGACUAUGUUCCUCUCAUUUUAUCUGUUCAUUUUUGCCUCAUUUGUUUUUUGGUUGCACCGCCUCAAAAACCUUGUGCGUCUACAUGUAUAUAGAACUUUUGGUUAAAACAGAGUCACAUAUCUUAUAACUAUUUAAAUUUUGUUGCAUAUCACAAUAUAUAUUUGUUCAUACAUUCAAACAUGUAUGGCAAAUACUGAGGAGGAACAUAGAAAAAAAAAUGAAAAUUAUUGUUAGUACAAUUGUAUAUGUUAUUGACAUGGUCAUGCAUUGGUAUAGUAAGAGUUUUCUCGUCGUAGAACUUUCAAAUGAUUGGAAUCAAGGAAGACAAUCUUUUCCCCAAUUAAUUAUUCUCGCCAUAUUUUUCCUUAGCGCCGUUAAGUUUCACUUAAAAAGCAAAAGAAGAAGGCUAAAAUUAAGGUGAAGAACCUGCCUCCACUAAUUUCCAUGAAGUUGCAGUAAGGACAUAAAUCACCUUCCGUGAAGUUUCAGUAAGGACUUCAAAUAUCCCAGAGAAAAGUCAGUCAAUGGUGUUUUGACAGAGUCAGUCAACGGCAAAAGACAGAAUUGUGUAUCAUAAUGCUCUCUCCCUCUCUCUCUCUCGUCAAUGGAUGACACCGUAUAAUUACUACGUAUAUAUCUCUGCUCAAUUACACAAAAGAAAAAUCCUUGCGCAUUAUUUUUGUUAUUAUUAGCUCAGAAAUGCAGAAAUUGAUCAUCUCUUACUUUUGCAUAUUGUUACUGGUUUUCUUCAAACUAGUUGGAGCAAGCCAUGCGUGCCUGGAAUCCAAGUGUGGCGAUGAUCAAGGCGCAGCUAUCCAUUUCCCAUUGCGCAUCAGCCGCAAACAUCAUUGUGGAAAUCCUGGGCUUGAAUGCAAUGUAAGAUAUGAGCAGCAAAUACUAGUAAAAUUAUUUGUCAAACACAUAGAUUACAAGAGUCAGGAAAUCCAAGUGUAUCCCCCAAGUAGCUGCCUGCUGCUAAAGUCUGUUGAAAUCCCAAACAUGCCACCCUCUCCCUUCAACGUGUCAGUCGAUGACAUGAGUAACUUGACCUUAUUCAGUUGUACUACUUCUGUUGCAAGCGAUCCAUAUCCGUAUCAAUUCCCCUGCCUCGGCGACCCUGGCCGCAUAAUUUAUGCCGUUGAUUCCAGUUCUACAUAUCUAUUGGAAGAUCUCUUCCAGAAAGUACAAUCUUGUUCAAAGAUGUAUGAUGUUUUAUCAGUUCCAUUCGGUUCUUGGGUAGGCGGUUAUAAUGUUCGUUUCAAAUGGUCUGAACCAAAUUGCACAGUAUGUGAAGCACAGGGAAAGAGGUGUAGGUGGAAGAACGAUGGCACAAAUAGUGAAAUUAAAUGUCUUGACUGGAAGAAACCAAGUAAGGAUAACAUAUAUAUUCAUUGCUAGUUUUAAACAUCUUUACAUUUACGUCUUAGUAAUUAUUAUUUAAAAUAUGUUGUCCAAUCCAUUUUUACUAGGAAUAUUACCUGACAGUCUCGUUUAAAUUUGCAAUGAUCUUCUACAGGCAACACAUGGAAAAAAGUGGUUACAGGUGGAAUCCUGGGUGCUUUGCUUCUUGUUCUACUGAUGAUUGCAGCAUAUCGGGUACAUAGCGCUGAUAGAAAGGAGAAAGAGAGUCGAUUAAGAAUUGAAAGAUUCUUGGAGGAUUACAAAGCACUCAAACCAACCAGGUAUUCGUACGCAGAUAUUAAGAGGAUUACAAAUCAAUUCAAGGACAAGUUGGGCGAAGGAGCCUAUGGAACUGUCUUCAAAGGAAUGCUCUCUUCCGAAUUCUUUAUUGCUGUCAAAGUCCUCAACAGUUCCAAGGGAGAUGGGGAAGAGUUCGUAAAUGAAGUGCGAACGAUGGGUCAUAUCCACCACGUCAACGUGGCUCGCUUGGUUGGAUUUUGUGCUGAUGGAUUUGCACGAGCUCUUGUUUACGAGUUCUUCCCCAAUGGUUCCCUGCAGGAUUUCAUUUCAUCUGCAGAUAGUAAGAAUUCAUUUCUUGGUUGGGAUAAGUUGCAAGAUAUUGCCCUAGGCAUAGCCAAAGGAAUUGAAUAUCUUCACCAGGGAUGCGAUCUACGAAUCCUGCAUUUCGACAUCAAACCCCAUAAUGUUUUGCUAGACCAAAACUUCACUCCAAAAAUUUCUGAUUUUGGUAUGGCCAAGUUAUGUUCCAAGGAUCAAAGCUUGGUGUCCAUGACUACAGCUAGGGGGACCAUGGGCUACAUUGCACCUGAAGUGUUUUCCAGGAAUUUCGGAAAUGUGUCUUACAAGGCAGAUGUCUAUAGCUUUGGAAUGCUGCUGCUUGAGAUGGUAGGAGGAAGGAAGAAUAUUGGUUCAAUCACGGAUAACACUACAAAUGAAAUUUACUAUCCACAGUGGAUUUAUAAUCUUCUAGAGGAAGGGGAUGACCUACAAAUCCACAUUGGGGAAGAAGGAGAUGGUAAAAUUCCAAAGAAACUUGCAAUUAUAGGGCUAUGGUGUAUCCAGUGGCACCCGUCGGAUCGUCCUUCCAUGAAAAUAGCGGUUCAGAUGUUAGAAGGAGGAGGAGAAAGCUUGAGUAUGCCGCCUAAUCCCUUUGUGCCUACUGGUCCUACAACUAGAAAUGCAAGACGCCUAGAGCUAGAAGCUAUUGCUGAAUUAGAGUAAAAUGUAUAUGCAGAUAUGUAGACGUAUAGAUAUAGUAAUAUUUACAUUGAAUAAGAGGCCGUUUGAUAACCAUUUCGUUUUCAGCUUUUAAUUUUUAUUUUGCACUUUUUUGAAAACUGAAAACUAAAAUCUUGUUUGGUAAAUACUUUUAGUUUAAGAAAAAAUGAAGACUGAGAACUAAAAAGUGAAAGCUCAAAGGAAGUAGAUUAAAAGUAGUUACCAAACAAACCGGAAUCUCAAUAAUAAAAAAUGAUUGAAUUGCACAACGCAAUCCAAACCAAUCAAAACAUUAAAAUAGCAAAAAAAAUUAAAAUUCUAGUUGAUUAGAUUAUGAACAUAGUAAAAAUGAACAGAUCCGAUGAAAAAACAAAAAAAAUUCUCAGAUAAAAAUAGGGAUAAAGUAAAAUAUUUAUAAAUAGCUCCUUGUCUCUUAUGUCAUCAAUUAUUUCUAUAGUAUAUACAAGUUUUUGGAAAAAUUAGGUUCCCAUCCCUUAUUUUCAUAUUACAUUGAUUGAAAUCUUAUUAUUUUUCUAUUUUAGAUCAAGGUCCCUUGACUUAUUCCAUGUCAUCAUUUUAGUAUUUAAAAUAUUACACGUCAUCAUAAACGAAAUCUCAUCCCCUUUCUGCAUUUAAGGCAAAAUAAACUAUAUGAGUAAGUUUAAAACAAGGAAAAUCCAUUUGAACUCCUCCAUUCUUCUUCUUCCCUUAUGCACAUCUGGAAUCUACAACACCCCAAACCCAAUUUUCUCCAUUUUUUCUCCAUUCCUGAAUUGAUCCAAUGCAUAUAUGUUGAAUAAACCUAUUGUGAUUAAAAUACAAAUUAGCAUCAAUGGUUUUAUCGGCUUGUGAGAUUUGUGUGGCAUAGGCAAGGCAAUGCAUGCAUCGCUUUCUCAAGGAAUCUGGUUGAUUCAAACAUGCAGAGACUGUAGAGUGAGCGGGCUAUGUAAAAACUGUACCAUUCUGAAGUCAUUUUCUUUUGUUCUUUAUAUUUUUUUUCUUUUUCUUUUAUUAUUAUAUAUUAGUCUUGAUUAUUCAAUGUCUGGUUGGCUACACUUAUGUCCAUGGGUACAUUUUUAAUCAACAUGGUUCGUUCUAAUAUAUCUAUUGCUAUAAUAUGUUUUGGUUGGUUCAAAUUUGUUUUACAUAAAUAUAUGGGUACAAAGUUUUUGGAGAAUAUUAUGUAAAAUGGUUUUUAAGGUUGCUGCAUUUUAUGUACCCACAUAUGCAUGUCUAUAAAUGACACACCCCGUCCCGAAGGAGGGCAUGCUGGCCGUCACGUGAGAGUGACGUAACCAUUUGCACAGUACGGAAGCUUUAAGAUACAAUUUAUAAGUUGAUACACCCGAAUGUGAGUCCUAAUUUUGUCCAAUCUGUCAGAACACCGUCAAAUUCCUCGUAGUCACCACACCUUUGUGAUUCCUGAACCUGGAGGGGCGCAAAACCAAAAUUGAGUGGGUCAGUAAAACAAUUCUUUUCCAAAUCCAAACAUUUCUCAAAACGUUGUAACCCCAAUCCGUAAAACUUGUAUAUUUUCCCAGAAAUGUAAAAUAUAAAUAUACAUAUAUAUUCUCAAUACUUCAAUUCAUUAACUCAACAUUUUUCAGUACAAUUAUGCCAUGCCAUGUCUAAUUCAACAGUUAAGUAUGGAUGCAUCAACAAUAAUCAUAUCAGGUGCAAGAAAGUAAUCAACCGGAGGCCCUCUAAUAGCCAUGUACGGUUGAACCUAGAGCUCAAAAUCUAUCACUCUCACUCUACCGGAGUCACCUCUGUGACCUGUCCGGCCUUCUGCACACAAGUUACGCUCUAGUGCUUUCUCAUCAAUCAUCUGUGCACAUAAUCUAAGGUCACCCACCAGUCGAAAUCUCACUAACACUCUUCGACUGGCCCGUCGCACCCACUCCGCGUGGACUGUGCGACCAGCAUCUACUUGGAUCCAAGGCGAGCGUGCGAUGCGGUGAAUACUAUAAGCACUAAACCAUGGUGCAGGAUUUGAGCUCAAUAUACAUCAACAUCAUCAUAAUAGUAAUUAAAUACUCACCUGAUACUCACCUGUGCGUCCGCCGCACCAAUUCAUAUAUAUGCAUCAUAUAUCAAUUCAUAUCAUUUCAUACAUGGCAAUUCAAUUCACGUUUUUCAUAUAGUUCUAUAUACUUUUCACAUAUUUCUAUUUAAAGCAUAAUUUCAUGCUUUUUCAAUUUCUGGGAAAACGGCAAGUAUAUAUAUAUACGGAAAACAAAACUGCCCACUCACCUGGAGUUCGCCCUACAACUCCCUAGCACAAUACGCCAAGGCGUCAUGACGAUCGGCGCCUAAAACAAUAAUCAAUUCCAACCUUAGAAUUCAUAUCGAUAGAAUAUAUAACUUAUAUAAAAUACGUCACUGCGUAGUUCGAUCCGGAAGAUCCACCACUCAGAUUUUAAAUCCAUAACUUCCAGAGGUCCACAAUAUAUCUCUAGGAUAACAUCCUAAAAUUUCAUUACCAUCCAACGGUCGGAUCUCCGUCAAUUUCCAAAACUAAGUGACGGUUAACAUUUUAUUUUAUGAACUUACAACUCCAAUUCCUGAAGAUCCGUAAAUCGGAUUCCCAAUCCGAAAGUUCCAAUAAUCCUCAAAUAUUACGUAUUACUACGUAUCAAAGUUUAGUGACGAUCUAACGGUCGGAUCGUCAAUUCACGUUUUCACCUAAAUGUGAAAACUAUAAAACGUUAUUCGAACAUCUAACCAACAAUCCUUAAUAACUUUCUCAUACGGUGCUCAAUUUGGGUAUAUGAAUAUACCACGGUGAUCUACUCGACGUCACGGACGUCGACAUAUUUUUAAAAUAAUUUUAUUUUAUUUUAUUUUUUUUACUGUAGCACCUUCUUCUUCCUUGGGUCGCCGGACUGGUUUUUCCAGCGGCCGUUUUCUGGGCAGUUUUUCAAAUUGCCAUAACUUUGUCAUUUCUCAACGAAAUCAAGUGAUUCAAAAACGAAAGUUGUAGCCCUUGAAGAGACAAAGAGAAUGGUACCUUACAAAACACCUAGUUCUCCGUGGUUUGGCCGGAAACUGCCUCGAAAGCCUCGGAGGUCGCCGGAAACUGGGUAUUUUUCAAAUGAGUAUAACUUCUUCAAUACUCAACGAAAUUGAGUGAAACAAAAAGGAAAGUUGUAGUAAUUGACGAGAUGAAGAGAUUGAUACCUACCUCGACUCCUAACUCGCCGGGGAUUCGCCGGAAAAAGCCUCGAAAGCUCCGGCCAAACUUUGAACUUGUCGAUCUCCGUGUUCUUACGUCCAAAAACUUCCAACGAAGCACUCCGAGCUUCCUUGGGACCUCACUAAGCUCACUAUGAGCUUGGAUUGUCCUAAAACAAAGUCAAUUCGAAAAUCAUGAACAGUGCACUUUCACGGGGAGUUUAGAAUCUAGGUUUUCCGAAGUAAAACUUACCUGAAAUUGGUGUCUACGUGAUCGUGGAGUCUCCAGGAGUUCGAUGGUGGUCUUAACUCCGUCGUUGGUGGAAGUUUAAGGUUGUUUUGCGGUUGGUUUGUUCGAACGGAGAAGAAGAGUGACAGAGAGAGAGAGAUUCGUGAGGGAGGAGAGAGAGAGACAGUAUGCAGAAAAUAGGGAGAGGAUUGAGGGGUGUGGGGAUCCCAUGUGGUCCUUUUCCAAUCCCCAACUCCAAACCACAAAAUUUUAACCUAAAAAUCUAAGUUCCAUCCUUAAUAAAUUCCAUUUUAUUUUCAAAACUUAGGAACCUAGAUAAUUAUCAACUUGAGCUUCACAUACUUAGUAUUUCUUAAGGGCAAUUUCGUCCAUUCACAGCCACGAAUGUAAUAUUUUUGGAACGGGCUGUGACAAUCUUCCCUCCUUAUAGAAUUUCGUCCCCGAAAUUCCAGCAACCAACUAAAUCAACCAUACUUCAACAAUAGCUUCGGGUAAAUCUCUCUCAUCCGAUUCUCUUUCUCCCACAUAAUUUUCUACUGAAUGAUUUCCUUCACAAAGCUUUUACCACUUACUCUGUCUUAAUUCUCAAGACUUUCUUUUUCCAAUCUAAAGUCGUCCUUGGUUCCUUAUCAAGUCGAAUCCAAUUUAAUUCUCAAUAGUUGCACCAGAAUCUCAUGUGACGAAUCUGCCACCUAGUGACAACGUAUCGAACCCAAAAUACAUUAAGUAUCUUAGCCAACUCUGAAGACAUCACCACAUGUAUGCAACUUUAUUGAUUCCUUUAGUGAUCAAAACGGACUGAUGUGUUCAAGACUUAUCUUGUCUUCCUUUCUGAAUCUUACUAUUUCUGUUCAUGGUGAAAUUUCCAAAAAUAUCAAACCAUUUACCUUACACACUCGAUUAGUGGCAUAUCCAUCUGUUAGUCUCUUUUGCCAUUCCUGGUUACUUCAGGUUAACUUAAUCACCUGAAUACUUUGAGGAGACUCAUCCAAAAUUUCGGGUCCACCAAAAUUCUUUUGUGAUCGAAUCUUUCUCUACCCAGAAGCAUUCCAUCCACAAUUCAGCAAAAAUCGACACACAUGACACGCUUCAUGGACAUUAUGGCGUUACUUUGAAAACUGGCGAAACCAACAUACUUAAGAAACUCAGCAGUCCCGUAACCCAAUUCUCUUUUCCAUAAAACAAAUAAGUACUGUUGCACUGUCUGGGAAAGGUUGUUACUCAACACUGGAGUAAAUAUACUAACUUGUUACGUUGCCCAACCAUCACUUCACAUUCAAUCGUAACCAUCUUGUAUACAAGGAAACUUGUACACAUAGUCCAAAGUAAUAUCUUUCCAUUUCUGUUUAGAAACAGAAAAUAGCUGUCUCAAUCCAAAGGUUUAUCUCUUUCCGCCUCAAUCUGCUGAUCAAAUAAACUGUCGAGUGGUAUGAUAAAUCUUAUUACUUUUGGAAUAUUGCAGAAGUUGAACAGUGAACUUUGUCCAAUAUUUGCUUGCUUCAAAUCCUCAGCAUUAGGCACAUACUUUUGGUUUUCUUGUAUCCACAUACCAUUUGAUUCACGAAUCAUGUAUUCAUUCUUUUUCCCUUCUUUCUCUACCUUGGUUAAUUCUUAAAUUUCCUCGUCAAACAUUUAAGUUUCGAGUACGACCUUACCAAACAGGCCUAACUUGAAAUUUAACAAGUAUAACUUCUUCUCGAUCUUUCAUUCUUAACUUUACUUUAGUUGGUUUCCAAUCCACAAGAAGAUAAUCAUGGCAAGCGUACCAGAUAUUAAUUAUUACUGCAGUCUUCUUAUCAAGUGCUUCAGUUACAACAAUUCACAAUCACCCUGAUCGUACAAUCAUAAUCACUAAGUAAUUCAAUCCACCUUUGUUGCCUCAUAUCACAAUCCUUCCAAGUAAACAAAUAUUGGAGACUCUUUUGAUUUGUAAAAUCUUGUAUUCUUAUCAACAUAUAAUGUCUCCAUAACUUCACAGCAAGGAUGAUAAUCGUGACUUCCAAAUCACCAGUAGGGUAAUUCAUCUUAUGAGGUUCCAUUUAUCGUGAAACGUAUGCAAUCACCCUAACAUUUGCAUCAACAUGCCUCCAAUACCAUUCAAGAAACAUCACUAAAAAUUUAUGAUUACCACUAUUCUCUGGGAAUACCAAAAUACGUGCAUGAGUGAGGAAAUACUUCAGUUGUUGAAUCCUUUGCUCACAAUUUCCUUCCCACUCAUACAUAACCUCUUUUCUCAACAGUCUCGUCAAUGACAAAGCAAUGACUAAAAACUCUUUCACAACCAUCCAAGAUAGUCUGGUAAGUUAAGAAUUUCCGAAUCUCAAUUAUGGCUUGUGGUUGUUCCAAUUUCUCAAUUCUGCUGCCUUUUAAGAAUUCAUUUGAAUACCUUAAGCAGAUAUAACCAAUCUCAUAAUGCCACUUGAUUCAUCCAACAUUCGCAUUUGCUAAACUUAGCAUACAACCAACGUUCUUUCAAUCUUUGCUUCAUCGACUUAAUACGUUUACAUGCUCUGCUCUGGCUCAGAAUGUACCAGAAUAUCGUCAAUGAAAAUGAUAUCAAUUAUCAAGGCAUUAUUGGAAUACUUCAUCCAUCAACUCAUAAAACCGCAUGAGUAUCCACAUAGCAUCACCAAACCUCAUAAGGACCAUAACAAGUCCAGAAAACCAUCUUAUGAUCAACGUCAUUCAUAAUCUUUAAUUGGUAAUAACCAGACUUCAAGUCAAUCUUUGAAAAUAUACAAGCACCUUUGAACUGAUCAAAUGAGCGUCAAUACACCACAAUGGAUAACGGUUCUCAUUCGUUACCCGACUCCAUUGUCUAUAAUCAAUGAACAGUCUCAAGAUCCAUUUUCUUCCUCACCAACAAACUGGGGCUCCUCAAAAGUGUUGUACUAGGUUGAAUAAAACUUUUAUCAACCAAUUCUUUCAACUAAAUUUCCAAUUCCCUUAACUCAUCAUGAACCAAUCUCCAAUAUAAAUUUAUACCUGGCAACAAAUCAAUAAUGAACCUCAUAUCUCUGCCUGAAGACAAUCCAGGUAUACUUUCAGGGGAGACAUCAAGAAAAGUCUAACCCUUUUGACAUUAUUCACACUACUCCAAACAACAUCAUUUAGCACCCCAUGAGCUAAGUAUUUUUAACAGCCUUUCGAAAACAAUCUCUUUGCUCUCACAGCAUUAAUAACGGCCUGACUCAAUCCACCUUGCAUACUUACAAAAGUAAUCUCUGGUCAUCCAGAUCGAUGGAAAGUACUGGUUUCCCGUAACAUUCCGUCUUGUCACAAUUAUAACCAACCGAUCUAAUGGAACAGAAUUAACUGAUACAAUAUAUAUUCUAUUAUUAUUAAGCAUUCUAAAUAAGUACAAUACUAACAUAAAAUAAUCUACCGGGUUGCUUGCUUAACGAAUCCACGAAUGAGUUAUUAAUAUUACGGUCUGCAGCCCGCAAUACUGAUAAAUCAUCGUUGUCUCGAUAAGUAGGCAACCACUCUCAAAGAUAUAACAUUACUAUUUUGUCACUCAAUGCAAAAUACAUACACUUGUCUCAACUACAUUUAUUUACUACUCUCUAGGUAAUAACAUACAUAAUAAGAAAUAUAUCAGUCGAAGUCAACUAGAAUGACCAAUACGGCUGAUUCAACUCUUAUCUCAAUAAUACGUCGGCCGGAUCCACUCCGCGUGGUCGGUACGGCCGAGCCUAUAACUCAUCCAACCUCUCUGUACUCACGGUCAAUCCGACCAAACUACUAAGUCCAUAACUCUGCUGAAUCGACACUAUGAUAUCAUGGAAAAUUAUUGAGUACAACUGAUUCUAGGGACGAUUCACAAUUCUGUGUCCCCUCUGUUCACAUAAACACAUUCAUUAAUUUCACACUUCCCAAAGUGUUAAUUUUGUACCUGCUGCACAAGGUACAUUUCCUUUACUCGAGACACCUUGUCUCAAAUAUCUGGGAUUACCAGUAUAUCCAUCACUUUUACUCUGACCAGCAACAUUAAAACCUCAGCUGGAAGAAUUAACUCUAGCUUCACUUCUUUCGAAGCUCUGAAUCUUUCUAUAUCUUUGAUAUGACGAAUCAUUAACUUUAUCGUCUUCUUUUAAUUCCCAUUCAUUUCUUAUUCUUCUUUAUUCUCGUUGCUCAUGUUCUCAGAGUCCUCAAGACUCAACAGCAUCUCGUAUAUUCCUGGUAAGAAGUACAAUGGAUAGUGGUCACCCAAAAUACCACUUCCCUUUUGCCACCCAGCUUAAAACAACAUAACACCUCCACCAAAUUAGCAGCAAUAUCCGAAUGGAAACGAGGCUAGUCUGAAAACUUUCUAUAAUAUUCAUUUAUCGUCAACUUCCUUGAUUCACAUUUGCAAAAUCUUGCUUACUACCAACGAUAAAUGCCGGAGGGAUAAACUUUUCCUUAAAUAAGUCCUUAAACAAUUUUAAAUCGGCUACUUCCUCUGAUGACAACAAUCAAUACUCCUGCUUCCAUCAGGAUACACGUUCAUAACUCAAACCAGGUAGUCGUCUCGACCCACCUGUCAGAAGGAAAUUUCCUUUGACUUGCAUAAUCUGAAACAUCUUUUCCAAUUGGUUAAUCCGUUACUUCGCUCCCUCAGGUUCAUCAUUCCAUAAGGUGAUUCAAAUUCGACUCAUAACCUGUCUUAAAAUGUCCCUUUUUAUAAUAGACUGAAUCACCAUAAUAAUAGUUUCCCCUAAACCGCUAUAUUAGGGAGACUAAAUUCCUCUAACUAAGUGGCUUGCUACGAGGCGGUGUAGUUCUGACAGAAUUCACUAGAACUUCUCAAAAUGUCCAAGAUUGCAACCAUGCUCUGAUACCAACUGACACACCCCGUCCCGAAGGAGGGCAUGCUGGCCGUCACGUGAGAGUGACGUAACCAUUUGCACAGUACGGAAGCUUUAAGAUACAAUUUAUAAGUUGAUACACCCGAAGGUGAGUCCUAAUUUUGUCCAAUCUGUCAGAACACCGUCAAAUUCCUCGUAGUCACCACACCUUUGUGAUUCCUGAACCUGGAGGGGCGCAAAACCAAAAUUGAGUGGGUCAGUAAAACAAUUCUUUUCCAAAUCCAAACAUUUCUCAAAACGUUGUAACAAUAAAAACCAGUCCGGCGACCCAAGGAAGAAGAAGGUGCUACAGUAAAAAAAAUAAAAUAAAAUAAAAUUAUUUUAAAAAUAUGUCGACGUCCGCGACGUCGAGUAGAUCACCGUGGUAUAUUCAUAUACCCAAAUUGAGCACCGUAUGAGAAAGUUAUUAAGGAUUGUUGGUUAGGUGUUCGAAUAACGUUUUAUAGUUUUCACAUUUAGGUGAAAAUGUGAAUUGACGAUCCGACCGUUAGAUCGUCACUAAACUUUGAUACGUAGUAAUACGUAAUAUUUGAGGAUUAUUGGAACUUUCGGAUUGGGAAUCCGAUUUACGGAUCUUCCGGAAUUGGAGUUGUAAGUCCAUAAAAUAAAAUGUUAACCGUCACUUAGUUUUGGAAAUUGACGGAGAUCCGACCGUUGGAUGGUAAUGAAAUUUUAGGAUGUUAUCCUAGAGAUAUAUUGUGGACCUCUGGAAGUUAUGGAUUUAAAAUCUGAGUGGUGGAUCUUCCGGAUCGAACUACGCAGUGACGUAUUUUAUAUAAGUUAUAUAUUUCUAUCGAUAUGAAUUCUAAGGUUGGAAUUGAUUAUUGUUUUAGGCGCCGAUCGUCAUGACGCCUUGGCGUAUUGUGCUAGGGAGUUGUAGGGCGAACUCCAGGUGAGUGGGCAGUUUUGUUUUCCGUAUAUAUAUAUACUUGCCGUUUUCCCAGAAAUUGAAAAAGCAUGAAAUUAUGCUUUAAAUAGAAAUAUAUGUGAAAAGUAUAUAGAACUAUAUGAAAAACGUGAAUUGAAUUGCCAUGUAUGAAAUGAUAUGAAUUGAUAUAUGAUGCAUAUAUAUGAAUUGGUGCGGCGGACGCACAGGUGAGUAUCAGGUGAGUAUUUAAUUACUAUUAUGAUGAUGUUGAUGUAUAUUGAGCUCAAAUCCUGCACCAUGGUUUAGUGCUUAUAGUAUUCACCGCAUCGCACGCUCGCCUUGGAUCCAAGUAGAUGCUGGUCGCACAGUCCACGCGGAGUGGGUGCGACGGGCCAGUCGAAGAGUGUUAGUGAGAUUUCGACUGGUGGGUGACCUUAGAUUAUGUGCACAGAUGAUUGAUGAGAAAGCACUAGAGCGUAACUUGUGUGCAGAAGGCCGGACAGGUCACAGAGGUGACUCCGGUACUAUUUUGACCAUUCUAUUUAACUUGUGUUUCAUUUAUUUUAACCAUUCUAUUUAAAGUUUAUCCCAAGUAAUCUAAUUAAGACUAGAGUCGAAAGUGAUGCAUUUAGUAAUUGCUUACACUUGUGAAUAUGAGUUGAUUGAGGUGGUGGUGGUUUCUUGUAUUAAUAAUUCUAUUUAAACUCAUACCCUCCCACACCAUCAGAUCCAAGUACUAUUUUGAUAAACUUUAAAUAGAAUGGUUAAAAUAAAUGAAACACUUUUAGAAAAUAAGUGAAGAUGUUGUUUACAAAUAUAGAUGCAUUUGUAUAUAAAAGCUUUGGCGGUUGAUCCGUAUACACUUCCAGAGAUAUAAGCAAGUUCAUUGGAUUAUACAUACAUAGUUAAUGUAUUACAGUAUAAUUAAUAAGAAAACAAUUGCAUCCCUUUCAGAUUAUAUAUAUAUAUAUAUAUAUAGACACACACACGCACACAUACAUACACACAGGCCCUUUAUGCAAAGGAAUUUUCAAUUUUUUUUUUAAAUGGGGAUUAGUUGUGGGGCCCACGCUGCAUUGAACUUUAACGAUCCGAACAGUCUAUUUUGUAAUUCUCGAUUCAUAGAUCAUCCUUGUAAAAAUUCAAUUCAAUCCGAACCUAUUUGCCUAUUUAAUUAUCAAGAUAAAAUUUUAUUGUUUCUUAUAUAACAAAGUAUUCGUUAAUUUCUUUGAACUCAAUUAGAUAUCUUAAACAUUUCCGAUUUGGUUAAUAUUGUGUAAGGAUGAUCUAUGUGGUGCAACUUGAAAAAUAGACGAUUACGAUCGUUAAAGUUCGAUGUGGUGAGAACCCUACAAUUAAUCUUCAUUUUUAUAAAAGAAUGGGAACCCCUUCCCUUAAAGGUUUCCUAUGUAUAUAUUUGUUCUCCAGACAUAUGCAAAAGGUAAUGUAAAACCAAUGAGAACUUAAAUAGAUAUUCCAUACAUAGGACAAUUCCAUAUAUGCUUUUUCAACAUUGAUAUCGAAAAGCCAAAUUGUUUUGAGGAAAUUAAUUGUAGCAAUGAUCCCUUAACUUUUAUCUUAUUGGAGCAAUGGUCUCUCAACUAAAAAUUCAUGACCAUUGGUUCCUUAACUCCACACAACGUGUAGUUAUGGUCAUUUUCAUUAACCCCGUCAGAACUUUUGUUAAAACAAGUAAUGUUAGAAGAAUCAUUGCUACAAUUAGGUUAAAGUUGGGGACCAUUGCUCUAAUUAAAUUAAAAUUGAGGGAUCAUUUCUCCAAAUUGCUUAAAGUUCAAUGACCAUUUCUACAAUUUUCUCAUCUAGUUUCCCAUAUUUACCCCAUGAUUCAGCUUCACAUGCAUUGCACAUGACUCAUUUUGACAAAAAUUUUAACGAAAUUGACGAAAAUGACCAUAAAUACACGUUUUGAAUAGUUAAGAGACCAAUGGUCGUGGAUUUUAGUUGAGGGAUCAUUGCUCCAAUUUGGUUAAAGUUGAGGGACCAUUGCUACUUUUUUCUCAAAUGUUUCGUAUGCGAAAAUAGGCAUUUGUAAAGUUUGGCUUGUUCAUGGCAUUAUUACUUUAGUCUAAAGUAAGGCUGGAAAUGGCACUGUAGAAAUGAAUAGUGUUCCAAUCUGAAUUUCAGUUUAAUUACAACAAUGCCAUUGCUCUUUGUGUUGCCUUUAGGUGAGCAGCCCAGCUUGCAGCCAGGCCCAAAUGUAUUGGUUUUAGCUGAGAAGCUCGGCCCUUGGUCAUGCCCAAAAUUUUAAAUUACAGUUUUGCCCAUACAAAAUAACAAUCCGAUUGUAUCGGGAAGGACAAUUUUGUCCUUUCAGUUUUGGGUGAGAUAGGGGGUAACAGGGUAAGUUUCAUUUGCUGUCGUUGAAUGAGGGUUUCGGGGAUGAGGGCUCUGUGUGUGUGUGGGUGAGAGAGAGAGAGAGAGAGAUGGCGAUGGAAGGAGAGUGAGGGGGAAGGGAAGGGUUCUCGGCACUAUUGUUGCAUGUGGAUUUCACAAGUGGGAGAGUGGGUAUGGUCAGAGAAGACCAUAUAGGUCGUUGGGAUUUCAGGGAAACGGGGUAGGGGUCAUGAAUGAACCCUGCUGAGAGUGGGUACCGGAUCUUGCGCUGCAUGCCUCAAAUCAAAGAUAAGUUCGUUUUUUUUAUUGUAUUUUUAUGGUAGCUUAGCUUUUGGAAUUGUUUAGUAUGUUAGGUCCGAUUUUGGGGGAUUUAUCUUUUUAGAGAGAGAGAUAGACAGGGAGAUAGAGAGAGAGGGAGAGGGAGAGAGAGAGAGAGAGAGAGGAGGAAGCAUGACUGUGUGCAAUUUUUGGUGUUAAUUAAUGGGUUGGUGCGCAGGGUGAGUGACAGAGUGACAGAGUGAAGGAGGGACGUGUGGGAGGGUAUGAGUUUUCAGUUCUUUCUUUUGAUUCAACAGGUUAUACACUGUUUGAAAAACUUUUUUUUUAUUAUUUUGUUCUCGUUUGCUUUGUUCAAACCAUCAUUUGAAUUUUUGGGUUUCACUGUGCUCAUUUCUCUGCUUCUUCAUAAUUUGCUGGUGUUUGCUUCUCAUCCCUCUGUUGGUAGAUCUUUUUCUCAUUUCUUGGUUCCUUAUGUAUUCUUUUGUACAAAUCUGUUUACUUUUUUGCUGUGUGAUAAUCUUAGCAGGUGAACUAUAUGAACGUUUUUUUUGAAACGAGUUAAGAAGAUCCAGCUGAAAAUAGCAUACAAGAUAGAGAACUGGUAUGCUGCUCGCCAGGGAAAGGCUGCUGGAGAGGCCGAGACAGAUGCCUCCUUCAGAAACCAGGUCAGUUUCCUGCUGCUCGGCGUCUUAAUGUAUCCAAAUUGUUUAUCUUUUGAUGAAAUUAGCUGGCUUUAUUUUCUAUUUUAUUUAUCUGCAUAUUAUUUUGGUUUGUUGAAAUUUUGACUAUAGUCAUUGUCACAUGGGCGCCCAGCCCAACCCAAAUUAGUUGAGGAUAUUUAAAUCUUCACCAUGGUAUUAUAGUACUCACUCACAGUUGUGAAUACUAAGGUGCAGGCAUGGCAUGAAGAAGUGGACCGUGCACGCCAAUGUCAGAGGGAUGCAGAGGGCAAGCUUUUUUCUUUGGAGGUAAGUAUCCUUUGUUUAUUGCCCAACAGUGUUGUUAUUAUCAAUUUGUAGCUUUGCGUUCUGAAUUUUUUGCUUUGUCAAACAACCUUCUUGAAAUGCUCGAUUUCAAGCCGAAGUCCAAAAAAUGAGAGUUGAGAUGGCUUCCAUGAAAAGGGAUGUAGAGCAUUACUCGCGCCAAGUGAAAUCUGCUUCCUCUCUUUUCGUAUAUCUUCAUAUGAAGAGUUUUACUAAGUUAUAUUGAGAACUAUGUUAUUUAUAGGUUAUAUUUUCCAUUUUGCAGGAACACAUGGAGCUAAGGAAGAGCUAUCGUGAACUCACUGAUCUACUGGUAAUGUCACUCAAACUGCUUUAUUUGUGCAUGCUGCUACUAUGCGCUUGAAUGCAUUUUAUUACUGGCGGGAUGCAAGAAAGCUAGAUAUAUGUGCUGGAUCGCUUGAUUAGUGUUAGGGUUUUAACAACUAAUUGUUAGCAGCUAGAAGCUCUGGUUAGAUGAAUGCUAAUUUGAUUUUCCUUACAGUACUUGAGUGCCAGUUUCAUAUUGUUUGUUCCCUGCUGGAUACCUGUUGUACAGUUUCAUUUCUGUUUCUUUAUAACUUUCUUGGCCCUGGGAUAUAUGCAUAUUGAGUACAAUGAAUAUCCAUUGUUCUCUAACUGUUGGGCUUUACUAUCUUUGUAGCAGCCUGCCUAACAUUUUUUAGGCUCUACACUCUACCAUCCAAUUUAUGAAAAAUUCAAAGAUUGAACGGUAUUGAUUGCAGAAAUGAAAAAAAUACUAUGAUAUUAGAAAGGUGAAUGUAAUUGUGUUAGAAGAAGCGUCUAGCAUGAUGGGUAAUAUUUUAAGUUUGUAUUUCUAAAAUUUUUUCGUUCUGGAGUAUGAUUUACCUCAAUUGUUUUGUACUUUAAUCUUUACUAAUUUUCAUUGUGGAGUAUGAUUUGCCUCAACUAACAACUUUUCAUUGUUUAACUUUUUCCUCCCUUAGAUAGUUGCAUAUGUUUGAUUUGUUAAUCUGCUUCUUACACAUGUUGUUUCCUAAUGGUGUAGGUGGGUUGCCGGAUGCAUGUGCAGAUUACUUGAAUAGACGAAGCUAAGAAUGACUUAGUAUUAAGUGAGAAAGAAGCUUGGGUCAGUUGGAUUUUGAUAUUUGAUUUAUUCAUGUUUUUUGUUGCUUGCAAUGUUCUCGCAUUGUUGUUCUGAGAUUCUGUGAUCUUAUUUUUCAUAGGAACUGACAUUGGUUUGCCAUAUAAUGUUUCAUGAACUAAUACAACAACUAAUCACCUUGCUUAGCUCUCAAGACACAUACUUAAUAGGUUAACAAACACUAACCUAUAAACUGAUCUGCUAAGCUGGACCAUUAACCUCUGUUUAUAUCCCUGCCACUCAUCUUUUGGCACUUAUCAAUAGCAAAAUUUAGAGUUACUGAAACCCCAAUUUUAAUGAAUAUUAUUUUUAGUUGAUAAUUAAAAUUAAUUGAUGAUUAAUCUAUUCCAUUGUGCAUUAUUUUAUCGCCAAAUACUUUGAAUAUUCAUUAGCAAAAGAUAUAGGGUUCACUAUUUAAUGAAUAGAAUUUUGAUGGUGGAUUGCAUUUCCUGAGUUAUAAAUGUGGUGAAUCCAUUAUUUACUAGCUGAAUAAUCAUAAUGUUUUGGCCACUUACCUUGAAUUUUGUUCAAAUUGAAGAAGUCACAUGUUUCUUUCUGUUGUUGAGGUAAUCUCUCUGUUGAAAGCUUCUAUUUCUUUUUUCUUUUUCUCUUUUUCAUUUGGGUAGAUUUUUUUUUUAUGGAUUUAUGUAUUUUUUUUCAGAGAAUUCGAAAUGAAAUAAGAAUAGCGGAUUGAGCAUAAACAAAUUGAUGAAAUUUUUAUUUGAGUGUUUGUGUUGGUCCUUUUUUGAUUUGUUGAGGUUUGGAAUUAUUUGAGUUUUUUUUGCUGUUAGUACUGUGAAGGAUGCUUGGCAAUCGCGAAAUGGGGGCUACCUCUUUGGAAAGAGAAGUCUCGCUAUCCAACCUCUCAUGAAUUACAAACAGGGUGCUUUCUUGCUGAAAAACCACUAAACCAGUAGAACUUUCCUCGGUUCUUCAAUUCGAUUCGAAUAAUUUUUUUACCCAGAAAGCCAGCGUUUCCUGGUGGGUUUUACAGCUUUCUCAAUGUUUUUGUGAUUUUGGAUUUGCAAAUUUGUUUUCUGUUCAAAUUUCCUUUUGUGAUUUUGGAGGUUUUGUUUAUCGAUUCUCUCACUCAUCUCUCAGCUCUCUCUCACUUUUGAGGUACAUGCCGUUGGAUUCCAUUUGCUGCUGCUGAUCUGCAGGUAAAGCUUCAAUUACCAUAUAAAGUUUACAUUUUUCAUGAUUUCUUGAAUUUGGGUUUUAAACAAAGGAAAUAUUGCUAGAUUCUUAUCUUAUGUGCAAAUUACUGGCUAUUUGGAUUGAUGCUUGAGAUUUAGAGAAUGCCUCGAAGCUUUAAUUUCUUUUUCCUUCAUUAUUACUGUUUUCAAAAUUUUUAUUGCUGGGUAUUGAUAAUUUGUAGUAUGUGAGGGCUUCAAUAUGUUGGAAUUUUGAAUGGUUAUUGCUUCAUCGGAAUUUGGGUGGUCCAAAUUUUGAAUUAGAAGAAACCCAUUUGAUUAAUAUUUUUGGUGGAUUGGUUCUCUGUGUUUUCCUUGCUAUUUCUCCCCCAGUUGGAAAUUGGAAGCCCCAACUUUGAGCUCAGAGCUUGAAUUUCUCAAUCGUUCGUUUCUCUGCACUCUCAUCAGUCACUCUUGAUCCUCUAUCUAAAGAACUGGGUAAUUUUCCAGCUCUAUCAAGUAAUACUCCAUUUAAUUGCUUAAUUGAGGUUUUUUGUUUCUCUUUUUCGCUCUUUCAUCAGUUCAUUGGCUUUGAUGUUGAGCUUAAGUAAAUGGGAGAUCAUUAAUUGGCAUUGUUCAAGAUAUAAUUCUGUGUUUUUGGAUUUGUGAAACGAUUUGCCUAAUGAUGAUAGUGGUUAAAAUAAAUUUUUCGUUAUGAAAGAGAACAUUGUUCUUCAUUUGCCUAUGGUUUUAAGUACAAAGUUAAACUACUAUGCUUUUGUUCAAUUGACUGCAACUCAUGCCGCAGUUUGCUUCACAAACCUCUACGGUUAGCUUCCAUAUAGUAUGUUGCAAGUUUGAGGAUAUCUUUACAUCUUAAUUUUUGCUCUCUCUGGUUGCUUCAAGUUUGUAAUUUUACGUGUUACAUUGCUACUUGAUUUGAUUAUAAAAAUGCAAAACAAAAUCCGUUUUGCUUUUAUUCAACUUAAAUGUAUCCUUUUGUUUGUUCAUAAUUGUGUUGAAUUUAUUCAACUUAAAUGUGUUUUAUUCAUCUGUUUACGCUUAAAACAACUGGUUUCCCUAGCAAUGCGCGGGCCUAAUUUCUAGUACAUAUACUAAAAGCCAGCAGAAAAUUACUGUUCAUCAUGGGAGAUAGAGCACUGUUCAUUAACCGUGAAAGGGCGAAAAUGCCCUCGGAUUCUUCUUUACUUCACGUACUGUUUACGAAUUGCUACAGUAUAAAGUCCGUUUUGUCCUUCCUGUCCACGCAUCUUUCAUCGUCCGUUUCUCUUGCUUCGACCACAUCUUUUUUGCUUUACCUUUCCUCUUCGUUUUUCGCAUUCGUUAGGCUACGAUUUUCGGAGGUGGAUUGUUUGCCCUCCCAUUUCCAUGGUCUCCCCAUGCCCUCCCAUUUCCAUGAUCUCCCCACGUCAAUAUUUUAUAAAAAUAAUAAAUAAAAGGUAAUAAGAAUAUAAAAUGUUGACGUGUCUUAACGUGACCACAUAGGCAUUGGGAGAGCAUGGAAAUGGGAGGGCACACAAUCCACCUCCGACUUUCUCCCUUUUCGCCAGCCCCUCUUUUGCUCUCAAAUCCUUGCUCUUUCUUUUGCAAAAUAGUCUCAGAAGAGAUCCUGGGUUUAUCGAAUCCUUUGUUGUUGGGCGUUUUGUUCUCAUCUUGCGAUCGUCGGGGCAGCAGCUUUAAGGUAAGUUUGUUUUUAAUGAUUUAUCCUCAUUUUACGAUGUCUGGGCUAACAAAUUUAAGAUCUUUAUUUUUCUUUUUGCUGCGGAUCUGCAGGUUUUGACAAGUUUUUUGUGAAAUUGGUGCUGUCAGUGGGUGUUAACAUCAGGUACCCAUGUUCAGUUUUUCGUUUUGAUUUGAAGGAAUUUCUUGCGCAGAAGAGCUAGGGUUUCUUGGUGAGUUCUUCGGGUUUUUCAUAUGGGUAAUUUUCUUUUCGGUUUAACCCUCUGCUUCUGCUGCUCUCUCUCUUUCUCUCAUCCCUGCCUGCUCCUCUCCAAUUGUUUGCUGUUCUUAAAUAUUGUGUUCAUUGCCUGAUACAACGAGGCAAUGGCGUGACAACAGGUGAGCUUGGAUAUCCAAAGAAAAAGAACAGUUGGUUCAUCUGCUGGAGUCUGAAGCUCAGAGAAGUGGAGGAAAAUUGCAGGUGUGCGAGAAAUUUUAUUUUGCUGAUAGGACUCCUUAUUUACGGAUGCAUUUUGAAAUAAUUGAAAAGUUGGAUUUGAGUUAACAGCUAUAAAAAUGUAGACAUGAUUGCUGAGAUUAUGCUAUGAAAGUGGAAUAAAAAAAUGGUAGUUUAUAAUAUUGCGUACCAAUUGUUUUCUCUCUUUUUUACCAAAUGAUAAGGGUGGUGGCUCAGGCCGCCCCCCUAAGCGUCCCCACUCUUCGACAAGUUGAAAUCGUGGUGAUAGUUUAUGGGCUGUGGUCUUGGGAUUCUGCAAAUAGAAUGAAAAACAGACACUUAACUAUCUUGUUAUUAAGCAUUUCUGCAUCAUUCAGUUGCUCUUGAUUUUCGUCUUUUAAGCGAUCUUAUUUCUGCGAUCUGACUUGAGGAGGGUUUUUAGACCUAUGGUUGUGGGUGUUUUCUCUGACCCCAUUAUCCGAGAUUUGUAGACUUGCGAUCGGCGGUCAAACAUUUUGUGAUUCUUGUUUUCUCUGCCUUUCGGUCGUUAAGCGCCGGCAGUCUUUAGAUCUUUGGCAAAUCAAUUUAAUACAACCGAGGUAUGUUUUAUAACUGCUGUCUUUCAAUUUUUGUUCUGUAUUUUUGUUAAUUUGGAUGAAGCUCUAAUAAUUUUGUUUUGGAUCAGUUGUGGUCCUCUGUUAGGAUUUUCCUGGCUAAGAGGGUAUUUGCGUUUUUGUUGCUUGGUUGGUCGAUCACAGAUUUACGAACAGCUGUGGUGGUCCUGUUAUUUUUUUGGUAUGUUUUUUCUCCUUUUUGGUUUUUUCCCGGUUUGAGCACCCAUUCAUGAAGAAUUAAAAUGUGUUUAUAGUUUUUCAGGAGAGAUUAGAAAAGUGAUUUCAAUUUGGGAAAAUUUAAUGUUGGUUAAAAUUUGUUUAUAAUUUUUGGGAAGGAAUGAGAGGACCCAUUGAAGUAUGUGUUGUGAUUAUUUUUUAUUCAUAUUUUUAACAAAUUGGGCAUGAAUUGGUAGGUUAACUGUGUGUGUUUAUUAUUUGAAUCGGCCAUGUUUGUCUUUCUAUGGUUCUAAAAAAUUUGUAAAGGCUGUUAACUUGGAAGAAAAUGGGAUCGAGGGUGAGGGGAAAACGGCAGAGAAAGCAUGGAAGAGAGAUUUGGGAUUAGGGGUAGGAAAACAGAUGAAAAGAAUAUGAUAGAGGAAUGGGUUCAGUUCAUUUUCACUAUUUUUUUUAACUGAUUUGGAUUUUGUUUGGGUUUGAGGCCAUCAUUGGCGUUAAGACGUUUAUUAUCAGAUCGUGUGUUUUUUGCUAACUUUUAUUGGUAAUUUUAAUGUUGUUCUUAUGAUUUUGUGUGGUAGGGUUUCUGAAUUUUAUCGUUAUUCAUUUGGUUUUGUGUGUGUGUUGGUUUGUUUAUUUUGCAGGUUGUGUUUGUGCUGGGACAACAUUUUCCACCUUCUGUUUGCACUGGGAUGAUUGCGUUUUAAAACUGUUGGGGUGAGAUUUACAUAUGGAAUCAUUCCAUUUUUUUUCUUCCAAAUAUGUGCAUUUAGUUCUCUUUUAUUUUAAAUUUUAAAAAUUAAAUCGUUAUUUGAGUAAAAUGUUUUAUCAGUUUAUGUUAUGUGUUGUGACCAGGAAUUCUGUUGGAUUUGCGAAUUUUGGUUUGAUGAGAGAAAUGAGGAGUUUUUUUUGUUUGAAUUUUUUAUUGGACCGAUUUUCAAUUGGAUUGCAUUCUGCCUUUUUGCACCAUUCUUAUGCAAGCAAUUCAUUGUUUUAAAUACAAUUUGAAGAGAGCUGGGUUGCGGGUUGGAUAUAAAAUGUUAAGGUGAGAUAAAAUCGAGAUACCAAGGGUGGAAGAAUGAUUCAGAAUUGGGGGAGGAAAACAGAGGGAAGAUAGAAGAAUAUAAGAGAAGGAUAGGGUUGACCUCAUUUAGAGUUUUUAUUUACUUAUUUUUUUUUAUAAAUUGAUUCAGGACUUGCAUAUCAUUUCUAAAUUUCUAACAUUUUUGUUUAAUUUGACUCCAGUUGAUGGAAAACAGAGCUCUUACUCCUAUCAAUCAGAUGGUCCCGUACAUAAAUGCAGAAAAAUCAAGGUUCGAGUUUGCAGAGUAUGCAGACCAAGGUUUCCCGAAACUACUGGUGCAUAUUCAGGCUUGCAUUGUAUAUUACUUACCUAUUAAAAAUUUGUUUGGAAUUUGCUUUUCCCACAGAGGAGAAGAGCUGACAGUUACGCUGUGGGCAGAUGUUGCUCGAAGUAUUGCUUCUUUAUCCAUUGAAUCAUUGUCUCUGCCGAUCAUUGUGGUUUUCACAAGUUUAAAGGUCAAGCUGUACCUAGGUAUUUGACUUAGUUAAAAACUAAUCUAUUUACUAUUAAUUUUUCUAUUAUAUUCAAACGUUAUUUAAUAUAUACUCUACUAAUAUUUUCUUAACAUGUCACACAAACAUAUUCACUUCUUUUGAUCAAUUUUUUUACAGCAUUUCAUAUAAAAGCUAACAUUUAGUUGAAAUUGAUUAGCAACUCUUUUCUUGCAUGUAUACAUACGAAUUAAACAAUAGUAUUAAACUAUUUGUUAUCAUUCUCAGUAUUUGUUUUAGAAUUAGAUUAAUAUAUUUAACCUGUUUUAGAAUUAGAAUUAUUUGGUAUCACUCUCAGUAUUUGUUUUAGAAUUAGAAUUAGAUUAAUAUACUGAGAUUAUUUAGACAAAUCUAGCAUUUUCUCAAAAUAUUUGACUUUUAAACUUAGAUUAAUAUAUUUAGCAGUUUUUUAACAUGCAAUUUUUCAUUAAUUUUUCAACACACAGACAAGAUAGUCUUGAACACCAUUGGUUCAUCACUUUUCUUCAUUGAUCUAGAUAUUCUGGAAGUAAAUUCAUACAAAUCAGUGUAAGUGUGUUUACUUUGUUUAAAAAAAUAUUAUAUGCUCUCACAAUAAAAGAAGGGCUAUUCUCACAAAAUUUAUGAACUAAUGUUCUGUUUUAACCUCUACAGCUUUUCCAAAUGCACAGAACCUCUAAAAAUACUGCCACCUUUUACAAAACAGGCCCGUGAAGCUCAAAUCUUGCAGACAGCGAAGGUCACAAUUGCAGACGCUGAAAUUUUCAUGCCAAAAUAUGAUGUGGAGGAUGAGAAAUUGUUUGCUGUUGUUCUCUUUUCAGUUUUGCAGGCGAUGAUCUUUUACCAAAUGUCGAGGAGCUUCCAUGGGACAUGCUCUAUGCUCUCGCUUCCCAGUUGCCUCUGUUGGGGUUGGAAAAGCUACAGAUCACAAUGUAAGUCAAAAACAGUAAAGUUCCCAAGAUGUUCUGUGCUGGAGCAGAUUUAAAGGUACGAAUUUUUAAUUUUUUUGUGAAGUCGAUGUUUUGUUUUAAAAGGAGUUUAUAAUGGAUUGAUUGGACAAGUACAGCGUGUUUUGCAGAUAAAGGGCCCUAGCCAAUUUUCUAUGACCUAUAAAGCAUUAACCAAAUUGGGUUUUGUUUGUUUGGUAACAGGGGUUGUUCAGGUUAGGUUGGAGAGGUUGGAGGUGAGAAAUGCAAUUGGGAAAGAUACGCUGAGAGUUUUACAGAACACCUUUGAAGCUGUCAGUGAGGAUUCUUCUGCUAAUGUUUUGUUGAUCAGCAGUAAAGUUCCCAAGAUGUACUGUGCUGUAGCAGAUUUAAAGGUAGGAAUUUUUAAUUUUUUCGUGAAAUCAAUGUUUUGUUUUAAAAGGAGUUUAUAAUGGAUUGCAUGGACAAGUACAGAGUGUUUGUUUGUUUGGUUGAAUGUAAAAAGGAAUUGGAAGAAUGAUGAAAGUACUUGCAUUUGGUUGUAGUUGGUCAGGCACUGAAGGACCGGUCAAUACGAAGUGCAUCUGUGGGACAAUAGUUGAAAGAAGGCCAGAGCAGGAAGAGAAGGCAAGGUUUGUGAAGAAAAACAGUGAUGUGUUUAAUUAGAAGAAAUGUGCAUUUUUUUUUCCCAGUCAAAUUCUGCUUUUGUUCUGACUAUUUUCCUUACUGUAUGCUGAUUUUAUUAUUUAAUUUUUGGUUUUUCCUUGAUUGGCUUGGGAAUUACAAUCAAAUGAUGAAUCUUCAGUUUACUUGGGUAAGCAUUUUUUAACAUAUAAUUUAGCUGACCAUUUUAACUGUCAGACCAUGUUGUUUUUGGUUAUCUAAUCAUUCCAAGAUGGCAAGUUAGGAUUGGAAGGGUUGCUAGAAAUAAGGAUUAUAUCUUGGGACAUUCGGUGAGUGAUUUUUCAAACUUUCAGUUUUACAAGACAAAAUAUCUAUUUUUGUGUGUAUUCUUCAAGCAUGUUAUCAUUAUUUAGGUUGUAGGAAAAAAAGAGAGUGACUUGAGGUGUUUUUAGAUAUUUUUGUGUGUAUUCUUCACAAUGUAUUAAAAGCGCGAGGCGUGGGCGAGGCGUCUGAGGGAUAGCCCACGCCUCACGCCUUACGGGACCUAAAUUUUUUAAUAUAUACACUGAGCGUACACAUAUAUUAUAUUAAAAAAAAAUUAUUAAUCAAUAAUUACCCUGAGCGCACAUAUAUAUUAUAAAUACAUAUAUACACAUAUAUAUACAUAUAUUAUGUUAUAUAUAUAUAAAAUAGAGGAUGAAAAGCACAAUGAGCACACAUAUAACAAUGCAUGCAGACGGCACACAAUAUAGUGCAAGGAAUAGGUAUGAGGUAGUUAAAACCCUACCCAAAAUCUGGGUUUGGGAGUAAAAAUAAAAAAUAAAAAAAAAAUUGCUUGAGGCGCGUCUAGGCGGCUCCGACAACGCCUUCCGGCGCCUUCCGCCCACUCCCUCAAAACAAAGGCGGCAACCCUCAAGUCCAGCCUCACAGGGUGCCUAGGCGCACCCUGAGGUGAGCCUUUUAAAACAUUGAUUCUUCAAGCAUGCUAUCAUAAUAUUUGUAACUAUAAAAAAUAAUAUACUAUUAUACCUCUGUUUCUCUUUUCUUUGUUUUCAUGAGAAAUUAAUUGCCAUUGGCAGCACUAUAGAAAGCCAUCUUUCUCCAUUAUUCUCCGCUUCAUGCAUAAUUACAUAAUUCUACUAUCACAGUUGUCAGUCCUGAACAAUCAUGCAAGUCUAGUGGCAAAAACCACCUCAAUGAACAACUCUCACACACACACAGACACUGAUCAUACAUCUCUAACUCUCUUUUUCAAAUAACACACACUCUGAUCCAAAACAGGGUAAAUAAAAUGCACAUCCUUAUACAUUUCUAACUUUGUUUUUCGAAAUCCAAAAUAGGGUAUUCUAACUCUCUUUUUCAUUCAUUUCUUACAAACCAAUCAUACAUUUAAAAUAGGCUUUGAAUAAAAAUAGGGUAUAUAAUUAUAUACCUCAAAAUGCCUAGGAACCAACUUCCCCCUCCAACGAUUCAAAUUCUUGAAAUUGCCAACACAGUAAAUCCAUUAGUACUAUAUAAAUGAAAACACAAUUGAAACCCAUCAAACAAAACAAUCCCACAAUUUAAAUGAUUCAAUCCUACUACAAUUGAAAUUCACAGAAAGAAUGAAAAACCAGAACAAAACUGCAGCACCUAAAAAGUUGUCAUACAAAAAAACAUGGAAUGUAAAAAUAUGUUAAGAAAUCUAGUUCGUUAAUUUCCAGCUGCUAAGUGGCAUUAUGUAACUUUAGUAGUAUACUAAUUAACUACUUAUCUGGUGGGUUGCACUUUUAUCCAAUUGGUAAGGAAAGGAAAAUAAAAAUCAACCCCUUGGUCUUAGUUGUGGCUGCAAAGUGCAGGCCACCACCAAGUCUCAGUGUUUGUGUUUUAGCAAAACACUUAAAUAAAUUAAAUUCUGAAAUGUAAAUUAUAUUCCUAUAACUUUAAGAUGCACAUAUAGUAUUGUUGAAGUCGAACUGAAAGCACUGACAAUUCCAAGCAACAGAGCAGCAAUUAUUAAGAGCCAAAACUCAUUCCUAGUCUCCUCAUCCUGGUACUCAACUCCGUAAUCUUUGGUCAGCAUCAUUGACUGAAAUUAGGAGAGAAAAAGAAAAGGAAUUUCAGAAAUUGUCUAUGAAGCAAAGGAUACUGCAGUUACUUCAAGACAUGUAAAUUGCAUAUGUAUAAAGUAAUUUUCUACAUAAAGUAAUGAGGCAUAACUUUCUCUCUCCUCUUCAAACCCUAAACAGAGCAAAGCAACAAACUUUACAGAGAUUAGAAUGAGAACUGGAACUAAUCGAACAAUGACUGAAAAGUAACAUACUUGAGGAGUGAAUGAUUUAGUGUUUCCAUCAUCGGAAGCCGGAGUAAGUCGCUAAGAGAGGUCGCAAACAGCCCAAAGGGACAAACCCAGAUCCCCGGCCCCGAUCCAUACCCUUCCCCCUCAAAUCCCGACGGCCCCCAUACUUUUCUCUGACUGUACCCCCUCUCCCACUCAUGAAAUCGAGGAUCUGUAGCAAUGGUACUGAGAUCCCCACUCCUCCCUCUCCCUUUCUCUCUGUCGCUCUGUCUCCCUCUCCCUCUGUCUGUCUAUCUUUAUCCCAGAGCGGCAUGGCCUCCCAUCCCUGAAACCCUCACCGAAAGGUGGCAAUUUUGUAAAUAACUUGAAAUCCACCAACAACAGGGGCAGAGAAUUGAAACAAACAUUUAGGCUCGUUCGAUAACCAUUUAGGCCAAAACUGAGCACACCUAAACCAUUCCUACCCGUGCCAAAUGUUAGUGGGGAAGCAAGAUGAAGACUUAUUUUUCAAAACCAAAAGAAAAAAAAAAGAGAAAACAAAAUAACAAAUCUAAUGGUUGUAGUGUAAAAGCUGAGAACGUAAAUAAGAGCAGUUCCAGCCUUGUAAAUAGGCCGGGGGACAGGGGAGAAGAAAAGGCCUGAGGGCCUGUCAAGUUGCUCCAGCUAUGAGGAGCCCGAGCUCGUGGAGAAGGCCCGAGCAGGGGGUCUGUCAAUUUGUGACAGCCUCGGAGCCCGAGCUCCAAGCCCAUUUUUUAUUUUUUUCUGUCAGGCGCGUGCACCCCACUCGCGCGUGGGGGCGCGUCGCCCGACAACUUUUCAGAAAAACAGACAACUUUUCAGCCUUUCACAGUUACCGUUGGGAAGCCACGUGGCUUCCCACGGUCUGUUCGAUCUCAACGGCUCCUUCAUUUGGACCGUUGGAUCUCAAUGGUAAAAAAAAUAAAAAAAAUCUGAUUUAAUAUCAACCGUUCGAUCCGAGAUCAACGGUCGAUAUUAAUAUGCUUUAUAAAUAAAGAAAAAAUAGUUUUAAAAUUAAGAAAAGUUACCGUUGUGACACGUGGCACAAUCUGGAGUGUUGGAAUUCAAAAUUUUUUAAAUCCAACGGCAGAAAUUAAUUAUUGGAAUUUUUUUUUAAAAAUGGAAAAAAUCCGAAAAAAUUGUAAAAAAUCUGAAAUUUUUUUUGUAAAAAUUUGUUUUUACUUUUCUAUAAAUACCACUUCUUCUCUAUCUACCUUACACCACAAUUUCAUAUUUUCUCAACUACUUUCAAUCAAAUUCCUAUCUUUCUCUUAAAGUUUCAAUCCAAUUUUUUUCCACAAAAUGGCUACUGAUGCAGGUUCGAAUUGGUCGCUUCUUGAAGAUGUUGCGUUGUGCACUAGCUGGGUUCAAGUUACUCAUAAUUCCGUUACGGGUAAUGAGAUGCAGUUGCGAGAAAUGUGGAGUUUAAUUCAUACCAAAUUUGUUGAGCAAAUGAGUGGGAAAAGAACCAAAGAAUCGAUAUCGAGUCGUUGGAAAAUACUUAGCCAUUCCUUUAGUACGUGGAGAGAUGCCUUGACACAAGCUAGUAAUAAUGUUCGAAGUGGGGCAAAUUAUGCGGAUGAGGUAAGAAUAUAUUAUAAUUAUUUGUUUGUAUUAUUAUUUUGUUACCUAAUUUGAUUAUAAUUAUUUGUUUGUUUCAUUUAUUUGUUACCUAAUUUCAUUAUUAUUAUUUGUUUGCAAUAUUUAUUUGUGACCUAAUUUCAUUAUUAUUAUUUGUUUGUAUUAUUUAUUUGUUACCCAAUAAUUUCAUUAUUAUUAUUUGUUUGUAUUAUUUAUUUGUUACCUAAUAAUUUCAUUAUUAUUAUUUGUUUGUAUUAUUUAUUUGUUACCCAAUAAUUUCAUAAUUAUUAUUUGUUUGUAUUAUUUAUUUGUUACCCAAUAAUUUCAUUAUUAUUAUUUGUUUGUAUUAUUUAUUUGGUACCUAAUAAUUUCAUUAUUAUUAUUUCUUUGUAUUAUUUAUUUGUUACCUAAUAAUUUCAUUAUUAUUCAUUUGUAGCAACUUCAAGCACAAGCAUGGUAUGCUGCCAAAAUCAAAUCAAGAAACAAAUCAUUCCACCGAUGGGAAUGUUGGAAUAUUGUUAAAGAUUGUCCUAAAUUCAAAGUUGUGCCUGUUGGUCCAGAAGUAUGCAUGAACAGCAUCCCUCUACACAGCACCUUUGUAUACAGCAACCCUCCACACUCUACACCUGAUGAUGGCACUCAGGUUGAUGAAGAAGAUGUAGAUUUAUUUAAUUUCGUAAUAUAUUUAUCCUAAUAAUAGAAUCUUUAUUCAUCAAAUUGUUCACGUAUAAUGAAAUAAUGAAACACACCAAAUAAAACUAAAAAACUCACCAAUUGGAAUUACAUAAACAUACCAAAUAAAAUUACACAAACAUACCAAAUAAUAAAAAACUCACUACAAAAAACACACCAAAUUAAAUUACAUAAACACACCAAAUACAAACAAAUAUAGUAAAUAAACUUAAGUAUCUUCAGCUUGUUUCAAUGCCCACUGGUGCUCUAUCAAGUCAAUUUGCCGAUCAUUGUGUAUAGAUGACCUUUGAAGUGCAGUAUAUUGUUGAAUAACCCUUUCAUUGUAACGUCCAUCCCUUUCUAAUGGCUCGUGUUGCACGGGUUCUUCGGUGGCAUCAUGCGCACAAUAUAUCCGUGUUCUUGAAUUGUUCAUCGUGUCUGGCUCUGGCUCAUAUUCAUCAACCGCAUCAUAAUCGAACUCAUCUUCCACAAUCAUGUUGUGAAGAAUGACGCACGUCAUCAUGAUGGAUCGAAGUGACUCUACAUCGAACAUUCUGGCAGCACCCCUGACAAUCGCCCAACGAGCUUGAAGGAUACCAAAACAACGCUCCACAUCCUUCCUGCAUCCCUCUUGACAGCUUGCAAAGUGUUUUUCCUUUGCACUUCUCGGACGUGGCACUGUUUUGACAAAUGUUUCCCACUGUGGGUAAAUGCCGUCAGCUAGGUAGUAUGCCCCGUCGUACCUACGUCCGUUGACGACAUACGUGACUUGUGAUGCCUUUCCUUGGAGGACGUCGUUGAACACUAGGGAUUGGGUAAGGACGUUGAGAUCAUUUUGAGCCCGGGAACCCCGAAAAAGGCGUGCCAUAUCCAUGUAUCAAAAGAUGCCACUGCCUCCAAAAUGAUAGAUUUUGCUCAUUUUCUGUCCCCAUAUGCGCCUUGCCAUGCACUUGGACAGUUUUUCCACGUCCAGUGCAUACAAUCGAUGCUUCCUAUCAUCCCAGGAAAACCUCGCAUCUCGCCCUUCUUCAGAAGCCUUUGCAAGUCCAUGUGAGUAGGUCUUCGGAGGUACUCUGCCGUGUACAAAGAUUCGACUGCUCCGCAAAACCUCAUCAGGGCCUCAAGAAUGGUUGAUUUCCCCAUCCUCGUUAUCUCAUCCACUUGGUCUGCAGAUGCUCCAUACGCAAGCAUCCGCAACGCAGCAGUGAUUUUUUGCUCUGGCAGAAGAUCCAUAACACCACAAGCAUCCUUCUUUUGCACGAAGUAAGAAUCAUGGUUGCAAACAUCAGUCAUGAUUCUGUUGAACAAAUGUCGUUCCAUUCUAAAACGGCGUCUGAAGUACGUAUCAGGAAAUGCACUGUUAUGGACGAAGUAAUCGUCCAACAGCUCUUCACCCCGUCGUUGCCUGCUUCUAUCAAGGUUUUUUGAACGGCUGGGCCUGCAUAUCUGAGCAACAGUCUGGAUGACUCGACGAGAAUGUGAGGCUCUGGCCAUUCUUGUUUCGUCAUCUCUCUUUCUACGCUCCUCAUCUUCUUCCAUCUCAUUUCUGCCUAUAUGAAGGUUGAACAUUCCUUCAGAUUGGUUAAACAAUUCUUUCUCUUGCUGAUUGAUUUCCCACAUCAUCCUUGAUGAAGAAGAAGACAUUGUAGGAUGGAUGGUGAAGAAGAAGCAAAAUCUAUGAAUAAUGAGAUUGAGAUGUUGAGAAAAUUGGUGUGAGAUUUGUGAGGAUGGAUGGUGGAUUAUAUGGACGAUUCAGAAAGGAUCGGAUUGUAGAUAAGGCCACGUGGCAUGCCGUCAUUCGUUAAAAAUCUGAUCGAAAUCUGUCCUGAAAGAUUCUGAAAAGAUAAUGACACGUGGCACGAUCGUAUUGGAUAAAAAUCUUAUCGAAAUCCAUCUCCAAUAAUUAUCAUUUUGGAUAAUGACACGUGGCGCAAUUUUGAACGAGUUAAAAUCUGAUUGAAAUCUGUCUUGAAAGAUUCUGAAAAGAUAAUGACACGUGGCACGAUCGUAUUGGAUAAAAAUCUUAUCAAAAUCCAUCUCCAAUAAUUAUCUUUUCGGAUAAUGACACGUGGCGCAAUUUUGAACGAGUUAAAAUCUGAUCAAAAUCUAUCGUCAAAGAUUCUCAAACGAUAACGACACGUGGCACGAUGACAUUUGAUAAAAAUCUUAUCGAAAUCCAUCGUUAAAUAAUUGUUUUUUUUUAUAAAAUGAUACGUGGCGCAACGAUAACGAUUUAAAAAAUCUUAUCCGAAAUUACAAAUAAUUUUAUUUUGUAUUAUUUAAACAAACAAAAAAAACUAAUAUUUUAUUGCCUAUUGCCAGGGGGAGGGCUCCAAGGGUGGAGAUGCAAAUGGCAAUUACUGUUCAUUAAUGUCAGUUACUAUUCAUUCAAGGCAGUUACUGUUCAAUAGGGUGGAUUCAAUAGUGGAUUGCCAGGGGGAAGGUCUUCAUGGGUGGAGUUGCUCUAAACAUGCAGGGAAAAAAAUGAAGAUACAAAGUAGCUGCAUCAUGAAACACAUACUCCAAUUAGACGCAAAAAGUGAUGGUGAUGAGAAGAGAGAAAAUGUUGUCGUUUUGAUUUUUCUGGCUUUUAAAGGGAGCAGCUUUCUUCGACCACCAAAAAAAGGAAGUUGCUUUUCGUGUGGUUGUGAUUUCCUGAGUGUAUGUGAGCGGGUCUAUGGCACUUGCACUGUUUGUGUCGGUUAUGGUAACCGGGCGAGCUGGACACAGUAGCGUGGGACUGAAUUCGGAGAGGUGAGAAAAAUUAAAAACACAAAAAGAAGGUGUUCAUUUUGUCACAUUUUUAUUACUAAAAAUUCAAUAAAGUACAUUCAUUAGUAUGGUAACUUAACUAUUUAAUUCCAUCUCAUUAAACUAAAAAAAACAAUUACAAAAAAAUAAGGAAAACCUUGUCCAGAGAGACCUGAGAGAAAGUGACGACUUCUCCUCUCAUUCCACUCCAUACUUGAUCUCUAAAGUCCAUUUGGCAUGUAAUUGAUGUUCAAUUUCAAAUAAAGUGGUGGCAAUUAGCAAAGCUAAUGAAAGAAUCAAAUAAAAUGAAAGAAAAAGCAUCAUGAAAUAAAUCAAGAUGAAGAAUGAAAUUUUGGCAACUCGCCAUUCUCUUCUUUUAUAUAAAAGAUACAUCCUAUUUGUAGUGAAAACAGGUCCCGACAAACCCAGUUAUCCUCAAGAAGUAUUUUGUAUGACUUUAAAAACAUAAUCCGUGAAAUUAUCUCUUGGCAGAGAACAACAACAAAUCUUCAUGCAUAGCUUGUAGAGAAAGACAUCAGGCAUACAAAAGAACAGGCAAGCAUAAAAUAAACGAUGCAUGGAAAACCAAAAAUACAAUUGAAUAUGCUGUCAAAAGAACAUGAAUAAAUGAAAAUUACAAAACAAAGAAGUGAUGGGAAACCAAAGUAUUCAUAAUCUAAUUGCUUUUUAGUUUGCUUGCCAUUUUUAGUUCUUCAAUUUAGAGAGAAACCAUAAUUCAGCACAUGAAUAAAGUGAAAACGUAAAAGAUACGUGGGAUAAGCUGACAGCCAUCCCUGAGUAAUGCAUUCACUUUUGAACCCCAAACACACCGAAACAAAAAUUCACACACAUGAACUACAGCUCCGCUAUGUAACAAGAAUUAAAAGCAUCUCAAAACAAAAUGGCAAACUAUAAGAGCAUUGUAAAAGUAAAAUUGCAUCUAAUACUUGGAGGGCAAGUACUAAUCAGACGAAAAUGAAAGAUUGAACUACCUCACGUGGAACUGUGCCUUGGUUUUUUCCCAUGCUUACAAGAAGCUUUGCACUGAGCUCUUAUAGCCCAAAUUUUCUCUGAAGGAAAAAAAACACAAUUUUGGAAUAAGAUUUUCAUAUUAUACCUUAAAGAGAAGAAUUAGACAACAAAAAAGAGAACAAUGAGUACUAUUCAUCAUAUAUUGUUAAGAGUAUGUGGUCUUCUAGUCCAAUGGUCCUGCAGUCAUAUUUACUUUAUAACUCUUUCUUUUAGUCUAAAAAAACAUCUUGGAUCUCAAAUUAUUAUGAAUACGGAUUCAUACUUUAUAACUAAAGAUCUUACUGCUCUUGAUAAGAUGAACAAUACGCCAUUUAUCGCAUGCAUUGCAUUACAAUCACAAUGCAACAUCUCAUUAGAAAUCCCCACACAAAGCAGCUCCACUCAUUGUGGUCCUUGCAAACCGAAUUGGCCCAACGAUCAGCGAGAGAAAGGAGACGGCGGCGAGAUGAGGGAUAUGAUGGAUGCGAGAUCGUCUGUAUCGUUAUCGCGGGGGGUCUGCAAGACGGACGAGGAAAGUAGGGUUUGAGAAGGCAUUGUCUUCUCGCGGGGUAUGUGUCCUUCCUAUUCCACGAUUAUCAACACGUGUGCAUCAGGAGGAGCGGCAGAGAGAGGCAUUGUUGUAAAUAAAGUGAAAUCGAAGGGUAAGGGCCCAUUCUUUAAGGUAAUGGCAUGGCCAUAAAUAGAAUGAAAUCCAGAUCAAAACACUGUCAUUUGUACAGUACAAUUUCUCCAUCUUCUUCAGACUAAAGUAAUGUAUAUGUUAUACGCACCAACACAAGUCCUUCUUAGAUAAAUCCAAGCCAAACAAUUACAAACGACAGUUAUUCACAAGAAAAUCACUUUAAAGCAAGAAUUUAAUUAAUAAUACAUUACUACACUUUCUUAACAAUUUGACGGUCACCUAGCUAACAAUGAACACGUUAGCUAUGCGUUAGAACAUAUUGGGUUCAAUCCAUAGUCUUGAAUAUCACCCCGAGUCACAACUGUCUCUUGGGGCAUACAGAAGGCCUGAGAGGCAUUUGCAGACAUUCAAUCUCUCCUCCAAGCAUUUCGACAACUUUGGAAAUCGAAAGGCGAUCACUUGGUUUCAUUUGAAUACACCACAAGGCGGUUAUAACCAUCUUUCUUAUCACUUUCUUUUCCUCCUCUGUAACAUUGUCUAUUUCCAAGUCAUUUCCCACAAUAUACUGAUCAUAUACCCACAUCGGGAAGUAGAUUUGGCUUGGAUGCUCUACCGUUGCAUUCAAAUUCUUCCUUCUGCUUGCCAUUUCCAUCAACAACAUUCCAAAACUAUAGACAUCGGCCUUGUAUGAGACACCUCCAAUAUUUUUGUAGAACAACUUAGGAGCAAUAUAUCCCAUUGUACCCGUGUUGCCGUCAAAGAGACAAUGAGAAAACUCUUGAGUUCUUCAGAAACCACGAGAAACUUAAAACUGAGAAAGCUUCGUGAUCUCCCUUCCAUCUCUGCUACGCAAUCUCUGCUUCCUCCGUGAUUUCUUCCUUCCUGAUCGACAUCUAUUCGAAUUGAAAACCUUCUGGAGCUCACUACCCCCUUUGUCAGCAGUAAUUAGGGGUGGGUUCAAAAAACCGAAAACCGAAAAAAAUCGACAACCGAACCGAACCGAGGCCGAAAAAAACCGAACCGAAAAAAAACCGAACCGAAACUGUCAAACCGAACCGAACCGAAUCUGACCGGUUCGGUUUCGGUUUUUGAGGUUCAAAAACUGAACCGAACCGAACCGAACCGAUAUAUAUAUAUUUAAUUUUUUUUUCAAUAUUAUAAAUAGUUUAGGCAUACAAUCAUAACAAAACAGAACUUGUUGCCAAGUUGGUUUAAGCGAAAUUUUUCACACUGGUGGCAAUGGGUUCGAACCCUCAUGCCUUUAGGAUUUAUGAGAUUGUUUUUUAAUUUUGUUGAGAAAUCAACAAAAUCCUUUAACCCUAACUUUUUUAUUUUUCAUUCCCCUCUUCUCUCUCUUGUUCCCUGCCUCCAGUCCAAACUCCCUCCAUGAACCCUAACCCAGUAACCCUCUCGCGCCGCCUGAGCUUCCUGUCUCUCUCGCUCGGUCUUCAAUCGCUCUGUCUCUCUCAAUCUCUCAGGCAACCCGCGACAGUGCGACCCUUCUCACUCUCAAUCUCUCACACCUCGCCCUCUCCAUCAGUCUCUCAUCUCGCCGUUUCGAGUCUCGAUAGCAAAAGGUUAGCCUCCUCUCUCUCUCUCUCGGUCUUCAACUUCAAUCACUCUCUGUCUCUCUCAAACUCUCUGUCUCUCUCGGUCUUGAAUCUCAGGCGACCCACGACGGGGCGACCCAUCUCACUCUCAAUCUCUCACACCUCGCCCUCGCCGUCAGUCCUUCAUCUCGCCGUGAGCUUCUUCUUGCCGUUUCGAGUCUCGACUGCAAAAGGUUAGUCUCGCCGUGAGCUUCUUCUUGUUCGUUCGCAGACGGAAGCUCUCUACUCCAAACUCUACGAAAAGUACACAAAAAUCAAGGUGUUCUGUGUUCUUUCCCACUUCUUUACAAUUUUUUUUGCUCAUUCAUUUUUUUUUGCUUAAUCAGUUAAUUGUAUGUUAAAUUUGCUCAGGGGAGAAAUUUGAGGUUAGGGAAAUAGAAAGUAAUUGUCUUUUUUUGUACUUUUGAAUUUUUUUUGCUCAUUCAUUUUUAAUUGCAUGCUAAAUUUGAGUUGGGAACUUUUGCUUACUUGUUACCCAGUUGGAUUUUUUUGAGCUACUUUUGCAGUUUCUUUCUUCGUCUUAAUUUGGGAACAAUUUGAUCAUGUUUGACUUAUCAUUUUGUUAUUGGAGGAAAUCAGCAGCUUUAUGGUUUGGCAAGGUGUAGUGACGAUAGAUAGCCUACUUUUAUGUAUAAUUUGAAAGAGGAUGGAGAUAAGUAUAUUUCUCUGGGAAUCAGAGCUUCCAUGAUAUGUGAUUACCUGUUAUCUUUGAAUUUCUCUUCCGACUCUUGUAUUUCCUUAAGUGAAACUAUGGCCCUGCAAAUUUGACAUGUUGUUGAAGGUUGUAAAUCAUAUGUUGUUCUUUUAGUGGUAAAAAUCUUGUUAAACAUGUAUUUUCAUUUAGGUUAUGGACUCUUGGACAUGCUAAGUCAUGAUGGAAAAGACCAAAGAUUCAUUGGUAACGUGUUCUGAAAAGUAGCAUAGGCAUUGCAAUUCUCUGAGUAGCGUUUUAUUAUGGAUAACGUUUUUGGUGCUGAAGGAAGAUUUCCAUCAAACCUAGCAUCAAUAGAGCAUAUUGUUUCUUGACUACAUUAUGUAUGAGUAUUAGAGUUUAAAUUGUAAACGGAUCUGGACAAUAUAUGAAGUUGGUAUUGAUUUCUCUCAGAGAACAAAUAGAAUUGAACAUCCAGGCUUGUUCUUGUUGACAUGAUUUAUAUAAGAUAUACUUAUAUCACUUUAGAGAAAACUGGUUAUAUGCAUCUGUAUUGUCUCAAAUUAAUUUUAGGCUUCCCUUCAAAGCGUUCUUUUUGUCCAUCCAUCUGGGUGGUGUUCAAUUUUAGAUUAUCCUUUGAAUACUAGACGUCCAGAUAAUGGCUUUGUGGUCCUUCAAAUAAAUUACUGAUAAUGUUCAUGCAGUUGAUGGUGAAACAGGUAUGGUAAUUAAACGACUUCAUGUUUAGGAAUGAUAGGCUUGUACUUUGUAUUUUAAAGAUGUGUGCAUUUUUCAUAUAAAUUUUGUUCAUUGUGUUAGAAUGCUUAUAUUAUAAUUGUGUUGGAGAUGUUAAAAUUUUAGAUUUCAAUUUUGUUUUCAUUUUUCCCAAAAAAAAAAAAAACCGAAAAAAACCGAAACCGAAAAAAACCGAAAAAAAAAAUGGACCGAACCGAACCGAACCGUUUUGAACCGAACCCAGCUCUAGCAGUAAUAAUUUGUUUUUGCAGCUUUAUGUGUCUCUGUCUCCAAAUAUGAUGAUCUCUUAAUUUGCUUCUAUAGCUUUUGUAAUAUGAUGAUCUCUUAAUUUGCUUUUGCAUAUCUUCUUUGCUUCUUCUGCUAGCUCUAUAUGAGAUUCCAUCUCCAAAUAAUUGUUCCCUAUUUCCUAUUUUUACAGGAAGCAAAUCAUUGAAUACACAUGGAAAAUUAAAAUGGUUUCAGUUUUUGGUUAGUUUAAAUUUUUUGUUGGUUAUUGCUUGUAUUGUGAAAUCUCGUUCCCGGAUUUCACUGUUAUAAUGUACGUGUUUGUAUUCUCGAGAAUUUAUAUUAAGUUAUUUGAAGUUAUACUUUAAUUAAACUAGUUACGAAGGUUAGAGUUUGGAAAUUAAUUAUUUAAAAUUCGUAAACCGUCCGAGGUCACAAUUUAUAUCUGUGGAUAGAGCUAGGGGUGGGCAAACGGGUCUAGGAACCGCGGGGCGGGUCGGGUCUAGCCGGUUCGGGGCGGGUACAAGUUUUGUAAACUCAAAACGGGGCGGGUCGAGGCGGGUCCAUGUAAUUGGCGGGGCGGGGCGGGUCUAAAUUUCUGAAAAACCGGGUACCCAGGCCCGGACCGUUUCCACCGUCCAUAUACGAAGAUUAAAUCUCUACCAUUCAUUACUACCACUCUUUCUCUUAGUCGCUGACUCUCGCCUCCUCUCUCGACUUUUCCAGGAUCCAUCCUCUCUCAAGAUGGACUCAGCGCCUACUCCACCGCUCACUCCUCCUCUCGUUGAAGCCACGGCGGUCUUCAUCGGUGCUACCCCUGCCCCAUAUUCUCUCAGAUCAGAGUCGUCACUCCCCUCUCCCACUCGAGUCGAGGCCUCUUGUGAACACCACCACCGCCGUCGAAACCUCCUCCAUGAAAGACACCUUCUCCAAAUAUUCUGAUUACCUCAACAAUCUCGUAAUCCCUAAUUUAAUCUUCACCAAUUUGCAGCUCUGUGAGCGACUCGAAGGUUUGUAGAAUGACAAGCGGGAAAGGGUUGUAAAAGCAAGUCGCGAUAUCACCAUUAAUAGCAAAAAGGUCAUCUUUAAGGUUCACAGGUAAGAAAGCUGCGACCUUUUGCUUCAAAUUUUGUUUCUGUUUUUUGGGUUUUUGAUUUUGGAUUUUGGUUUUUUUUUUUAUAAUAAUUUUAUUUAUAUCAUCAUUGAAAUGAUGUUGCUGUGGAAUUUGAACUUGAACAGAAUCAAUAAACACAACAAAGAGGAAGUUCUGCAGAAAGCUGAAAAGGAUUUAGUAGCUGUGAGUCUGCGACAGAUCAGUACAUUUCCCAGCUUGUUAGAGAGAUGCAGGCUAAGUUUUUUUCUUUUAUUACUGUUACUCUGGGAUUCUUUGAGAAAACUUGAAGCUUGAAUUGUUUUUGUUUUCUGGGUGAUUUGGAAAAUGGGCGAAAAAAAAAACAAGGACCCGUGUACCCGGCCCAAACCGGCCCGUUUGAAAAGGGUCGGGUUAGGUCCGGUUUCUAUUUUAAAAUUUGUUGCACCCGGCCCGCUCCGGCCCGUUUCUUUUACACCCGGGUCCGGUCCGGUCCCUUCAAAAUUGGGCCCGGCCCGGCCCGUGCCCAGCCCUAGAUAGAGCUCGAUCUCACGAACGCGUAGGCGCAAAUCGUUCAUGAAACAGAUCUAUAACGAAGAAGUUAUAGACGUUUUAGUUGUUGGAAAAUAAAUAAUUAAAUGUUUAGAAGCUGCCAAGUGGCAGCAAGGGAGAGGGGAGAAAGGAGAGAGUGCGGGAGAGAAAAGAGGGGGACACCCAAUAAGAAAGGAGAAAGGAGGGAAAUGAGAGAAAAGAAAAAAAAAAAGGGAAGAAAAGGGAGAAACGGGUUCGUACGACCCGUGGGUAUUGCCGGCCACCCAUCUCCAUUUGCCGACGAUUUUCCGACGAAUUUCUUCAAACAACCACUUGGAAACACUCCCUUGUCCUUCCCUCUACAUGUUUCACCCUAAAAAUAAAAGGUUUUGGACUUGAAUAGGGAGAAACCGCACUAAGGGUGUAGCGGGUGUGUGUGUCAAAUCUCCCAAAUCCAAAAUGUUUACACCCAACGACCACCAUCAAAAGACUUUCCUUAAGCCCCUGAACAAAGCCCAGGCAGUGGUGGAGACGUCGGAGCAAGUUUAGAGGUCGAAUUGGAGCACACCCAAUUCUAGGGUUCUUACGGGUUUUAGAGAAAUUGGAAUACUUCUUGAUCAAAUUAGCCUUGGUCACAGGUAUAAAGUUUACUCUACUCAUUGAGAUCUUUAUUUCUGUAAUUUUUGGUAAUUUUUAAAAAUAGUUGAAUUUUUCCGGCAAAUCGGGGCGGCCGACCGCCACCCGCUGCGGCGCGUGCGGCGGCGGCCUGGCCAGCGAGCCAACGAUGUCCUUUUAAGUUCAAUUAGAUGCCCUGAUUUCAUAACUGACAUCCUUAUGUUAUGGUUUGAUUGUUUAAACCUAAUUUCAUUACGAUAUGUGGGUAGGUCAAAAUGUGAUUCGACGAUCCGACCGUUGGAUCGUCACCAAACUUUAAUGCGUCAUAGAAUGUAAUAUUUGAGGAUGGUUGGAACUAACGGAUUGGGAAUCUGAUGUAUGGAACUUCCUGAUUUGGAUUUCUAAGUUUGUAAAUCAAACAUUGGUCACCACUUGAAAUUGUAAAAUCAAACAUUGCAUAUAAGCAUGCUAGAGCCUUUAAUUGUUAAUUACAUGUAUAUGUGUUGCUAAAAUGAACUUAGUUUAUCAAAUUUUUAUUUCAAUAUCAACUUCUAUGGCAUGCGUGGUGUCUCAUGUCAAUCACACAAAUGUUAUGUAAAAAGAAUAUACACGUUGUGUUGCAUGAUUGACAAUUAACGACACAUAGUGUUAUAACCGUGUCAAUGUUAUGAAGGUUUUUAUGCAAAGUCACUUGAUAUGCCGCAACAAUUAGUAAACAAUAUUAGAAAGACCUAGAGGAACCCACAAUUAAUUCCGAUUCAAUAAGUAGGUCAUGUGCAAGCAAGGCAUGGGCUUCCCAUGGGUAGGAGCUGGAAUUUACCCAUAUUUGGUAGUUAUGUACCAUAUGUUUACCCGCAUGACGCUGAGUGUAAUCCUUCUUAAGGUUCAACAAUAUUGUUUCUAUUAACAAAUAUAAAUAAAAAAUAAGCAAAAUACUAGAGAGAUUACACGUUUAUAUUACAUUGUUGUACCAUAUUGUGAUAUGGCUGUGUACAUACCAUGUCUUGUAAUGAGUUUAUCUCAUUAGAUGUUAGACUGUUAAUUAUAUGUAUCACUUGUCAUAUCAUACAAUACAUCAAUAUGAUAUAAAUAUGCCAUCUCUCAAACAUUACUCUUAUCAGAAACCCCAAAAAAUAGGAAAUGCUCUAUACUAAAGCGGAAUGAGAAAAACAUUGUUCAUAGGCAACAGUAUUUUUACUUUUUUGCCCUCAUUUUUAAUGUUUCUGUGUUCCUACUUUUAUGCCUCUAUACGGUGAAAUCGCCAAUUGACCUAUGGGCAUGGGUGUGUAUAAAAAUUGUUUUGCACACGUGGCGUGCUAGGGAGAUUUCUCUGCAGCACUGCUUCAUUAACUGUUUCAUUUCUCUGCACCGUUUCCUUCUAGCUCCACUCCGAAUUGAUACCGAAUACUGGUCAACCAAAUUUUCUCAUCAUUUCGUUCCGUCCUUCUCCACAUCUUCAUUCUUGCUCCACCAUGAAUCGAAACAAAAAAUUGCUCAUCCAAAUUGUUUGGUAUCAGCCGCUCCAAGGAGACAAAUUGCUGAGAAAAGUAAAGAAUUCAGAUAAAAAGUGAAAUUGUUCAUUCAUAACCUUUAGGGAAAUACAGAUGGGUUCUUUAUACCCCAUUUCAGCUACUACAGACAAAAGGUUAGGUAACCCCAAGUGCUGAGUCACCAUAUUCUAAUAUUCCAUUACAAUGCAAAGGAAAUAACUUAAGGGAAUGAGCUAAAGCAUAUCAAGGUCCUAACACAAGUCAAUUUCAGUUAACUCAAAUCCCUAAAACCCAAUUUUCUCCAGAUCGUUGGAUUUAGUUUGCUGUUGUUGUUGCUAAUCUACAGGUAAAGCUUAAAUUUACAUACAAUUUUUUAUUUUUCUUGAUUGGAAUUUGGAAAGAAUUAGUUGUUCUUGGAAAGAAUUACAGAAAAUUGGAAAAGGGAAAUGGGAAAGCGAGGAAAUGCAAGAAAAUGUGUUUGGAAAAUGGAAAAUGACUUUUCUUUGGCAUUCGCUUUGACUUUCAUCCUUUCUGCGUUUGCUUUUCCUCAUUUUUUUUCUCAAGAACCAAACAUAAAAUAAAUAAAUAAACCUAUAAAAAAAAGAAAAGGAAAAUCACAAGAUUAAGAACCUGGGAAUGCAACAAUCGAGCUUCUGUGCCGAAAUAUCAAUUGGGUCCCGUUGGAUCUUCGGUGCUUCUUCUGCAUUCAAAAAGUUGGGGUAUUUCUGCAUCAUUUUUGUGUGUAUUUUUAAAUUCCAGAAGAAAGUGGAUAGAGAGAGAGGAAUAUGCUUUGGGUCGAAAUGGGAACACAAUUCCAAAUUCGCCCUCAAUCCCAAAGUUCAGUAAUUUAUGCAAUUUUUGUCGAAAUUGAUAUUCUUUAUUGCUGAUAUUUGUUAAAAAAGAGGGGGAUAAGAGCAGUAAAAAGAAUCUACAGAAAAUAUUUGUUUUGGAAGAGUAUGUCUUGAUUGGAUAAAACUCGCACCAGAGGGCGAGCGCAUCUGCUAGUAUGCAUUUAAACUUAUAAGGCUAAAUCCUUUAGGGGCGUUUGUUUGCCCUCCUUAACUCUCAUUGGACUGGACUAGAUUAAGGGUUAGUCCAAUCCCGUGUUUGGUACCCGCUAAAACUAACUUUAAUGAGACUAAAGGGGAUUCGCUCCGACUAUCUCCCUCGCUAGGAGGUCUUAGCGAGAGCGCCCUGUGACUAUGGGACUGCUAAGCCCUUCGGCUGGUAUGUCCUCAUCUCCUCUCAUCCACUCUUCUUUCUCUGUUUUCUUGAGCACCGACAGCCACCAUCACACCACCACUCCCAACUUCAGCGAGAUACACUGCUAGCCCAACACCACUCUCUCGAGAUCCAAGGAAAGCAAGCAUCAUUUGGCAAUUUUUGGUAGAAUUGCAGGGGAAGAAGAAACGAAAUGAAAAGGCUUGAAUUUGUUACAGGCCAUUGAUGGACAAGAUUUUUUUUUUGGGAAAUCGAUGAUCAGGGAUUUUUUUUUGGAGAAAUCUGGAGAUCAUGCAGCUUAUGGAACUCUCUAGAUAGAUUAAAACUCACAUAACCAAUAUGGGCAAUAAUUCAUACCUGAGAUAGAGUUUGAGAGAGCUUAAGCUCUCUGCGUUAAUGGCAGAGCGCCCGAUGGUGCAUCGAUGAUACGUACAACGCCGUAGGUGGAUUCCCCAUGUCCCAAGGGUUCGAGGUUUAGAUUUUUUAGGGUUGAUUUGGUCAGCAUCAAGAGAAAUGGUGGGGGUUCCUUCUCGGAGAUUAGAGAGAGAAAGGUUGUAGAUUAUUGUUGAGGAGAGAGAGAGAGAGAGAGAGAGAGAAAAGUGCAGAGAAAGAAAGAGAGAAUGAAAGAGGGGUCACGGGGUGAGGGACCGUAAGAGCAAGUCCACCCAUGCCAAUCGGCCGGGGGACGGGCUACAGCAAAGGGCCCGAGGGCCAGUCAAUUCAUCUCCAGCCAUGGAGGGCCCGAGUGAGGGUGGGAGCCCGAGGGCCGGGGGGGUGGGUAAUUGACAGGCCUGUGGCCCGAGGCCCGUGACGUCAGGCCUGGGUCCAGGCUAUUUUUUUAUAUUUUUUUUGUGUCAGGCGCGUGCCCCUCACUCGCGAGUGGGGGCGCGUCGCCCGACAAGAAAUCAGACAAGUGGGGUUUUCGGCCAGUUACCGUUGGGAAGCCACGUGGCUUCCCACGGUCCGUUCGAUCCCAACGGCUCUUUAAUACGAGCCGUCCGAUUUGCAACGGUAAUAAAAAAAAAACUGAUUUUAUAUCAACCGUUCGAUCUAAGAUCAACGGUUGAUAUUAAUCUGCUUUAUAAAUUAAAAAAAAAUAGUUUUAAAAUUAAGAAAAGUUACCGUUGUGACACGUGGCACAAUCUGGAGUGUUGGAAUUCAAAUUUUUUUAAAUCCAACGGUAGAAAUUAAUUAUUGGAAAAAAAAAUUUAAAAAAAAUGGAAAAAAUCCAAAAAAAUUGUAAAAAAUCUGAAAAAAAAAAUUGUAAAAAAUUGUUUUUACUUUUCUAUAAAUACCACUUCUUCUCUAUCUAUCUUACACCACAAUUUCAUAUUUUCUCAACUACUUUCAAUCAAAUUCCUAUCUUUCUCUCAAAGUUUCAAUCCAAUUUUUUUCCACAAAAUGGCUACUGAUGCAGGUUCGAAUUGGUCGCUUCUUGAAGAUGUUGCGUUGUGCACUAGCUGGGUUGAAGUUACUCAUAAUUCCGUUACGGGUAAUGAGAUGCAGUUGCGAGAAAUGUGGAGUUUAAUUCAUACCAAAUUUGUUGAGCAAAUUGGUGGGAAAAGAACCAAAGAAUCGAUAUCGAGUCGUUGGAAAAUACUUAGCCAUUCCUUUAGUACGUGGAGAGAUGCCUUGACACAAGCUAGUAAUAAUGUUCGAAGUUGGGCAAAUUAUGCGGAUGAGGUAAGAAUAUAUUAUAAUUAUUUGUUUGUAUUAUUAUUUUGUUACCUAAUUUGAUUAUAAUUAUUUGUUUGUUUCAUUUAUUUGUUACCUAAUUUCAUUAUUAUUAUUUGUUUGCAAUAUUUAUUUGUGACCUAAUUUCAUUAUUAUUAUUUGUUUGUAUUAUUUAUUUGUUACCCAAUAAUUUCAUUAUUAUUAUUUGUUUGUAUUAUUUAUUUGUUACCUAAUAUAAUUUCAUUAUUAUUAUUAUUUGUUUGUAUUAUUUAUUGUUACCCCAAUAAUUUCAUUAUUAUUAUUUGUUUGUAUUAUUUAUUUGUUACCUAAUAAUUUCAUUAUUAUUAUUUGUGGUAGAUUAUUUGUUAUAUAAUAUUUAUUUGUUAUUAUAAUUUCAUUAUUAUUAUUUCUUUCUAUUAUUCAUUUAUUAUUAUUAAUUUUUAUUAUAUUUAUUUUUCCUUACAUAAUUUCUUAAUUUAUUAUUUUGUUAUUUCUUUAUUAUUGUUAUUCCAUAUUAUUUCAUAAUUAAUUUCAUUCAUAUUAUUUAUCUUCCUAGAUAAAUUCAAUAUUUGUCUUUUGUAUAAAUUUCAAAGAGAAUUAUGUUGCAUGAAGUAUGGCCAUGCAUGUUAGUGUCCCAAAAUUCAAGCAAUGGCAUGUUGGAAGUCAUGCCAUUGAAAGCCCGUUACACCCAGGUUGCAUUGAACAGCACCCUCCCAGCACAUUUUGUACACAGCAACCCUCUCCACACUCUACACCCUGAUGGACCUGAUGAAGAAGAUGUAAAGAAGUGCCUGAAACACCCAUUCCUGAACAAGCGUCAAGCGUCGGGGUCGACCGUUUCAUUAAUUAGGCUCAAGGUAAGAAGGCUUCAAAGAGGAAAGGGAGUGCUUCCAUGAAUUAUUUACAUGAAUUUUGAUCAUUGGCUAUUUGACGUUGAAUAAUGACGGCGGGAUUUAUAGAGAUUUGAGCAAAAGAAUUGAGGCAGAAGAAGGCAAGAAUUGCAAAUUUUGAGCAAACAGAACAGAACACAAGAUUGCUACUUAGAACAGGGAAAGGCAAGAGCUACUUAGAGAAGAAACCUUAGAAGAAGAAAAAGAUGAACAAGAGAUCGUCAAUUUGAACACGCGUUUAGGAAGGUGAAUUGACGUUGGCACGGGAUUUGGCGAAAUAUGAGGCUGAAAAGGCUAGAGAAGAGGCAAAAGCUGCAGCUACUGAACAAACAUUUCAAGUUGAACAGAGGGAAAGAGAGCUACUUAGGCAAGAAAGGGAGUUGCUUAGAGAAGAAAGAAAUGCACAACGAGAUCGUGACAUUAUGAACACGCGUUUAGAAGGGAUGUCUCCAAAUUCUAAAUAUUUUUGGAAGUCGGAGAAAGCGGAUGUGGUGCGAAGGAGGCGUGUAAGAGAAGCGAGAUCAAGACAAGAUGGUCCUAGCACAACAAGACAAGAUGAUCCUAGCACCACAAAUUGGUUAAGUGAUGAUGAAUAGGGUACUUUUUGUAAUCGGACCCCAUAGUUUUCCGAUCACUUUGGGUUGUAAUUUAUUAUUUAUGUUGUUUCCAAUUUAUUGAAGUUAGUACUUUAUUUAACGUGAGAGUACAUUUAUUUAAUUUCGUAAUAUAUUUAAAAUUAAACUACAGUCAAUGACGUGUCCAGAUGCGUGUCCAUAGGCAAGACACGAGUACAGACGUGGCAAGAGACGAGGGUUGUACAACCAUGAGCUUGUGUCCGUGGCAAGGACAACAAAGGCUUGGGGCUUAGGAUGGCAGAGGAAAUACCACGGCAAGCUAGAGCCACCGACACAUCGUCGUUGCCGCCAAACUUACGUAAAAUCGUUAGCACAAAAAGCCGCCAAGGGUUUCCGCUCACUGGGAAAAAGAUAAGAUUUGUGAACGCCAAGACCACAUGGGUCACAACAUAGCAAAAUUGAAAUCUUUGUCAUCCUCAGCAUUAUCCGACCGCUAUCCACAAAUUGAAGCAACGAAUUGGGCAAGUGUGCAACAAAUUUCCAAUGUGCUUCUAUUGUGAAUGAUUUACAGGGAUUGGGUUGAAUGAGGUUUGUAGUUAAAGUGGGAUGCAAUUUAGAACACCAACGUUUGAUUAUGUUUCUCUCAUUUUUUUCUGUUCACUUUUGCCUCAUUUGUUUUUUUUGUUGCAUCGUCUCAAAAACCUUGUGCGUCUACAUGUACAUGUAUAAGUAUAAAUUUUGGUUAAAACAAAAAGUCACAUAUUUCAUAAUUAACUAUUUAAAUUUGUUGCAAAUCACAGUAUAUCUUUGUUCAUACAUUCAAACAAGCAUGACAAAUACUGAGGAAGAAAAUGAAAAUUAUUGUCACUACAAUUGUAUAUAUUUUUUUCUUUUUGAACAAACGAUAUUAUCUACACUAAGGGGGUGAGGGAGUGGCCUAAGCCUAACAAUGAGCUAGCAAUAAUAUAGUUCAAUUUGCCUUUGAUGAGAAUCGAACAUAAGACAUUUCACUUACAAGUGAAGAGAAAUAUCCUAGACCCUAACUGGAUAUGUUAUUGUCAUGGUCAUGCAUUGGUAUAGUAACAAUAUGUUUGGAUAAGGACAAUAAACUUAUAAUUUUGCCAAAAGUCAGAAUUUUUAAAUUGACACAAUCAAUUCCUUUGUUUGGAUUCAUAAAUAUAGAAAUUUAGACUUUCCGCGUGAGAAAAAACUUGGAAUUUGGUACCUUCAAUUCUCAUGUUUAAAUUUCAUGUAAAUAUGUGUCAUUUAUAAAUUUCAGUAAGUGAGAGUUUAAAAAUAACAAACAUGUAUUCAAAUUUCAUUCAUCCUUUAGGUUAACCAAACAAGAAAAUUUAUAAAUUCUAGAAAAUAAAAUUUCGUUAUUUCAUUUCUGUUAUUUUAAAAUUUUUAGGGCAUGUUUGGUACUCUACUUGAAUCUAACUUUUUAAACUCAAAAACAAUUUUCAAGUUUUAGGCCUUAAAAACUUGUUUGGUAGAACUAUUUUAAAAAACUGAACUUAAAACUAACUAAAAAAUAUAAUCUAUUAUCUAAAAACACAAAAAAUGAGUUUUUAGAAUUUGUAAACUUAAACUCACUCCUUUCUUUUCUCUCCCUGCUCCCCUCUCACUCCAAAUCUCUCUCUCUCUUUUCUUCUUUCUCUCUCCCCCUUCUUUUUUUUUAACCUUUUUUUGUCUCUCAUCCAAUCCGCUCUCUUUAUUCUCUCGGUUCUUUCUCUCACUCCUCUUCCUCUCUAUCUCCUCCGAUUCUCUCUCUUCAUUCUUUUUCAACCAAUCAUUUCUUAUUUUCUUUCCUCCCCUCUCCUCUUUCUCCCUCGACCACCUCUUUUUGGAUCUCCUUGUUCAGUUUGAGCUAUAAGAUUUAAAAAUUUUAAAUCGCAUAUCAAACAAGUUUUUGAGUUUUAAAGAAAAUUGUUUUCAAGAAAUAUUUUGAGAAAUGAUAAAAAAUUUCAAAUAUGAUACCAAACAAGCCCUUAAUAAUCUUAAAUUUUCUCGUCCAAACAAAAAGUUUUCUUGUCAUAGAACUUUCAAUUGAAAUCAAGGAAGAUAAUCUUUUCACAACUAAUUAUUCUCACCAAAAGCAAUUUUUAUUUUAUAGCAGAUCAAUACCAAAUUGCAAAAGCAAAGUAGUAAGGCUAAAAUUCAGGUGAAGAACCUGCUUCCACUAAUUUCCUUAGGAGGGAGAGAGAGAGAGAGGGGAGAGAGAACCAAGCGACCGAGCAGAGAGAGAAAACACCAAGUAGUAUUCUAAUGUUGGUGGGGUUAAGUCACCUUCCGUGAAGUUGCAGUAAGGACUUCUAUCCCAAAGAAAAGUCAGUAAAUGAUGUUGACAUCCGUCAACGACAAGGACAGAAUUGUGUAACCAUAAUUCUCUCUCUAUCUCUUUUUUCAUUAACGGAGGACAGUGUAUAAUUACUACGUAUAUAUCUCUGCUCAAUUAUUGAAAAGAAAAAUCCAUGUGCAUUAUUUUUAUUAUUAUUAUCUCAGAAAUGCAGAAAUUGAUCAUCUCUUCCUUCUGCAUAUUGAUACUGGUUUUCUUCAAACUAGUUGAAGCAAGGCAAUAUGUGUGCGCGAAAUCCAACUGUAGCAAUGAUCAAGGCCCGGCUAUCUAUUUCCCAUUGAACACCAGGCACACACAUCAUUGUGGAAAUUCUGGGCUUGAAUGCAAUGGGAGAAAUGAGCAGCAAAUACUAAUAAAAUUAUUUGUCAAACACAUAGAUUACAAGCGUCAGGAAAUCCAAGUCUAUUCCCCAAGUAACUGCCUGCUGCUAAAGCCUGUUGAAAUCCCAAACAUGCCACCCUCUCCCUUCAUCGUGUCAGUCGGUUACCUGACGAACGUUACCUUAUUCAGUUGUCCUACUUCUGUUGCAAGUGAUCCAUAUUAUCCGUAUCAAGUCCCCUGCCUCGGCGACCGUGGCAAGAGAACUUAUGCCAUUGAUUCUGACUCUGGUUUUAGAACUCUUUUCCGGAAUCUACAAUCUUGUACAAAAAUGUAUGAUGUUUUAUCAGUUCCACUAACCUAUGAAGAUUAUGUACAUCGUUUCAAAUGGUCUAUACCAAAUUGCAGAAAAUGUGGAGAGGGAAAGAAGUGUGGAUGGCAGAACAAUGAAAUUAAAUGUAUUCAAUGGAGGAAACCAAGUAAGGAUAACAUAUGUAUUCAUUGCUAGUUUUAAACAUCUUUACAUUUAUGUCUCAGUAAUUAUUAUUUAAAACAUGUUGUCCAAUCCAUUUUUACUAUGAAUAUUAACUGACAGUCUCAUUUGAAUUUGCCUUUAUCUUUUACAGGCAACACAUGGAAAUUAGUGGUUACAGGUGGAAUCCUGGGUUCUUUGCUUCUUGUUCUACUGAUGAUUGCAGCAUAUCGGGUAUAUAGCGCUGAUAGAAAGGAAAAAGAGAGUCGAUUGCGAAUCGAAAGAUUCUUGGAGGAUUACAAAGCACUCAAACCAAGCAGGUAUUCGUACGCAGAUAUUAAGAGGAUUACAAAUCAAUUCAAGGACAAGUUGGGCGAAGGAGCCUAUGGAACUGUCUUUAAAGGAAUGCUCUCUUCUGAAUUCUUUAUUGCUGUCAAAGUCCUCAACAGUUCUAAGGGAGAUGGGGAAGAGUUCGUAAAUGAAGUGCGAACGAUGGGUCAUAUCCACCACGUCAACGUGGCUCGCUUGGUUGGAUUUUGUGCUGAUGGAUUUGUAAGAGCUCUUGUUUACGAGUUCUUCCCCAAUGGUUCCCUGCAGGAUUUCAUUUCAUCCGCAGAUAGUAAGAAUUCCUUUCUUGGUUGGGAUAAGCUGCAGGAUAUUGCCCUAGGCAUAGCCAAAGGAAUUGAAUAUCUUCACCA
rnacentral:lncRNA from 1 species